AGUUUGUCACCAAGAACAGGCAUGACUUCUACAGAGGUGGCAUCCUUGAAUUCAUGUCUGGAUUGGACUUAUCAUGUAACAACUUGACAGGUGAAAUUCCUCAUGAACUUGGAAUGCUAAGUUGGAUUCGUGCAUUGAACUUGUCUCACAAUCAAUUGAAUGGCUCCAUUCCAAAGAGUUUCUCCAAUCUUUCUCAAAUAGAGAGCUUAGACCUUUCUUAUAAUAAACUGGGUGGAGAAAUUCCUCUAGAGCUAGUUGAACUCAAUUUUUUAGAGGUGUUUAGUGUGGCUUACAACAACUUCUCUGGUAGAGUUCCAGAUACCAAAGCACAAUUUGGGACAUUUGAUGAAAGAAGCUAUGAAGGUAAUCCUUUCCUUUGUGGGGAACUAUUAAAGAGGAAAUGCAACACAAGUAUUGAGUCACCAUGCGCACCAUCACAGUCUUUUGAAAGUGAGGCAAAAUGGUAUGAUAUCAAUCAUGUUGUUUUCUUUGCAAGUUUUACUACUUCAUAUAUCAUGAUCUUGUUAGGAUUUGUUAUCAUCCUUUACAUCAAUCCUUAUUGGCGUCAUAGAUGGUUCAAUUUUAUCGAGGAAUGUAUAUAUUCCUGCUAUUAUUUUGUUUUUGAUAGUCUUUCCAAGUUAUCGGCAUAUUUGUAUAAUUAGAUACUUUUAAUUGGAUGAUAUUUGCAUAAUUAACUACUAUUUGUUUCCCUGGGAUAGAAAGAAAUGGGAUGUAUAAUGCUAUGAGCUGAAACUUACAUACUUUGCUCAAAUUCUAACAUCUUUUGAUUUUAUUUUCAAGUUCCGUUAUUUAUUAUGUAUUGUUAAAUUCAAGAUUUAACCAUAUUACGUUACUCUUAUAAAAGAAAAUUCAAAUUUUUAGGAACUUUUAGCAUUAAAAUAAUUUCAUAGUCAGAUUUUAAAAAAUAAAGAAGAAAGAAAAUAAUAAAUAAUUGGAAAAACAAUUCAAGGAAGUAUUAAAUUAUUAUCUUAGAAUUGUUUGGCGUAGUAUGGGAAUUCAAAAAUAAUCUUUCAAUUUGUUAGAAAUGUUUAUUUAUUUAUUAUAGCAAUGAUUGAAAUAUCAAUCACAAAGUAAUGUUUUCUUUUCUUUUGUAGGGCACUAACACUUUUUCUUUGAUUGUAAUAAUUGAUAAAUAUAUUACACAAUUAUUUGUUUUAAAAAGGGGAGGGAUGACAAACAUAAUAACAUGUAAAAUAUUUCUAAAACUGUGAUGGGAAAUAAACCAUCUAAUUAGGGUGCAAUAUUAUUCAUUUUAAUUUAUAUGAAUUUACUUAUUUUUAUUUGCAUCAUAUUCUGAACUAUUUUAUGAAAUUAAGAGAGAUUAAAACAUCAUGAAUUUCUUAGUUUAAUUUAUAUUUUUAAUAAUAAAGCAUGAAAUAUUUAAAAAAAGAAAAACAAAAUCAUGAAUUUCUUUAAUUCAUUAGGAAACCAAUAUAUAAAAAAAGUUGAAUAUAUUAUUAUUUUAUGUUCUAAAUUUCUAAAUUUGUUCAUCACGUAUUUAUUUUUAUAUUAAAUUUAUUAUCAAUAAUUAUUUAUUAUAUAUUAUUAUUUUAUGUUUAAAAAUGUUCAUAAAUAAUUAAAAUUAAUAAAUAUAAAAAAUGAAAUAUUAAAAAAAUAAAUUAAAAAGAUUUCAUCAAGCUAACAAAUUUUUAUAAAAAAAAAAAAGAGUAAAAAAGAAGAUGGGGAUAUUAUAGAGGUGGGGAAAAAGAUAAAAGAAAAAUCAUGUGGUAUAAUAAUUGCCACGUGUUAAAGUUAUUUUCUUUAAAAAUUAAUUAUAGUAAUGAUGAACUCAUUUGUCUUAUCAAAGUAAAUAAAAAUAAAUAAAUAAAAGAAAAAAAGAAAAAGAAAAAAGGUGGUAGUUGGCUGGAGGUUAGAGAGGAGGGUUUGAAGGUAAAUUUGGAAUAUUGAUUAUUUUCACUAAGUAGAUAUUUUGAAAGUUAUUUUGCCUGAAACCCAUAUUGUUUGAAAAUAAAAAAUCAAAGUUUAAAAAAAAUACAAUUUUUUUGAAAUGAUGCAUGAUUACAUCAUUCCCCUGAUAGAUUAUUUAUUCCUUUAAACUUUACUUCAAAUAAAAUAAUUUUAAUUAUUUUCUUUUUGGAAUUAUAUUUAACAUAUUAUUAAAAAUAUAAAAAAACAUUUUAAUAAUAUUGUUAAUGAGUUUUUUUUAUAUAUAUUUUGUAAAAUAAUUAAAUUUAAAAAUAUUUAAAUUUAGUUAUGGGCUGCCCAUUUCAAAAUAAUAAGAAUCUAGUAACCUAAUUUUUCCAAAUUCCAGGUAAAUAUGCUAAUCUAAAAAUAAAUAAAAAAAUAAAAAUUAGUUUUUAUGUGCUGAUUGGGUUUUUUUUCCUUUAAUUAAAAAAAAAGGAAAAAAACAAAAGUGUGUGAUCCUCUUUCUCGAGUCUUCACAUUUAGAGACACUGAACCCAAAUCAAAAUUAAUCCUUCAAAUUAAUUUUCACCUCCAAACAUAGCUAUCCGAAAAACCCUAACCUCUGCCUCCUCUUCCUCUUAUCCCGGAAACCUAAAUUCCGUGACCCUAACCCCUUCUCUUUCCGAAAACCCUCCGGAAUCGGAAAAUUCAUAAUUCUUCAGAAUUAAUUUUCACCUCGAAGCCAAACCCUAACUGCCUCAUCUUCCUCUCAUUCAUAUCCCAAAAGUAGCUUCAACAGUCAGGCCUGUAGCCAUGAAAGCCGUAGUGAUCACUACUUCCGGUGAUCCCCAAGUUCUCCAAGUGCAAGAAGUCGAAAACCCUGAAAUUGGAGAUGAUGAAGUUCUAAGUAGAGUGGACGCCGCUGCCAUUAACCGAACAGAUACGCUUCAGAGGAAGGGCUUGCACCCUUCCUCAAAGGCGGCAGUCCCUACCCGGGUCUCGAAUGUUCUGGAAUCAUCGAAGCUGUUGGAAAAGCCGUCGUUCGAUGGAAGGUUGGCGAUCAGGUAUUUCAAUUGCCUAAUAUUUUGAUUUCGUUUCUGUUCCUCUGUUUUUCUCGGCUAUCAAACACUAGGAACGUGUAAAUAAGGAGGUUAGUUGAUUGCGAAAACGGGAAUUUUUUGUUCGUGUCUGUGUUAAGGAGUCUUUGUUGAGAAUUUUGGGGAAAUUUAUGAUAAGUUUGUGAUUUUAUGAUUAAUUUUGUGUAUCAAUAUAGGUUAAAUUAUUGAGCUUAUUGGUUUUCAAAUUUAUGGUUGUAAGAAAAUUGGUCAGUGUAAGGUUAUGGGAUCAUUACCAAUUUGCUUACUGAAAAUUUUUCCAGAUAUUGUGGACCGGUUUGGUAGCAGAAAUAAGAACUGUGUUUUGUUUUUCAAAACGGAAAUGGAUGCAGAAAACAUGUUUUUCUUUCAGAACUUGUUUCCGAAAAUAUUUCCUGAAAAUGAAUUAUUUCAGAACUUGUUUUAAAAAAAUUCAAACACUUUAUCAAUUUAAAAGGUUCUGAAAUGGACAUGUUCAUGGUCUUCAUUUUUUAAAAUUAAAGCUUUUAUGAAAAAACCAUUUUCCCUUCUACUAAACAAACAGGCUCUAUAUUGUAACAGAUCGAUUGGCCAUUUCCUUUGUCAUGUUUUGUGAAUCAUGGCAACACUGGAAUCCACUCCAUUACCAUCUGUUAGUGAUUAGAAGACAAAGCACCAAUUUUAAUGAUAUCCUUUAUGUGAUUUUGCUUCCUCCUGAGUACAAGUUCAUAGUAUACAUGGUACAUGGUGAAUCUGUAUGACAGUUCAUGGUAUACAGGUGUGUGCUCUUCUUUCUGGUGGAGGGCAUGCUGAAAAAGUGGCUGUUCCAGCUGGGCAAGUUCUCCCUGUCCUAUCUGGUGUUUCUCUGAAGGAUGCUGCUGGAAUUCCUGAGGUUGCAUGUACUGUUUGGUCAACUGUUUUAAUGAUGAGCCGACUGUCUGCAGGAGAAACAUUCCUGGUGAAUUUUUUGUCUUUUUUAUUUUCUGAUGCCUGAUAUAUUUACCAGCACAAAUUUACCCUGUUGCUGUUUAAUGUGUGUGCAUCAAUAUUGGAUUAGGGAGGUAGAAGAGCCAUGGUUCUAAUUAAAUCAUUACAUCAUCAUAUUCUUAUUUAGAUACAUUGUAUCCCACAAUUUCAUUGCAUCCAAGGCUAUGUUGUUUUUUAUUGCACGGUUUGUGUCAUGGUAAUUUCUCAACCCUUCUCUGGAAAAUUAUGUUGGAUGGCUGCUAUUAAUUACCCCAAAAGAAGAAAUUUUAUGUUGAAGUAAGAUGAGUAGCACAAAGAGUUACUUGUGGUUGAUCCUAUCAUCAAAUGGGCGAUUGAUGCACAAUCCAAAUGGUAAAUUUUUUUCCCCCUUUAUCCAGAUGGAAUUUUUAUGCAUGGUUGAAUAGUGAAAUGAGGACUGAUAAUAUUUCAGGUUCAUGGGGGUUCAAUUGGAAUUGGUACCAUCUAUUCAAAUAGUGAAAUACUGAGGAGCAAGGGUAUUUGUUACAGCAGGUUUGCCAUCACUGUUCUACCUCAUCUCACAGAAUGCUUAUCUCAUGGCACCAAUUCCUUUUCUUCACAUGUUUUCAACCAUUUUUUCCACCCAGGAACGAGGAAAAAUUAGCUGUUUGUAAGGAUCAUUGAGCAGAUGUGUGCAUCAAUUACAAGACUGAAAACUUUGUUGCAUGGGUGAAGGAGGAAACAGGAGGGAAAGGUAUAAUCUAUUGUAUCUUAACGAUAAUUUCAAUUGAAGGUGGAAUUGCUUUUUAAUUUUUAGUGCACCAAAUCCACUAGUCUGGAAUGUUUGAAAAGAUAAAUAGUCAUCUUCCACUUGAUACCGAUUGUGAAGAUCUAACCCCAAAAAUGUUGAAUGACAGGUGUUGAUGUUAUACUGGAUAAUAUUGGAGGGGCCUACUUUUGGGGAGACAUCAAUGGUUUAAAUGUUGAUGGAAGGCUUUUUAUUAUUGGUUUUCAGGGUGGAACAGUGGUACAAGUAAAUCUUUCAGGUUUACUUGCAAGGCGCCUUACAGUGCAAGGUACCGCUUUCUCUGUAGUUUUGGAGUUGAAUCAAUUUGAUUAAUCUCAUCCAAGUUCAGAACUGAGGUGGAUUCUGGCAAGCCAAGGAAAAACCAAAUUACCAUAAAUUCUUUUUUUCUUGGAAAUCCUGUUUCUCAAUCUGGUCAGUAUAUGGAAAUUCCAAGGAAAAUAUGUUUUACAUUUUCCAUAAGGCUCAAUGGGUUUUAACUCCACUCAGCUACUUUAUGUCUUGUAUUUAAUAUUGCAAACCAAAAUAAUAAUACGUAGAGAUUGAGCUUGGAGGCCAAUCUAGCAAAUGUGGAGAUUAGAAAUAGUUUACCAUCUAGAUAGUCAAGCAUAGCAAUUUACCAAACCCUUACCAACCAUCCAUACUAACCAAUUGUGGUUAAAUGUUUACAAAAAUGUACAUUAAAUCAAAGAGAAAAAAGAUUAAAAACGAACAAGAGAGAAGAAGUACGUCACCUAAUUUUGGUAAUAAAUGAAAUUAAAAUAAAUUCAUAAAUUUUUUAAAUUAAAAUGAAUUUGAACUCUAGAGAUUUGUGUAGAUAUCUUAUUAAAAAACCAAAAAGUUUGUUGCAUAUAUAAUUUCAACAAUGCAUAAAUAAUUACAACAUACGCAAUACAAUAAUAUUACACAACUAUAUUUUCAAAUAUAGUAUAAGAUCAUUAAAGUGAUAAAUUGUAGUUGUAUAAAAUAUUUAUACAAGUAAAGAAGAAAUUAUGAGAUUGAAAUGCUUGUUGGAUUCUAAGUAAAAAGGAAAUGAGAUAUAGAGAUUGUCCCAUCAGACAUAGAAUUUCAUAUACAUAAUUUUCCCUUCAAGAAAAUUUAGGGUCAAAUUGAAAAAUUUUCAUUCAUAGAUUUUGGUAAAACCUCUAUCUAGUCCUCCAAAUCUUGUAUACAAAAGGAAAUAACAUUGGUAUGAGGGGUUUGAAUGCUUAAUUUUAGAUUGAAAAUGCUUGAGAUAAUUUUUGAUCGACUUCACAUGUGUUUUUGAUAAACUUGGAACAUUCAAACUUGUAUUUGAAGAAUCUUCAAAUCUUCAAUUUGAUCUUAAAUAAUGUUGAAACCUUCGAAAUUUGAAUAGAAGAAUCUUUAAGCAUUUGAAUUUUGGUUUAAAGAAUUUUGAAAUUUGAGAUUGAAGAAUCUUCAAAUUUGGGCCUGAAGAUCAAAGGCUAAGCUUGAAGAGUUCUUGAAGCUUGAGUGGUAUCUCCGAUUUUGUUUUGUAUUUCAUAAAAACUUUUAAGUAUACUAUAUUUAUAGGUUUGAAGAGACAUUGAGAUUUUGUAUACAUGUUUGGAGUUUUAAACCUUGAAAUAUUACUCUUUUAUGAAAUUAACAUUUAUAAAAUUUGGAAGAACAUAAUUAGAUAAUAUUCUAAGUUAUUUUUAAUGAAAAUUGAUAAUUACCUUUUAAUUAUCAAAUUCACUAUUUCUAUUUAUUUUUGUAAUAUAUAUUAAUUACUAAAAUCAUUUAUUUCCUUUAUUUAGUUUGAAAGCAAUUAUAUAUCUUUUGUUUGUGUAGAGCUCAUGUGACACGACAAAUUUUAUUUUGUAACUUGCUCUGGAUGAAUGGCCAUUAUAAACUUCAUUUUAUCCUCAUCUGAUUUUGAGGUGGGAAUAGGAGAGAUGAGGAUUUGACAUUUGGACCUAAGCCUCAGAGGGUUUUAACUCCACUCAACUACUUUAUGCCUUGUAUUUAAUAUUGCAAACCAAAAUAAUAACAGACAUGAUCCUUUUCAAAAUUUUUAUAAUAAUAGAAGUGUAAAUAAUAUAAGUAAAAAUAAUAUAAUAUUUUUUAAAAUGAUAAAAUAAUAGGUUAUAUAAAUUUUAAUAUAUAGGUAAAAUUAAUUAAAUUUUAACAAAUACCUUCACACUUAAACAUUACAUAUCUUUUAUUUAAUAAAAUGUUAAAAUAUUAAUAUAUUUAAAAUUGUAUAAUUAUUUUUUAUUUUAAUACUAUAUAAAUUAUAUAUUUAUGAUAUUACUGGUUCAACUAUAAUUCAAUCACUGAUCCAACCAUUGAACCAUGAAUUAGUAAAUUUUUUUAUUCAAUGAUAGGUUUGAUUCUAAAAAUAUUAUGACUAUGUUUGGUUCCAGAAAUUUUUUUUUGAUGGAUUACAUCAAUCUAGAUAAUGACAAAGAUAUUACCAAUUUGAUAUCACCAAUUGAUAACACAAUUAAAAAAUAAUAUGCAUUUUAACAUAUUUGAAUUCAUUGUACUCAUAUCCAUGACCUAAUUUUACACAUCCUUAAAUCAUGGUUGAUUUAUGAAACAAAUCUAUACCAUCAAUAGAAAAUAAAUAAAUAAAAUAAUACAAAAAAAUAUAUAGAUAGUCAAGCAUAGCAAUUUACCAAACCCUUAGCCACCAUCCAUACUAACCAAUUGUUGUUAAAUGUUUACAAAAAUAUACAUUAAAUCAAAGAGUAAAAAGAUUAAAAACGAACAAGAGAGAAGAAAUACAUCACCUAAUUUUUGUAAUAAAUGAAAUUAUAAUAAAUUCAUAAUUUUUUUAAAUUAAAAUAGAAAUUCAAAUACAUGUAACUAUUGUUUUUGUCUUGUAAAUCAUCCAAUUUUUCAAUGAAUUUAAACUCCACAUAUUUGUGUAGAUAUCUUAUUAAAAAAAACAAAAAGUUUUCACUAAAAUCAUAAAAUUUAGAUUAGAAAUGAUUUACUAUAUUAGUUCAAAAUUCAUCUCCACAAAAAUUGAAAUAAAUUAAUUAUCUUGAUCAAUUCAAAUAAAAUUUCUCCAAUUAAAUUUCCAAAUAUGUGCCUUAAUACCUAUAAUGGAAUUAGUAAUUUUAAUUAAAAAAUAAAUAAAAAUAAGGAUUUGAUCUUUUUCUUACCAUUUGAUGAAAAUUAUAAAAUAUACUAAAAUGACAAGUGAUCAGACAUUUGAAAUUUGCAUCAUUUCUACCAUUGCAAACACCACCAACUCCAUAUUUCCCAUUUUUCUACCUACUGCCAAUUCACUCAUCUCUCUGGGAAGAUUUUUGAGGUUAUCGCCAUGCUUGAGAUAAUCCAGAAAGUUGAGCGGCAUCACUCUCUGAAAGGUGCCUUACAGCAUGGGUAAUGUAUGGGAUACAUCUGAUAGCUUGCCAUAUCCAUAAACCACUAUAUUAAACCAUGGUUCAUAUCCCCAACGCCACACGAGAAUCUGUACUCAUCCCAAGCAGCUUGGAGAUCAUAAAAUUAGGUUUUGAGGGCCUCCCGAGACAUGCACAGCUUCACCUUUGUGCAUUCCUUUGAUUUGGAAAAUUUCUUCUGUAAAAUCCCCCAUUAUCAUGCCCUGAACCAAGACAAUUUCACAAUAUCCAAUAGCAUAUCAUUUACUUCCAUUUUGUCAAUGGGAAUUACCAUUUUGCAUGGGAAGCACCAACGGAGAUAGGGGUUUUCAAAUUGGAUCACUAGCAAAGAAACCCACCGCAACGAUCUGAAUAAUUGAGCACAACAUCCACUUUAGAGAACCCCUCCUGAAGGCGAAAUCGUCAUCUUGGCUAAACGUAGUCAUAGUUGGGUUGUGAGAAAUGGAGAUGAAUCACAGAAGGCUUUCAGUUUGAUAGCAACGAAAAGGUAAAUGUACUCUAGAGAAGUUUUGACCUUGGGAGAAGCGCUUUUGAAUCCAAGUCAAGGUCUGUUCUGGAUCCCUUUUCGACUCUCUCUAUUAAAGGAAGAUAAUCUGCCCAGGAUUUGGAUGCAAGCCUACAAGGCCAUGUUUAGGAGACUUAUGCAAAAUAUUUAUCCAUAGCUCCCCGCCUGAAACAUCUACAUAAAGCGUCUUCCAAGUGUGAACCAUCGUCUUGGGUCCUUGAGAUGAACAAAAACUGAGACAUGUCGUGAGUUAGAUGCAUUGCCUGAAAAUGCCGAGCAGUAGUAUGGCCUUCUUUCUGAUCAACUGUUUUGUCAAAUUCUAGAGCUCUCAUUCCAAAUCCAUCAGUUUUCUCAAAUGAUUGGCCAGUGGAGAUCCAUGGAUAUAACAUAUGAAAUGUGCACAAUAAAAGUAAUCAAACGGUUGGUUGGUUUGGCUGAAUCCCACAAUCGCAAAGACUUAUCAUAUGAAACUGUUACCAACUGAGUUGAAUUUGGCCUAAAAAGGAUAUCCGUUACUACAAACUAGCGUUCUUUCGUGGUGCUCUCUCUUUGCAGGCUAUCCAUGUUCCAAAGAAAAACUCUCUUGUCAUGUCUGGCACUGGGCACUGAUUAGAGUGUGGGACGUUCAUUCUCCAUUAUCACCAAACACAUGCAGGAUAUAUAUAUAUCAAUUCAUUCAAAAUAUGCCUUUAUUUUAUGGAACAUACCCGAAUCCAUUUUGUUUGUGUUGAAGAGGUAUAGAUCUUCUAAGGCUAUGGAGGGCACCACCUUUUCUCAGAAUUCUCUCUGACGAUGGGAAGCCGAAGAGAACGGGUUUUGUUUUUAUUUUGAAAACGUUGUUAUCCUUAAAGAACAAACACUAUUCUUUGGAUUUAUACCCUCCUACCUUAGGGACCAUACCGUUUGGCUACUGGGCCUCACGAGUCUUAGGCCCAUCAUCUAAGGCCCGUGAUGGCACUGGGCUCUACACAUAAGGUGGCCCAUACUCUAGAACGAAUAGAAAUCAUAUGUAUAUAUAUGGAUAGCUAAAUCCUGAAUAAUGGUUAAUAUGAUGUCGGUCCACAUUUAUUCUAUCAAUCUCCCACUUGGACCACAUAUAUUACAAAACAAUGUUCAUGAUAGUACUUUAUUGAGCUCAUCUUUGCUAUCCUAUCUUAAUAUCCUUAAACAAUCUGGUCUACUAGUUAUGCUAACAUAGGAUCAAAGUGGCCUUCAUUAAUCAUAAUUAUAACUAGACCCAUCAAUGAUCACAACAUUAACAAAAUUAGCAACAUAGAUCAAGUAUGGAUGUGUAGCAUGAAAAUUACAUAAAAUGUGAUCUUUAUUAUGUCUAUUUCCAAUUGGUCCUACUUUAUGACUAAAAAAUAGUCAAAUUCCACUUUCAACACUUGAUGCUAAACUGCUUCUGAAAGUCAUCAUUUCAAUUCAGAGAAUUCAAAUACAAUAGUCUUUAAAAUCAAGGUUUGUUGCGUACAUUAUUGGAAUGUUCAGCAAAUAUUUGAGUAACCCAAGUAUGGAUUACUGGAAAAAGGCAAAAUAGGUUAUGCGGUAUUUACAAAGAACUAAAGAUUAUAUGCUCACAUACCGUAGAUCCAGUCAUUUAGAGAUCAUGGGAUAUUCGGACUCCGAUUUCGCGGGAUGUCUUGACAACAAGAGAUCCACUUCAAGCUUCAUCUUCAUGUUGGCUAGAUGAACAGUUUCAUGGAAAAGUGUUAAACAAAUACUUAUUGCUUCUUUCACCAUGGAGGCAGAAUUCAUAGCCUACUACAAAGCAUCAAACCAUGGGAUAUGACUGCGGAAUUUUGUCACUCAGUUGCGAAUCGUUGAUGAGAUUGAGAAAUCAUUAAGAAUAAAUUGUGAUAAUAAAGCCAUAGAAUUGUAAUUCUAAGAACAACCGAAGUUCGUCAAAGUCCAAACACAUUGACAUCAAGUUCUUGGUUGUGAAAGAAAGAGUUUAGAGUCUUCAAGUAUCAAUUGAACAUACAAGCACAAACUCCAUGAUUGCGGAUCCGCUCACUAAGGGUUUGCCACCCAAAGUAUAUCAUGAGCAUGUCACACAUAUGGGUGUUGUACAUAUUGAUGAUGUUCCAGUAUAGUGGGAGUUUGUAUUUAGAUUUUGUGUUUGUUUUCUUGAUAUGAUGUUAUAUUGUGUUAUCGUGUACAAACUUGUGCAUACAUGAGACUUCCUAUUGUUGAGGCAUAGGGAAACCUCUUCAUAUCCUUCUUUUUAAGUUCAUUUUUCGGACAUUGGUGCAAACUAAAUUUAUCGCCUUUUGCUACAGGCAUGUCUCCUGGUGUACAAUUGCUCAUGCCAAAUCUACUCAACACCUUAUCGAUGUAGGCCUUUUGUGAUAACCCAAGUAUACCUCUUAAACGAUCCCUAUAGAUCUGUAUACCUAGCAAAAAAGAUGCAUUACCAAGAUCCUUCAUGUCAAAUUUACUAGACAAAAAUAGCUUAGUUUCAUGCAAAAGUCCCACAUCACUACUUGCAAGUAGAAUAUCAUCAACAUAUAGCACCAAGAUAAUGAAUUUGCUCCCACUAAACUUGAGAUAUAUGCAUUGAUCAAUGGUGUUUUCCUUAAAACCAAAUGAAGUAAUCACCUGAUUAAACUUUUGGUACCAUUGUCAAGAUGCUUGCUUUAAACCAUAUAUGGACCUUUUUAAUCUGCAUACAAGUUGCUUUAAAUCAUUAGACUCAAAGUUCUCCGGUUGCAUCAUGAAUAUUGUUUCAUCAAUGUUACCAUUAAGAAACGCAGUUUUAACGUCCAUUUGAUGCAACUCUAAAUCAUAAUGAGCCACAAGUGCCAUGAUGAUUCUAAAGGAGUCAUUUGACAAAACCGAUGAAAAAAUCUCCUUAUAAUCAAUGUCUUCCUUUUGAGUGAAACCUUUUGCGACUAGACGUGCCUUAUACCUAACAAUGUUGCCUUUUGAAUCCCACUUGGUCUUAAAAAUCCAUUUACAACCAAUCGAUUUUACACUUUCAGGCAACUUUACUAGGUCCCAAACACCAUUAUCUUUCAUUGAUUUCAUCUCAUCUUUUAUGGCUUCUAUCCACUUUUCAGAGUCAGAACUUUGUUUGACUUGACUAACUGAAAUUGGAUCAUCUUCCAAACCCAUGUCAAACUCUUGUUCCUGGAGAUGUACAACAUAAUCAUCUGAAAUUGUACUUCUCAUUUCUCUAGUGGAUCUCCUUAGUGGCACUUGUAUUUGAGGUUCUUGAGGCUGUUGAGUUACCUCUUCAUAAACUUGAACCGGUUCCAUAACUUGAGCAGGAGGAAUCUCAAGUGUGUUUUGAAUCUCUGUUAUUGAUUGUACAAUCUGGAUAGUGUCAUCAAACAUAAUAUGACCAUGUCCAGUCGUAAUAAUAGGAAUACUAACAGAUUCCUCUUCAAAUACCACAUUUCUUAACGGUUCUCUCCCAUUUAACUCAACAUCCUCAAUAAAUUUAGCUUUGCCCGUUUCAAAAAAGGAUCUAGUUGAGGGGUCAUAAAACUUGAAACCUCUCAACCUUUUAGAAUAUCCUACAAAGUAGCAGCUCACUAUUCUAGAGUCCAAUUUCUUUUCAUUUGGUUUUUAAGGCCUAUCUUCAGCUGGACAACCCUAGACAUGCAAGUGCCUAAUACUAGGUUUCUUGCUAGUUCAUAACUCAUAUGAGGUUUUGGCUACUGCUUUGCUUGAGACUCUAUUCAAAAUAUAAAUUGUUGUUUUGAUGGCUUCGCCCUAAAGUGAUUCUGGUAAGGUGGAAUGACUGAUCAUACUUCUUACCAUAUCCUUAAGAGUACGAUUUCGCCUAUCUGCUACACCAUUUUGGAUUGGAGUCCCCAGCAUGGUGUAUUGAGGAACGAUACCACACUCCAUCAAAUAUUUGGCGAACAGCCCUGGACGUUGUUCACUAGAUCCGUCAUAUCUACCAUAAUAUUCACCUCCACGGUCAGAUCUGACGACCUUUAUUUUCUUGCUUAGUUGGUUCUCAACUUUAGCUUUGAAAUUCUUGAACACAUCUAAUGAUUGAGACUUCUCAUGAAUCAAAUAAAGAUAGCCAUAGCGCGAGUAAUCGUCAAUGAAAGUGAUAAAAUAUUAUUGUCCAUUCCAAGAAGGGGUAGGAGAUGGACCACAAAUGUCCGUAUGUAUCAAUUCAAAGACGUCACUGCACUUGUUAACAUCAUUUUUUUUCUCAUAUUUGUUUGUUUACCCUUAAUAUACUCUAUACAGACUCGAAAGUAUAAGAAAUUAAGUGGAUCAAGAAUUCAUUCUGACACAAGCCUUUGAAUACGUUGAUUUGAAAUAUGACCCAAAUGCCUGUGCCAUAACAUCGAUGAAUUCUCAUUUGUUAAUUUCCGUUUAAUGUCAUAAUUACUUGAAUUCAAGGUUUCAUUUUCAUUAGUGGUCUUUAUGUUUAAUUUGUAUAAUUUGUCUGUUAGAUUACCUGUACCAAUAACAUUUGAAUUUAGAUAAAGACUAACCAUUCCAUUUCUAAAUGAACAAUAAUAUCCAAAGUACAUCCAGAGUCUAACUGUAAUCUAAAAAGACCAAUAGUCUUGACUGCAACCUUGUUGCCAUUUCCCGCAUAGAUGUAUCUUUCACCAUCAAUUGGCAUUCGGCUCCUUAGGCAACCCUACAUCGUGACACUUAUGUGAGUAGUUGCACCCGUAUCUAUCCACCAAGUGUCAGUAGGCACUACGACUAAAUUAAUUUAUGAACAAACAAAGUUGAGAAGUGUACCUUUCUUUUCACGCCAAGCAGCGUAUUUGGUACAUGUCUCUUCAUAUGACCAACCUUCUUGCAAAAGAAACAAGUCAUCUCCUUAUCUUGUUUCUUCUACACCUUUUGCAUUGAUGUCCCAAAAAUUGCAGUUUGUUUUUCUUUAUUGUCCCUUUUUCUUUUCUUGUUGGUACCAAAUCCCUGAGAUGUGGAAGCCAAGUGAGCACUUUCUAUCUUUUCUUGUUUCAAUCUCUCAUCCUUUUGUGCACAUUGAGCAAUAAGCUCAUUCAAAGUCCAUUUUUCUUUUUGUGUGUUGUAACUGAUUUGGAAUGGACUGAAUUGUGUAGGCAGAGAGAUCAAGACCAAGUGCACGAGUAUGUCUUCUGAAAACUCUAAUUUUAGUACCUUUAGUCUAGUCACAAGAUUAGACAUUUCCAUAAUAUACUCCCUUAUAUUCUCUUUCCCUUUGUACCGCAUAGAGACAAGCUUACUAAGAAUAGUGCUUGUCUCAACCUUUUCAUUUGUAGUGAAUCGGUUUGCUAUCUGGUCUAAGAAUGCCUUGGCUCGAGUUUUCUCAGGUAUUGCACUUCUUACAGCUUUUGGAAUUGAGUGCUUUGUUAUCAUUAGAGUCAUGCGAUUGGAUCGCUCCCAUUUUUCCAUAGUAGAACUUUGCUCAGCAGUGCUGGCACUAGUAAGAUCUGGAGGGCGAUCCUCUCUUAAUGCAUAGUCUAAAUCCAUGCACCCGAGCACAAUUAUAGCGUGUUUCUUCCAUUUCUUGAAGUUUGUGCCAUUAAGUGCAGGAAUGUUAUUAACAUUUGCAGAUAUAGAAUAUGUUGAAUUCAUAAUAAUAAAGCUCACAAUCAGUCACAUAAAUAUCAUACAUACAUGAAAAAUAACAUCAUACAAGAUACUUAGCACAAACAUUAAUAUUCUGUCUUUGGACAAUAAAUAUUAACUUGUAAUUGGUAUCCUUAUUCAAAAUUAUUCAUAAAUAUUGACAAUAAAACCAAAAACAAUAUGCUUGUCUUUAGACUAACAUAUCGAAUGCAAGAUAAACUUUAUAUGUCACAUAUUUAUGACUACUUUAUUUAUUAUUAUAUUAAAAUAAUCUUCCUUUGGGCCAAUUAUUUUAAAUAAUAAUAAUAACAUGUUUAGAUAUUAUAAAAUAAAUAAAUUAUAUAAUAUAAGUUACUUUGACAACUAACAUACAUAAUUCAUUUAUUUUAAAAUAUUAAACACAAACAUAACAAGAAAUAAUAAAUUCAAUUAAAAUUAUUUAUUUAUUUAUGCAUAAACCCAUGUAUAUAUAUAUAUAUAUAUAUUAAUUGAAGCAUAAAAAACCAUCUACAUGUGUAUAUAUAUCAAUUGAAGCAUAUAUACAAGCUUUAGUCUAAUGGUUUAAGCAAAAAAUAGGCCAUGGUAAAGGGUUUAAGCCAACCCGCCCCUUUAGUUUGGUUUUUGUUUUUUUUUUUUUGUUUUAAUUUCUUUUGGGCUACUGACCAUGCAUUCUCUCAUGGCCCAACGACCACUUAUGGUCACUUACAAGCCAAGCCCCUUCCAUAUAUAUAUAUAUAUAUAUAUGUUUUUAUUUAUUUAUUUAAAUUUUGUCCAUUGCAGCCCAAAGCGACCAUCCCUUGUAAUGGCAUCAUCAACGGUGCCAGAGCUGUCCUCGAACGACACCGAUAGUGAAACGCUGCCACCAUCACCGGAACGGUGAUUUCCCAUCGCCAAACGACGGUGUCACUACCGGAAUGAUGCUGUAACAGCAUCGCUGGGAAGCAACCUAACUUGUGGCGUGACACCAUGACAAGCAAUGCCACUAGCAGUGAAACGCUGUCGCCAUCACCGAAACGGUGAUUUUCCAUUGCCAAACAAUGGCGCCACCACCGGAACAACGUUGAAACAACAUCACUGGGAAGCAGCCCUACCCGUGGCACCAAAAUGGCGCUUGGAUGGCAUUUGGAACACUUGCAACAACGUUCAAAUCAGCGCUUCUCACUGGCAAAUGACGCUUGAACGACAUCUGGAAAUAAUGCCUACAACGCCUAAAAAUUGUGCUAUUUUGAACUCUUAAAACAACGUUGAAAUGACGUCUACCAAAGUCUGGAAUUGCACCGCUGUCUAGAACGAUGCCAUGAUGGUGUCUCACUCGCCUUAAAUGGCACCAACCACCAUGACUUGCAACCUAAAAAAUGGCACUUGAACAGCGCCUGAAGCGUGCCUGGAACGACGCUACAAACGAUGCCUGAAAUGGUGCCUUUUGUAUGCCUGAAAACGACAUAGGAAUGACGCUUAAACUACGUCCAUUUUGAACGCCUGAACGGUGUCCUAACGGCGCCUGAAACGAUGCCUGAAUGACGCCUGGAAUUGGCCCAGAUUUAUUUUAUGUUGUUUCCUUCCUCUUGGAUCUUUUGUUUGUGUUUUAAAAAAAAAAAUGUUUUGGUGAAAAUGGGAAAUGCAACCAGGCUCUGAUACCAUUUUGUGGGACGUUCAUUCUCCAUUAUCAUCGAACACAUGCAAGAUAUAUUUAUAUAUAUCUAUCAAUUCAUUCAAAAUAUGCCUUCAUUUUAUGGAACAUACCCGAAUCCAUUUUGUUUGUGUUGAAGAGGUACAGAUCUUCUAAGGCUAUGGGGGGUACCACCUUUUCUUAGAAUUCUCUAUGACGAUGGGAAGCCAGAGAGAACAAGUUCUAUUUUUAUUUUGAAAACGUUGUUAUCCUUAAAGAACAAACACUAUUAUUUGGAUUUAUACUCUCCUACCUUAGGGACCAUACCCUUUGGCUAUUGGGCCUCACGAGUCUUAGGCCCAUCAUCUAAGGCUCGUUAUAGCACUAGGCUCUACACAUAAGGUGGCCCAUACUCUGGAAAGAAUAGAAAUCAUAUGUAUAUAUAUGGAUAGCUAAAUCAUGAACAAUGGUUAAUAUGAUGUCGGUUCACAUUUAUUAUAUCAUAGAGACUUCCCAUAUGAAGAAAAUCGACAGCAGGUAGCUUUGCCAUUCUUAGUCUGUAUACAACCAACCUUAGCAAGGAUUGAACCCUUUUAUGCUUAGUUGUGCCAUAAAGAUCCUUACCACUGCCUAUAACAUGUAAUCAAAAUGAUUCGAUAAUAUCAUCUAGUGAACCAAUACCUCCAAAUGAGAGACCAUUGCCUUGGUAACUAGGGCUCAUGACUGAGAAUUGCUUGAACCCCUUUGCUUGGGUUGGAGCUUGACUGAUGCACAAAAUAUUCAUAGGCCUCUUCCCAUAACUGGCACCUUGUGUUUGCAACAUAAUUGAACAUGUAUUGAAGUGAGUUUUUUUGCAUCUUUUUGUAAGAAAAUUCUAAACAACAGAGAUUGCUUAGUGUGCCCGGCUCCUCGGGGAAUCAAGGUUCAUUCCUGUAGGGCCAAUUUUUUCACAGUCGAACUAGAUAACAUGGAGAGUAUGUUGCAAUGCUUCAACGGGGUAUUUCUUAGGAAAAUCCACCUGAAGCUAGUACAAUUCGUUGGCGUACUGAGUUCCUGGAGCUCUAUUGACUUCAAUCACCCAUCUUUGUAGAUUAUCGGUGACUUAUGCUCGGAUCCUGUAGGAGGAUUGACCUGACAUUCCACUAGCUCUUUCUGGAAGGCGAUCUUGUUUAACACCUUGUGAGAAGAGGCAAGGGAACUGGUCAUUGUUUCUUCGAGAAGAUCAGUGGCCGAGGAUGGGUUUGGAUCAGAAUUGCUAUAUGGGUUUUCUUUGGGUGAACCAAUUAGUGAAGUGGGUGGCUAUAUAGCAACUGAAGGGUAGUCAUACUAACGAGGAACUAUUAUUUCAUGCAUGUGGAGAGGAAAUGAGUAGAUUCUUCAGGGAUAUAUGAUUAUUCAUCUCUAGCUUACGUUGAAUAUCUCCUAACAAAUUUAUGCUUUGAAGCUCCCUUAGUUUCAUUACAGCUAACUUGGCCAACUUGGUUUCAUCAUGUUUCCUACAACCUCUAAGCAAAGCACGCCAGAUCACCAAAUCAGGUUCUAUUCGCAUUUUGUCCAUAAACUCCUUUGCCUAUUGACAAUAGACUGCCCCUCAAAAUUUGAUGAGAUAACAUCAACGCUGACAGGUUGGCCAUCCCCAUAAGCAUCUUUAUAGAGAUUGAUUCUAUGUUUAGAUAUUUCUCUCUCCUCAAGUGAGUUCAAUUUUUUUGUAACAUCCUUCUCCUUCUCUACUAAUAGUCUUAGCUGAACAUCCAACCUAUGUUCCUAAAGUGCCAGCAUCUCAUAUCUGAUGACAAGCCAACAACCUUGCCCUUGCUGAGACCAAUGUUUUUAAGGCGUUUGUGGGGCGCGCCUUGAGGCGAGGCGCAGCGAAAACGUGUUGAGGCGUUAAAAAUAAAAUGAAACACCUGAAAGGCGUACGCUUUUCCGAUGAGGCGUGAUUGAGGCGUGCUUUGAUCGCGCCUUUCACACUCCAAGAAGAAGGUGUAUGCUUCCUCGGAUCUGAUGUGGCAAUGAACAGAGAUUUAAAAAAAAACCCUAAGUAAUCCCUAAAACCCUAGUCCCGACUGAAAACAAACCCAAAACGAAACCCUACCUCCAACGACUCAAGUGGCGACGGAGUGCUCACCCUCGGCUGCGACCAAUCGCAAUGCAUCUUCUCCGGCGACGAUCCCUCUCAUUCAUCUCCAGGUAUGUUGCGAACUCCUUCUUCCAUGGUUUCUCCCUCUUCGUUUCUCUUUCUGCAAUCCACACGGGCUUCGUCGACUCUUCAUCCAAAUUUUUUUUUUAUCAAAUCAGUUAUGUAUAUCUAUUUAAAUUUUAAACCCUUUUUUCUCUCUCUUACAGUAUAUCUAUUUAAAUUCUUUCUCGGCAAUCCACAGCCCACACUUCCAGUCCACACUUUUCUCUCUCUCCCAAUAGGCUUUUCAUUUUCCUUUUUUUUUUUUUUUUUUUUUUAAAUUAUCAAAUCAAAUGUGCCUUUUGUUAAUAAGAUUUUUUUUGAAGUUUUUUAUAUGUUUGCUUAUAGUAUCAACAAAAAAAUAUAAUUAAAAUUAUAUAAAAGACAAUUAUUUGUGAAUUUUGAAUUUUUUAUUUCUGGUUUAAUUUUAAUUUUCACCUCAAUUUUCUUUAUUUCAUUAUUAAAUUCCAAUUAAAAUUUAUGUGUAUAAUUUUUAAACUCUUUUAAAAAAAAUUGGUUUUUUUUUAAUUUAAACCAAUUAAAUUUUGUAUUUCAUUUUUAAAUUUCUUUCAAUUGUGCUUUGUUAUUAUUUUUUUAGUCAAUUAUAUUGUUAUAUGGAAAUUUGAAUAUUAUUAUUGGUGAUUUUUUUUAGAAUGAGUUCCUCUGAUUCAAAAAAUUCAAGAAAGGAUUUUGUGUGGAAGUAUGUGAUGGAAGUUUCUAGAGAGCAAUAUUUAAUAUGUAAAUUUUGCAAUCAAAGAUGUACGGGAAGGGUGAAUAGACUAAAACAUCACUUAGCCGGAACUCAUCAUGGUAUGAAACCAUGCAACAAAGUUAGUGAAGAUGCUAGAUUGGAAUGUAAAGAGGUAUUGGCUAAUUUUAAGGAUCAAAAAACGAAGAGAAAUGAAUUGCUCCAAGAAAUUGGUAUGGGUCCAACUUCAAUGCAUGAAAGUGCCUUGUCUAAAAUAAUAGGGACAUUAGGGAGUGGGAGUGGGAGUGUAAGUGGGAGUGGGGAACCUAUUCCUAGGGGACCCAUGGAUAAAUUUACCACUUCACAACCUAGACAAAGUACUUUGAAUUCAUAGUGGAAGCAAGAAGAAAGGAAGGAAGUGUGUAGAAAAAUUGGUAGGUUUAUGUAUUCAAAAGGUCUCCCAUUCAACACUGUGAAUGAUCCUUAUUGGUUUCCUAUGAUAGAUGUUGUUGCAAACUUUGGGCCCGGGUUUAAGCCUCCAUCUAUGCAUGAAUUGAGGACAUGGAUUCUUAAAGAAGAGGUGAAUGACCUAAGUAUCAUUAUGGAAGAUCACAAAAAAGCUUGGAAACAAUAUGGAUGUUUAAUUAUGUCAGAUGGUUGGACAGAUGGAAAAAGUAGGUGUCUUAUCAAUUUUUUGGUGAAUAGUCCUGCUGGAACUUGGUUUAUGAAAUCAAUUGAUGCUUCUGAUACAAUAAAAAAUGGGGAAUUGAUGUUCAAAUAUCUUGAUGAGGUGGUUGAAGAAAUUGGAGAGGAGAAUGUUGUGCAAGUCAUCACUGAUAAUGCCUCUAAUUAUGUGAAUGCUGGAAUGAGGCUUAUGGAAAAAAAGAGUAGAUUGUGGUGGACUCCUUGUGCUGCUCAUUGCAUUGAUUUGAUGUUAGAGGAUAUUGGAAAGCUAAAUGUUCAUGCUACUACACUUUCUCGAGCUAGGCAAGUUGUGAAGUUUAUAUAUGGGCAUACUUGGGUUCUUAGCUUGAUGAGAACAUUUACAAAAAAUCAUGAACUUAUUCGUCCAGCAAUUACACGGUUUGCUACUGCAUUUCUUACUCUCCAAAGUCUUUAUAAGCAAAAGCAAGCUCUUAUAGCAAUGUUCUCCUCAGAAAAAUGGUGUUCAAGCACAUGGGCUAAAAAGGUAGAAGGUGUGAAAACUCGAAGUACAGUGUUGUUUGAUCCAAAUUUUUGGCUUCAUGUUGCUUUUUGCAUAAAGACCACUGUUCCAUUAGUUAGUGUCUUGAGAGAGGUUGAUUCAGAGGAAAGACCAGCCAUGUGUUAUAUUUAUGAGUUGAUGGAUUUAGUUAAGAAGAAGAUUGCAUUUAAUUGUCGGGGCAUGGAGAGAAAAUAUGACCCAAUUUGGAGAAAAAUUGAUGCAAGAUGGACUCCGCAACUUCAUCGACCUUUACAUGCAGCAGACUAUUAUCUUAAUCCUCAAUUGCGGUAUGGAGAUAAGUUCUCUAAUGUUGAUGAGGUGAGGAAGGGAUUAUUUGAAUGCAUGGAUAGAAUGUUGGAUUAUCAAGAACGUUUAAAAGCUGACAUUCAGUUGGACUCAUAUGACCAAGCAAUGGGUGAAUUUGGGAGUCGUAUUGCAAUUGAUUCUCGAACAUUAAGAAGUCCUACAAGUUGGUGGAUGCGUUUUGGGGGUUCAACACCGGAGUUGCAAAAGUUUGCUAUUCGAGUCCUUAGCCUUACUUGUAGUGCUUCGGGAUGUGAAAGAAAUUGGAGCACAUUUGAAUCGGUAAUACUUCUAUUUUUGUAAAUUUUUAUACAUAUAUUUCUAUUUCAAUGUUAGAGAACUUUAUUUCAUUUUAACACAUAAAAUUGUUUCUUUUAUUAUUUGUAGAUCCAUACAAAAAAAAGAAAUAGACUUGAACAUCAAAAGUUGAAUGCUCUAGUGUAUGUAAGGUACAACACUAGAUUGAGAGAGUGAAGUCUACAAAGGAAACAAAAUGUUGAUCCAACCUUGGUAGAGGAGAUUGAUUCUGAUGAUGAAUGGAUUGCGGAGAAAGAAGAUCUCCUCCUCCCCCUUGAUCUUUGUUGGCUUCAAGAUAAUGAAUUAUUCAAUGUUGAUGCCAUUAGAGUUGUGUCAUCCAACUCCCAAGAGACGCAAGCAUCAUCGGAUCAUAUGGUUUCUUCACAUUCCUACAAAAGGAAACAUAAUGAAGUACCAAGUAAGUACUCAAAAAUUGAAAUCAUAAAUUUGAUUAAAUUUAAUAAAAAAAACUUUUAAUAUUUAAACAUAAUUAAUACUUUAUGCUAGGUACAAGUGGAGGCAAAGGCAAAGAGAAGGAAUUGAAUUUGACACCAAUUGAUGAAGAUGAAGAUUUAGAUGAAAUGGGGAUACAUGAUAGUGGACAUUUUCCUACUAUUGAUACAUUGGAUGAGGAUGAUGAUGACCUUGGAGAGGAGGAUUUAAGUUGAAACAAUUUACUCUAGUUGUUAUUUCAUGACUUAGUUAUGGAUUUUUUGUAAAAGUUUAGAACUAUUAUUAUGGUUGACUCUAUUUUCUAUUUCAUGACUUAGUUAUGGCUUUUUGUUAAAGUUUGAAACUAUUAGUAUAGUUGAAUCUAUAAUCUAUUUUAUGAAUUUGUUAUGGUUUUUUGUGAAAGUAAGGAACUAGUAUGUUUUUUUUUAUGAUUCUAAUGAAUUGUUUUCAUGUUUUUAUUUAUGCUAUUUUAUUUUAUAUAUUUUAAAAUAUUAAUUAAUUAUAUAAUGUGAGGCUCAAAAAGCUUACGCCUCAAUGCCUCGAGGCUUACGCCUCGCCUCACGAACACAAAAACGCCUCGCCUUACGCUUUCGCCUUUAAAAACUUUGGCUGAGACCCAAAUAAGUAUCCAGAACCAUCAUCAUCAACCCUUUCACAAGCCUUUGUAUUUGAAGGUCAGAUUGGGAUUGCUUUGAAUGCACUGACACUGACACUGCAAUACACAAUUGUUUCUUCUCCAAUAAAAACACCACAAAGAGGUGAGGGGACUGGUAUUAGCAAAGAAGUGUUGUUAUCUAUAUUGUUCUGAGCCCGAGUACCAAAAACAAAAUCCUCAUCCUCAUCUAUACUCUUCCAUUACAUCCCUAGGCUUUUCAAUGUGAUCCACAUGGCUUACAGGAAUCCAGAAAUAUCGGUCUGUAUAAAAGUUGCUCUUAUGUGGCUCUCCUAGAAAACAUCCCAAUCAAGAUGAUCAACCUAGCUUAGAUGCUCAACACCCCAAACUUACGAGAAAUAGAGGAAUAAAAAGCAAGGAUAGGAGCCAAAGUAAAAACUGAGGGAAGAGCAAAUAGGAAAUCAAGCAAAACAUGAAUGUACAGAGCCUCAUUUCAGGUGACAUCUUUGGGCUAAUAAUAGGUGGAAUUAACAAAGUAGAUAAGCAUGAUUGUUAUAAAUAUCAAGUUCAAGGAUGAAGUCGUGCAUCAGCUACUUAUAGGGGGAGUCAAGGAAACCAAGAUAAGAUCAAAGAGAGCAUGUAUGCAAAUAAACAGAUUUGACAAAAUAGACCAAACAGCUUGUGAAUAUCCUCCUACAAAAAACUACUACACGUGGCAAAAAGUGAUGAAGCAAAAAGAGUCGGGUCCGCAUAUACAUAUCCUAUGCUAUCCUAUUCCUUCAAAUCCAAAGCAACCUGUAUUUUCAAUGGGAUUUGUUGUGAUGAAUUUUACUGGAUUGUAACAUGUAAAUAUGUUAAAAAAGGCUUGGGACAUUCCUAUAUAGUAACGCAUAAAGGUACUUCCAUUGUGAAGUUGUCAAAAUUGCAAAUUUAAAUUACAAAAUUUGAAAACAUAGAGAUGAAAGAUGAUGAAACCUUCUUUGAAAUUUUAUAUUGAACUCAUUAAUAUUAUUAAUUUUCAUUUCAGUCUAAGGGAAAGAAUUCUUUACUCUAAAGUGGUCACAAAAAUAUUAAAAUUCCUUGUCGAGAGAUUUAGAUCUAAAGUGAUCAAUAUAGAAGAAAGUAAAAAUAUUCUAAGUGUAGGUAAACUUGUAGACUCAAAUGACUCUACCUUCUCAUAAAAAAUCCUCAAUUUUAUAAAUUAUAUAGAUUUCUUCAUUUGAUACAAAAUUUGAAUAAAGAUUUUUCAAAUGACAACACAAGGAAAGGGAAAAAAAAAAUCUAUCCAGAUCAUAUUAUUUAAUCACUUAAAUUAUUUAAAAAUAAAAAUGUUUACUGCUAACAUUAUUUAGGUUCAUCUUUCUUUUGAUGGAGGUUAAAAUUCAUAAUUUUGAGGAAAAAGAUGAGGAUUCUCAUUUUUUUUUUCCAUGUAUGAAUGGGAUUCUCAUUGUGUAUAUGUGGGUUACUAAAUGGCAAAUUUGGGGGCCAAUAUGAGGGAAAAAAUGAAGUUGAGUUUGUCACCAAGAAUAGACAUGGUUCCUACAAAGGUGGCAUCUUUAAUUUCAUGUUUGGAUUGGACUUGUCAUGUAACAACUUAACAAGUGAAAUCCCUCAUGAACUUGGAAUGUUAAGUUUGAUUCAUGCAUUGAACUUGUCUCGUAAUCAACUAAAAGGCUCCAUUUCAAAGAGUUUUUGCAAUCUUUCUCAAAUAGAGAGCUUAGACCUUUUUAAUAAUAAACUAAGUGGAAAAAUUCCUCCAAAAUUGGUUAGACUAAACUUUUUAGCAGUGUUCAAUGUUAGCAUAUUCGGAAGAGUUUUAGAUAUGAAUGCAUAAUUUGCAAAAUUUGAUGAAAGUAACUAUGAAGCUAAUCCUUUCCUUUGUGGACCACCAUUAAACAGAAAAUGUAGCAUAAAUGUUGUUGAACCACCUUACCAACCAUUAGAGUCUUCAGAAGAAAGUGAUGCAAAAUGGUAUAAUAUCAAUCUUGUUAUUUUCUUUGCAAAUUUUACUACAUCAUAUAUCAUGAUAUUAUUAGGAAUUUCAACCAUUCUUUACAUUAACCCUUAUUGGUGUCAAAUAUGGUUCAAUUUUAUCGAGAAAUAUAUAUACUUUUGCUAUUAUUUUGUUUCCUAUACUCUUUCCAAGUUAUUAACAUAUUUUGAAUAAUUAGAGAUUUUUGUUUUCAAUAAUAUUUACAUAAUUAACUACUAUUGGUUUCCAUGACAUGGAAAGAAAUGCGGUGAAGGCAACAACCACUUUUUUUUCUCCUCUACUAGUGCAUGAUUGAUAUGAGUUAAAACUUGCACCCUUAUCUUUACUUAAAUUUUCUCAGCUUUUGUUUCAAUUCUUAAUUAUCAUUUCUUUUAUGUAUUGUUUAAUACAAUAUCCUAAACACAUUGCUUUGAAGGUUACUUAUUUAUUAAGCAUGAUAUUUAUUUUCAUAAAGACAAAUUCAAGUUUUUUAGGAAUUUUUAGAAUUAUUAUAAUUUGGAGUUCACAUUAGAGGAAAAAAAGGAAAGAAAAGAAUAGAUAAUUAAAAAAACAAUUUUAGUAAGUAUAAUUUGUCAUCUUCGGUAUAACAAAUGGGAAUUCCAAAAUAAUAUUUCAAUUUGUUAGUCUAUUCCUUAUAAUAUUAAUUGAAAUAUCAAAUAAGGAGUCACGUUUUGAUUUUUUUAUUAGCUUGAAUUGCAUGUCACAUAUAUUUUAAAAUCAAGCAUACCUCAGCAGGGAAGUUCUUGUAACAUGCAUGAACAUGAUAUGAUGAAUUAAAUAAUUUUCUUAAUUGUGUGAGACACAAACCCUCUUUGUUUAAUAAUAAUAAUAAUAAUAAUAAUAUACUACACAUUAUUAAAUCAUAUAUGUAUAUUUAUAGUCGUAUAAUAUAUUUAUAUAAGUAACAAUAAAUUAUAUUGUAUAAGGUAUCGGUAGGAGUUUUCAAUUCCCUCAUAUAAUAAUAUCUAUCAAUAAUUGGAUUGGACACCUUGCUGGCCAUGAGAAUGGACUUGACAUUAACACAUAGCCUUGAGUGGUGUUGAUAUUAUUACUUUGAACCAGAACUGCAGUCAUCUCAAAAACUAUAUUAUAUAGAAAAGCAAAAUAAAAACAUUAGUUAAAAAAAAUGUCAAGAUCCUUGAAAUCACGUUUCAAUAUGUUAAAUUACCAUUUUUUUAAAUAAAUUUUUGAUAGGUUGUGUGAAUAAAUAUAAUUGCUAUGAAGGGUUUCAAUUUAAUUUUACUAGCAAAUCCAUAAUAGGUGAAAAGACAAAACUACCAUUUUUGUUUUUUUUCUUUAUUUACCUUUUUUCUCUCGUAACCUUACUCCUUUCUCCUUUUUGUUUUUUCCUUUUUUAUUAUUAAUUUGUCUUUUUCCUUUUUCUCAACUAACUAUUUUUUUUCUUGUAAUUGUUAUUAUCAUUCUUAUUAUAAAUAUUAUAACCUUAUAUUAUAAAUUUUUAGUUUAGAUUAUAUUUAAACUAACUAAUGUUGUGGUUUUAAUUGACAUGGAAAAGAAUGUGGUUAUACAUGUGAUUGUCGCCUUUUUUUUUUUCAAUUAGUUAACUAUUGAUACAAGUUAAAAGUAAAAAUUGCAAUAUUAUCUUUACGUCAAUUUCACCGAUCUUUUGUUUUUAUUUUCAUGUAUCAUUCCUUUUUUGGUUAUUUAAUUAAAAGGAUUAAAAAAAAAUCACAUAUUCACAAUAAUAACCUUCAUAUUUUAAAAACAUAAAAUAAACAUUUUUUUUUUUUUAUAAAAAUACCCUCCAACUAUAUUUUUUAUAUCCCUAUUUCAAAUCCAAACACUUCUUUUAAAAAUAAUAAUAAUAAAUAAGGGCAAAAAUGUCAAACUGGGAUUAUAUUUAUAAUUUUCAAUAAUUAGAGGUUGUUUUUCCAAUGUAAAAAUUAUUUUGUUCCUUUGGCACAAAUAUUUCUUUCUUUUAUGUAUUUUUUUUAUUCAAAAUAUUAAACACAUUACCCUCAAGGUUACUAUUUAUUAUGAAUGGUGUUUACUUUACAUAACGAGAUAUUCAAAUUUUUUAGAAUUUUUUAAUGUUAAAAUAAUUUGGAGCUUAAUAGGGAAAAAAAAGAAGAAAGAAUAGAUAAUUAGAAAAGCAAUUCAAAAAAAUAAAAUUUAUCCUCUUAAAUUGGUUUUGUGUAAUACUAUAGAAGCCAUUUCUUGAGUUUGAUAUGGUAGAAUUUGGAUUCAUAUUUAUUUUAAAAUCAAGAAAUUCAAGUGUUGGUAGCAUCAAUAGAAUCUUAACAAAUUUGAAAAAAAAUAUUUAGGUAGAUCACAUUUAAAUAUAGCUAAUAGAAUAAAAAAUUAGUAUUAUUAGAAAGACAUGAUCAAUUAAAUCUUUUUUCUUAUCUAUGACACCGACUUUAUUUUUUUACAUAGUCAAUACAAUUUAUUACAACUUAUAUGUCAUUAAAUUAUAUACGUUUAUAUUAAAUAUAAUAUAAGACCAUUAAUGGAAUAAUUAUGCAAGUAAUAUAAAUUGUAUAUAAUAUAAAAAAUUUAAACUCCAUCAAACUAAUGGAAUCUAUUAUAAUAAGUAGACUAGACACCAUGUUGGCCCGAGUUGCAGGCCUGGGCCAGAUUUUAAAGGCUGGGCUUUGAGUUGCCCGUGGGCCUGAGCCAAGGCCUUCUCUUGGUAUCAUCAUUUUGAAGAAAUAAAUUGCUGAUACAGAGAAAAAAACUAUACUAAAUAGAAAAAUAAAUAAAAGCAUUGACUAAAAUGAAGGUCAAGGUCCUUGAAAAAUAAUCUUUAAAUUGUUGCAUAUAUAAUUUCAAUAAUGCAUAAAUAAUUGCAAUAUAUAUGAUAUGAUAAAGAAUUUGGAAUUAAAAGAAGAUUGAUCUAUUUUAAAUGUGGUUGGAAUAUUUCUAAAUUUGUGAUGGGAAGUUAGACAGCCAAUUAGGGAUCCAUAUUAUUUAUUUUCAAUGAUAUGAAUUUAUUUACUUUUAUUAAUAUUCUUAAUGCAACAAUAUAAAAUAUGUCAAUUUUCUAAAAUUUAAAAAGUAAUUGUAAAAGAAUUUUUUUUAAUUAUUUUUCUGAAAUUGAGUUUAUUAUAACAUUUUUCUUUACAUAAAUUUCUUUUUUAUUUUUAUUUUUUUUAAAAUGAGAUAUGAAAAAAAGAGAUCAAUAUUAGUACAAGUAAAACCCAAUAUAUAUAUAAAAAAAAUGAAUAAAUGUUUAUGAAAUAUUUUUUCUCUUUUAAUUCCUAUUCAAUUCAUUACACAAAAUAUUUUUGGUUUUUAUGCUAAAAUUUAUUGUUUAUUCAAAAAUUCUAGUAUACCUAGCUAUCAUAGAAGAGCCCCAAAAUUUUAUUGUUUAAGAGAAUAUGUGUUGCCACUUUAAAAGAUUUAUAUGCAAAAGGGAUUGAUAUUUUUUUCCUUUGGAUAUAUUUAGUUCCCGGAAAAUUUGAGGGAAAAUGUGAGGGAAGAAAAAUAGAGAAGAAAAGUAUAACGAAAUAAAAAGUGAAGGAAAAUGAAAAAUAGAUUUAAAGUUAAUAAAUUAUUUUCAUUGGUUUUUUCAAACUUAUUUUACUUAUUUUAUUCUAUUAAAUAAAGAUUAGCUAAUUUUAAUUAUAUUUGGUUUGAUUUUUAUUAUUUUUCAAAGCAAAACCAAAUAUGAAAAAAAAAACAUUUUUUUUGUUCAUUUUUUCUUUCCUUAUUACUUUUCAAAACUCAAACAUAGCUUUUAGAUUUGGAGCAUGGAAAGAUAAGAGUAUUGAAUAAAGGUUCUAUAUAUGCCCAUGCCCAUGAUACCAUUGAAAAAAAUGGAGAAAGGGUGAAACUUUUUCUCUUCAAUGGAAAUCAAAUAUAAUUAUUUUUAUCUUGUAGUAAUUGAAUGUUAUACUCCAUAAACUCAAAAUUAAAAUAAAUAAAAAAUUUAAAAACUAGGACAAUCCCAUUUUUUUUUUCAAUUUCUUAAAAAGAAAUUAAAUUACAUUUAUUUAUAUCUAUUUUCAUCCCUACCCAAAAAAAUAAAAAAAAAAUUAACAAGGUGGGACAUGUAUGAGAAAUUCUCACACUAACUCUCUCUAGUUUAUUUUUUAUUUUUUAAAAAAAAUCAAUUUCUUUUAAAAAAAUUAAACUAUAUAAAAAAUAAAUAUAAUUUAAAAUAAAAUAAUUUAACAAUUUUUUUUUUAAGAAAAGUAAAUUUCUUAUUUUAUAUAUGUUAAAAAUAAAUAUAAUCUUUUAUUUUUUUAUAUAUAUAAUCGGGUAAGGUAGAGUGGGACAAAGAAAUAAUCCCCUUCGAUUCCAAUAUGAAUUUUUAAAAUAUAAAAUAAAAAUCUUAAACUCAUCCCUAAUCCAUUUAUUUUUAAUCCUAAACUCGUCUUAUUAAGAAUAAGGCAAAGUGAGUACAUGAAAACACUUCUUUUAUCAUCAUCUCUACAAGUUCUAAUGUUUAGACUGCAAUCCAUAUCAAAGAUUUAUAAAGAAAGGACAACGAUGAAUUUCAUAAACAUUUGAAAGCAUAUACGUACAAAGUUUUAAAUAAUAUUGCUUGAGGUGCAAAUAUUAUUUGGCGCACAUAUUGAGGGACUUCAACUUGUUUUUUACAUUAGUAAGUAAUCUUGAAUAUCUAGAGUAACUUGACCAAAAUCUCUUUAAUUUUAUUUUCUUUGAUGGUUGUAUGAUGAAUUAGAAUGCUUAUAUAACAUGAUUAAAAAUUUUAAGAAAAAAAAAACUAAGAAGAAAGAAAGAAGCACCGAUCUUCCAAAUAUUGCUUCCACUUUAAUAUCUAGAAGGCUCUAAGAAAAGAACUUUUUUCAUGAAUCAUAACCCAAGUCGAAAAUAAAUUGAACCCAUUUUCUAAGUUAAAUUUUGAAUUUUUUACUAGUGAAUGCAAAUUGGGAAAAUGUAUAUAAAUAUAAUUAAACUAGAAUAGUAGGUUAGGUUUGUAGGUGGAGUUUGUUUGAAUUGUUGGAACUUCCAAGUCGUUGUGGGUCUAGUGGUCCCAUAGCUCUCUAUUAAUUUCCACCAUCAAUUUUCUGCAAUAAAGUCAAGUCAUUCCUAACCCCUAUAUUAAGUUGGCCUUAAAAGUCAAGUCAUUGAUCAUAGUUACAUUCAUGAAUCACAACCUAAGUCGAAAAUAAAUUGAACCCAUUUUUCAAGUUCAACUUUGAAUUUUUUACUAGUGAAUGCAAAUUGGGAAAACAUAUAUAAAUAUAAUUAAACUAAAAUAGUAGAUUAGGUUUGUAGGUGGAGUCUGCUUAAAUUGUUGAAACUUCCAAGUCAUCGUGGGCCCAGUGGUCCCAUAGCUCUCUAUUAAUUUCCACCAUCAAUUUUUUGCAAUAAAGUCAAGUCAUUCCUAACCCCUAUAUUAAUUUGGCCUUAAAAGUUCAGUCAUUGAUAGCUAAAUCCCAACCCAAGUCAAAAAUAAAUUGAACCCAUUUUCUACGUUCAACUUUGAAUUUUUUUUAAUUGGAAAAAUGUAUAUAAAUACAAUUAAACUAGAAUAGUAGAUUAGGUUUGUAGGUGGAGUCUGCUUGAAUUUGUGAAACUUCCAAGUCAUCGUGGGUCUAGUGGUCCUAUAGCUCUCUAUUAAUUUCCACCAUCAAUUUUCUACAAUAAAGUCAAGUCAUUCCUAACCCCUAUAUUAAUUUGGCCUUAAAAGUCUAGUCAUUGAUAGCUACGUUCAUGAAUCCCAACCCAAGUCAAAAAUAAAUUGAACCCAUUUUCUAAGUUCAACUUUGAAUUCUUUUAAUUGGGAAAAUGUAUAUAAAUACAAUUAAACUAGAAUAGUAUAUUAGGUUUGUAGGUGGAGUCUGCUUGAAUUUGUGAAACUUUCAAGUCGUCAUGGGUCUAGUGGUCCCAUAGCUCUUUAUUAAUUUUCACCAUCAAUUUUUUGCAAUAAAGUCAAGCCAUUCCUAAACCAUAUAUUAAUUUGGCCUUAAAAGUCAAGUCAUUGAUAGUUACGUUCAUGAAUCACAACCCAAGUCUAAAAUAAAUUGAACCCAUUUUCCAAGUUCAACUUUGAUUUUUUUACUAGUGAAUGCAAAUUGGGAAAACGUAUAUAAAUAUAAUUAAACUAGAAUAGUAUAUUAGGUUUGUAGGUGGAGUAAGCUUGAAUUGUUGAAACUUCCAAGUCAUCACGGGUCUAAGGGUUCCAUAGCUCUCUAUUAAUUUUCAUGGUCAAUUUUUAUGAAUUAAGAUUUAAAAGUGAGAAGGGAAUAAAUUUUUUCUUUUUCAAUUCAUUACAAAAAAUAUUUUUGGUUUUUAUGCUAAAAUUUAUUGUUUAUUCAAAAAAUUAAAGUAUAAAUAUAUAUAUAUAUAUCUUGCUAUUAUAGAAGAGCUCCAAAAUUUUUGUGUUUAAGAGAAUAUGUGUUGCCACUUUAGAAGAUUUAUAUACAAAAAGGAUUGAUGUUUCUCCUUUGACUAUGUUUGGUUCCCAAAAUUUGAGGGAAAUAAAAAAAAAAUAGUAAAAAAGAAAAAAUGAAAGAAAAUAAAAAAUAGUUUUAAAGUUAAUAAUUAUUUUUAUAUGUUUUUUCAAACUUAUUUUACUUUUUUUUUCAUUAUAUAAAGAUUAAAUAAUUUUAAAAUGCAUAAAUUUCUAACUAAUUUUAAUUAUAUUUAAUUUUUCUUUUAUAUUUUUUAGAUAGGAUCCGACACAUGAAAAAUCCUUUUUUUUAGCAUUUUUUUUUCUUUUCUUAUUACUUUCCAAUAACCAAAUAUAACCUUUAGAUUUAGCCUUUAAACUUGGAGUAUGGAACGAUACUGAGUAUUGAAAGAAGGUUUUGUAUAUGGCCAUGAUACCAUAGAAAAAAUGGGCGAGAGAGAAAAAACCUUUAUUAAAUGAUAAAUUAUUUUUUUCAAUGGAAAUCAAAUAUAAUUAUUUUUAUAAUAAUUACUUUAUUUUUUUUAAAAAUAAUAAUUUGUUGUUGCAUUAAGUAUUCUUGCAUUUGGAGAAGCAUGUUACUACUUACUACAUAAAUAGAUAUUCAUGGAGUGCAUUCUCUAAAAAGCUCCAGUCUCAUGAAAAUGGAAAGAUGGACCGGCCGGUGAACCGGUUCGAGUUUGGAUUUAUUGGCUGCCUCAGCCUUACACGCAUGAUAGGCUGUUGCAGGUGAAGAACUAAUUAAUUUAAAGCCUUCUUCUAUCCUCUCCUAUUCCUCUAUCACUCCAAAUGUUCCACAUGAUAAUGACAAUUCUUUUGUUAAAUGGUAAAAAAAAAAUUUAAAUAUUAUUUAAAAUUUUUUUUAAUUCUAAAUCCAAUGGAAAUUCGACUCUAAGGUGUGUAGAAGGCCCUAGUGCCCAUGUUGCUAAUUUGAUGAUAGUUAAAUUGUCAUUUUGGGAGAUUCCACACACUAGUAUUCUCAUUUAUAAAAUCAUGAACUUUGGCAUCCUAAUUAAUGCAAUUUAAACUUUUUUUGUUUACAAAUGAAAUAAGAGGCAACAUAUAAACCCAAAAGUUAAUUUUCCUACCAUCUCUAUGCACCAUUUUAGCUUUACUCCAAUAUAUUUUCUAUGAUUAAUUAUUUUCAUUCAAACAAUAAUAUCAAAAUAUUUUAAAAUUAGACAUAUCAUAAUCAAAUACCAUUAUAUUAUUACCGAAUAAUAUUUAAUGUAAUUUAAUUAUCAACGUAUACUUAUAAAAUUUAUAUUUUUUAUUAAUGCAUAUAAUAUUAUUAUCAAAUAUGAUAAAUUAUAUAUAUAUAUAUAUAUAUAUAUAUAUAUUUCUUCAACAAAACAACUUUAAAAUAUCUAUUAUAUUUCUAAUUUCAUUUCUAAGAAGUUUUUUUUUUUUUUUUACAUUUUUAUAAGUUUUGAUCAAUUGUAGGCUAACUGAUAUUUUUUAUAUCAAAAUAUCCACCAAUAUAUCUCUGAUAUAUUAGAUAUAUCCGUAAAAUCGAAAUACCAAUAUAUCCGUGAUUAUCGAUAUUUUUAUCCUUGAGGGAUAAUAACUAAUCUAGUUUUUGCACUUAUUGAUAUUUCUCAACAUUUAGAUUGAUUUGACCAAAAUCUUUUUAAUUUUAUUUUCUUUGAUGGUUAUAUGAUGAAUUAGAAUAGUCAUAUAAACAAAUUUAAGAAAAAACGAUAAAAAAGCUCACAUUUUUCAAAUAUUGGUUUCAACUUUGAAUAUUUUUAUUGGUAAAUGAAAAUUGUGAAAAACCUACUAAUGCUAAUACUUUUCACCACAUAAUUAAAUAUAAUAAACUAGAAUAGUGAUUCAUUGAUGUCUUAUAAAGCUACAUGCCUACUUUGACUUGUUAGUUGAUUUUUGUAGGCAGAGUCCAUUUCCAUAUGAAUUGUUGAAACUUCCAAGUCCUUGUGGGUCUAGUGGUCUCUCUAAUAAUUCCCACCAUUAAUUUUUUGUGAUGAAGUGACGUCAUUGAUAGCUACUAUAUCAAUUUGCUAUUAAAAGUCAAGUCAUUGAUAAUUACUAUUCAAUCUUUUUCAAUAUGGAAAUUGGAAUCUCUACUCUUCUCAUUGUUCAUUUUUAGGUAAUGUGAGAAUGUGAGAAUGUGUGAACAUAAAUGUCUUCUAAUCAACCAAUUUUUUUUGAAAAAAACAUGUACAAAAUUGCAAACUUGCAAAAUCAAACUUUCUUGUUGAAUAACCAUAGCUUGAUGGUUUUGAAGAAUCAAAGGAUGAAUCAUAAAAGGGUAUUUGAUAAAAAAUAAAAAUUAAAAAAAUUAAAAGACAACUACUCCCUUAGGUGUAAUAAGUGUAUUUGGUAGCACAAAUUUCCUACCACUUAUUAUUUUUUCCUUUCUUAAAAAAUUAUUUACUCUAUUAAAUAAACUAACCUUGGCUUAUCACUUAUAGCAAAAUAGGUUAAGUACUUUUUAAAAUUUUAUAAUAUUAGAUUUACAUUUUUAUCCUUCAAAAUUUCAUUAAUGUUAGAUUCUUCUAUAUGCUUAACUAAUAAAUAAUUUUUAGCAUUUUUCUUUUCUUAUAAACAUAAAAAAAUAAAAAUAUUAUUAACUUAUUGGUAUAUUUUAAAAUUUUAAUUAGAUUUAAGCUUUUAUUUAUUUGGAUUACCAAUUAUACAUAUAAAUCCUUUAUUAUUAUUGUUAUUAUUGAAAGAAAGGGGUUGAAUAGGUAGUCCCUCAAUCCCCAAAUUAAAUUCUUUAUUGCCUACUUUUGGUUUAUUCCUUUACAUGAAUUCCUUGGUGAGAGUAAACAUUUCAUUAAUAGAUAAAUAAAAUUGAUUCCAUAUCAUAGGGUAUAAUGUGGAAAAAUCACCAGUCUCAUGUGUUCCUUAGUGGAUCCUUUGGAGCCCUUAUCAAAGUUUCAUGAUGAAACCAUUGACUUUUGUUUAACCCAAAUGUGCUUUCAAGACAAAUCUUGAAAUAUUUGAGAGAUGGAGGUUCAAGUCUUUUAUGAACGACCAUGUUCUCUUAGGGUUCAUGAAAAUUCACACCUUUUGAUAAAUAAAACUUAUCUAUUUAUACGUCUAAAACCCAGUAUUUAUUUAUUUAAUUAUAGAAAGUUUCUUAGUUUUAAAAACAUUUCAAAAAUCAUUUUUAGAAUCAAAUAAUAAUUUUAGAGAUAAACACAAUAUUAAAAUUUAACAAAAACAAAAUUUCGAAUUAAAAACACAAUAUAAACUAAAUUACAAAAUAUAAAGGAAUUUUUAUCCUAAUUUCUUGUUUCAAAACCAAAUGGAACACCUAGAAGGGGAGUGAAUGGGUGAUUUUAAAAUUUUUCAAUAAUGAUUUAUAAGUUAUACCCAAUUCUUUUACCCUGCGAGUUGUUAGGGACUAUCAAUUCUUUCCUUUUGGCAAUUCAAACAAUAUAUCAAAUAAUAAAAAGAUAUAAAUAAUGAGACAUAAAGAUUUUUACAUGGAAAACCCCCCACACUAACCAUGGAGAUAAAAAGCCAUGGAGUCUAAGACCUAUUAAUCUAAAUUCACUGUACGAAAUCAAGUUACACAAAUUUAUUUGAUAGCUUUAACUUAAAGACUUACUCUCCGGUACUGACAACUUGAUUCACAUCCACAACGUAGCAACCCUCAAUUACUCCAAUGGAUCACUUCAAGCUUACUAAAAGGAUGAAGGCCUUCAAACCAAGAUUCAAAAAUCAAUUCCUUGAAUGAAAGAUCAGGGAUGGUGUGCCACUUUAGGCUUUCUCUCUAAGAACUCUAAAAUGAUCUCCUCAAUGAAAACCUCUUAAACAAAAUGAGAUAUUUCCCCACAAUCUCUAAUCCUCAAGGGGUUAUAAUGAGAUAUUUAUAAGCAACUAAGUUGAAGAGUUUCAGUUUUGGAACAUGACCGCUCGAGCCAACACACUUCCUACUUGAGCGUUUCGGGCACUUGAGCGGUAAGGCUCGCUUGAGUUGUCCUAAGCGCUUGAGCAUUCCAAGCUACUUGAGCAAUCUUGCUCUAUUUCAAAAGUUAAUUUUAAAUCAUUUUAAGUUCAAAACAAAAUUGAUUCCCUUUAUACCUCAAAGUAGCCUAACUUACAAACCAAACUUUUUUAGAUAUACUUGUGACUUCCUGGUUGGACGAACAACUCUUAAUCUUCAAUGGAAAGCAAGUCAUUAUCUAAAAAGAUUUAUAUGGUCAAACAUAAAAAAACAAAAACAAAAAAAUUGCCAACAUAACAACAAGACUCAAUGUCCUAACAAUCUCCCCCUUUGGCAAUUUUAUGACAAAAACAACAUUACAUAUACCCACUUGAACUCUCAUAAUGGAGUUUAAUAAUACACAUUAAUGUUCAAUUAAAAAUAAACUAAGGGAAUACUUUGUAUCACUUUGUAGUAUUUGUCUUCCAACUUUGUAACCUACACACAUAUAGAAAACUAUACCAAAGGUAAAGCAAUGUGUAGGAUAAGAUAUGAUCAAGAAAGCAAAAUAGGAUAAUUGAAAAUUUUGCUUGAUGCCUUGUGAAAGCAUGAAAAGGGAACAAAUUCAUAUAGUAAUACCAAGGGACAAAGCAAAACUAGAGAAGAAUAUAUAUGUAUGCAAAUCAACCAAACAUAAUAAAAGCUACAUAAGAUGCAAUAGAUCAAUAAUAAUGCCUAGGGGUCUAUCUCCAACCAGAAAAUAGGGAGUGAAAAUCAUAGGAAGAACCUUCUGUGACUUAGAAAGGUUCUAGAGAGAUAGUCAAUUCAAACAUAAAUAUCUUGCUAGAAACAUCUAUGUUAUGUAUCUCUCUAAACCUUCUAAGUUAUGCUUUCAUUAGUUGAUUUGGUUUUUCUCCAAUGUCUCAGGUUUAAUUUCCUCUAAUAUUUCAAUUAGAGAGAAAUUGGUAGUCGAUUGACUUAGUGGGUGUUUGGUAAAACUUAAUACUUAUUAUUUAAUGAUUAACUUUAAGUUAAAUUGUUCUUAAGUUAUUAAUUUAAAAUUUAUUACUUAUUUUGUAUUUAAGUACUAGGGUUAUUUGAAAAAAUCGACUUAAAAUUUAUUCUAAAUCAUCAAAAUGACACAUUUACCCUUAUUAAUUUUAACUUAUAUUUAUUUUCAUUAAUUUUAAACAAUAAAUUUAUUCAUAAAACAUCUAUAUUUUUGUAGAUACAUAACCAUAAAAUAUUUACUAUAAAAAAUGAGUCAUGGAUGUAGAAUUAUAAUUCUAAAAUAUACACUUAUGAGUGUGGGUAAAUAAGGCAAAAAUGAUUUGAGAUUAAGAGUAAAGUUAAUUAUUUUGACUUAAGACUUCAAGUUAAAAAUAACUUUAAGUUGCAAUAUUAAGUUAUUUUAUCAAACAUGCUUAAUUUACUUAACAACUUAAAUUAAGUUAUUAAGUUGAAUUAUCAAACACCCCACUAGUAGUAUGUUGAAAAUUCACACCUUUUGAUAAAUAAAACUUAUCUAUUUAUACGUCUAAAACCCAGUAUUUAUUUAUUUAAUUAGAGAAAGUUUCUUAGUUUUAAAAACAUUUCAAAAAUCAUUUUUAGAAUCAAAUAACAAUUUUAGAGAUAAACACAAUAUUAAAAUUUAACAAAAACAAAAUUUCGAAUUAAAAACACAAUAUAAACUAAAUUACAAAAUAUAAAGUAAUUUUUAUCCUAAUUUCUUGUUUCAAAACCAAAUGGAACACUUAGAAGGGGAGUGAAUGGGUGAUUUUAAAUUUUUUCAAUAAUGAUUUAUAAGUUAUACCCAAUUCUUUUACCCUACGAGUUGUUAGGGACUAUCAAUUCUUUCCUUUUGGCAAUUCAAACAAUAUAUCAAAUAAUAAAAAGAUAUAAAUAAUGAGACAUAAAUAUUUUUACGUGGAAAACCCCCCACACUAACCAUGGAGAUAAAAAGCUAUGGAGUGUAAGACCUAUUAAUCUAAAUUCACUGUACGAAAUCAAGUUACACAAAUUUAUUUGACAGCUUUACCUUAAAGACUUACUCUCCGGUACUGACAACUUGAUUCACAUCCACGACGUAGCAACCCUUGAUUACUCCAAUGGAUCACUUCAAGCUUACUAAAAGGAUGAAGGCCUUCACACCAAGAUUCAAAAAUCAAUUCCUUGAAUGAAAUAUCAGGGAUGGUGUGCCACUUUAGGCUUUCUCUCUAAGAACUCUAAAAUGAUCUCCUCAAUGAAAACCUCUUAAACAAAAUGAGAUAUUUUCCCACAAUCUCUAAUCCUCAAGGGGUUAUAAUGAGAUAUUUAUAAGCAACUAAGUUGAAGAGUUUCGGUUUUGGAAGGUUUCUUAAUUGAAUUUGUGUGAAAAACUCAACAGAAUCAACAUGACCGCUCGAGCCAGCACACUUCCCACUUGAGCAUUUCGGGCACUUGAGCGGUAAGGCUCGCUUGAGUUGUCCUAAGCGCUUGAGCAUUCCAGGCUACUUGAGCAAUCUUGCUCUAUUUCAAAAGUUAAUUUUAAAUCAUUUUAAGUUCAAAACAAAAUUGAUUCCUUUUAUACCUCAAAGGAACCUAACUUGCCACAAACCAAACCUUUUUAGAUAUACUUGUGACUUCUUGGUUGGACGAACAACAACUCUUAAUCUUCAAUGGAGAGCAAGUCACUAUCUAAAAAGAUUUAUAUGAUCAAACAUAAAAAAACAAAAAAAUUGCCAACAUCACAACAAGACUCAAUGUCCAUGCAUGGUCACCUGAAAGUUGACUCCAACCACAAUAUAAUGCAUGUUCUCAUAGAACAUGUGAACAAGAUGGAGAUAGAAAGUCCCUUAGAGAGAAAACAGAGUCUUCUAACCCUACUCUUGAAUGAUGAUAGGGAAGACAGUGUCCUGAAAAGCUUAGAGGUUAAUGGCAUGUUGAGGCUCGACACACCGAUAUGUGAAAGAAGCGUAAUAAUGGUCCCAUGCCACCUGGCAGUGAAAGCGCUCAAUCGAAAGUGCAUCUAGGUUAAAAAGACCCUAGAGUGGGAUGCCCUAGACGGUUUUCAGUGACCUAGGAAAGGUCACCUCCCUCUGAAAUCUAUGACUAGCCAUAUCUAAGGUAUAUAAUAUGAAAAAAAAAAAGCUAAAGAAAAACUAAAGAAAAUCCAAAGAAAAGCUAAACCACUAAAAAUGUUAAACUCAAUGCGUCGAACAAUACUAUACAAAUGGAAAUGAAAAAUAUGAAGCGAACUGACCUCAGAAGACAAAAGGACAGUUACCCAGAGGGCUCGAAGAGGAAUAGGAAAGUUUGAAAUGAAUAUUGUGUGAUGGAUGACCUUUAUAUAGCUUAUAGGAGUGCUUGAUGCAGAUUAGCACUUGAGCGUCAUGACUAACUUAAAUCAAAUUAUUUAUUAAUAUGGAAAUAUUUUAUAAGUUUCAAAGGAAGUAUUCAAUUUAGAACCUUUUUAGAAUUUUUUUGAAAGAAACAAAAAUAAAGCGUGAAAUAUUAUGUGUUAAAGGUGUUAGAAGACAAUAUUGUCUAAUCAAAAGCCUUACACAUUCCCAAAAAAAAAAAAAAAAAAGGAAAAAAAAAGAUACUAUAUAAGAUUUUGAUCACAUCUAAUAGAAACUAAUAUUUAGCAACAUAUCACCAAGCACUAUCUUAUCAGAAAGCUCUAACAUGUUGGAAAUUUAUGUAAGGUUCCAUAACAACUAACAACUUUUUAUGACGACUCGGUAAUGGACCAUUUGCACUUCAACUACAUUAUUAAAUUUAAAUCAUAUUAGAAUAUAAUUGACUUCUCUUUUGUGAGGUUACAUAUCUUGUAGGAUGGGAUAGGUGAUUCAUUUCAUAUAUGAAAUUUUCUUAAUUUAGUAAUGCUUCCAAGUUCAUUAUGAAUCUAAUGGUAUCACAACUCCUUGAAUAUUUGUAAUCUGUAAUCUUUGCUUCAACUUCUCAAGUCUAGUCAUUUUAUCGGCAUAACUAGUUUGCUUCAAUUAUCUCUCAACUUUAUUAUAAAACUAAGGGAAAGGAUUGUCACUCAUUUUAUAUUAACUUAACCAAACAUCUUUAUAUAUAUAUAUAUAUAUAUAUAUUGUAAAUUUAGGAAAAAUUCAUCCAUUAGCCAUAGUAAGUAAGAAUCAAAUAAGGGAUAUGUAAGCCAAUGGUGAUAUUGAUGGCGUUAAAUCAAUGACAUAGUAGAAAAGUGGAUUGUCUAUUUUCAAACCUUUAUAUUUUCAUGCAAUAGUAAAAAGGUUAAGGCAUCACUUGAAAAGUAGUUCGUUUUUUACCUUGGACUAUGAUUUAUGAAUAAAGUUCUUCUGUUGUAUACCUUUUGUGAUGCCCCAACCUAAUUUAGGGGUAAAAAAAUAAUUUAGAAAAAAAUAAAUAAAAAGUUAAAUAAAUUUAAUUAAGGUAAAAAUGUAUUUUUGUAUUUAAAAUUCCUAGGUAUCAAUUAUAUAUUUCUUGUCUUCUCUAUUCAAAAAACCAUAUUACACAAAAAUCAAAUAUCAGAGAACAUAGGACAACGCAGGGUUGAAGAUUUGGAGGUUUAGGGUUGAAGAUUAGUUUUCCAGGUAAGAUUCUAACCCUUAAAUUAGUAUUUUAGAUUCGUUAAUUAGUUUGAACACUUUAGAUAUUCUUUGAAAAAUCUGAAUAUACAUUAGGGUUUGUUAAUUUAAUUUUUAAAUAAAAAAGAUUGAAAAUUUAUGAACAUAAGUAGAGUUAUUAUUAAAGAUUGAAAAUUUUUGAAUAUUUGAAUUAAAAAUCUAGAAAAAAAAGAAGAAAAUAAAUUAUAGCUUUGGACGUGGAAAAAAAUUAAUAUUAAUUAAUAAAUAAAACCUAUGAGUAUGGAAGUAGAAAAAUAUGAGAGUUGAAAGCAAAGAAAAAAAAAGAGAAUAAGGUUUUGUGGUUGUACAUGCCUCCUUAGUGGAAAAAAAAAAUACAAGGUUGCUUGCAAUAGGAUAUGACAAAGAGAGAGAGAUAAAUGCUUAGAUGUUGAUUUUUGUGGGGAAAAAAAGAUUGGGUAAUGUAGGAGAGAAAUAGGUAGCACUUUUAGAGUCGGUGGAGUUGUUGUAAAAGCUCGUAGGGGUAAUUGUUAGGUAGUAGUAGGGUAUGAGAUUAAUUGUUAGGAAACAUUAGGACUUGAAAUAAUAAUAAUUGCUUCUAGUAAAAGUUUUAAUUUAGUUUAAGUAUAUAAAAGAAAUAGAUGAUUAGAAUAAGAUUUGGAAGGAAUAUGAAUUCAUAAAAAUUUCAAAAUUUACUAAUUUAGAUUAUUAUUGUUUUGGAAGUUGAAUAUAAUAUAGGUGAUAAUAUUAUUAAUAUAGGAAAUGAUUAAGAUUCUCAAACCUACAAUUUUAGAUAAAUAGUUAAUAGUAAUAGUUGAUUUUUUAUUUUUUUUUUAUUUUUUAUUUUUUAUGUUAUGUUAAGUGAAUAAUGGAUUCUUUGAUUAAUUCUCUAAGGUUUCUAAGUGCUUCUUUAAGGUAAGGGAUAUUAAUACUGAUUUUGUAAAUGAAAAUAUUUCUUUUUAUAAGUUAUUUUAAAUUAUGAAAAUUUUUAUUUUUAUUUAUGCAUGGAUCAAAUAUAUAUUUUUUCAUGAGAAACAUGUUUGGGCAAUUUCUUUGUUUAUAAAUAAAUAAAUGAAAACUUUGGAAAUAUAAUGUUUUGUUUUGUAAGUUUAAAAUAAUGAAAUAAAGUUUUUGACUCUGGUUUAUAUGACCUUAGUUAAUAGGUUAUAAUUGUUGACAUUUUCAGCUCCAGUCAACGAUUAUAAUUGUUGACAUUUUCGGCUCUCCAAUCAAUGAUUAUAAUUGUUGAGAUUUUCAACCCUAGCCAACGGGUUAUAAUAGUUGACCUUAUAGCCCUAGUCAACAGAUAUAAUUGUUAACCUUUGGCUUUUCCCAUCUUAAAAAGAACAAAUUUAAGGCUAGCCAUUUAUUUGUAAAGUCCCACCUAACUAAGUACCAUUUGUUAUUUAAUAACCAGAGUAAAGAUAUUUUGAAUGUAUUUGAUGUGAAAUUGUUGUGAUAUUAAUAUGAAAAUGUUUGGUUGAAAAGUUCAAAUGUUUAAUGCAUGUUGAAUUCAAAAGUUUUUAUGAAAAUGAUUAUAUGUUAUAUCUCUUAUUUGUAAGUUUGAUCCAUGAAACUGUAUUAAUAUUCCUUAUUGGACUUUGAGCUCAUUCCCCUUUAUUGAGAAUUUUUUUUCGUAUUCUCAGUUUGGGCAAGGAGUGAUGACUGGGUUGGGGAAUUUUCUUUACUAUGGUUUUGCUUCAAUCUUAUUUUGGACAUUGUUUAGAUGUUAAAAUUUAAUUCCCAUUUAAAUUAUUUGGGUUUGGAGUUAUUUGGACGAUAAAACUUUGAUUGAUGUGUUAGUUUUAAAGUUGAGAAUUGAAAAUUAUAGAAUUUAUUUAUCUUACUACUUUGAACAGAAAUUUAGUAAUUGGAGAUCAUCCAGUUACAAGAUGAAUAUUUGAGUCGUUUCAAGUCGUUUCCACUUUGAGUGUUCAGGCUUAGGGUGUGAAAUGAUCGUUAUGCCCUUGGAGUGGGUAUAUUGUUUAUUUGAAUUUAAUGGUCCCCGAACUCCUUAAUUACUCAUAACUUUAUAUCAGCUUCUCAAAGUUAAGUUGUUUUACAACUACUAUCUAGCUACUUUUCUCUACUAUGACAACUUUAUUACAUAGUGAUUAAUUGAAAGAAUCUACAUGUCUUAUUUCAUAGGAUAGUUGAUUUUUUUACUCAAUGAAUUUUGCUUUUAUUAUUGAAAAUUUCAAAUCAUUGUAGUCCAACAAUUUCCUAUCCAUUGGUAAUUUCAUAUUACAUUUCCAAAGUCUAAUCAUUUAAAAACACUUGUAGUUAAUAUAUUGGCAAUUGCAUUGUGGGAAGUUGUUCACUUGAUUUUAAUGUUGAAACUUUCAAAUUUUUGUAGUCCAACAAUUCCCUAUCCAUUGGUAAUUUCAUAUCACAUUUUCAAAGUAUAAUACUUGUAUAUAGUAUAUUUGGUGAUUGUAGAGUGGAAAGUUGAUCAUUUUCAUGAAGACCUCUAAAAUAGAAUUUUUUUUCAUUCCAUUUAUUAAAGAAUUUCAUUAAUUGAACAUAUAUGUUUUUUUAACCGAAAAGUAGAGGCCACAUUAUACGAGGCCUUAGGUGACAAUACUAGGUGAGGGCUUUUUUUUUUAAUUUAUUUAUUACGAAAUAUAAAUAAUAUUAUUUAUUGUAUAAUAAAGAUUAUUAUAAUAUAUUUUUUAUAGAUGAAAAAAAAUAUUAAUUGAGUUUUAUUUUUUUAAAUAAUUGUUUUCAAUAAAUAACGUAUUUGUAAAAAGAAAACUAUAAAAUAUAUGCAUUUGAAAAAUAUUUAAUUUUUAUUUGAUUUAGUAUCAAUUAAUAUUUGUAAUAUUUUUUAAUAUUAUAGAAGUUAACAUACUCAAUUAAGAUAUUCAAGAUCAAGAGAAUAUUUGAGAUUGAAUUAAUUUCUUUAUUGUUUAUGUUUUAGUAAAUUUUUAUAUCCAUUAAAAUUUUUUUAUUGUUUAUUUUUCAUUCAAUGUUUGCAUUUUGUAAUAGAUAUUAAAACAAAUUUUUUUCUUGUAUGUUAAAAAAAUAUUUCAAUGUCUUUAAAAAUAAAAUAUUGUAGUAAAAUCAAAAUUACAUUGUGAAACUUUAAGCGAAUGUUUUAUACUAAAGAAGUGCCAAUUAAAGUAAGCAUGCAUCUACAAUUGUAAUUUAGAUGUCAUAUUGAAACAAUAGUUCUCUUUGACUAUAUCAUAAAAUUUGGUUCGAAUUACUUUAAGUCAUCUUGUAGAUUUUCAAGUUCCAAUGAUAUGCAUCAAGUAUGUGCAACAUACUUGAUAUGACUAAUAUUUUCUUAAGUAAUUGGACACUUUUUUCUAUAAAUUUACUUGAUUAUCAAUGAAUACUUUUAUGUAAGGUAUUGAUAUAAUUCGAUAAAUAUUUUAAAAUAGUAUUAGAAUAGCUUUGCUCUUUCCUAAUUAACAAAUUUACUAAAUUAACUUAUAUAUAUUUGUUUAUUUUAAUUUACUGGUAUUUGACUCAAUUUGUUAUUAUUUUUAAAAUUAUAGGAAAACCAUUAUUUAUAGAGUUUAAUUAUAUUUGGUAAAUUAUCUUUUUAAGUUUGACUAGGAUUAGGAAACUAUUAAUUUAAGAUUAAUCCAUAAGGCUCUAUAAAUUUGCAGUUUUAUAUAACAUUUAAAAAAAGAAAGAAAAAGUAAGAAAAAGUGAAGAGAGAUAGGCAAAGAGUGCAUUGGGUUUUAGAUAGAGAAAGGUCGAGAGAGUUUUGAUUACUACUCAAAAAGAACAUAUUUUAGAUAGUAAUUCUCAUGGGUUUCACAUCUUUUGAGUAUUAAUUAUGCCUAAAAAUGCUCAAUUAACAUGUUGUUGCCCUUGCAAGAGUUACUAAUAAGUUUUAUAAAGUUUUGGAGUCAUUUCAAGUUAUGAUUUUAAUAAAUUGGUGAUGAAAGAGAUGAAUUGAUUUGAAGAAGGAAAAUAAUAUUGAUGAUGAUCCAAAUGCAUAAUGAAAGAAGCAAUAUAAUUAGUUUGAUCGGGAUUUGCUGCUAAUUUGGAGGUAGUUAAGGUGGAGUCAAAAGAAGAAAAUGGAAGAAAUGACAAAGAGGAACUUAAAAACCAAAUGUUGCAGAUUUGUAUGAUCAUUCAAAAAUUACAUGACUAUGCCAAAUGGAUUAGAGAAGGAAAAUUGACUAUAGUAUAAGGAGGAUGCUUAAGUUGAUUUAGCAUGAACAUGAGAAAAUUUCGCAUGAACAUGCGAAAAUUUUGCACAAUCAUGCGAAAUGGUCCAGAAAGCUCUCUAAUGUUGUUGUUGCUCCACUAAUUUCGCACCACCAUGCGAAAUCGAUCUUUUCAUGCAAAAUGGCUGAAGCUCAUGUGAAAUCAUGAUUUUGAUGCUAAACUCCAGAUUUGUGAAUUUGGAAGGUUUUAGAAGACCAAUGAGAGGUUGCCAAGUGUCCACUUGACCUUGGUCUAUAAAUAGAAACUUGAAUUUCCCAUGUAAAGAGCUUUGUGAUACUUUUGAUUUUAGAUUUUUCUAGAAACUCUUUCUCUAAAUAGAAUUCUAUAUUUUCUUUAAUUUUCCCUCAUUUUCUCAUUAGCCAAACAUGCCUAGUGAGACCAAAUUUCCAAGUAUGAGUGACUAAAUCUCGUUUUUCUCAGAGGAAUGAGGAUCUAGAGGCAAGAUCUAUGGUGAAUUAUAGAAAUGAGUUUUAAUUGCAAAUGUAAUUUGAUUCAAUUGAUUGAUUAAUUGAAAUUCGAGGAUUUUUCUCUUCAAAUUGUCCUGAAUGACAAUUACAUUGCAAACUAGGCAGAUUAAUUAAAUUCUUAAAGUUAGAUUUAAUGAGACUGAAUAGUUGCAUUGUAUGAAUCAUUGGAAGAUGAUUUAAGAUGAAUUGAAUAUAUAAUUUAAAUUCAUAUCUUGGAUUAAAUAACCUAAUUUGAAGAGAAAUUAGGUUUAGACUUAAAGGGAAAUCUAAAAUCGGUUUAGAUAAGAAUUUAGGUUUUCAAUCUAACUUGAUGAAAAAUAAAUCUCAACAUUUAUUCACCAUGGAAAUUGUUUUCUAAAAAAUAUUAACUCUGAGAAUUCCUUUUCCUUAUCAGUUUUCUUAUAUUCUACAUUAUAUUAUUCUUUUCGAUUAGAAAUCAUUGUUAUUUUGAUUUUUCGUGAAUUGUCAAAUCAAUUUCACUUGACCAUAAUCAUUUCUUUUCCUCUCAUUUAAACCUUAAUUAUCGAGAAUAAUCCAUCCCAAUAGAAGACACCUAAGACCACUAUACUACUGUAGCUUUUGCUAAAAAACCUUUUUGAUCGGGCAAGAGUUACCUUAGCAUAGUUGAAUUAGGUUAUAAAUUUUUUAUCCAAUAAACAACAAAAAAAUCAAUUGAUCAAGUUUACAUUGUGUAUUCUUGAAUUUUAUUAAUAAAUUUGAUCCCCUUUUUUGAAGCGAUUACACCAAACCAAGUAAAUAUUUUAUCUACUUCAUUUGCUUUAUUUUUUCUAUUAAGUUUAGGUGUUGCAAUUUUUAAGAGUCAUGGUGAGAAGAUUGUGGGAAAAAUUAUUUUAAGGAUGGAGUCGAACAUAAAAUAUGAAAUUGAGUCCUUUGAUGGAAAUAAUAAUUUUAAUAUUUGAUAGAGUAUUAUUAAAGAUGUUUUGAUACAACAAAGACUUCUCAAAGCAUUACAAGGCAAAAAAAACUAGAGAGCAUGACAAAUAAAGAAAUGAAAGAAUUACAAGCAAGAGUUGUAAGUACUAUUUGUUUAAGUCUUAAAAAUGAAAUACAUUGUUUUGAAUGAAAAAAAUAUUCUUUUAGGGGUGUCAAUUGCUCUUUUAGAGACCAAAAAUAUUAAGCAAUCAAGUAGUUCAUCUCAUAUUGGACAAACUGUUAUGAUGAAUUCUAAACCAUAUCAUCAUAGGAGUAAAUCGAAAGAAAAGUAUCUGAUAGGAGGAUGAUCAUUCCAUUCACACUUAUAGAGGAAUAUGAAGUAUUAUUNNNNNNNNNNNNNNNNNNNNNNNNNNNNNNNNNNNNNNNNNNNNNNNNNNNNNNNNNNNNNNNNNNUAGUGAUUGUUUUAUGUUGAAGAAAGGCUAAUUAAAGUAAACAUGCAUCUAAAAUUAUAAUUUAGAUGUUGUACUCAAAUAGUUGCUCUCCUCGAUUAUAUCAUAAAAUUUGGUUUGAAGUCUAAGUCAUCUAAUAAUUUUCUAGUUCCAAUUACAUGCAUCAAACAUGUGUGUUAGGAAGUGUUGCAAAUUACUAAUUAGUAUAUAUUCUUUUUUUUUUAAGAAUAUUGUAUUAAAUAUUUCUAGGUUGAUAUAUUAUUGUAAUAUUAGACUUCUUUAUAGAAUAAGGAAGGUUGUUGAAAAUAUCCCUAUAAAUAUUCUAGUUCAUAAGGGGAAAAAGUUUUGAGAUGAAGAUGGACCCAUAAAGACUAUACAAGGUGGAUAGAGAUGUGAGGAAGAACGAGAGGUACCCGAUGGAGCGAGAGGGCUCGUGGUAGGGUAUAGGUACGAAGAGUGAGGAAACAUGGGAUGUUUUGGGAACUCAAUAUUUGUAUCUAGUUAUGUCCUCUAUAAGUUCUAGUUCUGUCAUCUGCAUUGUUCUCUAUUUUAUAGUGGAAUGAUUCUCUCUUAUCUGUGGACGUAGGCAUGGUUUUCGAACCACGUUAAAACCUUGUGUACCGUUUGUGUUGAUUUUUUUUAUCUUUAUUUUCUUGAUUAAUGAAGUUUGCAUCAAAGCUUCUGUCAACGUAACAAACUUGUAUCAAAGUUUGGGAUAAAGAUUUCUAGAAGAGUAAAAGAUCAUAGAGCACACAAGAUGAAAACAAAAGGAAUUUUUAGUGAAAAAGGAGUCAAUUGCUCUCUCGUGGUGAUAUGAUAUAAAAAGUUUAUGUCAUGGAAAGUUUGAAGAUUUACUUCAUGGAAUCUGGUCCAAAAUGGAGAUUGUUAAUAAGUGUCCCAAAUUCCUAAUUAGUAUAGAUUUUUUUUUUUGUAAAGAAUAUUGUAUAGAAUAUUUCUAGGUUGAUAUAUUAUUGUAAUAUUAGACUUCCUUAUAGAAUAAGGAAGGUUGUUGAAAAUAUCUUUAUAAAUAUUCUAGGUCAUGAGGGAAAAAAGUAUGAGAUGAAGAUGGGCCCUAUAAAAACUAUAUGAGGUGGAUAAAGAUGUGAGGAAGAAUGAGAGGUACUCAAUGGAAUGAGAGGGCUCGUGGUAGGGUAUGGAUACAAAGAGUGGGGAAAUAUGGGAUGUUUUGGGAACCUAUUAGUUGUAUCUAGUUCUGUCAUCUAUAAUGUUCUAGUUACGUCCUCUAUAAUGUUCUCUAUUGUAUAGUGGAAUGAUUCUCUUUCAUCCGUGGAUGUAGGCAUGGUUGUCGAACCACAUUAAAACCUCGUGUACUAUUUGUUUUAUUUUUAAAUUUUUUUUAAUCUUUGUUUCUUGAUUAAUGAUGUGUGCAUCAAAGCUUCCAUCUACGUAACAAACUGGUAUCAGAGCUUGGGUUGAAGAUUUUUGGAAUAGUAAAAGAUCACAAAGCACACAAGAUGAAAACAAAAGGAAUUUUUAGUGAAUGUGGAGUCAAUUGUUCUCUCGUGGUGAUAUGAUACAAAAAGUUUGUGUCAUGGAGGGUUUAAUGAUUGACUCCGUGGAAUUUGGUCCAAGGUAGAGAUUGUUAGGAAGUGUCCCAAAUUCCUAAUUAGUAUAGAUUUUUUUUUUUUAAAGAAUAUUGUAUAGAAUAUUUCUAGGUUGACAUAUUAUUGUAAUAUUAGACUUCCUUAUAGAAUAAGGAAUGUUGUUGGAAAUAUUUUUAUAAAUAUUUUAAGUCAUGAGGGGAAAAAUUUAUGAGAUGAAGAUGGGCCUAUAAAGACCAUAUGAGAUGGAUAGAGAUGUGAGGAAGAAUCGGAGGUACCCAGUGGAGCGAGAGAGUUCGUGGUAGGGUGUGAAUAUGAAGAGUGGGGAAACAUGGGAUGUUUUGGGAACCCAAUAGUUGUAUCUAGUUCUGACAUCUAUAAUGUUCUGGUUCUGUCAUCUAUAAUGUUCUGGUUUUGUCCUCUGUAAUGUUCUUUAUUGUAUAGUGGAAUUAUUCUCUCUCAUCUAUAUAGGCAAGUUGCUAAACCACGUUAAAACCUCGAAUACCUUUUGUGUUGAUUUUUUUUAUCUUUGUGUUCUUGAUUAACGAUGCUUGCAUCAAAGCUUCUACCAACGUAACAAUGUGCAACAUAUUUGAUAUAACUUAUAUUUUCUUAAGUAAUUGAACACUUUUUUCUAUAAAUUUACUUGAUGAUCAAUGAGUACCUACAUAUACGGUAUUGACAUAGUUUGAUAAACAUUUUAAAAUAGUAUUAGAAUGGCUUUUCUUUUUCCCAAUUAACAAAUUUAUCAAAUACACACACACACACACACACACAAAAUACUCAUUAGUAUGUCUUUUAUGAAAAAACUAUGUUUGUUUAUUUGAAUUUAGUAGCCAUUCAAUUCCUUAGUUACUCAUAAACUUUUUAUCACCUUCUUAAAGUCAAGUCAUUUACAAUUAUUUUCAAGUCAUUUACAAUUAUUUUAGCCUUCUCCAUUAUGACAACUUUAUAAGAUAGUGAUUGAUUGGAAGAAUCUACAUGCCUUUGUUGAUAGUAUAAUUGUUUUUCUUUUUUUUCGUAUUCAAAGAAUCUUGCUUCUGUUAUUGAAACUUUCAAAUCCUUUAUGUCUAGUGGUCUUAUAAUUCCCUAUUCAUUGGUCUUUCAUAUUACCAAUCAUUUUGCAAAUGAGUUAAUUUCAUUCACAUCCUCUGAGAUUUGAUGUAAAUUCGCUUAGUUACCAAUGAUUUCAAAUUUCAUUAAUUAGUACCCCUACAGAUAUAAUUCGUGUACAAAAUUUAUUUUUUAAAAGAGUUUAGGUAAAAAUAUUUUAGGUAUAUGUCUUUAACAAUUCUCUAAAAUAAAUUUUACUUGCUAAAAAAUAACUUAUAUAGAUAGAAUACAUCUACAGGAGUUCUAACUAACGAAAUUUAAAACUAAUGGUGGUUUAGUGUAUUUAAACUAAACAUUAGGAAGGGUGACUGAAAUUAACCCUCUAGGUAUAUAUGUUUAACAAAAUUUUUAUUGUUUAUUUUUCAUUUAAUGUUUGCAUUUUUCAAUAAACAUUGAAAAGGAAUUGUUUUUCCAUAUGUUAACAAAAAGAAAUUUGAAUACCUAUAAAAAUGAAAUCUUGUAGUAAAAUUGGAGUUACAUUAUCAGACUUUUAACGAGUGUUUAUGUUUAGAAAGGCCAAUUAAAGCAAGCAUGCAUCUAGAAAUUGUAACUUAGAUGCAUCAAACAUGAGCAACAUAUUUGAUAUAACUAAUAGUUUCUUAAGUAACUAAACACUUCUUUUUCUAUAAAUUUACUUGAUUGUCGAUGAAUACUUACAUACAUUUACAUAGUUUGAUAAAUAUUUUAAAAUAAUAUUAGAAUAACUUUGUUUUUUCUCAAUUAUAUUAGAAAAUAAUAUAAAGUUACUUAUAAACUUUAUAUCAUUUUCUCAAAGUCAAGUCAUUUACAAUUAUUUCUAUCUAGUCUUCUCCAUUAUGACAACUUUUAUAUGAUAGUCGUUGAUUGGAAGAAUCUACAUGUCUUUUUUGAUAAGAUAGUUGUUUUUAUUAUUUUUAUUUUUUUUAUUCCAAAAAUUUGCUUCUAUCAUUGAAACUUUCAAAUCUUUUAUGUAUAUUACCAAUCAUUUUACAAGUGAGUUAAUUUCACUUAGGGUAGAUAUACUUAGCCACACCCCUAUAGAUGUAAUUUGUGUUUAAAUUUUAUUUUUUAUUUAGGUAAAAAUAUCUUAGGUAUAUGUGUUCUACAAUUCUCUAAAAAAUAAAUUUUCUUAUCUAAAAGUUUAUAUAGACAAAAUACAUCUAUAGAAGUCCUAACUAAUGAAAUUUAAAAUCAAUGGUUGUUUAGUGUAUUUACAUUAAACCUUAUGGGGUAUGAUUGAAAUUAAGUCUUUUACAAGCACUUGUAGCUAAUAUGUUUGUAGUUGUAGUCUUGGAAAUUGAUCAUUUUCUUGAAGGCCUCUAGGAUAUUGAAAAUAUUGCCAUAGUUUUAGACUUUUUUUUUAUUACACCUAAUAAAAAAUAUUAUUAAUUUAACAUAUAUAUUCUUGACUUAAAAGUAAAGUCUCUCCAUAUUGUAUAAGCCCUUAGGUGGCAAUAUUAGGUGAAGUUUUUCUUUCGUUUAUUACAAAAUAUAAAUAAUUUAUUAUUGUAUGAUAAAAUUUUAUGUAAUAUAUUUUUAUAGAUGUAAAAUUAUUAAUUGGGUUUUGUUUUUUUUUACUAAAUUGUCAUUUCAAUAUAUAAAACUUAUUUGUAAAAAGACAAUUAUAAACUAUAUGAAAUUGAAAAACAUUUAGUUUUUUUAUUUAAUUUAGAAUUUUAUUUGGAUUAAUAAUUGAUAUUUGUAAGAUUUUUGAAUAUUAAAAAAAGUUAGCAUACUUAAGAAAGAUAUUCAAGAUCGGGAGUGUUUGAUAUCGGAUUAAUUUCCUUAUUUUCUCUAUUUUAAUAAAUUUUCACGUCCAUUACAAAAUUUUUGUUGUUUAUUUUUUACUUCAAUAUUUUUAUUUUGUAAUAGAAAUUUGAAAAGAUUUUUUCCUACAUGUUAAAAAAAAAAAAGAUUUGAACACUCCUAAAAAAGAAAUAUUGCAAUAAAAUUAAAGUUUACACUGUAGGACUAUUAGCAAAUGCUGCAUACUUAAAAUAGACCAAUUAAAGUAGAAAUACUUCUAAAAUUGUAAUUUAGGUAACAAUAAUAUAAAAAGACAAUAUUUUUGAAACAAUAGUUCUCUUGGAGUUUUGGGUACAAUGGACUAGACUUUAUGUAACAAUAGAUAUACAAACUUUCCAUUAACAUCUUGAGAGACAUGAUGAGGAGCAAAGUCAUCCAAGAAGGUACCAUAGAGGUACCUUAGCUCAAUUCAUCUAGACUACAUAAUGUUUAAAGAUCAAAUUCAAUGACUAGAUUUCAAAAAUCAAUAUAAGCUUUCUCAUAUUCUACUCUAUAUAAGACAAUGGUAUGAUACCUCUCUUGUGUCGUAGAAUGCACCAUGAAAACCUUAUCAUUUUAACAUCAGUUUGAAACUUAAAAGUCACUUAGCACAUUCUAGUUAUUAAUUUAAGAGCAUUAAAAGAAAUAUAUAAAAAAAAAGUUACUUUAUCCUUGUGAUUUUGAUCUAGGACUUUUAAUGAUAUUAAAAAAAAAAACAGAAAAAUAAAUGGAAAUAAAAUCAAUAAAUUAAACAAUUGAAUUAAGUUAGUUUAAUUUUUGAAUCGUUAAAUGGGUAAAUAAAGAUCUUAGAUUUGAUAUUAAUAUGAACAUCAUGACUUCAGUGAAUCUUACAAGAAAAUUUUAGUUUGAAAGACUUCAUUCAUUAAACGUGUGGCACAUAUUAAAGUAAAACUAAGUCUUCUCUAUAAUUUGUACCUAUCAUAGUUUCUUUCCUCAUAAAUAGCCUUUUUUGAAUAUAAUAUAGACUUCAACAUGCAUGGUGGGGCCAAUCAAACUACUAGUCAAGACAACUCAUGGGCAACAACGAUGUACCAACUACAUUUAAAUACUCUUCAUAUAUUUGCAUAUCAAGAGUAAUUUAGUAGUGUCUUUCUUAUGUACCUCAUAUCUAGACUUUCAAUGGAGAGUUCUUCAUCUAAAAAUUUGACUUGGGUUUUCAUACUAGUUUUGGUUUAGACAUGUGGAUGCAAAGGUUGCAUCAAAGAAGAGAAGUAGGCUAAAUCAUCUUACAAAUUUUCAAGUUCAAAUUAGAUGCACCAAACAUAUGCAACAUAUUUGAUAUAACUAAUAUUUUCUUAAGUAAUUGAAUACAAUUUUUUUUUAUAAAUUCACUUGAUUAUUAAUGGAUAACUAACUACAUGUAUGGUAUUGACACAACUUGAUAAAUUUUUUAAAAUAGUAUUAGAAUAACUUUGCUAAAAAAAAGUAAAAAUAAAAAUAAAAAUACAUCUAUAUAUAUAUAUAAUUAAAUAAAAUUAAAAAUUAAUAUAUAUAUAUAUAUAUAUAUAUUCUGUGUGUGUAUGUGUGCAUGGUCUCACAAGUCAUUAGCUACUCAUAAGCUUUAUAUCACUUUCUCAAAGUCAAGUCAUUUUGUAAUUAUUUCUAUCUAGCCUUCUCCAUUACGACAACUGUAUAGGAUAUUGAUUGAUUGUAAAAAUCUUCAUGUCUUUUUUUAUAAGAUAGUUUUUUAUUAUUAUUAUUAUUCAAAGAAUUUUCUUUUAUUAUUGAAACUUUCAAAUCCUUUAUGUCUAGUGGUCCUACAAUUCCCUAUUCAUUGGUAUUUCAUAUUACCAAUCAUUUUACAAAUAAGUUUAUUUCACCCGGUAAAUAUACUUAACUACCAAUGGUUUCAAAUUUAAUUGAUUAACACACUUAUAGAUGUAAUUUGUUUUUAAAUUUUAUUUCUUUUAGAAGAAUUGUAGGUAAAAAUGUUCUAGGAAUAUGUGUUCAAUAAUUCUCUAAAAACAAUUUAUAUAGAUGGAAUACAUUCAUGGAAGUUCCAACUAAUGAAAUUUAAAACCAAUGACGAUUUAAUGUAUUUGCACUAAAUCUUAGGGGAGGUGUACUAAAACUAGCCCUUUUACAAAUAUUUGUAGCUAGUAUAUUUGUAGUUAUGGUGUUGGAAGUUGAUCAUUUUCUUAAAGGCCUCUAAGAUAUUGGAAAUAUCGCCAAAGUUUUGAACUUUUUGUUUCACCUAAAUAAAAUAUCAUUAAUUUAAUAUAUAUACUCUUCGCUUGAAAGUAUAGUUUCUUCAUAUUGUAUGAAGUUGUAACUAGGUGACAAUAUUAGGUGAAAUUUUUUUUUGUUUACUACAAAAUAUAAAUAAUAUAUUUAUUAUAUGAUAAAAUUUUGUAAAAUAUAUUAUUAUAGAUGCAAAAUUAUUAAUGGAGUUUUAUUUUUUACUAAAUUAUCAUUUCAAUAAAUAAGAACUUAUUUGUUAAAAGAAAAUUAUAAAAUAUAUGCAAUUGAAAAAAAUUUAAUUUUUUUAUUUAAUUUGGUAUUUUAUUUGAAUUAAUAAUUGAUAUUUGUAAAAUCUUUUAAUAUUAAAAGAAGUUAACAUACUUAAAAAAGACAUUCAAAAUCAAGAGAGUAUUUGAUAUGAAAUUAAUUAAUUAUUUUUUUUCUAUUUAAAUAAAUUUUUACAUCCAUUAAAAAAAUUUUCUUGUUUAUUUUUCACUUCAAUAUUUUUAUUUUGUAAAAUAAAUAGAAAUAAAAUCAACAAAUUAAACAAUUGAAUUAAGUUAGUUUAAUUUUGCCACCGUUAAAUUGGUAAAUGAAGACUCUUAUAUUUGAUAUUAACAUGAACAUCAUGACUUCAUUGAAUAUUCUCACAAGAAAAUUUUAGUUUGAAAGAUUUUAUCCUUUAAACAUGUGGCACAUAUUAAAGUGAGACCAAGUCUUCCCUAUAAUUUGUAUCUAUCACAAUUUCUUUCCUAAUGAAUAACCUUUUUGAAUAGAAUAUAGACUUUAGCAUAUUACCAACCAUUUUACAAAUAAGUUAAUUUCACUCAGUAAAUAUACUUAACCACCAAUGGUUUCCAAUUUGUAGCACUCUUAUAGAUGUAGUUUUUUUUUUAAAUUUUAUUUUUUAGAAGAAUUGUAGGUAAAAAUAUUUUAGAUAUAUAUGUUCAACAAUUCUCUAAAAACAAUUUAUAUAGAUGGAAUACGUUCAUGGAAGUUCCAACUAAUGAAAUUUAAAACCAAUGAUGAUUUAAUGUAUUUGUACUAAAUCUUAGGGAGUGUGGACUAAAAUUAGCCCUUUUACAAAUAUUUAUAACUAGUAUAUUUGUAGUUGUGGUAUUGAAAGUUGAUCAUUUUCUUAAAAGGUUUACCAUUGAAGUUAGUUGAAUAUAAAGUUAGGUGAACUUUACCAUUGUUUAAUUGGUAAAUGAAGACUCUUAGAUUUGAUACUAACAUGUACAUCAUGACUUCAUUGAAUCUCUCACAAGGAAAUUUUAGUUUGAAAGACUUCAUCUUUUAAACAUGUGGCACAUAUUAAAGUGGACCAAGUCUUCCCUAUAAUUUGUAUCUAUCACAAUUUCUUUCCUCAUAAAUAGCCUUUUUUAAUAGAAUUAAUAUAGACUUUAGCAUGCAUGGUGGGCCCUGUCAAACUAUUAGUCAAGAUAAUUUGUAGGUAAGAACGAUGGACCAACUAUAUUAAAUAUUCUUCAUCUAUUUGCAUAUCAAGAGCAACUUAAUAUUGUCUUUCUUUUGUACUUCAUGUUUGAACUUUCAAUGGAGAGUGUGUCAUCUAAAUAUUUGAUGUGGGUUUUUAUACUAUUCUUGGUUCAAAUAUGUGGAUGCAAAGGUUGCAUCGAAGAAGAGAAGAUGGGUUUGCUUGAAUUCAAGGCUUUUCUUAAAUUGAAUAAUGAGCAUGCAGAUUUUCUUCUCCCUUCAUGGAUAGAUAACAACACUAGUGAAUGUUGUAAUUGGGAGCGGGUUAUUUGCAAUCCCACCACAGGUCGAGUUAAGAAGCUUUUCCUCAAUGAUAUUACGCAACAACAAAGUUUCUUGGAAGACAAUUGGUACCAAUAUGAAAAUGUCAAAUUCUGGUUACUAAAUGUCUCCCUAUUCCUUCCUUUUGAAGAACUUCACCAUCUAAACUUGUCUGCAAACUCAUUUGAUGGGUUUAUUGAGAAUGAAGGUAUGUUACCUCUCACCUUUAAAAUUUCAUUUCACUUAUACUCCAAACAUUCUAAAGGAACUACUAGCAUAUGUUCUUAAAAGUGUUCAGGUGGAGACCAAAUGGUCACUAGUAACUAUUGAAUUUAAUAUAAGAACAAUUACUAAUUAUUAAAAUUUAUAAUGUAAAUUAACAUUUAAACAGAACAAUAAAAAAAUUAUUAUUUUAGAAAACUAUAGAUUACAUUAGCCUUAUAUAUAUAAGCAUACUUGUUAUUUAUGCCAUCAUUUCACACUCAACCCAAUAAGUGGGAUUCAACUAAGAGUGAGCAAUUUCACAAUUAUUAAUUAACAGGAACACUUAGUCUCCCAUAUCCUUAUCCUUUUUGUUGAAUUGUCUUUCCUUAUCUUCCAUUCCUAAAAAGCUUGAUUUCUAUAUUCUAAAUUGAUAAAGAUUGGUUAAAGAAAGGUGAUCACAAAAUUUGACUAUUGCUGUCAAAUAAGGAAUCACCAUCUUCAAAGUUUCACAUUUACAAAAAAAAAAAAAAAAAAAAAAAAAAAAAAAAAAAACCCUAGCCUUGGGUAAGGUCCAAGCCUUAUUGUUUUAAGCUGAUGUCGGGUUGGUUUAAUAAUAAACAAAAAAAAUCCUAACCCAUGACCAUCUACGCAUUUCCAAAUUCCACCCAUCCACAACCCAUUAAUAUGACAUUUUCAAGGACAAAAUUUAAUCAAUUAAACCUAUUAGAUGGAUUCUCCAUACAAUGUUAAAAUGAAUAUAAAAACUUUAAUUCAAAAAAUAAUUUCCUUUAUUUAGUUAGGAUUCAAAUUAUAGGGGCACAAAACAUGAAAAUUUUCAUGUUUAAAAUUCACAAAGAUCACAAAAGCUCUUUGAAGCUCUAUGGACUUUUUUAUUUCUAACAUUUAAACACAAAAAUCACCAUAUUUAAUUAGAGAUUUGGAUACAUAUUCUUAUAUUAAAGACAUGUAAGCUUACAUAUUUAAAUAUGAAGAUCUCAACUUGUAAUUACAUGCUUCUAAUUAAAGUUAUAUUACUCUAUUUUAUAGGAUUUAAAGGGUUAUCAAGUUUAAAGAAAUUGGAGAUCUUAGACAUAAGUGGUAAUGAGUUUGAAAAAAGUGUCUUAAAAUCUUUGGACACAAUAACAUCACUCAAGACAUUGGCUAUUUGCAGCAUGGGACUGAAUGAAUCUUUUUCCAUUCGAGGCAUGUUAUAUGUCCACAUUGUUUCUUUGAAAUUAAGUAAAAUAUAUUUCUAACUUUUAAUGUUCCUUAGUUAAUCUCUCUUUUGAUUCAUGUUUGUUGCAGAAUUAGCUAGUUUGAGAAAUUUGGAAGUGUUGGAUCUAAGCUAUAAUGAUUUGGAAAGCUUUCAACUAUUGCAAGGUACUUCAUUAACUUGCUAAAAAAACUUAUGAUAUUUUGUUAUUAAAUUAAAGGUAAGAUUAACAAACAAUUUCUUCUCAUUAGUUACUUUUCUUUGUAAUAUCAUUAAAUUUGAUAUAAAGUAGUCUAAAUCAUCCUUUCAAUUUAUAAGUUUUAAUUAAAACGCAUCAAGCAUGCACAAGAUGUUUAAUAUAACUAAUAUUUUCAUAAGUAAUUGAAUUUUUUUAUAUGAAUUAAUUAACUUGAUUAUCAAUAAAUACUUACAUGUAUAAGAUUAAUAUAGUUUCAUAAGUAUUUUAAAAUUGUCUUACAACACACACACACACACACACAAGGAAAAUGAAAGGUAUGUGAUAUCUUUAUGCUAUGUUUGGUUCCCAAAAAAAUUGAGGGAAAAUGAAAGGAGAAAAAAGUAGAGACGAAAAGUAAAAGAAAAGAAAAAAAGUAAAGAAAAAUAUAAAAUUGAUUAAAGUAAAUACAUUAUUUUUAUAUGUUACUUUAACUUGUUUCACUUAUUUUAAUUCUUCAAUGUAAAGAUGAAAGAUUUGAAAAUGCAUAAGUUUCUAAUUAUUUUUUAUUUUAUUUUAUAGUUUUUACAAUACAACCAAACAUAAUAAAAUCAUUUUCUUUAAUUUUUUUUCUUUUCUUAAUACUUUUCACGAACCCUUUAAGUUAUGUUUGUUUGCAGAAAAUAUGAGGAAUAGAAAAUAGAAAAGAAAAUUAGAAGGAAAGAAAAAGUGAAGUAAAAUAAAAAUAAAUUUAAAUUUAAUAAAUUAUUUGUAUAUGCUACUUUAAACUUAUUUCACUUAUUUUAAAUUAUUUAAACUCAUUUCUAAUAAAUAAUAAUGGAAAUUGUAGAGAAGUUUGUGUUAUUCAAGCUUUGCAAUGACUUUACAAGGUGAAGGAAAAUAUUCUUGCUGAAAUUGAAAAAAGAAAUACCUUCUUAAAUAGCCUAUUGACCGAAAACACAUUACCCUAACAUAUACACACACCUUUAUUAUUUAUACAAUCAUUUAAUACUUAAUCCAGUUAGUGGGAUUCUAGUGGUUGUUUUUAUCUUGGUUUCCAAUAUUUCUGAUUGAUAGUGUUCGAUUAAUGAAAUAUCAUAAAUUUUGACCCUAAUAAGGACCAAUCCCUAUUAAAUGUAAUUGGGUUGACCUAAGACUAAAUGUUAGAUCCAACUAAUAAAAACCCAUCUAUUUGUUGGAGUGUAAAUAACCCGGCCUUAGGUAGGGCCCAUGCCUUAUUAUUUUAAGAUGUAGUCCAACUGGUUUGACACUAGAUUGAGUAAAGCCCAACUUAUGAGCAUCUAUGCAUUUCCAUCCAUCCACAACCUACUGGCAUGGACAAACUUUGGUCAAUUAAACCUAUUAUAACUGCAUACAAAAUUUUAAGUUCAAAAGAUAAUUUUCCUUAUUUAGUUAGGAUUCAUAUUAAAAAGGCACAAAGCACGAAUUUUCAUGUUUAAAUUCACAAAUAUCACAAAAGCUCCUUCAAGCUCUAUGGACCAUUUUAUUUGUAACAUUAUAUUACUCUUAAUUAUCAAAUUAACCAACAAAUUCUUCUCAUUAGUUAUUUUUCUUUAGUAAUGUCAUAAAAUUUGAUAUAAAGUAGUAUUGGUCAUCAUUUCAAAUUUUAGGUUCCAAUUAGAUGUAUCAAGCAUGUGUACCAUAUUUGAUAUAACUAAUAUUUUUAUAAGUAAUUGAAUUUUUUUUUCUAUAAAUCAAUUAAUUUGAUUAUCAAUGAAUACUUUCAUACAUGAUAUUGAUGUAGUUUCAUAAAUAUUUUAAAAUAGUCAUAGAAGUCUUUUAUCUGAUUCACUAGAAAGAAAAAUAAACUAUUCUAAUGAAAAGACUUGAUGAUUUGAAGUGAUUGCUUUUGAUUUUAUUUGAUUGCUACCAUUAUUAAUUGUUAGAAAUUGGCAACAAAUACCCAUUUUGCAUCACUUCUAUAUGCAUCGGGGGAAUGAAUUAUAUUUCAUAGAGCUAAUAGGGCAAAACUCAAACUUUUGGAAUUAUGGAAAAGGUUGCUAGAAAGCUAAUUAACCAUUUAUAUUAUGAUUAAGACUAGUUGGGUUAGAAAUAAUUCAUAUGGAGAUUAAAAAAAACUAUGUAAUUUAGUUUAGUAGCUUGGGUGCUAUUGUAAUGAUUAAUGAUCUGCAACUUGAACACAUCUACUAGUGCUUUCUACUUGUAUAGCUAAAUUUAUGUUACCACUUUGAACUACAGUACUUACAUGAGAAGAAAGUUUUUCCUUAGUGAUAAUGCAAAAGAAAUUAAGUAUCAAUUUUUGUUAAACUAACAAGUGAUAGUUUAGAUAUGGUUUGAAUACACUUCCUUUCUUCUAUAUUUUUAUUUUGAAAAAAAAAAACUCUUUAAUGAAAUAUAAGAAAUCUUAUAUGUAUAAAAAUUAAAGACUUAAACAAAAAAAUUCUUCAAAUUUGAAAAUUUUCGAGAAGUAUUUUUAAGAAUUUGUAUUUUCAAUAUAAUAAUUCAUAUAUUUUGUAUAAAAGUUUUUGUUUAAAAAAAUAGAAGUGUGUCCAAAUUACAAAUUAAUUGUUAAAUUAAGAAUGUUUCUCAGAUCAAGAGAUGAUGAAAGUUGUAGAGAGUUUGCAUUACUCAACCUUUGCAAUUACUUUUUGAAGGUAAAAGAAAAUACCUUCCUACAUAACAUACAAUGGCAGGUUCUGGUUUGUAAGAAACUAAUAAAUGAUUAAGAAUAUGAAUAAGACUUCCUUUAUAAUGGAUAUGUAGAGAAGAAUAGUGGAUGAUAGGAGGUGAAAAUCUUGUAAUAAAAUAUCAAUAUCAGUUAUAAGAUAAUCAACAUUUUCUCUAUUUCUUGUACCUAUGUGAUUAAGAAUCUUGUAGCUCCCUUAUUGAAAUAUAAUAUAAAAAUAUAAAUAAACUAUUUAGAAGUGCAUGUAGUUUUCAACAUGAGGAAGUUCAAAAGCAAGUUAAUUAUGAUAAUUUUCUAUAGUCUAUAUUGAACACAAAUUAUUUUUACUAAAGGUUCAAUCGUUCUAUGAAGGUUAAAAGUUUGAAUUGUUUACAUAUGCAAAUGGACAACCAAACAAGAAAAUGAUUUUGAAAUCCUUUUUGGACCUUUUUUUAUCAUUCAUUUUUUCCCCUACUCUAUUUCCUUUCCCUCAAACUCUCUAGGUAGUAAACAUUACCUAAGAUAAAUAGGGAAGAAAAUAUUUUAUCAUUUAUUUAUUUAGUAUUUUUCUUACAUUUUUUGUAUGUUAUCCAAAUAUAAGAAAACUAUUUUUCUUUAUUUUUUCUUUUCCUUGUUGCUUUUCAAGAAUCAAGCAUACUUUAAACUCUAAUUAAGAGUUACAUAGAUUUACGAAGAAACAAUGCAACUGGUAACAAAAAAUUAAGGAAAUUUAAUUUUUGAGAGUAGGUAUAAUGAGAUUGGUUUGUUUGAUACAAAAUUUGAAUAAAAAUUCUUUCAAUGAAAAUUCAAGGAAAGGAAAAAAAAAACAACUUUCUCUCUAGACUAUAAUACUAAAUCACUUAAAAAAUAUCCUAACAUCGUUUAUGUUCAUCUUUCUUUUUAUGGAUUUGAAAAACCCAAUAAUUUGGAGAAAACUGAUUCAAGGAAGAAUAAUUUUUAGAAUAAAAUAUUAUUAUUUAAGAAGAUCAUAAAUAUUAUAGUCAUUGUUGAAUAUGAUAAAUGAUUUAAAAAAAAUGGUAGUUGGAAAUUUAGAUACUUUUAUAAGACAAAUGAAUUUUUCUAGUAUGGUAUGAAAAAAGGUAAAAUGAUAGGCUUUGAUCAUUUUUUAAGGUAGUUUGUUUAAAUCAUUUUAAUUUAUUUUCAUUUAAGAACAAUAACUUUUAUUACACUAGUUAUUUUGAUUUUCUUUUGAUAGAUUUUGCAAGCUUAAGCAAUUUGGAGCUAUUGGAUUUGAGUAAUAAUUCAUUUAGUGGGAGCGUUCCAUCAUCUAUAAGAUUGAUGUCUUCUCUCAAGUCUUUAUCCCUGGCUGGAAAUUACCUCAAUGGUUCCUUACCAAAUCAAGGUAUAUAUAUAUUGUGAUUACAGGUUUUUCUGUUUUCUUUUUUAAUAUCUUGUUUGUUCUUUAUGCCAAUGAAGUCAUGCAUGUCUAUUAAUUUUUGGUAUUUAAUAAAAAACUUUAUUCUUAAUUCAUAAAGACCUCAUCAACGGUAAGUAACAGCUAGUUGUAAGUUUGGGGGCAUUGACAAGACGAGGAGAUGAUUGGUUACAUGUCUUAUUCUCUUUUGUAGGCUUUUGCCAAUUGAAUAAGCUUCAAGAAUUAGAUCUUUCUUACAACUUGUUCCAAGGAAUCCUUCCUCCAUGUUUGAAUAAUUUGACAUCUUUGAGGUUAUUGGAUCUCUCUUCCAACCUAUUCUCCGGAAAUCUUUCUUCCCCUCUGUUACCUAAUCUCACAUCCCUGGAGUACAUCGAUCUCAGUUACAAUCAUUUUGAGGGUUCAUUCUCUUUCAGCUCUUUUGCUAAUCACUCCAACCUUCAAGUGGUCAAACUUGGAAGGAAUAACAACAAAUUUGAGGUAGAAACUGAAUAUCCAGUUGGUUGGGUUCCCCUGUUUCAGUUGAAAGCUCUUGUGCUAUCCAACUGUAAGCUCAUCGGUGACCUUCCUAGUUUCCUUCGACACCAAUUAAGAUUAACCGUGGUUGAUCUCUCCCAUAAUAACUUGACUGGAAGUUUCUCCAUUUGGCUGCUUGAAAACAAUACAAGACUAGGAUCUCUAGUUCUGAGGAAUAACUCUUUAAUGGGUCAACUACUUCCCCUGAGACCUAAUAGUCGUAUCACUUUAUUGGAUAUCUCAGACAACCGACUUGAUGGGGAACUUCAACAAAAUGUGGCCAAUAUGAUUCCAAAUAUUGAGUUUCUAAAUUUAUCCAACAAUGGUUUUGAAGAUAUUCUCCUAUCCUCAAUAGCCGAAAUGAGUUCCUUACAGUCAUUGGAUUUGUCUGCUAAUAGUUUCUCAGGGGAAGUACCAAAACAAUUGCUUGUGGCAAAAUAUUUGUGGCUUCUGAAAUUAUCAAAUAAUAAAUUUCAUGGUGAAAUAUUUUCAAGGGAGUUUAACUUGACUCAGUUAGGGUUUUUACAUUUGGACAAUAAUCAGUUCAAGGGAACACUGUCAAAUGUAAUCUCCAGAAUCUCUAGGUUAUGGGUGUUGGAUAGGUAACAUGACCGAUUUGACUACCCUAGUGUUGGGCAACAAUAGUUUUAAAGGCAAAUUACCACCUGAGAUUUCUCAAUUGUUGGGGAUGAUAUUUCUUGACCUUUCUUAAAACGCUCUUUCAGGAUCUUUUCUUUCUUUGAAGAGCCUGGAGUAUUUAGAGCAUCUACAUUUGCAAGGGAACAUGUUUAUAGGAUUGAUACCUAGAGAUUUUCUCAAUUCCUCAUAUCUAUUGACUUUGGAUAUCAGAGACAACAGGUUAUUUGGAAGUAUUCCCAAUUCAAUCUCUAGACUUUUAGAGCUAAGAGGAAACCUUUUAAGUGGUUUCAUUCCAUAUCAGCUCUGUCAUUUGACUAAAAUAAGCUUCAUGGAUCUUUCAAACAACAAUUUUUCUAGGUCAAUUCCUGGAUGCUUUGGUCAUAUCAGAUUUGGAGAUUUCAAAACUGAGCACAAUGUGUAUAUACCGAUGUUGGAUUCGUAUUCAGAAAGCAAUCCUUCUAUAUAUGCGGGUUACUUAAUAAAAUUUUAUUUUUCUCUAGUGAACUCCCUAAUGAAGUAGAUGAAGUUGAGUUUGUUACCAAGAAUAGGUAUAGCUCCCACAGAGUAGAUAAAUAUAUUUGUUGGGAAUUUAGAUAUUUUUAUAGAAAAGUAGACAAGUAUUCUAAUUUAUAAAAAUAAUGCAUUUCUUUAGUUUGGUAUAAAAAAAAUGAAAUGAUAUGUAUUGGUAAUUUUUUUUAAAGUAACAAACGUUUUAUUUUAUUUGUAUUUAAGAACAAUUUUUUUUCUUAUACUAGUUAUUUUAAUUUUCUUUUGACAGAUUUUGCAAGCUUAAGCAAUUUGGAGAUGCUAGAUUUGAGUUAUAAUUCCUUAAGUGGGAUUAUUCCAUUAUCUAUAAGAUUGAUGCCUCAUCUCAAGUCUUUAUCCUUGGCCAGAAAUCACUUCAAUGGUUCUUUACAAAAUCAAGGUACAUAUGUUAUGAUUUGUUUGUUUCAUAUAGAUUAGAGAAGAUGAAUAUUGUUAAAAAAAAAAAGUUGUUGUUAAUGUAAGCUAGAAAUAAGUAUUUUGCCUUAUAAAUUAUAUAAGCAUGUGUUUGUUCUGAAUGAAUCUUUACAACAUUUAGAGUUACCAAUGUUUAUAAUUCAUAAAGACCUCAUUAACAGUGAGUAACAACUAAUUGUAAGUAAUUGUGGAAAAAGUAAGGAAAACAAAAUGAGGGAAAAGCAAGGAAUUAGGAAAUUAUUUUGUUCCCAUAAAAAAAUGCUAAGGAAGAAAAAGGUAAAAGAAAGUUUAAAAAAAGUGUAUUUUUCAAAAAUUUAUUUCUCUUUCCUUUAAUUUUGCUAUGGACAACCAAACAAGAAAAUAAUUUUAUAAUUCCUUUUUUUUUUCAUUCUCUCUCUCUCUCUCUCUUUUUCCCUACUCUAUUUCUUUUCCCUCAAACUUUCUUGAUAGUAAACACAACCUAAGGUAAAUGAGGAAGAAAAUUUUUAGUUUUUUUUAUUUUUUAUUUUUUUAGAAUGUUUUCUUACUUUUUAGUAUUUUAUGCAAAUAUAGGAAAAUUUUCAUCUUUCUUUUUAUGGAUUUGAAAAACCCAAUAAUUUGGAGAAAACUGAUUCAAGGAAGAAUAAUUUUUAGAAUAAAAUAUUAUUAUUUAAGAAGAUCAUAAAUAUUAUAGUCAUUGUUGAAUAUGAUAAAUGAUUUAAAAAAAUGGUAGUUGGAAAUUUAGAUACUUUUAUAAGACAAAUGAAUUUUUCUAGUAUGGUAUGAAAAAAGGUAAAAUGAUAGGCUUUGAUCAUUUUUUAAGGUAGUUUGUUUAAAUCAUUUUAAUUUAUUUUCAUUUAAGAACAAUAACUUUUAUUACACUAGUUAUUUUGAUUUUCUUUUGAUAGAUUUUGCAAGCUUAAGCAAUUUGGAGCUAUUGGAUUUGAGUAAUAAUUCAUUUAGUGGGAGCGUUCCAUCAUCUAUAAGAUUGAUGUCUUCUCUCAAGUCUUUAUCCCUGGCUGGAAAUUACCUCAAUGGUUCCUUACCAAAUCAAGGUAUAUAUAUAUUGUGAUUACAAGUUUUUAUGUUUUCUUUUUUAAUAUCUUGUUUGUUCUUUAUGCCAAUGAAGUCAUGCAUGUCUAUUAAUUUUUGGUAUUUAAUAAAAAACUUUAUUCUUAAUUCAUAAAGACCUCAUCAACUGUAAGUAACAGCUAGUUGUAAGUUUGGGGGCAUUGACAAGACGAGGAGAUGAUUGGUUACAUGUCUUAUUCUCUUUUGUAGGCUUUUGCCAAUUGAAUAAGCUUCAAGAAUUAGAUCUUUCUUACAACUUAUUCCAAGGAAUCCUUCCUCCAUGUUUGAAUAAUUUGACAUCUUUGAGGUUAUUGGAUCUCUCUUCCAACCUAUUCUCCGGAAAUCUUUCUUCCCCUCUGUUACCUAAUCUCACAUCCCUGGAGUACAUCGAUCUCAGUUACAAUCAUUUUGAGGGUUCAUUCUCUUUCAGCUCUUUUGCUAAUCACUCCAACCUUCAAGUGGUCAAACUUGGAAGGAAUAACAACAAAUUUGAGGUAGAAACUGAAUAUCCAGCUGGUUGGGUUCCCCUGUUUCAGUUGAAAGCUCUUGUGCUAUCCAACUGUAAGCUCAUCGGUGACCUUCCUGGUUUCCUUCGACACCAAUUAAGAUUAACUGUGGUUGAUCUCUCCCAUAAUAACUUGACUGGAAGUUUCCCCAUUUGGCUGCUUGAAAACAAUACAAGACUAGGAUCUCUAGUCGUAUCACUUUAUUGGAUAUCUCAAACAACCGACUUGUUGGGGAACUUCAACAAAAUGUGGCCAAUAUGAUUCCAAAUAUUGAGUUUUUAAAUUUAUCCAACAAUGGUUUUGAAGGUAUUCUCCCAUCCUCAAUAGCUUAAAUGAGUUCCUUACAGUCGUUAGAUUUGUCUGCUAAUAGUUUCUUAGGGGAAGUACCAAAACAAUUGCUUGCGGCAAAAUAUUUGUGGCUUCUGAAAUUAUCAAAUAAUAAAUUUCAUGGUGAAAUAUUUUCAAGGGACUUUAACUUGACUCAGUUAGGGUUUUUACAUUUGGACAAUAAUCAGUUUAGGGGAUAUUUCUCCAGAAUCUCUAGGUUAUGGGUGUUGGAUGGGAGAUAGUUUUAAAGGCAAAUUACCACCUGAGAUUUCUCAAUUGUCGGGGAUGAUAUUUCUUGACAUUUUUCAAAACGCUCUUUCAGGAUCUCUUCCUUCUUUGAAGAGCCUGGAGUAUUUAGAGCAUCUACAUUUGCAAGGGAACAUGUUUAUAGGAUUGAUACCCAGAGAUUUUCUCAAUUCCUCAUAUCUAUUGACUUUGGAUAUCAGAGACAACAGGUUAUUUGGAAGUAUUCCCAAUUCAAUCUCUAGACUUUUAGAGCUAAGAGGAAACCUUUUAAGUGGUUUCAUUCCAUAUCGGCUUUGUCAUUUGACUAAAACAAGCUUCAUGGAUCUUUCAAACAACAAUUUUUCUGGGUUAAUUCCCGGAUGCUUUGGUCAUAUCGGAUUUGGAGAUUUCAAAACUAAGCACAAUGUGUAUAUACCGAUGUUAGAUUCGUAUUCAGAAAGCAAUCCUUCUAUAUAUACGGGUUACUUAAUAAAAUAUUUAUUUUUCUCUACUGAACUCCUUGAUGAAGUAGAUGAAGUUGAGUUUGUUACCAAGAAUAGGUAUAGCUCCCACAGAGUAGAUAAAAAUAUUUGUUGGGAAUUUAGAUAUUUUAUAGGACAAUAUACAAGUAUUCUAAUUUAUAAAAACAAUGCAUUUCUUUAGUUUGGUAUAAAAAAAAUAAAAUGAUAGGUAUUGGUAAUUUUUUUUCAAAGUAACAAACGUUUUAUUGUAUUUGUAUUUAAGAACAAUGUCUUUUCUUAUACUAGUUAUUUUAAUUUUCUUUUGACAGAUUUUGCAAGCUUAAGCAAUUUGGAGAUACUAGAUUUGAGUUAUAAUUCCUUAAGUGGGAUUAUUCCAUCAUCUAUAAGAUUGAUGUCUUGUCUCAAGUCUUUAUCGUUGGCCGGAAAUCACCUCAAUGGUUCUUUACAAAAUCAAGGUACAUAUGUUAUGAUUUGUUUGUUUCAUAUAGAUUAGAGAAGAUAAAUAUUGUAAAAAAAAAAAAAGUUGUAGUUAAUGUAAGCUAGAAAUAAGUAUCUUGCCUUAUAAAUUAUAUAAGCAUGUGUUUGUUCUUAAUGAAUCUUUACAACAUUUAGAGUUACCAAUGUUUAUAAUUCAUAAAGACCUCAUUAACGGUGAAUAACAACUAAUUGUAAGUAAUUGUGGAAAAAGUAAGGAAAACAAAAUGAGGGAAAAGCAAGGAAUUAGGAAAUUAUUUUUUUCCCAUAAAAAAAUGCUAAGGAAGAAAAAGGUAAAAGAAAGUUUAAAAAAAGUGUAUUUUUAAAAAAAUUAUUUCUCUUUCCUUUAAUUUUGCUAUGGACAACCAAACAAGAAAAUCAUUUUAUAAUUCCUUUUUAUUUUUUUCAUUCUCUCUCUCUUUUUUUCCCUACUCUAUUUCUUUUCCCUCAAACUUCCUUGGUAGUAAACACAACCUAAGAUAAAUGGGGAAGAAAAUUUUCAGUUUUUAUUUUUAUUUUUUUAGAAUGUUUUCUUACUUUUUAGUAUUUUAUGCAAAUAUAGGAAAAUUAUUUUUUUUUCUUGCUCCUUUUCAGACAUGAAUCACACUUUAAAAGAAAAUUAAUUUUUAAUUAGGAGUUAAGAUAAAUUUAAGGAGAAACAAUGAAUCACGAAUAACAAAAAAUUAAGGAAAUUGAAUUUUUGAAAGUAAGUAUAAUCAAAUUGCUUCAUUUGAUACAAAAUUUGAAUAAAAAUUCUUUCAAUGAAAAAUCAAGGAAAGGAAAAAACAUUUUUGUCUCUAGAUUAUAAUACUUAAUCAUGUAAAAAAUCUCUUAACAUCAUUUAUAUUCAUAUUUCUUUUUGUAGAUUUGAAAAAUUCAACAAUUUGGAAUAAACUUAUUCAAUGAAGAAUAAUUUUUAGAUUUAAAGAUUAUUAUUUAAGAUCAUAAAUAUUACCAUCAUUGUUGAUGUCCAAGAAGAUCAUAUUCAACAAUUUUUUUAAUAUGUUGUUUUUUAUGGUAAUUAAUUGAUGUCUUGUAAUUUUUAAUAUUUAAUGAAAAACAUUAAUUUAAUUCAUCUAAAGCUCUUAAUUCAUGAAGACCUCGUUAAUGUAAUGGUGAGUAAUAGUUGGCUGUAAGUUUGGAGUCAAAGACAUGUUAAGGAGAUGAUUAGUUACAUGUCUUAUUCUCUUUUGUAGGUUUCUGCCAAUUGAAUAAGCUUCAAGAGUUAGAUCUUUCUUACAACUUAUUCCAAGGGAUCCUUCCUCCAUGUUUGAAUAAUUUCACAUCUCUGAGGUUAUUGGAUCUCUCUUCCAACCUCUUUUCCGGAAAUUUUUCUUCCCCUCUGUUACGUAAUCUCACAUCCCUAGAGUACAUAGAUCUCAGUUCCAAUCAGUUUGAGGGUUCAUUCUCUUUCAGCUCUUUUGCUAAUCAUUCCAAGCUUCAAGUGGUCAUACUUGGAAGGGAUAACAACAAAUUUGAGGUAGAAACUGAAUAUCCAGUUGGUUGGGUUCCCCUGUUUCAGUUGAAGAUUCUCUCUCUAUCCAGCUGUAAGCUCACCGGUGACCUUCCUGGUUUUCUUCAAUACCAAUUCAGGUUAGUGGGGGUUGAUAUCUCACAUAAUAACUUGACAGGAAGUUUCCCCUAUUGGUUGCUUGAAAACAAUACGAGACUAGAAUCUCUAGUCUUGAGGAAUAACUCUUUAAUGGGUCAACUACUUCCCUUGGGACCUAAUACUCGUAUCAAUUCAUUGGAUAUCUCACACAAUCAGUUGGAUGGACAACUUCAAGAAAAUGUGGCCCAUAUGAUUCCAAAUAUUAUGUUUCUAAAUUUAUCCAACAAUGGUUUUGAAGGUAUUCUCCCAUCCUCAAUAGCUGAACUAAGAGCCUUAUGGAUUUUGGAUUUGUCUACCAAUAAUUUCUCUGGAGAAGUACCAAAGCAAUUGCUUGCAACAAAAGAUUUGGGGAUUCUGAAAUUAUCAAAUAAUAAAUUUCAUGGUGAAAUAUUUUCAAGGGACUUUAACUUGACUGGGUUAUUGUGUUUGUAUUUGGGCAAUAAUCAGUUCACAGGAACUCUGUCAAAUGUAAUCUCCAGAAGCUCUUGGUUGGAGGUGUUGGAUGUGAGCAACAACUACAUGUCAGGUGAAAUUCCAAGCCAGAUAGGUAACAUGACCGAUUUGACUACACUGGUGUUGGGCAACAAUAAUUUUAAAGGCAAAUUACCACUUGAGAUUUCUCAAUUGCAACGGAUGGAGUUUCUUGACGUUUCUCAAAAUGCUUUUUCAGGAUCUCUUCCUUCUUUGAAGAGCAUGGAGUAUUUAGAGCAUCUACAUUUGCAAGGGAACAUGUUUACAGGAUUAAUACCCAGAGAUUUUCUCAAUUCCUCAAAUCUAUUGACUUUGGAUAUUAGAGAAAACAGGUUAUUUGGAAGUAUUCCCAACUCAAUCUCUGCACUUUUGAAGCUAAGGAUUCUUUUGCUAGGAGGAAACCUUUUAAGUGGUUUUAUUCCAAAUCAUCUUUGUCAUUUGACUGAAAUAAGCUUGAUGGAUCUUUCAAACAACUCUUUUUCAGGGCCAAUUCCCAAAUGCUUUGGCCAUAUCCGAUUUGGGGAAAUGAAAAAGGAGGACAACGUGUUUGGACAGUUCAUUGAAUUUGGGUUUGGAAUGGUUUCUCAUCUUGUAUAUGCAGGUUACUUGGUGAAAUAUUACGGUUCCCCAACUUUAGUAUAUAAUGAAAAAGAUGAAGUUGAGUUUGUCACCAAGAACAGGAGUGACUUCUACAAAGGUGGCAUCCUUGAAUUCAUGUCUGGAUUGGACUUAUCAUGUAACAACUUGACAGGCGAAAUACCUCAUGAACUUGGAAUGCUAAGUUGGAUUCGUGCAUUGAACUUGUCUCACAAUCAAUUGAAUGGCUCCAUUCCAAAGAGUUUCUCUAAUCUUUCUCAAAUAGAGAGCUUAGACCUUUCUUAUAAUAAACUGGGUGGAGAAAUUCCUCUAGAGCUAGUUGAACUCAAUUUUUUAGAGGUGUUUAGUGUGGCUUACAACAACUUCUCUGGUAGAGUUCCAGAUACCAAAGCACAAUUUGGGACAUUUGAUGAAAGGAGCUAUGAAGGUAAUCCUUUCCUUUGUGGGGAACUAUUAAAGAGGAAAUGCAACACAAGUAUUGAGUCACCAUGCACACCAUCACAGUCUUUUGAAAGUGAGGCAAAAUGGUAUGAUGUCAAUCAUGUUGUUUUCUUUGCAAGUUUUACUACUUCAUAUAUCAUGAUCUUGUUAGGAUUUGCUAUCAUCCUUUACAUCAAUCCUUAUUGGCGUCAUAGAUGGUUCAAUUUUAUCGAGGAAUGUAUAUAUUCCUGCUAUUAUUUUGUUUUUGAUAGUCUUUCCAAGUUAUCAGCAUAUUUGUAUAAUUAGAUACUUUUAAUUGGAUGAUAUUUGCAUAAUUAACUACUAUUUGUUUCCCUGGGAUAGAAAGAAAUGGGAUGUAUAAUGCUAUGAGCUGAAACUUACAUACUUUGCUCAAAUUCUAACAUCUUUUGAUUUUAUUUUCAAGUUCCGUUAUUUAUUAUGUAUUGCUUAAUUCAAGAUUUAACCAUAUUACGUUACUCUUAUAAAAGCAAAUUCAAAUUUUUAGGAACUUUUAGCAUUAAAAUAAUUUCAUAGUCAGAUUUUAAAAAAUAAAGAAGAAAGAAAAUAAUAAAUAAUUGGAAAAACAAUUCAAGGAAGUAUUAAAUUAUUAUCUUAGAAUUAUUUGGCGUAGUAUGGGAAUUCAAAAAUAAUCUUUCAAUUUGUUAGAAAUGUUUAUUUAUUUAUUAUAGCAAUGAUUGAAAUAUCAAUCACAAAGUAAUGUUUUCUUUUCUUUUGUAGGGCACUAACACUUUUUCUUUGAUAGUAAUAAUUGAUAAAUAUAUUACACAAUUAUUUGUUUUAAAAAAGGGAGGGAUGACAAACAUAAUAACAUGUGAAAUAUUUCUAAAACUGUAAUGGGAAAUAAGCCAUCUAAUUAGGGUGCAAUAUUAUUCAUUUUAAUUUACAUGAAUUUACUUAUUUUUAUUUGCAUCAUAUUUUGAACUAUUUUAUGAAAUUAAGGGAGAUUAAAACAUCACGAGUUUCUUAUUUUAGUUUAUAUUCUUAAUAAUAAAGCAUGAAAUAUUAUAAAAAAAAAAAUCAUGAAUUUCUUUAAUUCCUUAGGAAACCAAUAUAUAAAAAAUUGAACAUAUUAUUAUUUUAUAUCCUAAAUCUCUAAAUUUGUUCAUUACCUAUUUAUUUUUAUAUUAAAUUUAUUAUUAAUUAUUUAUUUAUAUUAUUAUUUUAUGUUUAAAAUGUUCAUAAAUAAUUAAAAUUAAUAAAUAUAAAAAUAAAAUAUUAAAAAAUUAAAUUAUAAAGAUUUCAUCAAACUGACAUAUUUAAAAAAAAAAAAAAGCUAAAAAAGAUGAGGAUAUUAUAGAGGAGGGGAAAAGGAUAAAAGAAAAUUCAUGUGGUAUGAUAAUAUCACGUGUCAAAGUUAUUUUCUUUAAAAAAUAAUAAUAGUAAUGAUGAACUCAUUUGUCUUAUCAAAGUAAGUUAAAAAAAAAAAAAAAAAAAAAAAAGAAAAGAAAAAGAUGGUAGUUGGCUUAUUUGUUCUUUGAAAAUAAAAAAUCAAAGUUUUAGAAAAAUACAAUUUUCUUUUAAAUGAUGAAUGGUUACAUCAUUUCCCCUUAGCUUAUCUGUUCCUUUAAACUUUAGUUUGAAUAAAAUUAGUUUUAAUUAUUUUCUUUUUGGAAUUAUAUUUAAUCGUAUUAUUAAAAAUAUAAAAAACAUCGUAAUAAUAUUGUCAAUAAGUUUUUUUAUAUAUAUUGAAAAAUAUUUAUAUUUAAAAAUAUUUAAAUUUUGUCAUGGGCUGCCCAUUUCAAAAUGAUAAGAAUAUAAUAACCUAAUUUUUCCAAAUUCCAGGUAAAUAUGCUAAUCUAAAAAAAAAAAAUUAUUAGGUUUUUAUGUGCUGAUUGGGUUUUUUUUAUACCCAGUAUGCUCUCCAAUCUACCACUUAAGCAUCCGACAUGGCUAAAAAUAAAUUUUUAAAAAAAAGAAUAAAAAAGGAAAAAAACGAAAGUGUGUGAUCUCUUUCUUGAGUCUUCACAAUCUGAGACACUGAACCCAAAUCAAAAUUAAUCCUCCAAAUUAAUUUUCACCUCCAACCCAAACCCUAACGACUGCCUCACUUUCUUCUCAAACAUAGCUAUACGAAAAACCCUAGCCUCUGCCUCGUCUUCCUCUUAUCCCGGAAACCCAAAUCCCGUGACCCUAACCCCUUCUCUUUCCGAAAACCCUCCAGAAUCGGAAGAUUCAAGUGAUCGAAUUAAUUCUUCAGAAUUAAUUUUCACCUCGAAGCCGAACCCUAACUGCCUCAUCUUCCUCUCAUUCAUAUCCCAAAAGUAGCUUCAACAGUCAGGCCUGCGGCCAUGAAAGCCGUAGUGAUCGCCACUUCCGGCGAUCCCCAAGUUCUCCAAGUGCAAGAAGUCGAAAACCCUGAAAUUGGAGAUGAUGAAGUUCUAAUUAGAGUGGACGCCGCUGCCAUUAAUCGAGCGGAUACGCUUCAGAGGAAGGGCUUGCACCCUCCCUCAAAGGCGGCAGUCCCUACCCCGCUGGAAUCAUCGAAGCUGUUGGAAAGGUCGUCGUUCGAUGGAAGGUUGGCGAUCAGGUAUUUCAAUUGCCUAAUAUUUUGAUUCCGUUUCUGUUCCUGUAUUUUUCUCGGCUAUCCUUUAUGUGAUUUUGCUUCCUCCUGAGUACAAGUUCAUAAUAUACAUGGUACAUGGUGAAUCUGUAUGACAUUUCAUGGUAUACAGGUGUGUGCUCUUCUUUCUGGUGGAGGGCAUGCUGAAAAAGUGGCUGUUCCAGCUGGGCAAGUUCUCCCUGUCCUAUCUGGUGUUUCUCUGAAGGAUGCUGCUGAGGUUGCAUGUACUGUUUGGUCAACUGUUUUAAUGAUGAGCCGACUGUCUGCAGGAGAAACAUUCCUGGUGAAUUUUUUGUCUUUUUUAUUUUCUGAUGCCUGAUAUAUUUACCAGCACAAAUUUUCCCUGUUGCUGUUUAAUGUGUGUGCAUCAAUAUUGGAUUAGGGAGGUAGAAGAGCCAUGGUUCUAUUACAUCAUCAUAUUCUUAUUUAGAUACAUUGUAUCCCACAAUUUCAUUGCAUCCAAGGCUAUGUUGUUUUUUAUUGCACGGUUUGUCAUGGUAAUUUCUCAACCCUUCUCUGGAAAAUUAUGUUGGAUGGCUGCUAUUAAUUACCCCAAAAGAAGAAAUUUUAUGUUGAAGUAAGAUGAGUAGCACAAAGAGUUACUUGUGGUUGAUCCUAUCAUCAAAUGGGCGAUUGAUGCACAAUCCAAAUGGUAAAUUUUUUUCCCCCUUUAUCCAGAUGGAAUUUUUAUGCAUGGUUGAAUAGUGAAAUGAGGACUGAUAAUAUUUCAGGUUCAUGGGGGUUCAAUUGGAAUUGGUACCAUCUAUUCAAAUAGUGAAAUAUUGAGGAGCAAGGGUAUUUGUUACAGCAGGUUUGCCAUCACUGUUCUACCUCAUCCCACAGAAUGCUUAUCUCAUGGCACCAAUUCCUUUUCUUCACAUGUUUUCAACCAUUUUUUCCACCCAGGAACGAGGAAAAAUUAGCUGUUUGUAAGGAUCAUUGAGCAGAUGUGUGCAUCAAUUACAAGACUGAAAACUUUGUUGCAUGGGUGAAGGAGGAAACAGGAGGGAAAGGUACAUUCUAUUGUAUCUUAACGAUAAUUUCAAUUGAAGGUGGAAUUGCUUUUUAUUUUUUAGUGCACCAAAUCCACUAGUCUGGAAUGUUUGAAAAGAUAAAUAGUCAUCUUCCACUUGAUUCCGAUUGUGAAGAUCUAACCCCAAAAAUGUUGAAUGACAGGUGUUGAUGUUAUACUGGAUAAUAUUGGAGGGGCCUACUUUUGGGGAGACAUCAAUGGUUUAAAUGUUGAUGGAAGGCUUUUUAUUAUUGGUUUUCAGGGUGGAACAGUGGUACAAGUAAAUCUUUCAGGUUUACUUGCAAGGCGCCUUACAGUGCAAGGUACCACUUUCUCUGUAGAAGAUUUUUCUGUAGUUUUGGAGUUGAAUCAAUUUGAUUAAUCUCAUCCAAGUUCAGAACUGAGGUGGAUUCUGGCAAGCCAAGGAAAAACCAAAUUACCAUAAAUUCUUUUUUUUUUUCUGGAUCGUUUUACUUCUUGGAAAUCCUGUUUCUCGAUCUGGUCAGGUAUAUGGAAAUUCCAAGGAAAAUAUGUUUUACAUUUUCCAUAAUUGGAAACACUCAGGAAUUUAAUAUUUUCCUCUGAAAUAGCAAUGGUUUUCUAAUUACGACAUUUGUUUUUCUUGUAUCAUCCCAAAAUAUUUUUUAGGUGUUUGUUCUCUCUUGACACAGCUUUUAAUUGGGUCUGUCUUGCUUUUUGAUAGAUCUCUUGACAAGUUGCUUGUAUAUCAUACUUUCUUUAUUGUUUUCGGAUCAUGAACCUUGCUUCUGUCAGCCCUGUUAUCACUACCCAAACUAGUAAAUUUAUGCACAAAACUCCAUGUGUCAGUAACAGUGGUUAUUUGAUUGUAUUAAAUAAUUUGUAAAUACAGUGGAUAAGUUUGUGCAUAGAUUGAAGGCGAAUGAAAAACGUGCAUAGAUUGAAGGUGUGCUGCUUGAGUUGAUUGUAGUUUGAGCAUGAAAAUUUGAAGAUCCAGAACAGCAAAUGAGGAAUGCCUAUCAAUUUGAAACCAGCAUGGGUGGAUGAAUGGAGAGGUUCUUCACUGAAUUUGUCCAUGAAGCUUUUUAGCACUCUAGGGCAAGGGUCUCCAAGCCUAGCUGUUGAUUGCACAUCCCUCCUGCGCAAUACUAAGAACAGAGUGAAAUGCAAAUGCAGGAAAGGGUGUUUCUUAGCUGUUCAACAACUGACAAUACAUUGGCAUGACAAUUCCCUGGAUCGAAUGCCACAAUGCCCUCUUGGAGUUCCAAAGCUUGUUCACAGGUCAAACGAACUUGAGGGUUUUGGGACAUGAACUCCAAGUUUGGUUGCCAAGAAUCUCCAGGUGGAGGAUCAGCUUCUGACACGUGCACACACCUCUUGGCCAGUUUGUGUUAUUGCAAUUUUUAUUAAAUUGCUAAAAAAUUUAUCGCGAACAAUUUUUUCUUUUUUCUUUUUUCUUUUUUUCUUUUUAAACAAACUGCAAAAAUCCCUUUUUUUUUUAUAUAAAAAAAAAAAAAAUUCUCCAACAAAGUGAUUUUUUUUUGUGGCAUGACUCGGUUUGACCACUAACUCGGUGAACUGGUCUAUCGGCUCAAGUUUGGAUCCCUUAAUUUUGUGGCAAAUUGGGCAUCAAGCCCAACAACCUAACUUCCAUGCGGGCUAUCUACUGGAUCUCACCCAUUGUAACUUGCUCUGGGUGAAUGGCCAUUAUAAACUUCAUUUUAUCCUCAUGUGAUUUUGAUGUGGGAAUGGGAGAGAUGAGGAUUUGACAUUUGGACCUAAGGCUCAAUGGGUUUUAACUCCACUCAGCUACUUUAUGUCUUGUAUUUAAUAUUGCAAACCAAAAUAAUAAUAGACAUGAUUCUUUUCAAAAAAUUUAUAAUGUAAUAUUUUUUAAAAUUAUAAAAUAAUAGGUUAUAUAAAUUUUAAUAUAUAGGUAAAAUUAAUUAAAUUUUAACAAAUAUCUUCACAUUUAGACAUUACAUAUUUUUUAUUUAAUAAAAUUUUAAAAUAUUAAUAUAUCUAAAUAUAAUAUUAAAAAUGAAAAAUAAAAUAGUAAUAAUUUUUAUUUUCUUUAUAUAUUUAAAAUUAUAUAAUUAUUUUUUAUUUUAAUAACAUAUAAAUUGUAUAUUUAUAAUAUUAUUGGUUCAACUGUGAUUCAACCAUCACUCCGAUUAUUCAAUUAUGAAUUAAUAAAUUUUUUAAUUCAAUGAUAGGUUUGAUUAUAAAAAUAUUAUGUUUUUUUUUAUGAAAAGUACUCAAGAAAUAUCAUUAAUCACUAAGAUCACGUGGUUGGAUUAGGUGUAUCCGAAACAUAGGUAUUACUCUCUUCCUUAGUUAGGGCUUAGCUUUUGAAAAUGUAGAUAGGUAAAGUGGAUGGAAAGUCUAUAACUACGUAGAGAUUGAGCUUGGAGGCCAAUCUAGCAAAUGUGGAGAUUAGAAAUAGUUUACCAUCUAGAUAGUCAAGCAUAGCAAUUUACCAAACCCUUACCAACCAUCCAUACUAACCAAUUGUGGUUAAAUGUUUACAAAAAUGUACAUUAAAUCAAAGAGAAAAAAGAUUAAAAACGAACAAGAGAGAAGAAGCACAUCACCUAAUUUUGGUAAUAAAUGAAAUUAAAAUAAAUUCAUAAAUUUUUUAAAUUAAAAUGAAUUUGAACUCUAGAGAUUUGUGUAGAUAUCUUAUUAAAAAACCAAAAAGUUUGUUGCAUAUAUAAUUUCAACAAUGCAUAAAUAAUUACAACAUACGCAAUACAAUAAUAUUACACAACUAUAUUUUCAAAUAUAAUAUAAGAUCAUUAAAGUGAUAAAUUGUAGUUGUAUAAAGUAUUUAUACAAGUAAAGAAGAAAUUAUGAGAUUAAAAUGCUUGUUGGAUUCUAAGUAAAAAAGAAAUGAGAUAUAGAGAUUGUCCCAUCAGACAUAUAGAAUUUCAUAUACAUAAUUUUCCCUUCAAGAAAAUUUAGGGUCAAAUUGAAAAAAUUUCAUUCAUAGAUUUUGGUAAAACCUCUAUCUAGUCCCCGAAGUCUUGUAUACAAAAGGAAAUAACAUUGGUAUGAGGGGUUUGAAUGCUUAAUUUUAGAUUGAAAAUGCUUGAGAUAAUUUUUGAUCGACUUCACAUGUGUUUUUAAUAAACUUGGAACAUUCAAACUUGUAUUUGAAGAAUCUUCAAUUUGAUCUUAAAUAAUGUUGAAACCUUCAAAAUUUGAAUAGAAGAAUCUUUAAGCAUUUGAAUUUUGGUUUAAAGAAUUUUGAAAUUUGAGACUGAAGAAUCUUCAAAUUUGGGCCUGAAGAUCAAAGGCUAAGCUUGAAGAGUUCUUGAAGCUUGAGUGGUAUGUCCGAUUUUGUUUUGUAUUUUAUAAAAACUUUUAGGCUAUGUUUGGUUCCCAGAAAAUUUGAGGGAAAAUGCGAGGGAAAGAAAAUACAAAGGAAAAGUAGAAGGAAAGAAAAAGUGAAGGAAAAUAAAAAAAUAGAUUAAAAGUUGAUAAAUUAUUUUUUUUGUUACUUCAAACUCAUUUUAUUUAUUUUAACUCAUCAAUAUAAAGAUUAAAUAAUUUAAAAAUAUAAAAGUUUUUAAUUAGUUUUAAUUAUAUUUAAUUUUCUUUGAUAUUUUUUAUAAGACAACCAAACAUGAGAAAAUCAUUUUCCUUAGCAUUUUUUUUCUUUCCUUUGUACUUUCCGGGAACCAAACAUAGCCUUAAGUAUACUAUAUUUAUAGGUUUGAAGAGACAUUGAGAUUUUGUAUACAUGUUUGGAGUUUUAAACCUUGAAAUAUUACUCUUUUAUGAAAUUAACAUUUAUAAAAUUUGGAAGAACAUAAUUAGAUAAUAUUCUAAGUUAUUUUUAAUGAAAAUUGAUAAUUACCUUUUAAUUAUCAAAUUCACUAUUUCUAUUUAUUUUUGUAAUAUAUAUUAAUUACUAAAAUCAUUUAUUUCCUUUAUUUAGUUUGAAAGCAAUUAUAUAUCUUUUGUUUGUGUAGAGCUCAUGUGACACGACAAAUUUUAUUUUGUAACUUGCUCUGGAUGAAUGGCCAUUAUAAACUUCAUUUUAUCCUCAUCUGAUUUUGACGUGGGAAUAGGAGAGAUGAGGAUUUGACAUUUGGACCUAAGCCUCAGAGGGUUUUAACUCCACUCAACUACUUUAUGCCUUGUAUUUAAUAUUGCAAACCAAAAUAAUAACAGACAUGAUCCUUUUCAAAAUUUUUAUAUUAAUAGAAGUGUAAAUAAUAUAAGUAAAAAUAAUGUAAUAUUUUUUAAAAUGAUAAAAUAAUAGGUUACAUAAAUUUUAAUAUAUAGGUAAAAUUAAUUAAAUUUUAACAAAUACCUUCACACUUAAACAUUACAUAUCUUUUAUUUAAUAAAAUGUUAAAAUAUUAAUAUAUUUAAAAUUGUAUAAUUAUUUUUAUUUUAAUACUAUAUAAAUUAUAUAUUUAUGAUAUUACUGGUUCAACUAUAAUUCAAUCACUGGUCCAACCAUUGAACCAUGAAUUAGUAAAUUUUUUUAUUCAAUGAUAGGUUUGAUUCUAAAAACAUUAUGGCUAUGUUUGGUCCCAGAAAUUUUUUUUUGAUGGAUAAUGACAAAGAUAUUACCAAUUUGAUAUCACCAAUUGAUAACACAAUUAAAAAAUAAUAUGAAUUUUAACAUAUUUGAAUUCAUUGUAAUCAUAUCCAUGACCUAAUUUUACACAUCCUUAAAUCAUGGUUGAUUUAUGAAACAAAUCUAUACCAUCAAUAGAAAAUAAAUAAAUAAAAUAAUACAAAAAAAAUAUAUAGAUAGUCAAGCAUAGCAAUUUACCAAACCCUUAGCCACCAUCCAUACUAACCUGUUGUUGUUAAAUGUUUACAAAAAUAUACAUUAAAUCAAAGAGUAAAAAGAUUAAAAACGAACAAGAGAGAAGAAAUACAUCACCUAAUUUUUGUAAUAAAUGAAAUUAUAAUAAAUUCAUAAUUUUUUUAAAUUAAAAUAGGAAUUCAAAUACAUGUAACUAUUGUUUUUGUCUUGUAAAUCAUCCAAUUUUUCAAUGAAUUUAAACUCCACAGAUUUGUGUAGAUAUCUUAUUAAAAAAAGCAAAAAGUUUUCACUAAAAUCAUAAAAUUUAGAUUAGAAAUGAUUUACUAUAUUAGUUCAAAAUUCACCUCCACAAAAAUUGAAAUAAAUUAAUUAUCUUCAAUUCAAAUAAAAUUUCUCCAAUUAAAUUUCCAAAUAUGUGCCUUAAUACCUAUAAUGGAAUUAGUAAUUUUAAUUAAAAUAAAAAUAAAAAUAAGGAUUUGAUCUUUUUCUUACCAUUUGAUGAAAAUUAUAAAAUAUAUUAAAAUGACAAGUGAUCAGACAUUUGAAAUUUGCAUCAUUUCUACCAUUGCAAACACCACCAACCCCAUAUUUCCCAUUUUUCUACCUACUGCCAAUUCACUCAUCUCUCUGGGAAGAUUUUUGAGGUUAUCGUCAUGCUUGAGAUAAUCCAGAAAGUUGAGCGGCAUCACUCUCUGAAAGGUGCCUUACAGCAUGGGUAAUGUAUGGGAUACAUCUGAUAACUUGCCAUAUCCAUAAACCACUAUAUUAAACCAUGGUUCAUAUCCCCAACGUUACACGAGAAUCUGUACUCAUCCCAAGCAGCUUGGAGAUCAUAAAAUUAGGUUUUGAGGGCCUCCCGAGACAUGCACAGCUUCACCCUUUGUGCAUUCCUUUGAUUUGGAAAAUUUCUUCUUUAGAAUUCCCCAUUAUCAUGCCCUGAACCAAGACAUAUCAUGAUUGGAUGGGCCCCUUCACCAAUUUCACAAUAUCCAAUAGCAUAUCAUUUACUUCCCUUUUGUCAAUGGGAAUUACCAUUUUGCAUGGGAAGCACCAACGGAGAUGGAGGUUUUCAAAUUGGAUCACUAGCAAAGAAACCCACCGCAACUAUCUGAAUAAUUGAGCACAACAUCGGCUUUAGAGAACUCCUCCUGAAGGCGAAAUCGUCAUCUUGGCUAAACGUAGUCAUAGUUGGGUUGUGAGAAAUGGAGAUGAAUCAUAGAAGGCUUUCAGUUUCAUAGCAACGAAAAGGUAAAUGUACUCUAGAGAAGUUUUGACCUUGGGAGAAGCGCUUUUGAAUCCAAGUCAAGGUCUGUUCUGGAUCCCUUUUCGACUCUCUCUAUUAAAGGAAGAUAAUCUGCCUAGGAUUUGGAUGCAAGCUUGCAAGGCCAUGUUUAGGAGACUUAUGCAAAAUAUUUAUCCAUAGCUCCCCGCCUGAAACAUCUACAUAAAGCGUCUUCCAAGUGUGAACCAUUGUCUUGGGUCCUUGAGAUGAACAAAAACUGAGACAUAUCGUGAGUUAGAUGCAUUGCCUGAAAAUGCCGAGCAGUAGUAUGGCCUUCUUUCUGAUCAACUGUUUUGUCAAAUUCUAGAGCUCUCAUUCCAAAUCCAUCAGUUUUCUCAAAUGAUUGGCUAGUGGAGAUCCAUGGAUAUAACAUAUGAAAUGUGCACAAUAAAAGUAAUCAAACGGUUGGUUGGUUUGGCUGAAUCCCACAAUCGCAAAGACUAAUCAUAUGAAACUGUUACCAGCUGAGUUGAAUUUGGCCUAAAAAGGAUAUCCGUUACUACAAACUAGCGUUCUUUCAUGGUGCUCUCUCUUUGCAGGCUAUCCAUGUUCCAAAGAAAAACUCUCUUGUCAUGUCUGGCACUAGGCACUGAUUAGAGUGUGGGACGUUCAUUCUCCAUUAUCACCAAACACAUGCAGGAUAUAUAUAUAUCAAUUCAUUCAAAAUAUGCCUUUAUUUUAUGGAACAUAACCGAAUCCAUUUUGUUUGUGUUGAAGAGGUAUAGAUCUUCUAAGGCUGUGGAGGGCACCACCUUUUCUCAGAAUUCUCUCUGACGAUGGGAAGCCGAAGAGAACGGGUUUUGUUUUUAUUUUGAAAACGUUGUUAUCAUUAAAGAACAAACACUAUUCUUUGGAUUUAUACCCUCUUGCCUUAGGGACCAUACUGUUUGGCUAUUGGGCCUCACGAGUCUUAGGCCCAUCAUCUAAGGCCCAUGAUGGCACUGGGCUCUACACAUAAGGUGACCCAUACUCUGGAACGAAUAGAAAUCAUAUGUAUAUAUAUGGAUAGCUAAAUCCUGAACAAUGGUUAAUAUGAUGUCGGUCCACAUUUAUUCUAUCAAUCUCCCACUUGGACCACAUAUAUUACAAAACAAUGUUCAUGAUAGUACUUUAUUGAGCUCAUCUUUGCUAUCCUAUCUUAAUAUCCUUAAACAAUCCGGUCUACUAGUUAUGCUAACAUAGGAUCAAAGUGGCCUUCAUUAAUCAUAAUUAUAACUAGACCCAUCAAUGAUCACAACAUUAACAAAAUUAGCAACAUAGAUCAAGUAUGGAUGUGUAGCAUGGAAAUUACAUAAAAUGUGAUCUUUAUUAUGUCUAUUUCCAAUUGGUCCUACUUUAUGACUAAAAAAUAGUCAAAUUCCACUUUCAACACUUGAUGCUAAACUGCUUUUAAAAGUCAUCAUUUCAAUUCAGAGAAUUCAAAUACAAUAGUCUUUAAAAUCAAGGUUUGUACAGAUAACACAAUAUAACAUCAUAUCAAGAAAACAAACACAAAAUCUAAAUACAAACUCCCACUAUACUGGAACAUCAUCAAUAUGUACAACACCCAUAUGUGUGACAUGAUCAUGAUAUACUUUGGGUGGCAAACCCUUAGUGAGCGGAUCCGCAAUCAUGAAGUUUGUGCUUGUAUGUUCAAUCGAUACUUGAAGACUCUAAACUCUUUCUUUCACAACCAAGAACUUGAUGUUAAUGUGUUUGGACUUUGACGAACUUCGGUUGUUCUUAGAAUUACAAUUCUGUGGCUUUAUUAUCACAAUUUAUUCUUAAUGGUUUCUCAAUCUCAUCAACGAUUCGCAACUGAGUGACAAAAUUCCGUAGCCAUAUCCCAUGGUUUGAUGCUUUGUAGUAGGCUAUGAAUUCUGCCUCCAUGGUGAAAGAAGCAAUAAGUAUUUGUUUAACACUUUUCCAUGAAACUGUUCAUCCAACCAACAUGAAGAUGUAGCUUGAAGUGGAUCUCUUGCUGUCAAGACAUCCCACGAAAUCGGAGUCCGAAUAUCCCAUGAUCUCUAAAUGACUGGAUCUACGGUAUGUGAGCAUAUAAUCUUUAGUUCUUUGUAAAUACUGCAUAACCUAUUUUGCCUUUUUCCAGUGAUCCAUACCUGGGUUACUCAAAUAUUUGCCUAACAUUCCAAUAAUGUACGUAAUAUCUGGAUGCGUACAAACUUGUGCAUACAUGAGACUUCCUAUUGUUGAGGCAUAGGGAAACCUCUUCAUAUCCUUCUUUUUAAGUUCAUUUUUCGGACAUUGGUGCAAACUAAAUUUAUCGCCUUUUGCUACAGGCAUGUCUCCUGGUGUACAAUUGCUCAUGCCAAAUCUACUUAACACCUUAUCGAUGUAGGCCUUUUGUGAUAACCCAAGUAUACCUCUUGAACGAUCCUUAUAGAUCUGUAUACCCAGCAAAAAAGAUGCAUUACCUAGAUCCUUCAUGUCAAAUUUACUAGACAAAAAUCGCUUUGUUUCAUGCAAAAGUCCCACAUCACUACUUGCAAGUAGAAUAUCAUCAACAUAUAGCACCAAGAUAAUGAAUUUGCUCUCACUAAACUUGAGAUAUAUGCAUUGAUCAAUGGUGUUUUCCUUAAAACCAAAUGAAGUAAUCACCUGAUCAAACUUUUGGUACCAUUGUCAAGAUGCUUGCUUUAAACCAUAUAUGGACCUUUUUAAUCUGCAUACAAGUUGCUUUGAAUCAUUAGACUCAAAGUUCUCCGGUUGCAUCAUGAAUAUUGUUUCAUCAAUGUUACUAUUAAGAAACGUAGUUUUAACGUCCAUUUGAUGCAGCUCUAAAUCAUAAUGAGCCACAAGUGCCAUGAUGAUUCUAAAGGAGUCAUUUGACGAAACCGGUGAAAAGGUCUCCUUAUAAUCAAUGCCUUCCUUUUGAGUGAAACCUUUUGCGACUAGACGUGCCUUAUACCUAACAAUGUUGCCUUUUGAAUCCCACUUGGUCUUAAAAAUCCAUUUACAACCAAUCGGUUUUACACUUUCAGGCAACUUUACUAGGUCCCAAACACCAUUGUCUUUCAUUGAUUUCAUCUCAUCCUUUAUGACUUCUAUCCACUUUUCAGAGUCAGAACUUUGUUUGAAUUGACUAACUGAAAUUGGAUCGUCUUCCAAACCCAUGUCAAACUCUUGUUCCUGGAGAUGUACAACAUAAUCAUCUGAAAUUGUACUUCUCAUUUCUCUAGUGGAUCUCCUUAGUGGCACUUGUAUUUGAGGUUCUUGAGGCUGUUGAGUUACCUCUUCAUAAACUUGAAUCGGUUCCAUAACUUGAGCAGGAGGAAUCUCAGGUGUGUUUUGAAUCUCUGUUAUUGACUGCACAUUCUGGAUAGUGUCAUCAAACAUAAUAUGACCAUGUCCAGUUGUAAUAAUAGGAACACUAACAGAUUACUCUUCAAAUACCACAUUUCUUAACGGUUCUCUCCCAUUUAACUCAACAUCCUCAAUAAAUUUAGCUUUGCCCGUUUCAAAAAAGGAUCUAGUUGAGGGGUCAUAAAACUUGAAACCUCUCAACCUUUUAGAAUAUCCUACAAAGUAGCAGCUCACUGUUCUGGAGUCCAAUUUCUUUUCAUUUGGUUUUUAAGGCCUAGCUUUAGUUGGACAACCCCAGACAUGCAAGUGCCUAAUACUAGGUUUCUUGCUAGUUCAUAACUCAUAUGAGGUUUUGGCUACUGCUUUGCUUGAGACUCUAUUCAAAAUAUAAAUUGUUGUUUUGAUGGCUUCGCCCCAAAGUGAUUCUGGUAAGGUGGAAUGACUGAUCAUACUUCUUACCAUAUCCUUAAGAGUACGGUUUCGCCUAUCUGCUACACCAUUUUGGCUUGGAGUCCCCAGCAUAGUGUAUUGAGGAACGAUACCACACUCCAUCAAAUAUUUGGCGAACGACCCUAGACGUUGUUCAUUGGAUCCGUCAUAUCUGCCAUAAUAUUCACCUCCACGGUCAGAUCUGACGACCUUUAUUUUCUUGCUUAGUUGGUUCUCAACUUUAGCUUUGAAAUUCUUGAACACAUCUAAUGAUUGAGACUUCUCAUGAAUCAAAUAAAGAUAGCCAUAGCGCGAGUAAUCGUCAAUGAAAGUGAUAAAAUAUUGUUGUCCAUUCCAAGAAGGGGUAGGAAAUGGACCACAAAUGUCCGUAUGUAUCAAUUCAAAGACGUCACUGCACUUGUUAGCAUCAUUUUUUUCUCAUAUUUGUUUGUUUACCCUUAAUACACUCUAUACAGACUCGAAAGUCUAUGAAAUUAAGUGGAUCAAGAAUUCAUUCUGACACAAGCCUUUGAAUACGUUGAUUUGAAAUAUGACCCAAACGCCUGUGCCAUAACAUCGAUGAAUUCUCAUUUGUUAAUUUCCGUUUAAUGUCAUAAUUACUUGAAUUCAAGGUUUCAUUUCCAUUAGUGGUCUUUAUAUUUAAUUUGUAUAAUUUGUCUAUUAGACUACCUGUACCAAUAACAUUUGAAUUUAGAUAAAGACUAACCAUUCCAUUUCUAAAUGAACAAUAAUAUCCAAAUUUGUCUAGACAUAAAACAGAAAUUAAAUUCCGUCUAAACGACGAUACUACAAAAGUCUCUUCCAAAUCCAAAGUACAUCCAGAGUCUAACUGUAAUCUAAAAAGACCAAUAGUCUUGACUGCAACCUUGUUGCCAUUUCCCACAUAGAUGUAUUUUUCACCAUCAGUUGGCAUUCGACUCCUUAGGCAACCCUACAUCGUGACACUUAUGUGAGUAGUUGCACCCGUAUCUAUCCACCAAGUGUCAGUAGGCACUACGACUAAAUUAAUUUAUGAACAAACAAAGUUGAGAAGUGUACCUUUCUUUUCACGCCAAGCGGCGUAUUUGGUACAUGUCUUCUUCAUAUGACCAACCUUCUUGCAAAAGAAACAAGUCAUCUCCUUAUCUUGUUUCUUCUGCACCUUUUGCAUUGAUGUCCUAAAAAUUGCAUUUUGUUUUUCUUUAUUGUCCUUCUUUCUUUUCUUUUUGGUACCAAAUCCCUGAGAUGUGGAAGCCAAGUGAGAACUUUCUAUCUUUUCUUGUUUCAAUCUCUCAUCCUCUUGUGCACAUUGAGCAAUAAGCUCAUUCAAAGUCCAUUUUUCCUUUUGUGUUGUAACUAAUUUUGAAUGGACUGAAUUGUGUAGGCAGAGAGAUUAAGACCAAGUGCACAAGUAUGUCUUCCGAAAACUCUAACUUUAGUGCCUUUAGUCUAGUCACAAGAUUAGACAUUUCCAUAAUAUACUCCCUUAUAUUCUCUUUCCCUUUGUAUCGCAUAGAGACAAGCUUACUAAGAAUAGUGCUUGUCUCAACCUUUUCAUUUGAAGCGAAUCGGUUUGCUAUCUGGUCUAAGAAUGCCUUGGCUUGAGUUUUCUCAGGUAUUGGACUCCUUAUAGCUUUUGGAAUUGAGUACUUCGUUAUCAUUAGACUCAUGCGAUUGGAUCGCUCCCAUUUUUCCAUAGUAGACCUUUGCUCAGUAGUGCUGGCACUAGUAAGAUCUGGAGGGCGAUCCUCUCUUAAUGCAUAGUCUAAAUCCAUGCACCCGAGCACAAUUAUAACGUGCUCCUUCCAUUUCUUGAAGUUUGUGUCAUUAAGCGCAGGAAUGUUAUUAACAUUUGUAGAUAUAGAAUAUGUUAAAUUCAUAAUAAUAAAGCUCACAAUCAAUCACAUAAACAUCAUACAUACAUGAAAAAUAACAUCAUACAAGAUACUUAGCACAAAUAUUAAUAUUUUGUCUUUGGACAAUAAAUAUUAACUUGUAAUUGGUAUCCUUAUACAAAAUUAAUUCAUAAAUAUUGACAAUAAAACCAAAAACAAUAUGUUUGUCUUUAGACUAAUAUGUCGAAUGCAAGAUAAACUUUAUAUGUCACAUAUUUAUGACUACUUUAUUUAUUAUUAUAUUAAAAUAAUCUUCCUUUGGGCCGAUUAUUUUAAAUAAUAAUAAUAACAUGUUUAGAUAUUAUAAAAUAAAUAAAUUAUAUAAUAUAAGUUACUUUGGCAACUAACAUACAUAAUUCAUUUAUUUUAAAAUAUUAAACACAAACAUAACAAGAAAUAAUAAAUUCAAUUAAAAUUAUUUAUUUAUUUAUGCAUAAUAUAUAUAUAUAUAUAUAUAUAUAUAUAUAUAUAUAUUAAUUGAAGCAUAAAAAACCAUCUACAUGUGUAUAUAUAUCAAUUGAAGCAUAUAUACAAGCAUUAGUCUAAUGGUUUAAGCAAAAAAUAGGCCAUGGUAAAGGGUUUAAGCCAACCCGCCCCUUUAGUUUGGUUUUUGUUUUUUUUUUUUUUUUUUUUAAUUUCUUUUGGGCUACUGACCAUGCAUUCUCUCAUGGCCCAACGAAUAUAUAUAUAUAUUUGUUUUAAAAAAAUUUUGUCCAUUGCAGCCCAAAGCGACCAUCCCUUGUAAUGGCAUCAUCAACGGUGCCAGAGCUGUCCUCGAACGACACCGACAGUGAAACGCCGCCACCAUCACCGGAACGGUGAUUUCCCAUCGCCAAACGACGGUGUCACUACCAGAAUGACGUUGUAACGGCAUCGCUGGGAAGCAGCCUAACCUGUGGCGUGACACCAUGACAAGCAAUGCCGCUAGCAGUGAAACGUUGUCGCCAUCACCAGAAUGGUGAUUUUCCAUCGCCAAACGAUGGCGCCACCAUCGAAACAACGCUGAAACGACGUCACUGGGAAGCAACCCUACCCGCGGCACCAAAAUGGCACUUGGAUGACAUUUGGAACUCUUGCAACAACGCUCAAAUCAGCGAUUCUCACUGGCAAAUGACGCUUGAACGACGUCUGGAAAUAAUGCCUACAACGCCUAAAAAUUGUGCUCUUUUGAACGCCUGAAACAACGUUGAAAUGACGUCUACCGGCGUCUGGAAUUGCACCGCUGUCUAGAACGAUGCCAUGAUGGUGUCUCACUCACCUUAAAUGGCACCAACCACCGUGACUUGCAUCCCCAAAAAUGGCACUUGAACAGCGCCUGAAGCGUGCCUGGAACGACGCUGCAAACGAUGCUUGAAAUGGUGCAUUUUGUAUGCUUGAAAAUGGCACAGGAAUGACGCCUACACUACGUCCAUUUUGAAUGCCUGAACGGUGUCCUAACGGCGCCUGAAUGACGCCUGGAAUUGGCCCAGAUUUAUUUUAUGUUGUUUCCUUCCUCUUGGAUCUUUUGUUUGUGUUUUAAAAAAAAAGUGUUUUGGUGAAAAUGGGAAAUGCAACCAGGCUCUGAUACCAUUUUGUGGGACGUUCAUUCUCCAUUAUCAUCGAACACAUGCAGGAUAUAUUUAUAUAUAUAUAUAUAUAUCAAUUCAUUCAAAAUAUGCCUUCAUUUUAUGGAACAUACCCGAAUCCAUUUUGUUUGUGUUGAAGAGGUAUAAAUCUUCUAAGGCUAUGGGGGGUACCACAUUUUCUUAGAAUUCUCUAUGACGAUGGGAAGCCAGAGAGAACAAGUUCUAUUUUUAUUUUGAAAACGUUGUUAUCCUUAAAUAACAAACACUAUUAUUUGGAUUUAUACUCUCCUACCUUAGGGACCAUACCCUUUGGCUAUUGGGCCUUACGAGUCUUAGGCCCAUCAUCUAAGGCUCGUGAUGGCACUAGGCUCUACACAUAAGGUGGCCCAUACUCUGGAACGAAUAGAAAUCAUAUGUGUAUAUAUGGAUAGCUAAAUCUUGAACAAUGGUUAAUAUGAUGUCAGUUCACAUUUAUUAUAUCAUAGAGACUUCCCAUAUGAAGAAAAUUGACAGUAGGUAGCUUUGCCAUUCUUGUCCGUAUACAACCAACCUUAGCAAGGGUUGAACCCUUUUAUGCUUAGUUGUGCCAUACAAAUCCUUACCACCGCCUACAACAUGUAAUCGAAAUGAUUCGAUAAUAUCAUCUAGUGAACCAAUACCUCCAAAUGAGAGACCAUUGCCUUGGUAACUAGGGCUCAUGACUGAGAAUUGCGUGAACCCCUUUGCUUGGGUUGGAGCUUAACUGAUGCACAAAAUAUUCAUAGGCCUCUUCCCAUAACUGGCACCUUGUGUUUGCAACAUAAUUGAACAUGUAUUGAAGUGAGUUUUUUUGCAUCUUUUUGUAAGAAAAUUCUAAACAACAGAGACUGCUUAGUGUGCCCGGCUCCUCGGGAAAUCAAGGUUCAUUCCUGUAGGGCCAGUUUUUUCACAGUCGAACUAGAUAACAUGGAGAGUAUGUUGCAAUGCUUCAACAGGGUAUUUCUUAGGAAAAUCCACCUGAAGUUGGUACAAUUCGUUGGCGUACUGAGUUCCUGGAGCUCUAUUGACUUCAAUCACCCAUCUCUGUAGAUUAUCGAUGACUUAUGCUCGGAUCCUGUAGGAGGAUUGACCUGACAUUCCACUAGCUCUUUCUGGAAGACGAUCUUGUUUAACACCUUGUGAGAAGAGGCAAGGGAACUGGUCAUUGUUUCUUCGAGAAGAUCAGUGGCCGAGGAUGGGUUUGGACCAUAAUUGCUAUAUGGGUUUUCUUUGGGUGAACCAAUUAGUGGAGUGGGUGGCUAUAUAGCAACUGAAGGGUGGUCAUACUAAUGAGGAGCUAUUAUUUCAUGCAUGUGGAGAGGAAAUGAGUAGCUUCUUCAAGGAUAUAUGAUUAUUCAUCUCUAGCUUACGUUGAAUAUCUCCUAACAAAUUUCUGCUUUGAAGCUCCCUUAGUUUCACUACAGCUAACUUGGCCAACUUGGUUUCAUCAUGUUUCCUACAACCUCUAAGCAAAGCACGCCAGAUCACUGAAUCAGGUUCUAUUUGCAUUUUGUCCAUAAACUCCUUUGCCUAUUGACAAUAAACUGCCCCUCAAAAUUUGAUGAGAUAACAUCAAUGCUGACAUGUUGGUCAUCCCCAUAAGCAUCUUUAUAGAGAUUGAUUCUAUGUUUAGAUAUUUCUCUCUCCUCAAGUGAGUUCAACUUUUUUGUAACAUCCUUCUCCUUCUCUACUAAUAGUCUUAGUUGAACAUCCAACCUAUGUUCCCAAAGUGCCAGCAUCUCAUAUCUGAUGACAAGCCAACAACCUUGCCCUUGCUGAGACCCAAAUAAGUAUCCAGAACCAUCAGCAUCAACCCUUUCAUAGGCCUUUGUAUUUGAAGGUCGGAUUGGGAUUGCUUUGAAUGCACUGGCACUACAAUACACAAUUGUAUCUUCUCCAAUAAAAACACCACACAGAGGUGAGGGGACUGGUAUUAGCAAAGAAGUGUUGUUAUCUAUAUUGUUCUGAGCCCGAGUACCCUCAACAAAAUCCUCAUCCUCAUCUGUACUCUUCCAUUACAUCCCUAGGCUUUUCAAUGUGAUCCACAUGGCUUACAGGAAUCCAGAAAUACCAGUCUGUAUAAAUGUUGCUCUUAUGGGGCUCUCCUAGAAAACAUCCCUAUCAAGAUGAUCAACCUAGCUUAGAUGCUCAGCACCCCAAACUUACUAGAAAUAGAGGAAUUAAAAGCAAGGAUAGGAGCCAAAGUAAAAAUUUAGGGAAGAGCAAAUAGGAAAUCAAGCAAAACAUGAAUGUACAGAGCCUCAUUUCAGGUGACAUCUUUGGGCUAAUAAUAGGUGGAAUUAACAAAGUAGACAAGCAUGAUUGUUAUAAAUAUCAAGUUCAAGGAUGAAGCCGUGCAUCAGCUACUUAUAGGGGGAGUCAAGGAAACCAAGAUAAGAUCAAAGAGAGCAUGUAUGCAAAUAAACAGAUUCGAAAAAAUAGACCAAACAACUCGUGAAUAUCCUCCUACAAAAAACUACUACACGUGGCAAAAAGUGAUGAAACAAAAAGAGUCGGGUCCGCAUAUACAUAUCCUAUUCUAUCCUAUUCCUUCAAAUCCAAAGCAACCUGUAUUUUCAAUGGGAUUUGUUGUGAUGAAUUUUACUGGAUUGUAACAUGUAAAUAUGUUAAAAGAGGCUUGGGACAUUCCUAUAUAGUAACGCAUAAAGGUACUUCCAUUGUGAAGUUGUCAAAAUUGCAAAUUUAAAUUACAAAAUUUGAAAACAUAGAGAUGAAAGAUGAUGAAACCUUCUUUGAAAUUUUAUAUUGAACUCAUUAAUAUUAUUAAUUUUCAUUUCAGUGUAGGGGAAAGAAUUCUUUACUCUAAAGUGGUCACAAAAAUAUUAAAAUUCCUUGUUGAGAGAUUUAGACCUAAAGUGAUCAAUAUAGAAGAAAGUAAAAAUAUUCUAAGUGUAGGUAAACUUGUAGACUCAAAUGACUCUACCUUCUCAUAAAAAAUCCUCAAUUUUAUAAAUUAUAUAGAUUUCUUCAUUUGAUACAAAAUUUGAAUAAAGAUUUUUCAAAUGACAACACAAGGAAAGGGAAAAAAAAAAUUCUCUCCAGUUCAUUUCAUUUAAUCACUUAAAUUAUUUAAAAAUAAAAAUGUUUACUGCUAACAUUAUUUAGAUUCAUCUUUCUUUUGAUGGAGGUUAAAAUUCAUAAUUUUGAGGAAAAAGAUGAGGAUUCUCAUUUUUUUUUCCAUGUAUGAAUGGGAUUCUCAUUGUGUAUAUGUGGGUUACUAAAUGGCAAAUUUAGGGGCCAAUAUGAGGAAAAAUAUGAAGUUGAGUUUGUCACCAAGAACAAACAUGACUCCUAUAAAGGUGGCAUCCUUAAUUUCAUGUCUGGAUUAGACUUCUCAUGUAACAACUUAACAGGUGAAAUCUCUCAUGAACUUGGAAUGUUAAGUUUGAUUCAUGCAUUGAACUUGUCUCGCAAUCAACUAAAGGGCUCCAUUUCAAACAGUUUUUGCAAUCUUUCUCAAACAGAGAGCUUAGAUCUUCUUAAUAAUAAACUAAGUGGAGAAAUUCCUCCAAAAUUGGUUAGACUAACUUUUUUAGUGGUGUUCAAUGUGACUCAUAGUAGCAUCUUUGGAAGAGUUUCAGAUAUGAAUGCAUAAUUUGCAAUAUUUGAUGAAAGUAACUAUGAAGAUAAUCCUUUCCUUUGUGGACCACCAUUAAAGAGAAAAUGUAGCAUAAAUGUUAAGCCACCUUACCCACCAUUAGAGUCUUCGGAAAAAAGUGAUGCAAAAUGGUAUAAUAUCGAUCUUGUGGUUUUCUUUGCAAGUUUUACUAUAUCAUAUAUCAUGAUAUCAUUAGGAAUUUCAACCAUUCUUUACAUUAACCCUUAUUGGUGUCAAAGAUGGUUCAAUUUUAUCGAGAAAUAUAUAUACUUUUGCUAUUAUUUUGUUUCCUAUACUCUUUCCAAGUUAUUAACAUAUUUUGAAUAAUUAGAGAUUUUUGUUUUCAAUAAUAUUUACAUAAUUAACUACUAUUGGCUUCCAUGACAUGGAAAGAAAUGCGGUGAAGGCAACAACCACUUUUUUUUCUCCUCUACUAGUGCAUGAUUGAUAUGAGUUAAAACUUGCACCCUUAUCUUUGCUUAAAUUUUCUCAGCUUUUGUUUCAAUUCUUAAUUAUCAUUUCUUUUAUGUGUUGUUUAAUACAAUAUCCUAAACACAUUGCUUUGAAGGUUACUUAUUUAUUAAGCAUGAUAUUUAUUUUUCAUAAAGACAAAUUCAAGUUUUUUAGGAAUUUUUAGAAUUAUUAUAAUUUGGAGUUCACAUUAGAGGAAAAAAGGAAAGAAAAGAAUAGAUGAUUAAAAAAACAAUUUUAGUAAGUAUAAUUUGUCAUCUUCGGUAUAACAAAUGGGAAUUCCAAAAUAAUAUUUCAAUUUGUUAGUCUAUUCCUUAUAGUAUUAAUUGAUAUAUCAAAUAGGAAGUCACGUUUUGAUUUUUUAUUAGCUUCAAUUGCAUGUCACAUAUAUUUUAAAAUCAAGCAUACCUCAGCCGGGAAGUUCUUGUAACAUGCAUGAACAUGAUAUGAUGAAUUGAAUAAUUUUCUUAAUUGUGUGAGACACAAACCCUCUUUGUUUAAUAAUAAUAAUAAUAUACUACACAUUAUUAAAUCAUAUAUGUAUAUUUAUAGUCGUAUAAUAUAUUCAAAAUAUUAAACACAUUACCCUCUUAAAUUUUUAUGAAUGGUGUUUACUUUACAUAACGACAGAUUCAAAUUUUUUUAGAAUUUUUUAAUGUUAAAAUAAUUUGGAGCUUAAUAGGGAAAAAAAAGAAUAAAUAAUUAGAAAAGCAAUUCAAAAAAAAUAAAAUUUAUCCUCUUAAAUUGGUUUUGUGUAAUACUAUAGAAGCCAUUUCUUGAGUUUGAUAUGGUAGAAUUCGGAUUCAUAUUUAUUUUAAAAUAAAGAAUUUCAAGGGUUGGUAGCAUCAAUAGAAUCUUAACAAAUUUGCAAAAAAGUAUUUGGGUAGAUCACAUUUAAAUAUAGCUAACAGAAUAAAAAAUUAAUAUUAUUAGGAAGACAUGAUCAAUUAAAUCUUUUUUCUUAUCUAUGACACCGAUUUUAUAUUUUUACAUAGUCAAUAUAAUUUAUUACAACUUAUAUGUCAUUAAAUUAUACAUGCUUAUAUUAAAUAUAAUAUAAGAUCAUUAAUGGAAUAAUUAUGCAAGUAAUAUAAAUUGUAUAUAAUAUAAAAAAUUUAAACUCCGUCAAACUAAUGGAAUCUAUUAUAAUAAGUAGACUAGACACCAUAUUGGCCCGAGUUGGAGGCCUGGGCCAGAUUUUAAAGGCUGGGCUUUGAGUUGCCCGUGGGCCUGAGCCAAGGCCUUCUCUUGGUAUCAUCAUUUUGAAGAAAUAAAUUGCUGAUACAGAGAAAAAAACUAUACUAAAUAGAAAAAUAAAUAAAAGCAUUGACUAAAAUGAAGGUCAAGGUCCUUGAAAAAUAAUCUUUAAAUUGUUGCAUAUAUAAUUUCAAUAAUGCAUAAAUAAUUGCAAUAUAUAUGAUAUGAUAAAGAAUUUGGAAUUAAAAGAAGAUUGAUCUAUUUUAAAUGUGGUUGGAAUAUUUUUAAAUUUGUGAUGGGAAGUUAGACAGCCAAUUAGGGAUCCAUAUUAUUUAUUUUCAAUUAUAUGAAUUUAUUUACUUUUAUUAAUAUUCUGAAUGCAACAAUAUAAAAUAUGUCAAUUUUCUAAAAUUAAAAAAGUAAUUGCAAAAGAAAAUUUUUAAUUAUUUUUCUGAAAUUGAGUUUAUCAUAACAUUUUUCUUUACAUAAAUUUCUUUUUUAUGUUUAUUUUUUUAAAAAUGAGAUAUGAAAAAAAAAGAUCAAUAUUAGUAAAAGUAAAACCCAAUAUAUAUAAAAAAAAUGAAUAAAUGUUUAUGAAAUAAGAUUUAAAAGUGAGAAGGUAAUAAAUUUUUUCUCUUUUAAUUCCUAUUCAAUACAUUACAAAAAAUAUUUUUGGUUUUUAUGCUAAAAUUUAUUGUUUAUUAAAAAAUUCUAGUAUAUCUAGCUAUCAUAGAAGAGCUCCAAAAUUUUAUUGUUUAAGAGAAUGUGUUGCCACUUUAAAAGAUUUAUAUGCAUACCUUUGGAUAUGUUUAGUUCCCGGUAAAUUUGAAGGAAAAUGUGAAGGAAGAAAAAUAGAGAAGAAAAGUAUAACAAAAUAAAAAGUGAAGGAAAAUGAAAAAUAGAUUUAAAAUUAAUAAAUUAUUUUCAUUGGUUUUUUCAAAUUUAUUUUACUUAUUUUAUUCUAUUAAAUAAAGAUUAACUAAUUUUAAUUAUAUUUGGUUUGAUUUUUAUUAUUUUUCAAAGCAAAACCAAAUAUGAAAAAAAAAACAUUUUUUUUGGUUAUUUUUUUCUUUCCUUAUUACUCUUCGGGACUCAAACAUAGCUUUUAGAUUUGGGGCAUGGAAAAAUAAGAGUAUUGAAUAAGGGUUCUAUAUAUGCCCAUGCCCAUGCCCAUGAUACCAUUGAAAAAAAUGGAGAGAGGGUGAAACCUUUACUAGAUGAUAAAUUAUUCUCUUCAAUGGAAAUCAAAUAUAAUUAUUUUUAUCUUGUAUUAAUUGAAUGUUAUACUCCAUAAACUCAAAAUUAAAAUAAAUAAAAAAUUUAAAAACUAGGACAAUCCCAUUUUUUUUCAAUUUCUUAAAAAGAAAUUAAAUUAUAUUUAUUUAUAUCUAUUUUCAUCCCUACCCAACAAAAUAAAAAAAAUUAACAUUGUGGAACAUGUAUGAGAAAUUCUCACAAUUUUUUUUAAGAAAAAUAAAUUUCUUAUUUUAUAUAUGUUAAAAAUAAAUAUAAUCUUUUAUUUUUUAUAUAUAUAAUCGGGUAAGGUAGAGUGGGACAAAGAAAUAAUCCCCUUCGAUUCCAAUCCGAAAUUUUAAAAUAUAAAAUAAAAAUCUUAAACUCAUCCCUAAUCCAUUUAUUUUUAAUCCUAAACUUGUCUUAUAAGGAAUAAGGCAAAGUAAGUACAUGAAAACACUUUUUUUUAUCAUCAUCUCUACAAGUUCUAAUGUUUAGAUUGCAAUCCAUAUCAAAGAUUUAUAAAGAAAGAACAACGAUGAAUUUCAUAAACAUUUGAAAGCAUAUACAAAGUUUUAAAUAAUAUUGCUUGAGGUGCAAAUAUUAUUUGGCGCACACGUUGAGGGACUUCAACUGGUGUUGUCUAGGUUUUUUACACUAGUAAGUAAUCUUGAAUAUCUAGAGUAACUUGAUCAAAAUCUCUUUAAUUUUAUUUUCUUUGAUGAAUUAGAAUGCUUAUAUAACAUGAUUAAAAAUUUUAAGAAAAAAAAACUAAGAAGAAAGAAAGAAGUACCGAUCUUCCAAAUAUUGCUUCCACUUUAAUAUUUAGAAGGCUCUAAGAAAAGAAUUUUAUUCAUGAAUCACAACCCAAGUCGAAAAUAAAUUGAACCCAUUUUCUAAGUUAAAUUUUGAAUUUUUUACUAGUGAAUGCAAAUUGGGAAAAUGUAUAUAAAUAUAAUUAAACUAGAAUAGUAGGUUAGGUUUGUGUGGUCCCACGAUGACUUGGAAGUUUCAACAAUUCAAGCAGACUCCACCUAUAAACCUAAUAUACUAUUUUAGUUUAAUUAUAUUUAUAUAUGUUUUCCCAAUUUGCAUUCACUAGUAAAAAAUUCAAAGUUGAACUUGAAAAAUGGGUUCAAUUUAUUUUCGAUUUGGGUUGUGAUUCAUGAAUGAAACAAUGAUCAAUGACUUGACUUUUAAGGCCAACUUAGUUAAGUCAUUCCUAACCCCUAUAUUAAUUUGGCCUUAAAAGUCCAGUAAUUGAUAGCUAAAUCCCAACCCAAGUCAAAAAUAAAUUGAACCCAUUUUCUAAGUUCAACUUUGAAAUUUUUUUUAAUUGGAAAAAUGUAUAUAAAUACAAUUAAACUAGAAUAGUAGAUUAGGUUUGUAGGUGGAGUCUGCUUGAAUUUGUGAAACUUCCAAGUCGUCGUGGGUCUAGUGGUCCCAUAGCUCUCUAUUAAUUUCCACCAUCAAUUUUCUGCAAUAAAGUCAAGUCAUUCCUAACCCCUAUAUUAAUUUGGCCUUCAAAGUCCAGUCAUUGAUAGCUACGUUCAUGAAUCCCAACCCAAGUCAAAAAUAAAUUGAAUCCAUUUUCUAAGUUCAACUUUGAAUUUUUUUUAAUUGGAAAAAUGUAUAUAAAUACAAUUAAACUAGAAUAGUAGAUUAGGUUUGUAGGUGGAGUCUGGUUGAAUUUGUGAAACUUCCAAGUCGUCGUGGGUCUGGUGGUCUUAUAGCUCUCUAUUAAUUUCCACCAUCAAUUUUCUGCAAUAAAGUCAAGUCAUUCCUAACCCCUAUAUUAAUUUGGCCUUAAAAGUCCAGUCAUUGAUAGCUACGUUCAUGAAUCCCAACCUAAGUCAAAAAUAAAUUGAACCCAUUUUCCAAGUUCAACUUUGAAUUUUUUUUAAUUGGAAAAAUGUAUAUAAAUACAAUUAAACUAGAAUAGUAGAUUAGGUUUAUAGGUGGAGUCUGCUUGAAUUUGUGAAACUUCCAAGUCGUCGUGGGUCUAGUGGUCCCAUAGCUCUCUAUUAAUUUUCACCAUCAAUUUUCUGCAAUAAAGUCAAGCCAUUCCUAAACCAUAUAUUAAUUUGGCCUUAAAAGUCAAGUCAUUGAUAGUUACGUUCAUGAAUCACAACCCAAGUCUAAAAUAAAUUGAACCCAUUUUCCAAGUUCAACUUUGAUUUUUUUUACUAGUGAAUGCAAAUUGGGAAAACGUAUAUAAAUAUAAUUAUACUAGAAUAGUAUAUUAGGUUUGUAGGUGGAGUAAGCUUGAAUUGUUGAAACUUCCAAGUCAUCAUGGGUCUAAGGGUCCCAUAGCUCUCUAUUAAUUUCCAUCAUCAAUUUUUAUGAAUUCAGAUUUAAAAGUGAGAAGGGAAUAAAUUUUUUCUUUUUCAAUUCAUUACAAAAAAUAUUUUUGGUUUUUAUGCUAAAAUUUAUUGUUUAUUCAAAAAAUUAAAGUAUAAAAAUAUAAAAUAUAUAUCUUGCUAUUAUAGAAGAGCUCCAAAAUUUUCGUGUUUAAGAGAAUAUGUGUUGCCACUUUAGAAGAUUUAUAUACAAAAAGGAUUGAUGUUUCUCCUUUGACUAUGUUUGGUUCCCAAAAAUUUGAGGGAAAGAAAAUAAAAAAAAGGUAGUAAAAAAGAAAAAAUGAAGGAAAAUAAAAAAUAGUUUUAAAGUUAAUAAAUUAUUUUUAUAUGCUAUUUCAAACUUAUUUUACUUAUUUUUUUUCAUUAUAUAAAGAUUAAAUAAUUUUAAAAUGCAUAACUAAUUUUAAUUAUAUUUAAUUUUUCUUUUAUAUUUUUUAGACGGGAUCCAACACAUGUAAAAAUCCUUUUUUUUAGCAUCUUUUUUUCUUUUCUUAUUACUUUCCAAUAACCAAAUAUAACCUUUAGAUUUAGCCUUUAGACUUGGAGUAUGGAAGGAUACUGAGUAUUGAAAGAAGGUUUUGUAUAUGGCCAUGAUACCAUAGAAAAAAUGGGCGACAGAGAAAAAACCUUUAUUAAAUGAUAAAUUAUUUUUUUCAAUGGAAAUCAAAUAUAAUUAUUUUUAAAAAUAAAAAUAAAAAAUAAUAAUUUGUUGUUGCAUUAAGUAUUCUUGCAUUUGGAGAAGCAUGUACUACUUACUACAUAAAUGGAUAUUCAUGGAGUGCAUUCUCUAGAAAGCUCCAGUCUCAUGAAAAUGGAAAGAUGGACCGGCCGGUGAACCGGUUCGAGUUUGGAUUUAUGGGCUGCCUCAGCCUAACACGCAUGAUAGGUUGUUGUAGGUGAAGAACUAACUAAUUAAUUUAAAGCCUUCUUCUAUCCUCUCCUAUUCCUCUAUCACUCCAAAUGUUCCACAUGAUAAUGACAAUUCUUUUGUUAAAUGGUAAAAAAAAAAUUUAACAAUUAAUUUAAAAAAUUUUUAAAAUCUAAAUCCAAUGGAAAUUUGACUGUAAGGUGCGUAGAAGGCCCUAGUGCCCAUGUUGCUAAUUUGAUGAUAGUUAAAUUACCAUUUCGAGAGAUUCCACUCACUAGUAUUCUCAUUUAUAAAAUCAUGAACUUUGGCAUCCUAAUUAAUGUAAUUUAACUUUUUUUUGUUUACAAAUGAAAUAAGAGGCAACAUAUAAACCCAAAAGUUAAUUUUCCUACCAUCUCUAUGCACCAUUUUAGCUUUACUCCAAUAUAUUUUCUAUGAUUAAUUAUUUUCAUUCAAACAAUAAUAUCAAAAUAUUUUAAAAUUAGACAUAUCCACUAAUAUAUCUUCGAUAUAUUAUAUAUAUCUGUAAAAUCGAAACACCAAUAUAUCCGUGAUUAUCGAUAUUUUUAUCGUUGAGGGAUAACAACUAAUCUAGUUUUUGUACCUAUUGAUAUUCCUCAACAUUUAGAUUGAUUUGACCAUUUUUUUUUUAAUUUUAUUUUCUUUGAUGGUUAUAUGAUGAAUUAGAAUAGUCAUAUAACAUUAACAGAUUUAAGCAAAAAUGAUAAAAAAGCUCGCAUUUUUCAAAUAUUGGUUUCAACUUUGAAUAUUUUUAUUGGUAAAUGAAAAUUGUGAAAAACCUACUAAUGCUAAUACUUUUCACCACAUAAUUAAAUAUAAUAAACUAGAAUAGUGAUUCAUUGAUGUCUUAUAAAGCUACAUGCCUUCUUUGACUUGUUAGUUGAUUUUUGUAGGUGGAGUCUGUAGGGACCCCUCCCCCUGAUGACACGUGGCACGCAUUUCUAUCCGGAUUAGCUCCAUCCGGAUUUCCUCCAAGGAGACACGUGGCGCGCUUCCCCUAUCCGGACUCCCUCAGGGAGAAGCACACGACACUCGCAAACAUCACAUCCGGACGACCGCCAUAUCGCAUCCGGACGAUCGACAUAUCCUAUCCGGAUAUGUUUGUCCGGAUCGUUGACUAAAGUAAGCAAGUCUUACUACGUCAUUCCGACAGCCUGCCAUGGCCCACGUUCCACCACCUGCAAAGUGAAAAGACAGGAAUGAUGGCAAGUCACUUCCUACGAUCUCUGACAGCUGUGGCGCCUCUCACGAUCUCUGUCAGCCGCCCGUAGGGUGAUGAUGGCCCUGUCACCACCUAGAGUCAUCAUGACAAGCCAAAAUAUCUCUCUAUCAUUAAAGAGGGAGACAGAGCUUCUGGUACUAUAUAUAUGGACCUUCACACAAAGAGGAAGGUAAGCUUGCUAUACCUAGUAAAAGGCCAACUGAUUUAUCUCUUUAACCAUGGCUGACAAAACCAUCGGAGGGUGUGUCCGGACACCCUGUCCGGACGCCUUUUGCAGGAACGAUUGAACCAGGAAUCUAUAUUGGUUGAGAUCGUGCGUCCAUCCAUUUGGCAACUACGUGGAUCACCAGGGACGCGAGGCCUCAACAUUGGCGCCGUCUGUGGGAAAAUCACUGAUUCAGUCACCGACAAAGAUAGCCACACCUUCCCAAAGCCGCUCGUCCGCUAGGGAAAAGGAAGAUAAUUCUGAAUGGCGCCGAGCCAUUGAAAGAAGACAGUUGGCAAGCUCGUGACAACUGCAAGCUCUCCUCCAGGAGACAGAAUGACUAAGAGAAGAAAACGCGGUACUACGCAUCCAAGCUUCAUCGACGGGGCCUCCCCGUCGUCAGCAUUCAAAAGGCCAGGUAGCAAACUCAAGGCCUGACCCAGAGUCAAUAUACCCUGGGGCAGCAGGAGCAAUACUUGAAACAUGCAACGUUAGGCCACAUGAGCCACACACGCCCAUGCACCGAGCUCCCCAUGAGGAAAGCUCAGACUCUACUCAUUUUUCAGCAAAAAGACAACGCGACAAAAAAUCCCAAUUGUCAAACUCAAUGCGUGCGAGACUAGGCCCACAGGAGCCUGGGAGGCCAAAGCCGCCAGUAGCCAUAACCUGGGCAGUGCACCUUGACCCUAUGGUCACCCCCAUGGUGCAGAGCGUUCUCCCGCACCGUGACCCUAUGGUCACCCCUAUGGUGCAGAACGUUCACCCGCACCUAGCGGUACGACAAGCUGGGAGAAACCUCCCAAAUGAGCCACCCAUUGGCUCCAUUAGCAAAAGGCUGGACGACAUGCUCUCCACGCCUUUUUGCUCUCAUAUCAUUCAUUACGAGCCCCCAAGGGGAUUCCUCGUGCCCAAAUUCUCCACAUACGAUGGGUCCAGCGACCCCUUCGACCAUAUCAUGCAUUAUCGACAGCUCAUGACUCUCGAUAUAGGCAAUGACGCGCAGCUAUGCAAAGUAUUCCCCGCCAACCUACAAGGGCAGGCCCUCUCAUGGUUUCACCGCCUACCUCCCAACUAUGUUGAUAAUUUCAGAGACCUAUCAGAGGCCUUCGUGGGACAAUACUUAUGCUCUGCUCGACAUAAGCAGAACAUCAGCACUCUGCAAAACAUAAAAAUGCAGGAUAACGAAUCCUUAAGGGAGUUCGUGAAGUGGUUUGGUCAUGCCGUACUACAGGUAAAGGCUUACAGCAUGGAUGCUGUCCUGCAGAUCUUCAAGCGAAGUAUUUGUCCAGGCACCCCAUUUUUUGAAUCACUCGCUAAAAAGCCUCCUACGACGAUGGACGACUUGUUCCAGCGUGCGAGCAAAUACUCAAUGCUCGAAGAUGACGUGCGAGCAGCCACCCAGCAAGUCUUGGUUGCCGGACAGGCAUCUAGAAGUGGCACGGAAAGAAGUGCCAAACUUCCGGACAGGCCAAGACAGUCCCAUCAAAGGCAGGAAGGGCCAAGUCGCCCGGAAAGGCCGCCCCUCACACCCCUUUCCAUAUCCUAUGAGAAGCUUCUCCCUAUGAUCUAAGACAUGUCCGACUUCAGGUGGCCUAGACCCAUCGGAACGGACCCAUCCAAAAGGGAUCAUAGUAAAAAAUGUGCCUUCCAUAAAGAGCAUGGUCACACAACGGAGACAUGCAGGUGCCUUCAUUAUUUGGUCGAAAGGCUCAUAAGGGCGGGACAUUUAAAGCAAUACCUCCACUCAGAUACCGGAGGUAGAGAUGCUUCCCGAAAUCACAACUCUGGAGCCCCUAGGGCCCUAGCCGUCCCCAAAGCCGUUAUAAACUAUAUUAACAGAGGCCCAUCUGACGAGGAGUACGACUCCAAACGAAAGAAACAAAAGUUGUUGCGGGCAGCAUCGGUGCGCGAACGUGUCAACUCCAUCCGGCCUGGGAUAACUGGGGGGGCCCUCGCCCCAUAGAUGGGAUAAUCAUUUUCCCACCAGUAGACCCCACCCGGAUAUUGAAGCCGCACCGCGACGCCCUCAUCCUGUCCUUAAAGAUAGGAGACUUCGACGUGAGACGCAUCCUGGUUGACCCAGGUAGCUCGGCCGAUCUUGUGCAAGCAUCGGUCAUUAGCCACAUGGGGCACAAUCUCACAGGCCUCGAAAACCCUGGGCGAAUCUUGUCCGGAUUCAACGGGGCGUCAACUACUUCAUUGGGAGACAUUGUACUGUCGGUCCAAGCUGGCCCAGUCACUCUCAACGUACAAUUUUCGGUGGUACAAGAUUUAUCACCCUUCAAUGUCAUCUUGGGGCGCACAUGGCUGCACUACAUGAAAGUCAUCCCCUCUACAUAUCAUCAAAUGGUAAGCUUCCUUACCAAGGAUGGGCAAAUUGACCUAUACGGCAGCCAGUUAGCCGCUCGCCAAUGCUACCAGAUAGCACGAGAAGCAGGGACCAACCAGGAGGAUGCAUCCCUCCCUGAGUCCAGCCAUGCACGUGACCAAUAGCAAUUAUUGAGUCCGGGGGACAAAGAUCCCCCGGCAGCGGAUCCCUUGCAAGCAAUCCAAAUUUCGGAAGAAGGUACUCACCUUACGAAUAUCAGUUAGAAGAGACCCGGAACAUGCAGAACGCCCUCAGACAAAACCAUGACGUCUUCGCAUGGACACAUUCUGAUAUGAAGGGAAUUCAUCCCUCCAUUACCUCUCAUAGGCUUAACGUCUUGCCAACAGCCAGACCCAUCCGGCAGAGGGUUAGACGUUUUCACCCGGACAGACAAAAAAUUAUCCGGAAUGAGAUUGACAAGUUGCUAGAAGUCGGAUUCAUCAGAGAAGUGCAUUACCCGGACUGGUUGGCAAAUGUAGUGGUGGUACCCAAAAAAGAAGGCAAAUGGCGGGUGUGAGUCGACUAUACCAACCUCAAUAAUGCAUGCCCAAAAGACAGUUUCCCUUUGCCACGGAUGGAUCAAAUUGUGGACUCCACUGCUGGGUAAGGGAUGCUCUCCUUCUUGGACGCCUUCUCUGGAUACCACCAAAUCCCCAUGUCCCCGGCUGAUGAAGAAAAGACAGCCUUCAUAACACCACAUGGUCUCUAUUGCUACAAAGUCAUGCCAUUCAGACUCAAAAACGCUGGUGCCACUUACUAGAGACUGAUGACGAAGAUCUUCAAACCUCUGGUCGGCCGCACAAUAGAGGUAUAUAUUGACGAUAUCGUGGUUAAAAGUAAAACCCGAGAGGAACAUGUCCUCCACUUGCAAGAAGUCUUCCACCUCUUGAGGAAGUAUGGCAUGAAGUUGAAUCCCUCUAAAUGUGCCUUUGGCAUAAGUGGUGACAAAUUCUUGGGAUUUAUGGUUAGCCAAAUGGGGAUAGAGGUCAGCCCGGACCAAGUCAAGGCAGUCAUGGAAACACCACCCCCUAGGAGCAAAAAGGAAUUACAACGCCUCACAGGCAAGCUCGUCGCGCUAGGGCGUUUUAUAGCCCGCUUCACUAAUGAACUGCGACCCUUCUUCUUGGCAAUACGAAAAGAAGGAGCAAACGGAUGGACGAACAACUGUCAAAGCGCUUUUGAAAAAAUUAAACAUUGCCUCAUGCAAUCGCCCAUCCUGAGCAGUCCCCUCCUUGAAGAAAAACUGUAUAUGUAUCUGGCUGUAUCGGAGUGGGCAAUUAGUGAUGUUCUAUUCCGCUGCCCCUUACCCAAGGAGCAGAAACCUAUCUACUACGUCAGCAGAGCAUUGGCAGACGUAGAAACCAGGUAUUCAAAGAUGGAGCUAAUGGCCUUAGCUCUUCGAAGUGCUGCCCAGAAGCUCUGCCCCUACUUCCAAGCCCACCCGGUGGUCAUGCUAACUGACCAGCCCCUUCGCAACAUUCUGCACAAGCCAGACUUAACCGGAAGAAUGCUUCAAUGGGCCAUAGAGUUAAGCGAAUAUGGAAUCGAGUUCCAACCCAGGCUGUCCAUGAAAGGCCAAGUUAUGGCUGACUUCGUGUUGGAAUACUCCCGAAGGCCUAUCCAGCGCAAGGAACCAAGUGAAAAAGAGUGGUGGACUUUGCGGGUCGAUGGAGCCUCACGAUCAUCAGGAUCCGGAGUAGGGCUCCUGCUGCAAUCACCAACAGGAGAACAUCUGGAGCAAGCCAUCUGGAUGGGGUUCCCCGCCUCUAACAAUGAAGCGGAAUAUGAGGCCAUCCUAUCCGGAUUGGACCUCGCCCUGGCUCAUCCGUCUCCAAGCUCCGGGUCUAUAGUGACUCCCAACUCAUGGUAAGACACGUUAAGAAGGAAUACGAAGCUAAGGAUGCGCGCAUGACGUGAUAUCUGACUAAAGUAAGGGACACCUUACAACGGUUCACCGAAUGGACGAUCGAAAAAAUCAAACGAUCUAAAAAUGGACGUGCCGACGCCUUAGCAGGCAUAGUUGCCUCCCUCCCCAUCAAAGAAGCCAUAUUGUUGCCUAUACAUGUGUAAGUCAACCAUUCCGUCGCGGAAACCUCCACUUGCAAUACCAUUGAGGCAAAUCAAGCAGACGACCAAGAGUGGACGGAAGACAUUAUAAGGUACCUCUAGACAGGCACUCUGCCUGAAGAGCCCAAGCAGGUACACAAGCUCCGGGUGCAAGCCGCCCGUUUCACCCUAAUUGGGGGGUACUUGUACAAGCGAUCCUUCACAGGUUCCUAUCUUCGGUGCCUAAACCACUCAGAGGCCCUGUAUGUAUUAGCUGAAUUGCACGAGGGAGUAUGUGGAAUUAUUCUGGAGGUCGAUUUCUGGCACACAGGGCCCAUUCGCAAGGAUAUUACUGGCCCACGAUGAAGAAGGAUGCGGCAGCCUAUGUCAAAAAAUGUGACAAAUGCCAAAGGCAUGCCCCCAUACCACAUGUGCCGUCGGAGACAUUGAAGCCAAUAUCAGGCCCCUGGCCCUUCACGCAGUGGGGCAUGGACAUAGUAGGACCCCUACCACCCCCACCCGCUCAAAAGAAAUUCCUGCUCGUCGCCACGAAUUACUUCAGUAAAUGGGUGGAAGCUGAGGCAUACGCUAGCAUCAAAGACAAAGAUGUCACCAAGUUCAUGUGGAAGAACAUCAUCUGCCGCUUCGGAAUCCCCCAAACCAUUAUAGCCGACAACGGUCCAUAGUUUGAUAGCAUCGCUUUCCAGAAUUUCUGUUCGAAACUAAACAUCCGGAAUUCAUACUCCACACCGCGUUAUCCUCAAAGUAAUGGGCAAGCAGAGGCCACAAACAAGACUCUAAUCACUACCUUAAAGAAAAGGCUCGAGCAAGCCAAAGGAAAGUGGGUGGAAGAGCUACCCGGCGUCUUGUGGGCUUAUCGAACCAUACCCAGAUGUCCGACAGGAAACACUCCCUUCGCCCUCGCAUACGGUAUGGACGCAAUCAUUUCUAUUGAAAUAGGGCUACCCACUAUCCCGGACCGAGGCAGGAAAGCAGGAUGAUGCAAAUGUGGAGUUAAGAAGAAACUUGGACUGGGCAAACGAAGUAAGGGAAACUGCAUCCAUUCGGAUGGCAGAUUAUCAACAAAGGGCAUCCGCUCACUACAAUCGCAAAGCAAGGCCCAGAAGCUUUAAAAAUGAUACGCUGGUCCUUAGAAAGGUUUUCGAAAAUACUGCUGAGAUAGGAGCGGGAAAAUUUCAAGCCAAUUGGGAAAACCCCUAUAUAGUAUCUAAGACAAGUGAAAGUGGAGCCUAUCAUCUGCAGAAGCUAGAUGGAACCCCAUUGCUCCGACCAUGGAAUGUAUCUAAUCUAAAGUAGUAUUACCAAUGAAAGAAAAAUAGAGGUACAAAUAUGAAUAAGUAUGUUUUAUUAAUACUUGUGAAAAAUUGUAUACAAAAGUUCUCCGGACUACAAAAUACAGAGAGAAGAUAGCAGUAAAAAUUACAAAAAGAAAAGCUCUCAUUGGGAAGGCUUGCCACGCAGCUUCUCCUCCUCACCCGGGGGAAUCGAAGGGACGUCCCGUUUGAUACCAAGUUUCUUCAUACAGCAACGGUAGCCGAAGAAGUACAUUUCGUCUACCUACUUCUGGUAGUCUGCUUCAAGUUCCUCCCUUUCCGCAGCAAACUCAGCCUCCAACUCUUCUUUUUGCGCUAAUAAACGCAACUGCAAAUCCUCUCUCUGCUUUUUCUCAAUUGACACCUCUGUUUGGAGUUGCCUCACUUCUCCCGCAGUUGGGCCAUUUCGUCCUCCGCCUCAUGUAGACGGGCGUCUGUAGAUUCCUCCCGACUCUUUGCCUCAGCUAGCUCUACCCGGAGAGCCUCGUUGUCAUCUCGAGCAGCGGAUAAACUGGCUUCGGCCUGCUCUAAUCUCAAGCGCAGUUCCUCUUCACUGUUUAUGCGUUGAGAGACGAAGGCCUUCAUAUAAUCAGCAGUUCGUAGUAGGUCAGAAAAAAGAUCACGUUGUUGAGCCAUGCCGCGGAUACCGCUCACCAGCUGCAGAAAAACCCACAAACAAGAAGUGCAAAAAUUACAACCCAUGUGACAAACACAUCAGAAUGGCAAGAAAAAUCAAGAAGUAAACUAUACCAUUUCCGCUGCUUCAAACAUUUUUGCUGAAGGCACAGCAACAUCUGAGCUGGAUGGAAUCCGUUUCAGCAUCUCUCCCAACUGCGCAUAGCUGAAAGGACUAGCGGAGAUGCAAGCUGCAUCAUCAACGGGACUUCCUCCUGACGAGGCAUUAGGGAGUGACUCCUUUCCCGAGUCCGGGGCCUCAUCAUUCUCGACCGGCUGGGUCUCUCCGAGUGAACCCCCAUCUGGGACCAGCACCGGGGCGGUUGGAUUCUCUUCUGCCAUCUCUGUCUCACUCCCCUCCGGAUGAUCCUCCUGGACGGACGAGCAGCUGACUUCGAUGGUUUCCAAAAAACGAUCUUGAAGCCGCCUGAUGAGGCUAGACUUUAAGUCACGGGCCGGACGAGACCUCCUUGCAGUUGGCCCCUUCACCGGUAUAAAGGCAAGGGAGCUUGGCUCGCAAGGAGGCACACCCUGACUUUCUGCCCUCGUUUCUUCCGUUGGGGGUGCCGUAGGAGGCAAUGCUUCAGUACAAGAGGCCUCGGCUGCAUCCGCGUCCGAAUGGGGAGAGCCGAGCUGAUUUACUGAAGUCGCUUCCUCAGCCAGAAGAGCCAGCCGUCCAGCCGCUGGCACUGAAGGCCCCGAAUGGUUUAGACCCGCGAGACGUCCGGAGCCUCUUGAAACAGAAGGCAAGACGGGGGAAGGGGGGAGAGGGGGGGGGGGGGGGGUGGUCUGGCUCUCUUAUUAUUAUUUCCUUUACGAAAGUUGGAGGUGGUAUUACCACUUCCUUUGGUGGAGUUGGAAGUUUUAUUUAUUUCCCCUUAUUGAGAGCCUUCUUCUUCUUUUUCUUCGCCGGGGCGCCAGCAGGAAGAGAGGGCGCGAAGCGUUUUAUAUCGGGGGCCCUCCGCAAAGUUCCCUCUUGCCUCAUUCCCUCCCGUUCGUCGAGACGUGCUCGGCGUGCCUGGGCAUCUGCCUUGCGCACCUCCUUGUAGAAAGGAAGGUCUUUUAGAACAAAAUGCUCCCCAGGCAUUACCUUCUUUGGCAACUUCCUGGGGAGAAUAUUGAUGACAUACGCCUGGGGCUCUUGGACAACGGCUAGCAAGUUUCGCGUAGUAAGCAGCGUCUCAUGAUGCCUCUCAGCGGCAGUAAUCUCAAAUAACUUGUUCAGUCGAACGAAAGACGUUUUUUCUACCCACUCGACUACGCGACCCCUCUUGUCCGGACCUGCAUUAUCAGCAACCAAAGAUAUUAAGCCAUCUGAUAACCCCAAAGCAAGAAAAGCAACAAGACGAAUGCCGAACAAACCCCGCAAGCUGUCUUACCCGGAAGCACCAACGAAAGGUUUGGGGAGAAUGGCCUCUCCGGAUGCUCCAGUAGCCCAGCCCAGAUACCCCGGACCAACACAUGUCCCUUGGCUCCUCCCUUCGUCGAAUCCGAAAGCUUAGUCACUAGUUGGAGAGAAGGCAGGUGGGAAACCAUGCUAAAAAUGUCAUUUUUCUCCUUCUUAAGGGAGUAGAUGAAAAGAACCUCCAGCAGCGAGAGGUCCAGGUUGAACAACAUGCUCAGAAUGCUGCAUCCCAUCAGCACCCGGACCAUGUUGGGAUGGAUGUAGGCCGGGGGGAUCUGGGUGAAGUGGAGAAAUUCUUUGAAAAGUGAUGGGAGAGGGAACCGGAGCCCAACAUUGAGUUGCUUCUUGGUAAAGCAGAUAGUGUUCUCCUCAGUUUUCUCAGUCGACAUGGCCUCUCCGUCCAUAAGUUCAACGGACACGCCAUUUGGGAUGCAGAAGCGUUCGCGAAACUCCCUCACAUUCAACUUAUCCACGGAUUUCUCAGCAUGAGCAUCUCCGGGUGAGCUGGAUGAAGUAGCUUCCUUGUUCGCAGACAUUUUGUAGGCUGGGGCUGAAAUGGAAUCUGCAUGGAGGAAUGCCAACAGUCAAACACAGCAAUCCGACCCCACAACCUUAACUCUACCCCAAAGAAGAAUCGGUGACCCACAAAAGGCACAAGGGUGCAACAGAAACCCUAAACACACCCAAAACACGAUCAAAACCCCCCGAAAAAAGCCCUAGAAACCAAUACCGAUUCCUAGUCGCAAAGCAACUUGCCCAGCAAGCCAGAAACAACCAACAAAACAAACACAACAAGGAGAAAAAAAAAAUAGAAAACGUACCGAGUGUAAAACUGGAAAAAUGGGAUGAAAUCCGCAGUGCAGUCACCGUCACGAUACGAGUAUUACCGGCAGAAAACCCUAGAGCUUCACUAGAAAGUGAAAAUACGCGGAAGGUAGAAGAGAAAGCACUACCAGAAAAAGCGCAGAAGGAAAAAUGCAAGAGAAAGGCACAGUUUGCUAUUUAUAGAGAGACAGCUCCUCGGUAUCCCAAAUGCUUAGCCGCACCAUCAUUGAAAGGACACGCUGCCUGGGAAAUCCCAGAAUCGGCGGCUCAUCAUAAAUGAUCUUCUUCCUUUUUCGCCCCCGCUCGCCACGUGGCCCAAUAAAGCGAAAAAAGUCAACCUCAGUUUCAAAAAACAAUCAUUUUUUAACCCACCCAUUUUGCCCUGGCAAAAUGGGCAGGUUAAAAGGGGGGCAUUGUAGGGACCUCUCCCCCUGAUGACAUGUGACACACAUUUCUAUCCGAAUUAGCUCCAUCCGGAUUUCCCCCAAGGAGACACGUGGCGCGCUUCCCCUAUCCGGACUCCCUCAGGGAGAAGCACACGACACUUGCAAACCUCACAUCCGGACGACCGCCAUAUCGCAUCCGGACGACCGACAUAUCCUAUCCGAAUAUGUUUGUCCAGAUCGUUGACUAAAGUAAGCAAGUCUUACUACGUCAUUCCGACAGCCUGCCACGGCUCACGUUCCGCCACCUGCAGAGUGAAAAGACAGGAAUGAUGGCAAGUCACUUCCUACGAUCUCUGACAGUUGCGACGCCUCCCACGAUCUCUGUCAGCCGCUCGUAUGGUGAUGAUGGCCCUGUCACCACCUAGAGUCAUCAUGACAAGCCAAAAUAUCUCCCUAUCAUUAAAGAGGGAGAUAGAGCUUCUGGUACUAUAUAUAUGGACCUUCACACAAAGAGGAAGGUAAGCUUGCUAUACCUAGUAAAAGGCCAACUGAUUUAUCUCUCUAACCAUGGUUGACAAAACCAUCGGAGGGUGUGUCCGGACGCCUUUUGCAGGAAUGACUAAACUAGGAAUCUAUAUUGGUUGAGAUUGUGCGUCCAUCUAUUUGGCAACUACGUGGAUCACCAGGGACGCGAGGCCUCAACAUAGUCCAUUUCCAUUUGAAUUGUUGAAACUUCCUAGUCCUUGUGGGUCUAGUGGUCUCUCUAAUAAUUCCCACCAUUAAUUUUUUGUGAUGAAGUGCAGUCAUUGAUAGCUACUAUAUCAAUUUGCUAUUAAAAGUCAAGUCAUUGAUAACUACUAUUCAAUCUUUUUCAAUAUGGAAAUUGGAAUCUCUAGCGCUACUCUUCUCAUCGUUCAUUUUUAGGUAAUGUGAGAAUGUGUGAACAUAAAUGUCUUCUAAUCAACCAAUUUUUUUUUGAAAAAAACAUGUACAAAAUUGCAAAACUUGCAAAAUCAAACUGACUGUAAUCAACCAUCAUAAUUUUGAUGGUUUUGAAGAAUCAAAGGAUGAAUCCUAAAAGGGUAUUUGAUAAAAAAUAAAAAUUAAAAAAAUUAAAAGACAACUACUCCCUUAAGUAUAAUAAGUGUAUUUGGUAGCACAAAUUUCCUACCACUUAUUAUUUUUUUUCUUAAAAAAUCAUUUACUCUAUUAAAUAAACUAACCUUGGCUUAUCACUUAUAGCAAAAUAGGUUAAGUAGUUUUUAAAAUUUUAUAAUAUUAGAUUUACAUUUUUAUCCUUCAAAAUUUCAUUAAUGCUAGAUUCUUCUAUAUGCUUAACUAAUAAAUAAUUUUUAGCAUUUUUCUUUUCUUAUAAACAUAAAAAAAUAAAAAUAUUAUUAACUUAUUGGUAUAUUUUAAAAUUUUAAUUAGAUUUAAGCUUUUAUUUUUUUGGAUUACCAAUUAUACAUAUAAAUCCUUUAUUAUUAUUGUUAUUAUUGAAAGAAAGGGGUUGAAUAGGUAGUCCCUCAAUCCCCAAAUUAAAUUCUUUAUUGCGUACUUUUGGUUUAUUCCUUUACAUGAAUUCCUUGGUGAGAGUAAACAUUUCAUUAAUGGAUAAAUAAAAUUGAUUCCAUAUCACAGGGUAUAAUGUGGAAAAAUCAUCGGUCUCAUGUGUUCCUUAGUGGAUCCUUUGGAGCCCUUAUCAAAGUUUCAUGAUGAAACCAUUGACUUUUGUUUAACCCAAAUGUGCUUUCAAGACAAAUCUUGAAAGAUUUGAGAGAUGGAGGUUCAAGUCUUUUAUGAACGACCAUGUUCUCUUAGGGUUCAUGAAAUUUCACACCUUUUGAUAAAUAAAACUUAUUUAUUUAUACGUCUAAAACCUAGUAUUUAUUUAUUUAAUUAUAGAAAGUUUCUUAGUUUUAAAAACAUUUCAAAAAUCAUUUUUAGAAUCAAAUAACAAUUUUAGAGAUAAACACAAUAUUAAAAUUUAACAAAAACAAAUUUUUGAAUUAAAAACACAAUAUAAACUAAAUUACAAAAUAUAAAGUAAUUUUUAUCCUAAUUUCUUCUUGCAAAACCAAAUAGAACACCUAGAAGGGGAGUGAAUAGGUGAUUUUAAAUUUUUUCAAUAAUGAUUUAUAAGUUAUACCCAAUUCUUUUACCCUGCGAGUUGUUAGGGACUAUCAAUUCUUUCCUUUUGGCAAUUCAAACAAUAUAUCAAAUAAUAAAAAGAUAUAAAUAAUGAGACAUAAAGAUUUUUACAUGGAAAACCCCCCACACUAACCAUGGAGAUAAAAAGCCAUGGAGUCUAAGACCUAUUAAUCUAAAUUCACUAUACGAAAUCAAGUUACACAAAUUUAUUUGGUAGCUUUACCUUAAAGACUUACUCUCCGGUACUGACAACUUGAUUCACGUCCAUGACGUAGCAACCCUCGAUUACUCCAAUGUAUCACUUCAAGCUUACUAAAAGGAUGAAGGCCUUCAAACCAAGAUUCAAAAAUCAAUUCCUUGAAUGAGAGAUUAGGAAUGGUGUGCCACUUUAGGCUUUCUCUCUAAGAUCUCUAAAAUGAUCUCCUCAAUGAAAACCUCUUAAACAAAAUGAGAUAUUUCUCCACAAUCUCUAACCCUUAAGGGGUUAUAAUGAGAUAUUUAUAGGCAACUAAGUUGAAAGUUUCAGUUUUGGAAGGUUUCUCAAUUGAAUUUGUGUGAAAAACUCGGCAGAAUCGACAUGAUCGCUCGAGCCAACACACUUCCCACUUGAGCGUUUUGGGCACUUGAGCGGUAAGGCUCGCUUGAGUUGUCUUAAGCACUUGAGCAUUCUAGGCUACUUGAGCAAUCUUGCUCUAUUUCAAAAGUUAAUUUUAAAUCAUUUUAAGUUCAAAACAAAAUUGAUUCCCUUUAUACCUCAAAGAAGCCUAACUUGCCACAAACCAAACCUUUUUAGAUAUACUUGUGACUUCCUGGUUGGACGAACAACAACUCUUAAUCUUCAAUGGAGAGCAAGUCACUAUCUAAAAAGAUUUAUAUGGUCAAACAUAAAAAAACAAAAAAAUUGCCAACAUAACAACAAGACUCAAUGUCCUAACAAUCUUCCCCUUUGGCAAUUUUGUGACAAAAACAACGUUACAUAAACCCACCUGAACUCUCAUAAUGGAGUUUAAUAAUACACAUUAACGUUCAAUUAAAAAUAAACUAAGGGAAUACUUUAUCUCACUUUGUAGUAUUUGUCUUCCAACCUUGUAACCUACACACAUAUAGAAAACUAUACCAAAGGUAAAACAAUGUGCAGGAUAAGAUAUGAUCAAGAAAGCAAAAUAGGAUAAUUGGAAAUUUUGCUUGAUGCCUUGUGAAAGCAUGAAAAAAGAACAAAUUCAUAUAGUAAUAUCAAGGGACAAAGCAAAACUCGAGAAGAAUAUAUAUGUAUGCAAAUCAACCAAACAUAAUAAAAGCUAAAUAAGAUGCAAUAGAUAAAAAAUAAUGCCUAGGGGUCUAUCUCCAACCAGAAAAUAGGGAGUGAAGAUCAUAGAAAGAACCUUCUGUGACUUAGAAAGAUUCUAGAGAGAUAGUAAAUUCAAACAUAAAUAUCUUGCUGGAAACAUCUAUGUUAUGUAUCUCUCUAAACCUUUUAAGUUAUGCUUUCAUCAGUUGAUUUGGUUUUUCUCCAAUGUCUCAGGUUUAAUUUCCUCUAUUAUUUCAAUUAGAGAAAUUAGUAGUCGAUUGACUUAGUGGGUGUUUGGUAAAACUUAAUACUUAUUAUUUAAUGAUUAACUUUAAGUUAAAUUGUUCUUAAGUUAUUAAUUUAAAAUUUAUUACUUAUUUUGUAUUUAAGUAUUAAGGUUAUUUGUAAAAAUCAACUUAAAAUUUAUUCUAAAUCAUCAAAUUAACACAUUUACCCUUAUUAAUUUUAACUUAUAUUUAUUUUCAUUAAUUUUAAACAAUAAAUUUAUUCAUAAAACAUCUAUAUUUUUGUAGAUACAUAAUAACCAUAAAAUAUUUACUAUAAAAAAUGAGUCAUGGAUGUAGAAUUAUAAUUCUAAAAUAUACACCUAUAAGUGUGGGUAAAUAAGACAAAAAUGAUUUGAGAUUAAGAGUAAAGUUAAUUAUUUUGACUUAAGACUUCAAGUUAAAAAUAACUUUAAGUUGCAAUAUUAAGUUAUUUUAUCAAACAUGCUUAAUUUACUUAACAACUUAAAUUAACUUAUUAAGUUGAUUUAUCAAACACCCCACUAGUAAUAUGUUGAAAAUGAAGAGCAUCCAUAGCAGAUAAUGUAUAUGUAUUUGUGUUUAGAGUAGAAGGGCACUACAACAAUGGACUUGCAUGUGAUUUGGUCGCGAUAUGAUUUUGAUGAGAAUAUUUUAUUGUCUUUAAAAUAUUGUUAUAUGAAAUGCCACACUAUGUUAGUAAAUGAUAGUUAUGUUAGUAGAAAUGAAAGUUUGUUUUAUAAUGCAUUGACCAUCCUAACACAUGCACUUAAUUAUCAUUAGUAGUUAGACAUGUAUUCCCUUUUUUCAAUUUUUUUUCUUCUUUUUAAAUACAUUCUAGUGGUACUUUGCCUUAUGACUUAAUUUUUGUUACACUUACUACUUUUGGUUUUAGUCAUAUUUCAUUUUAUUAGUAUUUUCAUUUUGUGUUACAAUUUUAUUUAGUUUCUCUAUAUUCUCUUUUGGAUGGUGAUUUCACUUCAAAUUUUAAUUCAAAUUAGGCUUAUUGUCCUCUUAGUAAGCCUUUUCUAGGCGAGUUGUUAUAGAAAAUUAAACAAACCUCUCCUAAGGUUGGCCUUGUUACAUAGACUUCUUUUCUAUUUUGAAAUAUUAUAUUGACCUCCCUUGUUAGAUAUUGGUUUUUACGAUUACUAAGAAUAAUGCUUCUUAAUCAUUAUUAACGAUAAUGCAAAAUGAUAUAACUACUCUUAGUUAAAUCAAAUCAUAAUGACAAUAUUUUCAUCUUCUUUUUCCAAUUUUCUUCUUCUUCCUCCAUACAUGCUAAUUUGCAAAAAUUUAUACCCAUUAUUUAAAUGAAAUCUUUUGAAAUAAAUUAAAAUCUUCCUUAUUUGAUAUUAUAGAAACCUAAUUUAAAUAAAAUAUUUUGAAAUAAAUUAGAUAAAAAAAAAACUUGUCAUCAUUCUAACCCAAAUCAAAUUUAAAAGAAUAACUAAAUAUUUCAAGUCUCAUUUUGUCUCAAUAUCACCUUUGCUAAUCAACCUAUCCAAUCUUAGAUCAAACUCAAAUUGCAAUCAAAUUUUGACAAGAAAAAAUCUACUUAAGACUGAAUAAGAAAACUUGUGGAAAGAGUCUUAUCAAGAAGGUGCAUGAAACCCUCAGUUCAAAAACUUCUUCUAAAAUAAAAUUAAAAAAAGAAAAGAAAAGAAAGAUAUUCAAUGUUAAAGGACUUUUAAGAUAAAUCAAAAUUUGAAAAUGAAUGUUAAUACUUGCGAUAGAUUCCACAUUCAUGAACAAAUUACCAUUGCACCACUUAUUUUCAAUUCACACUUUAAUUUACUAUCCAUAGAAACUUUCAUUAAAUUUUCCAUAAAACAAACAAAGAGCCUUAACCCCCAAAUAUUUUAAUUCUUAAAAAUACAUCAUUUCAUCAAUUUUUGAAACCCUCAUUUUAACACAAAUUAUUUUUUUUUACAAAUUAUUAAAAGAAUAAAAAGAAAAUUAAGAAGAGGUUGUCAUUAUUAUUCUUGCAAAGUCACCACAAAAUAAAUUAUAACAAAUAUAGAAAAUAAAAUAAUGUGACGAUGAAGAUGAUGCUUAGAAAGUUAGAAUGAAGAAGAUAGUAUCAUUUAGAUGAUUUAGGUUAAGAUGAGGACUAGAUAAGGAAAGUGACAUCAAUUGCCUAAUUAUUUGGGGUUUUAGACAUACAAAAUGAGGGAGAUGACUAAAAUUAUGGUUUAAUUAUUUUUGGUUAAGGAUUAUUAAGUUAUUUUAAGGAAUUAAUUAAUUAAUUUAUAAUAAAUUUAGAAUUAAUUAAAAGUUAAUUAAAAUAAUUAUUGAUUCAUAGUUUAAUUUAAAACUAAUUUGAAUAAAAGAUGAAAAACUGAAAGUCCAUUAGGGUUUCACCUAGAGAGGGGAGAGGAGGUGGAUGAUUUAAAAAAUUUCAAUAAAGAUCUAUAUGUUAUAUCCAAUUUUAUUUUACCCUGUGAGAUGUUAGGGAUAACCUUUUCUAUCAACCUUAGGCAAUUCAAACAAAAUAUCAAAUAUAAAAGAUAAGAACAAUAAGGCAUGCGAUUUUUAUAUGGAAAAUCCUCACACUAACUGUGACGAUAAAAACCACGAGAUCUAAGACCUAUUAAUCUAAAUGCACUAGAUGAAAUCAAGUUACACAGAUUUACUUGACUGCUUUACCUUAAAGAUUUACUCUCUGGUAAGUACAACUUGAUUCAUGUCCACAACAUAGCAACCCUUGAUUGCUCCAGUGGAUCACUUCAGCUUCCUGGAAGGGAUGAAGGUCUCCAAAAUAAUAUUUAAAGAACAAAUCCUUGAAUGAGAAAUUGAGAAUGGUGUGGCAAUCUAGGUUUUGUCUAUAGGAGACCCUUUUUAGAGAAUAAAGUCUCUCAACAAUCUAUCUCCAAUCUCUUCAAUAUCUCUAACCCUCAAGGGGUUAUAAGGGAGGUAUUUAUAGGCAAAAGUUUGAAAAGUUUUGAUUUUGGAAGGUUUCUCAAUUGAAAUUUUGUGAAAAACUUGGUAGAAUCAACAUGAUUGCUCGAGCCAACUCACCCAUCGCUUGAGCGCCUCAAGCACUUGAGUGGUAUGGCUCACUUGAGCGGUCUUAAGCGCUUGAGUAGUCUUUAGUGCUUGAGCGCUCUAGGCCACUUGAGCAGUCUUGCUCUCUUUCAAAAAUCAAUUUUAAAAUCUUUUUAAGUUCAAAACAAAAUUGAUGCUCUUUAAUACCUCAACAUAGCCUAAUUAACAUAAGUCAAGCCUCUUUAAACAUGUGACUUCUCAAUUGGACAAACAACAACCCUUGAUCUUCAAUGAAGAGUAAGUCACUAACUAGAAAGACUUCUAUGACCAAACAUUACAAAGAACAAAAUUGCCAACAUAUAGGAAGGACUUACUGUCUUAACAAUCUCUCCCUUUGACAAUUUUGUGACAAAAAAUUGUUACAUAAACCCACUUGAACUCUGAUAACGGAGUUUACAUAACACACUUUAAUGCUCAAUUAAAACUAAAUUAAGGGAAAGCUUUGUAUUAAUUUAUAGUACUUAUAUUUCAACCCCGUAACCUACACACAUACAAAAAACUAUACUAAAGGUAAAGUAGUGUGAGGAAUAAAGUAAUGUUGAGAAAACAAAACAGGAUAGUUGGAGGUUUUGCUUGAUGACUUAUGAAAACAUGAAAAUGGAACAGAUUUUUGUAGAGACACUGAGGCACAAAGCAAAGCUUGAGAGGAAUAUAGAUACACACAAAUCAGGAAAACACAAUAGAAGCUUGAUAAGACACAAUAGAUCAAUAAUAAUGCUUAGAAGUCUAUCUCCAACCAGAAAAUGGGUAGUGAAAACCAUGGAAAGAAACUGCUAUGACUUAGAAUAGUUCUAGAGUGAUAAUUAGUUUAAACAUAAAUAUCUUAUAAGAAACAUUUGUGUCAAGUAUCUCUUUAAACCAUCUAAGUUAUGUUUUCAUCGGUUGAUAUGGUUUUCUCCAAUUUCUCAAGUUUAAUUUCCUUUAAUAUUUCAAUAAUUUCCCUUAAUGGAUGAAUGAAUGAAUGAAUUGAAUUAAAGAAUUCAAAAUUUUUAACUCAUAGUAACUUCCCUUAAAUUACAAUCAAUACAAUAAUUCAAAUCAAGUAUACAAAAACAUAAAUAAUAGAACAUUUAUGCAUUAGGUGGCGGUAGAGGGAUAGAGCUUGAAGCAUCGUGAGAAUGGGUACAAGAAAAGAUGUAGUUAAGUUAUCCCUAAAUCUCUCGGAGUUGGAGAUCCUAAGAGUCCAUCUUCUGAUGAAGUCGGGCCAUGGAAUUUAGAGCCUCAUGGGCGUUGGGUCUACAAAAGUAAAAGCCUUGUGUGUAGCUCGGGAAGAACUAACACAACCUCAACUUUAGAGUGAGUCCUCGGAGCAGACUCUAAAUAGUCUGCCUCUAGAAUUCCACCAUGCUCCAUAGCUCGAAGCUCAUCCUCCUAGACAACUACCUUUGCAUGCUGGCCUACAUCAUGUGGUUCAUAAGUUGGAAGAGCCAUCAAACUAUAUACAUGAAUGUAGUGCUUGGGCUAGGAACUCCCAUCUAAAAAGGCAUGGGUAGCCUAGACCCCUAGUGUAGGAUCAAUCUUAAAUCCCACAUCCUCGAGUAUCCGCGUCAUGAGGAGGGUAAAAGGGAAAGUGCCUCCUCUAAAGGAUAAACCACGAAGGGGAAUGAUUGUAUCCAGGAUGACUUAGCCAAUGUCAAAUUGUUGGCUUGAGAGAAUGACGUGAAUAAAGUGAGCAGAUGGUCAAUGGAUUUGGGUGCAGUGUGUAAAUGGGUAGAAGGAGUAAGUGAAGAAUGUGGCAAACAACCAUGUUAGCUUGAAGAAGCCAACAAUCAAGAUAUAAGAAGGAAAGGGGCAAAGACCCCCAUAAAGAGAAGUCAGAAUGGUGUCAAGUUUCUCUCGGGUGAGAGCCUGAACCUCUAGGGAAAAUGAAGAAAUGAGAGCCUCAAUUUGCGACAUGCUAAGGACACAUUGAAUGUAAUGGGAGAAAAUAAGGAAAAAUUGACCAUGCAUGGUCAAUUGAAAGGUGACUCCGACCACAAUAUAAUGCAUGUUCUCAUAGAACAUGUGAACAAGAUGGGGAUAGGAAGUCCCCUAGAGAGAAAACAAAGUCUCCUAACUUUACUCUUGAAUGAUGAUAGGGAAGACAGUGUCCUGAAAAGCUUAGAGGUUAAUGGCAUGCUCAGGCUCGACACAUUGAUAUGUGAAAGAAGCGUAAUAAUGGUCUCGUGCCACCUGGCAGUGAAAACGCUCAACCGAAAGUGCAUCUAGGUUAAAAAGACCCUGGAGUGGGAUGCCCUAGACGGUUUCAGUGACCUAGGAAAGGUCACCUCCCUCUGACAUCUAUGACUAGCCAUAUCUAAGGUAUAUAAUAUGAAAAAACAAAAGCUAAAGAAGAACUAAAGAAAAUCCAAAGAAAAGCUAAACCACUAAAAAUGUUAAACUCAAUGCGUCGAACAAUACUAUACAAAUGGAAAUGAAAAAUAUGAAGUGAACUGACCUCAGAAGACAAAAGGACAGUAACCUAGAGGGCUCGAAGAUGAAUAGGAAAGUUUGAAAUGAAUAUGGCGUGCUGGAUGACCUUUAUAUAGCCUAUAGGAGUGCUUGAUGCAGAUUAGCACUCGAGCGUCAUGACUAACUUAAAUCAAAGUAUUUAUUACUAUCAAAAUAUUUUAAAAGUUUCAAAGGAAGUAUUCAAUUUAGAACCUUUUUAGAAAUUUUUUUGAAAGAAACAAAAAUAAAACGUGAAAUAUUAUGUGUUAAAGGUGUUAGAAGACAAUAUUGUCUAAUCCAAAGCCUUACACAUUCCACAAAAAAAAAAAAGGAAAAAGAGAGAUAUUAUAUAAGAUUUUGAUCACAUCUAAUAGAAACUAAUAUUUAGCAACAUAUCACCAAGCACUAUCUUAUCAGAAAGCUCUAACAUGUUGGAAAUUUAUGUAAGGUUCCAUAACAACUAACAACUUUUUCUGACGACUUGGCAAUGGACCAUUUGCACUUUAACUACAUUAUUGAAUUUAAAUCAUAUUAGAAUAGUAAUUGACUUCUCUUUUGUGAGGCUACAUAUCUUGUAGGAUGGGAUAGGUGAUUCAUUUCAUAUAUGAAAUUUACUUAAUUUAGUAAUGCAUCCAAGUUCAUUAUGAAUAUAAUGGUACCACAACUUUUUGAAUAUUUGUAAUCUGUAAUCUUUGUUUCAACUUCUCAAGUCUAGUCAUUUUAUCGGCAUAACUAGUUUGCUUCAAUUAUCUCUCAACUUUAUUAUAAAACUAAGGGAAAUGAUUAUCACGCAUUUUAUAUUAACUUAACCAAACAUCUUUAUAUAUCUUACAUAUAUAUAUAUAUUGUAAAUUUAGGAAAAUUUCAUCCAUUAGCCAUAGUAAGUAAGAAUCAAAUAUGGGAUAUGUAAGCCAAUGGUGAUAUUGAUGGCGUCAAAUCAAUGACAUAGUAGAAACGUGGAUUGUCUAUUUUCAAACCUUUAUAUUUUCAUCCAAUAGUAAAAAGGUUUAGGCAUCACUUGAAAAGUAGUUUGUUUUUUACCUUGGACUAUGAUUUAUGAAUAAAGUUCUUCUGUUGUAUACCUUUUGUGAUGCCCCAAACCUAAUUUAGGGGUAAAAAUAAUAAUUUAGAAACAAAUAAAUAAAAAUUUAAAUAAAUUUAAUUAAGGUAAAAAUGUAUUUUCGUAUUUAAAAUUCCUAGGGAUCAAUUAUAUAUUUCUUGUCUUCUCUAUUCAAAAAACCCUAUUACACAAAAAUCAAAGAUCAGAGAACAUAGGACAACGUAGGGUUGAAGAUUUGGAGGUUUAGGGUUGAAGAUUAGUUUUCCAGGUAAGAUUCUAACCCUUAAAUUAGUAUUUUAGAUUCGUUAAUUAGUUUGAACACUUUAGAUAUUCUUUGAAAAAUCUGAAUCCACGUUAGGGUUUGUUAAUUUAAUUUUUAAAUAAAAAAGAUUGAAAAUUUAUGAACAUAAGUAGAGUUAUUAUUAAAGAUUGAAAAUUUUUGAAUAUUUGAAUUAAAAAUCUAGAAAAAAAAAAAGAAAAUAAAUUAUAGAUUUGGAUGUGGAAAAAAAUUAAUAUUAAUAAAUAAAUAAAACCUAUGAGUAUGGAGGUAGAAAAAUAUGAAAGUUGAAAGCAAAGAAAAAAAAAAGGAAUAAGGUUUUGUGGUUGUAUAUGCCUCCUUAGUGGAAAAAAAAUACAAGGUUGCUUGCAAUAGGAUAUGAUAAAGAGAGAGAGAUAAAUGCUUCGAUAUUGAUUUUUGUGGGGAAAAAAAGAUUGGGUAAUGCAGGAGAGAAAUAGGUAGCAUUUGUAGAGUUGGUGGAGUUGUUGUAAAAGCUCGUAGGGGUAAUUGUUAGGAAACAUUAGGACUUGAAAUAAUAAUAAUUGCUUCUAGUAAAAGUUUUAAUUUAGUUUAAGUAUAUAAAAGAAAUAGAUGAUUAGAAAAAGAUUUGGAAGGAAUAUGAAUUCAUAAAAUUUCGAAAUUUACUAAUUUAGAUUAUUAUUGUUUUGGAAGUUGAAUAUAAUAUAGGUGAUAAUAUUAUUAAUAUAGGAAAUGAUUAAGAUUCUCAAACCUACAAUUUUAGAUAAAUAGUUAAUAGUAAUAGAUGAUUUUUUAUUUUUUUUAUUUUUUAUUUUUUAUGUUAUGUUAAGUGAAUAAUGGAUUCUUUGAUUAAUUCUCUAAGGUUUCUAAGUGCUUCUUUAAGGUAAGGGAUAUUAAUACUGAUUUUGUAAAUGAAAAUAUUUCUUUUUAUAAGUUAUUUUAAAUUAUGAAAAAUUUUAUUAUUAUUUAUGCAUGGAUCAAAUAUAUAUUUUUUCAUGAGAAACAUGUUUAGGCAAUUUCUUUGUUUAUAAAUAAAUAAAUAAAAAAUGAGAACCUUGGAAAUAUAAUGUUUUGUUUUGUAAGUUUAAAAUAAUGAAAUAAAGUUUUUGACUCUGGUUUAUAUGACCUUAGUUAAUGGGUUAUAAUUGUUGACAUUUUUAGCUCCAAUCAACAAUUAUAAUUGUUGACAUUUUCAGCUCCAAUCAACGAUUAUAAUUGUUGAGAUUUUCAACCCUAGCCAAUGGGUUAUAAUAGUUGACCUUAUAGCCCUAGUCAACAGAUAUAAUUGUCAACCUUUGGUUUUGCCCAUCUUAAAAAGAACAAAUUUAAGGCUAGCCAUUUAUUUGUAAAGUCCCACCUAACUAAGUACCAUUUGUUAUUUAAUAACCAGAGUAAAGAUAUUUUGAAUGUAUUUGAUAUGAAAUUGUUUUGAUAUAAAUAUGAAAAUGUUUGGUUGAAAGUUCAAAUGUUUAAUGCAUGUUGAACUCAAAAGUUUUAUUAAAAUGAUUAUAUGUUAUAUAUCCUAUUUGUAAGCUUGAUCCAUGAAACUGUAUUAAUAUUCCUUAUUGGACUUUGAGCUCAUUCCCCUUUGUUGAGAAUUUUUUUGGUAUUCUCAGUUUGGGCAAGGAGUGAUGACUGGGUUGGGGAAUUUUCUUUGCUAUGAUUUUGGUUCAAUCUUUAUUUUGGACAUUGUUUAGAUGUUAAAAUUUAAUUCCCAUUUAAAUUAUUUGAGUUUGGAGUUAUUUGGACGAUAACACUUUGAUUGAUGUGUUAGUUUUAAAGUUGAGAAUUGAAAAUUAUAGAAUUUAUUUAUCUUACUACUUUGAACAGAAAUUUAGUAAUUGGAGAUCAUCCAGUUACAAGAUGAAUAUUUGUGUCAUUUCCACUUUGAGAGUUCAGACUUGGGGUGUGAAAUGACCGUUAUGCCCUUGGAGUGGGUAUAUUGUUUAUUUGAAUUUAAUGGUCCCCGAACUCCUUAAUUACUCAUAACUUUAUAUCACCUUCUCAAAGUUAAGUUGUUUUACAACUAUUAUCUAGCUACUUUUCUCUACUAUGACAACUUUAUUACAUAGUGAUUAAUUGAAAGAAUCUACAUGUUUUAUUUCAUAGGAUAGUUGAUUUUUUUACUCAAUGAAUCUUGCUUUUAUUAUUGAAAUUUCAAAUCAUUGUAGUCCAACAAUUUCCUAUCCAUUGGUAAUUUCAUAUUACAUUUCCAAAGUCUAAUCAUUUAAAAACACUUGUAGUUAAUAUAUUGGCAAUUGCAUUGUGGGAAGUUGUUCACUUGAUUUUAAUGUUGAAACUUUCAAAUUAUUGUAGUCCAACAAUUCCCUAUCCAUUGGUAAUUUCAUAUCACAUUUUCAAAUUAUAAUCAUUUACAAAUACUUGUAUAUAGUAUAUUUGGUGAUUGUAGAGUGGAAAGUUGAUCGUUUUCAUGAAGACCUCUAAAAUAUAAAUUUUUUUCAUUCCAUUUAAUAAAGAAUUUCAUUAAUUGAACAUAUAUGUUUUUUUUAGCUGGAAAGUAGAGGCCACAUUAUACGAGGCCUUAGGUGACAAUACUAGGUGAGGGUUUUUUUUUUAAUUUAUUUAUUAUGAAAUAUAAAUAAUAUUAUUUAUUGUAUAAUAAAGAUUAUUAUAAUAUAUUUUUUAUAGAUGAAAAAAAUAUUAAUUGAGUUUUAUUUAUUUUUUAAUAAUUGUUUUCAAUAAAUAACUUAUUUGUAAAAAGAAAACUAUAAAAUAUAUGCAUUUGAAAAAUAUUUAAUUUUUAUUUGAUUUAGUAUCAAUUAAUAUUUGUAAUAUUUUUUAAUAUUAUAGAAGUUAACAUACUCAAUCAAGAUAUUCAAGAUCAAGAGAACAUUUGAGAUUGAAUUAAUUUCUUUAUUGUUUAUGUUUUAGAAAAUUUUUAUAUCCAUUACAAAUUUUCUAUUGUUUAUUUUUCAUUCAAUUUUUGCAUUUUGUAAUAGAUAUUAAAACGAAUUUUUUUUCCUAUAUGUUAAAAAAAUAUUUCAAUGUCUUUAAAAAUAAAAUAUUGCAGUAAAAUCAAAAUUACAUUGUGAAACUUUAAGCGAAUGUUUUAUACUUAAGAAGUGCCAAUUAAAGUAAGCAUGCAUCUACAAUUGUAAUUUAGAUGUCAUACUGAAACAAUAGUUCUCUUCGACUAUAUCAUAAAAUUUGGUUCGAAUUACUUUAAGUCAUCUUGUAGAUUUUCAAGUUCUAAUGAUAUGCAUCAAGUAUGUGCAACAUACUUGAUAUAACUAAUAUUUUCUUAAGUAAUUGGACACUUUUUUUCUAUAAAUUUACUUGAUUAUCAAUGAAUACUUUUAUGUAGGGUAUUGAUAUAAUUCGAUAAAUAUUUUAAAAUAGUAUUAGAAUAGCUUUGCUCUUUCCCAAUUAACAAAUUUACCAAAUUAACUUAUAUAUAUUUGUUUAUUUGAAUUUACUGGUAUUUGACUCAAAUUGUUAUUAUUUUUAAAAUUAUAGGAAAACCAUUAUUUAUAGAGUUUAAUUAUAUUUUGGUAAAUUAUCUUUUUAAGUUUGACUAGGAUUAGGAAACUAUUAAUUUAAGAUUAAUCCAUAAGGCUCUAUAAAUUUGCAGUUUUAUAUAGGAUUUAAAAAAAGAAAGAAAAAGUAAGAAAAAGUGAAGAGAGAUAGGCAAAGAGUGCAUUGGGUUUUAGAUAGAGAAAGAUUGAGAGAGUUUUGAUUACUACUAAAAAAGAACAUAUUUUAGAUAGUAAUUCUCAUGAGUUUCGCAUCUUUUGAGCAUUAAUUAUGCCUAAAAAUGCUCAAUUAACAUGUUGUUGCCCUUGCAAAAGUUACUAACAAGUUUUAUAAAGUUUUGGAGUCAUUUCAAGUUAUGAUUUUAAUAAAUUGGUGACGAAAGAAAUGAAUUGAUUUGAAGAAGGCAAAUAAUAUUGAUGAUGAUCAAAUGCAUAAUGAAAUAAGAAAUAUAAUUAGUUUGAUCGGGAUUUGCUGCUAAUUUGGAGGUAGUUAAGGUGGAGUCAAAAGAAGAAAAUGGAAGAAAUGACAAAAAGGAGCUUAAAAACCAAAUGUUGCAGAUUUGUAUGAUCAUGCAAAAAUUUUACAUGACUAUGCGAAAUGGAUUAGAGAAGGAAAAUUGACUAUAGUAUAAGGAGGAUGCUUAAGUUGAUUUCGCAUGAACAUGAGAAAAUUUCGCAUGAACAUGCGAAAAUUUUGAACAAUCAUGCGAAAUGGUCCAGAAAGCUCUCUAAUGUUGUUGUUGCUCCACUAAUUUCGCACCACCAUGCGAAAUCGAUAUUUUCAUGCAAAAUGGCUGAAGCUCAUGUGAAAUCAUGAUUUUGAGGCUAAACUCCAGAUUUGUGAAUUUGGAAGGCUUUAUAAGACCAAUGAGAGGUUGCCAAGUGUUCACUUGACCUUGGCCUAUAAAUAGAAACUUGAAUUUCCCAUGUAAAGAGCUUUGUGAUACUUUUAAUUUUAGAUUUUUCUAGAAACUCUUUUUCUAAAUAGAAUUCUAUAUUUUCUUUAAUUUUCCCUCAUUUUCUCAUUAGCCAAACAUGCCUAGUGAGACCAAAUCUCCAAGUAUGAGUGGCUAAAUUUCGUUUUUCUCAAAGGAAGGAGGAUCUAGAGGCAAGAUCUAUGGUGAAUUAUAGAAAUGAGUUUUAAUUGCAAAUGUAAUUUGAUCCAAUUGAUUGAUUAAUUGAAAUUUGAGGAUUUCUCUCUUCAAAUUGUCUUGAAUGACUAUUACAUUGCAAACUAGGUAGAUUCAUUAAAUUCUUAAAGCUAGAUUUAAUGAGACUGAAUAGUUGCAUUGUAUGAAUCAUUGGAAGAUGAUUUAAGAUGAAUUGAAUAUAUAAUUUAAAUUGAUCUCUUGGAUUAAAUAACCUAAUUUGAAGAGAAAUUAGGUUUAGACUUAAAGGUAAAUCCAAAAUCGGUUUAGAUAAGAAUUUAGGUUUUCAAUAUAACUUGAUGAAAAAUAAAUCUCAACAUCUAUUCACUAUGGAAAUUGUUUUCUAAAAAAUAUUAACUCCGAGAAUUCCUUUUCCUUAUCAAUUUUCUUAUAUUCUACAUUAUAUUGUUCUUUUCAAUUAGAAAUCAUUGUUAUUUUGAUUUUUCAUGAAUUGUCAAAUCAAUUUCACUUGACCACAAUCAUUUCUUUUCCUUCCAUUUAAACCUUAAUUAUCGAGAAUAAUCCAUCCCAAUGGAAGACACCUAAGACCACUAUACUACCGUAGCUUUUGCUAAAAAACCUUUUUGAUCGGGCAAGAGUUACCUUAGCAUAGUUGAAUUAUGUUAUAAUUUUUUUUAUCCAAUAAACAACAAAAAAAUCAAUCGAUCAAGUUUGCAUUGUGUAUUCUUGAAUUUUAUUAAUAAAUUUAAUCCCCCUUUUUGAAGCGAUUACACCAAACCAAGUAAAUAUUUUAUAUACUUCAUUUGCUUUAUUUUUUCUAUUAAGUUUAGGUGUUGCAAUUUUCAAGAGUCAUGGUGAGAAGAUUGUGGGAAAAAUUAUUUUAAGGAUGGAGUCGAACAUAAAAUAUGAAAUUGAGUCCUUUGAUGGAAAUAAUAAUUUUAAUAUUUGAUAAAGUAUUAUUAAAGAUGUUUUGAUACAACAAAGACUUCUCAAAGCAUUACAAGGCAAAAAAACUAGAGAGCAUGACAAAUAAAGAAAUGAAAGAAUUAGAAGCAAGAGUUGUAAGUACUAUUUGUUUAAGUCUUAAAAAUGAAAUACAUUGUUUUGAAUGAAAAAUAUUCUUUCAGGGGUGUCAAUUGCUCUUUUAGAGACCAAAAAUAUUAAGCAAUCAAGUAGUUCAUCUCAUAUUGGACAAACUGUUAUGAUGAAUUCUAAACCACAUCAUCAUAGGAGUAAAUCGAAAGAAAAGUAUCUGAUAGGAGGAUGAUCAUUCCAUUCACAUUUAUGGAGGAAUAUGAAGUAUUAUUACUAUGAAAAAAAAAACAUAUCAGGAGAUAUUGUAAAGAAUUGAUGAAGUACCUAGAAGAAAUGAAAAUUUUUAAAUCCCAAGAGACUUCAAAUUCUACUAAUAUUGUUGAUGAAAAUUUUGAAAUAUUGUAGUAAAUUAAAAGUUACAUUAUGGGACUUUUAGUGAGUGUUUUGUGUUGAAGAAAGGCUAAUUAAAGUAAACAUGCAUCUAAAAUUAUAAUUUAGAUGUUGUACUCAAAUAGUUGCUCUCCUCGAUUAUAUCAUAAAAUUUGGUUUGAAGUAGUCUAAGUCAUCUAAUAAUUUUCUAGUUCCAAUUACAUGCAUCAAACAUGUGUGUUAGGAAGUGUUGCAAAUUACUAAUUAGUAUAGAUCCCUUUUUUUUUUUAAAGAAUAUUGUAUUGAAUAUUUCUAGGUUGAUAUAUUAUUGUAAUAUUAGACUUCCUUAUAGAAUAAGGAAUGUUGUUGAAAAUAUCCCUAUAAAUAUUCUAGUUCAUAAGGGGAAAAAGUUAUGAGAUGAAGAUGGACCCAUAAAGACUAUACAAGGUGGAUAGAGAUGUGAGGAAGAACAGGAGGUACCCGGUGGAGCGAGAGGGCUCGUGGUAAGGUAUAGGUACGAAGAGUGAGGAAACAUGGGAUGUUUUGGGAACCCAAUAGUUAUAUCUAGUUAUAUCAUCUAUAAGUUCUAGUUCUGUCCUUUGCAUUGUUCUCUAUUUUAUAGUGGAAUGAUUCUCUCUUAUCUGUGGAUGUAGGCAUGGUUUUCGAACCACGUUAAAACCUUAUGUACCGUUUGUGUCGAAUUUUUUUAUCUUUAUUUUCUUGAUUAAUGAAGUUUGCAUCAAAGCUUCCGUCAACGGAACAAACUUGUAUCAAAGCUUGGGUUAAAGAUUUCUGGAAGAGUAAAAGAUCACAAAGCACACAAGAUGAAACCAAAAGGAUUUUUUAGUGAAAAUGGAGUCGAUUGCUCUCUUGUGGUGAUAUGAUAUAAAAAGUUUGUCUCAUGGAAAGUUUGAAGAUUGACUUCAUGGAAUUUGGUCCAAAAUGGAGAUUGUUAAUAAGUGUCCCAAAUUCCUAAUUAGUAUAGAUUUUUUUUUUUUUUGUAAAGAAUAUUGUAUAGAAUAUUUCUAGGUUGAUAUAUUAUUGUAAUAUUAGACUUUCUUAUAGAAUAAGGAAGGUUGUUGAAAAUAUCUUUAUAAAUAUUCUAGGUCAUGAGGAAAAAAAGUUAUGAGAUGAAGAUGGGCCUGUAAAAACUAUAUGAGGUGGAUAGAGAUGUGAGGAAGAACGGGAGGUACUCAAUGGAAUGAGAGGGCUCGUGGUAGGGUAUGGAUACAAAGAGUGGGGAAAUAUGGGAUGUUUUGGGAACCUAAUAGUUGUAUCUGGUUCUGUCAUCUAUAAUGUUCUAGUUACGUCCUCUAUAAUGCUCUCUAUUGUAUAGUGGAAUGAUUCUCUUUCAUCCAUGGACGUAAGCAUGGUUGUCGAACCACGUUAAAACCUCAUGUACUGUUUGUGUUAUUAUUCUUUAAAUUUUUUAAUAUUUGUUUCUUGAUUAAUGAUGUGUGCAUCAAAGCUUCCACCUACAUAACAAACUGGUAUCAGAGCUUGGGUUGAAGAUUUUUGGAAUAGUAAAAGAUCACAAAGCACACAAGAUGAAAACAAAAGGAAUUUUUAGUGAAUGUGGAGUCAAUUGUUUUCUCGUGGUGAUAUGAUACAAAAAGUUUGUGUCAUGGAGGGUUUAAUGAUUGACUCCGUGAAAUUUGGUCCAAGGUAGAGAUUGUUAGGAAGUGUCCCAAAUUCCUAAUUAAUAUAAAUUCCUCUUUGUAAAGAAUAUUGUAUAGAAUAUUUCUAGGUUGAUAUAUUAUUGUAAUAUUAGACUUCCUUAUAGAAUAAAGAAGGUUGUUGGAAAUAUUUUCAUAAAUAUUUUAAGUCAUGAGGGAAAAAAGUUAUGAGAUGAAGAUGGGCCUAUAAAGACCAUACGAGAUGGAUAGAGAUGUGAGGAAGAAUCGAAGGUACCCAGUGGAGCGAGAGGGCUCAUGGUAGGACAUGAAUAUGAAGAGUGGGGAAACAUGGGAUGUUUUGGGAACCCAAUAGUUGUAUCUAGUUCUGUCAUCUAUAAUGUUCUAAUUCUGUCAUCUAUAAUGUUCUGGUUUUGUCCUCUGUAAUGUUCUUUAUUGUAUAGUGGAAUUAUUCUCCCUCAUCUGUGUAGGCAAGUUGUUAAACCACGUUAAAACCUCGAAUACCAUUUGUGUUGAUUUUUUUUUAGUUUUGUGUUCUUGAUUAACAAUGCUUGCAUCAAAGCUUCUACCAACGUAACAAUGUGCAACAUAUUUGAUAUAACUUAUAUUUUCUUAAGUAAUUGAACACUUUUUUUCUAUAAAUUUACUUGAUUAUCAAUGAAUACCUACAUAUGCGGUAUUGACAUAGUUUGAUAAAUAUUUUAAAAUAGUAUUAGAAUGGCUUUUCUUUUUCCCAAUUAAAAAAUUUAUCAAAUAUAUACAUACACACACACACACACAAUACUCAUUAGUAUGUCUUUUAUGAAAAAACUAUAUUUGUUUAUUUGAAUUUAGUAGCCAUUUAACUCCUUAGUUACUCAUAAACUUUAUAUCACCUUCUUAAAGUCAAGUCAUUUACAAUUAUUUCUAUCUAGCCUUCUCCAUUAUGACAACUUUAUAAGAUAGUGAUUGACUGGAAAAAUCUACAUGCCUUUGUUGAUAGGAUAAUUGUUUUUCUUUUUUUCGUAUUCAAAGAAUCUUGCUUUUGUUAUUGAGACUUUCAAAUCCUUUAUGUCUAGUGGUCUUAUAAUUCCCUAUUCAUUGGUCUUUCAUAUUACCAAUCAUUUUGCAAAUGAGUUAAUUUCAUUCACAUCCUCUGAGAUUUGAUGUAAAUUCGCUUAGUUACCAAUGAUUUCAAAUUUCAUUAAUUAGUACCCCUAUAGAUGUAAUUUGUGUACAAAAUUUAUUUUUUAAAAGAAUUUAGGUAAAAAUAUUUUAGGUUUAUGUCUUUAACAAUUCUCUAAAAUAAAUUUUACUUGCUAAAAAAUAACUUAUAUAGAUAGAAUACAUCUACAGGAGUUCUAACUGACGAAAUUUAAAACUAAUGGUGGUUUAGUGUAUUUAAACUAAACAUUAAGAAGGGUGACUGAAAUUAACCCUCUAGGUAUAUAUGUUUAACAAAAUUUUUAUUGUUUAUUUUUCAUUUAAUGUUUGCAUUUUUCAAUAAACAUUGAAAAGGAAUUGUUUUUCCAUAUGUUAACAAAAAGAAAUUUGAGCACCUAUAAAAAUGAAAUCUUGUAGUAAAAUUGAAGUUACAUUAUCAAACUUUUAACGAGUGUUUAUGUUUAGAAAGGCCAAUUAAAGCAAGCAUGCAUCUAGAAAUUAUAACUUAGAUGCAUCAAACAUGAGCAACAUAUUUGAUAUAACUAAUAGUUUCUUAAGUAACUAAACACUUCUUUUUCUAUAAAUUUACUUGAUUAUCGAUGAAUACUUACAUAUAUUUACAUAGUUUGAUAAAUAUUUUAAAAUAAUAUUAGAAUAACUUUUUUUUUCUCAAUUAUAUUAGAAAAUAAUAUAAAGUUACUUAUAAACUUUAUAUCAUUUUCUCAAAGUCAAGUCAUUUACAAUUAUUUCUAUUUAGCCUUCUCCAUUAGGACAACUUUUAUAUGAUAGUCGUUGAUUGGAAGAAUCUACAUGUCUUUUUUGAUAGGAUAGUUGUUUUUAUUUUUUUUAUUUUUUUUAUUCCAAAAAUUUGCUUCUAUCAUUGAAACUUUCAAAUCUUUUAUGUAUAUUACCAAUCAUUUUACAAGUGAGUUAAUUUCACUUAGGGUAGAUAUACUUAGCCACACCCCUAUAGAUGUAAUUUGUGUUUAAAUUUUAUUUUUUAUUCAGGUAAAAAUAUCUUAGGUAUAUGUGUUCAACAAUUCUCUAAAAAAUAAAUUUUCUUAUCUAAAAGUUUAUAUAGACAAAAUACAUCUGUAGAAGUCCUAACUAAUGAAAUUUAAAAUCAAUGGUUGUUUAGUGUAUUUACAUUAAACCUUAUGGGGUAUGAUUGAAAUUAACUCUCUUACAAGCACUUGUAGCUAAUAUGUUUGUAGUUGUAGUGUUGGAAAUUGAUCAUUUUCUUGAAGGCCUCUAAGAUAUUGGAAAUAUUGCCAUAGUUUUAGACUUUUUUUUAUUACACCUAAUAAAAAAUAUUAUUAAUUUAACAUAUAUAUUCUUGACUUAAAAGUAAAGUCUCUCCAUAUUGUAUAAGCCCUUAGGUGACAAUAUUAGGUGAAGUUUUUCUUUCGUUUAUUAAAAAAUAUAAAUAAUUUAUUAUUGUAUGAUAAAAUUUUAUGUAAUAUAUUUUUAUAGAUGUAAAAUUAUUAAUUGGGUUUUAUUUUAUUUUUUUACUAAAUUGUCAUUUCAAUAUAUAAAACUUAUUUGUAAAAAGACAAUUAUAAACUAUAUGAAAUUGAAAAACAUUUAGUUUUUUUAUUUAAUUUAUAAUUUUGUUUGGAUUAAUAAUUGAUAUUUGUAAGAUUUUUUAAUAUUAAAAAAAGUUAGCAUACUUAAGAAAGAUAUUCAAGAUCGGGAGUGUUUGAUAUUGGAUUAAUUUCCUUAUUUUCUCUAUUUUAAUAAAUUUUCAUGUCCAUUACAAAAUUUUUGUUGUUUAUAUUUUACUUCAAUAUUUUUAUUUUGUAAUAGACAUUUGAAAAGAUUUUUUCCUACAUGUUAAAAAAAAAAAAUGAACACUCCUAAAAAAGAAAUAUUGCAAUAAAAUUAAAGUUUACACUGUAGGACUAUUAGCAAGUGCUAUAUACUUAAAAUAGACCAAUUAAAGUAGAAAUACUUCUAAAAUUUUAAUUUAGGUAACAAUAAUAUAAAAAGAUAAUAUUUUUGAAACAAUAGUUCUCUUGGAGUUUUGGGUACGAUGGACUAGACUUUAUGUAACAAUAGAUAUAUGAACUUUCCAUUAACAUCUUGAGAGACAUGAUGAGGAGCAAAGUCAUCCUAGAAGGUACCAUAGAGGUACCUUAGCUCCAUUCAUCUAGACUACAUAAUGUUUAAAGAUCAAAUUCAAUGACUAGAUUUCAAAAAUCAAUAUAAGCUUUCUCAUAUUCUACUCUAUAUAAGACAAUGGUAUGAUACAUCUCUUGUGUCGUAGAAUGCACCAUGAAAACCUUAUCAUUUUAACAUCAGUUUGAAACUUAAAAGUCACUUAGCACAUUCUAGUUAUUAAUGUAAGAACAUUAAAAGAAAAUAUAAAAAAAGUUACUUUAUUCUUGUGAUUUUGAUCUAGGACUUUUAAUGAUAUUAAAAAAAAAAAAAAAAAACAGAAAAAUAAAUGGAAAUAAAAUCAACAAAUUAAACAAUUGAAUUAAGUUAGUUUAAUUUUUGCAUCGUUAAAUGGGUAAAUAAAGACUCUUAGAUUUGAUAUUAAUAUGAACAUCAUGACUUUAGUGAAUCUUACAAGAAAAUUUUAGUUUGAAAGACUUCAUUCAUUAAACGUGUGGCACAUAUUAAAGUAAAACUAAGUCUUCUCUAUAAUUUGUACCUAUCAUAGUUUCUUUCCUCAUAAAUAGCCUUUUUUGAAUAUAAUAUAGACUUCAACAUGUAUGGUGGGGCCGAUCAAACUACUAGUCAAGACAACUCAUGGGCAACAACGAUGUACCAACUAUAUUAAAUACUCUUCAUCUAUUUGCAUAUCAAGAGUAAUUUAGUAGUGUCUUUCUUAUGUACCUCGUAUCUAGACUUUCAAUGGAGAGUUCUUCAUCUAAAAAUUUGACUUGGGUUUUCAUAUUAGUUUUGGUUUAGACAUAUGGAUGCAAAGGUUGCAUCAAAGAAGAGAAGUAGGCUAAAUCAUCUUACAAAUUUUCAAGUUCAAAUUAGAUGCACCAAACAUAUGCAAUAUAUUUGAUAUAACUAAUAUUUUCUUAAGUAAUUGAAUACAAUUUUUUUUAUUUUAUAAAUUUACUUGAUUAUUAAUGAAUAACUACUUGUAUGAUAUUGACACAACUUGAUAAAACUUUUAAAAUAAUAUUAGAAUAACUUUGCUAAAAAAAAGUAAAAAUAAAAAUAAAAAUAUGUCUAUAUAUAUAAAAUUAAAUAAAAUUAAAAAUUAAAAAAGAAUAUAUAUAUAUAUAUAUAUAUUGUGUGUGUGUGUGUGUGUGCAUGGUCCCACAACUCAUUAGCUACUCAUAAGCUUUAUAUCACUUUCUCAAAGUCAAGUCAUUUUGUAAUUAUUUCUAUCUAGCCUUCUCCAUUACGACAACUGUAUAAGAUAUUGAUGGGUUGGAAAAAUCUUCAUGUCUUUUUUAAUAAGAUAGUUUUAUUAUUAUUAUUAUUAUUAUUAUUAUUAUUAUUAUUCAAAGAAUUUGAUUUUAUUAUUGAAACUUUCAAAUCCUUUAUGCCUAGUGGUCCUACAAUUCCCUAUUCAUUGGUAUUUCAUAUUACCAAUCAUUUUACAAAUAAGUUUAUUUCACCCGGUAAAUAUACUUAACUACUAAUGGUUUCAAAUUUAAUUGAUUAACACACUUAUAGAUGUAAUUUGUUUUUAAAUUUUAUUUUUUUAGAAGAAUUGUAGGUAAAAAUAUUUUAGGAAUAUGCGUUCAAUAAUUCUCUAAAAACAAUUUAUAUAGAUGGAAUACAUUCAUGGAAGUUCCAACUAAUGAAAUUUAAAACCAACGACGAUUUAAUGUAUUCUCACUAAAUCUUAGGGGAGGUGUACUAAAACUAGCCUUUUUACAAAUAUUUGUAGCUAGUAUAUUUGUAGUUAUGGUGUUGGAAGUUGAUCAUUUUCUUAAAGGCCUCUAUGAUAUUGGAAAUAUCGCCAAAGUUUUGAACUUUUUGUUUCAUCUAAAAAAAAUAUCAUUAAUUUAAUAUAUAUACUCUUUGCUUGAAAGUAUAGUUUCUUCAUAUAGUAUGAAGUUGUAGCUAGGUGACAAUAUUAGGUGAAAUUUUUUUGGUUUACUACAAAAUAUAAAUAAUAUAUUUAUUAUAUGAUAAAAUUUUGUAAAAUAUAUUAUUAUAGAUGCAAAAUUAUUAAUGGAGUUUUAUUUUUUACUAAAUUAUCAUUUCAAUAAUAAGAACUUAUUUGUUAAAAGAAAAUUAUAAAAUAUAUGCAGUUGAAAAAAUUUUAAUUUUUUUAUUUAAUUUGGUAUUUUAUUUGAAUUAAUAAUUGAUAUUUGUAAGAUAUUUUAAUAUUAAAAGAAGUUAACAUACUUAAAAAAGACAUUCAAAAUCAAGAGAGUAUUUGAUAUGAAAUUAAUUUAUUUAUUUUUUCUAUUUAAAUAAAUUUUUACAUCCAUUAAAAAAAUUUUAUUGUUUAUUUUUCACUUCAAUAUUUUUAUUUUGUAAAAGAAAUAGAAAUAAAAUCAACAAAUUAAACAAUUGAAUUAAGUUAGUUUAAUUUUGCCACCGUUAAAUUGGUAAAUGAAGACUCUUAUAUUUGAUAUUAACAUGAACAUCAUGACUUCAUUGAAUCUCACAAGAAAAUUUUAGUUUGAAAGAUUUUAUUCUUUAAUCAUGUGGCACAUAUUAAAGUGAGACCAAGUCUUCCCUAUAAUUUGUAUCUAUCACAAUUUCUUUCCUAAUGAAUAGCCUUUUUGAAUAGAAAAUAGACUUUAGCAUGCAUGGUGGGGCCUAGCUAUCAAACUACUAGUCAAAGCAACUCAUGGGCAAGAAUGAUGUACCAACUAGAUUAAGUAUUCUCCAUCUAGUUGCAUAUCAAGAGUAAUUUAGUAGUAUCUUUCUUGUGUACCUCAUUUCUAGACUUUCAAUGGAGAGUUUUUUAUCUUAAAAUUUGAUGUGGGUUUUCAUACUAGUCUUGGUUCAGAUAUGUGAAUGCAAAGGUUGCAUCGAAGAAGAGAAGUAGGCUAAGUCAUCUUACAAAUUUUCAAGUUCAAAUUAGAUGCAUCAAACAUGUGCAACAUAUUUGAUAUAACUAAUAUUUUACCAAGCAACUAAAUACUUUAUAUAUAUAUAUAUAUAUAUAUAUAAAUUUAUUGAUGAUCAAUGAAUACACAUGUAUGGUAUUGACACGGUUUGAUAAAUCUUUUAAAAUAGUAUUAGAAUAACUUUGCUAAAAAAAGUAAAAAUAAAAAUAAAAAUACAUAUAUAUAUAUAUAUAUAAAAUAAAAAAUUUUAAAAGAAUAUAUAUAUAUUAGUGGUCCCACAACUCAUUAGCUACUCAUAAGCUUUAUAUCAUUUUCUUAAAGUCAAGUCAUUUACAAUUAUUUCUAUCUAGCCUUCUCCGUUGCGACAACUGUACAAGAUAUUAAUUGAUUGAAAAAAUCAUCAUGUCUUUUUUGAUAGGAUAGUUUUUUUUUUUAUUCAAAGAACUUUCAAAUCCUUUAUGUCUAGUGGUCCUACAAUUCCUUAUUCAUUGGUAUUUCAUAUUACCAAUCAUUUUACAAAUAAGUUAAUUUCACUCGGUAAAUAUACUUAACCACCAAUGGUUUCCAAUUUGUAACACUCUUAUAGAUGUAGUUUGUUUUUAAAUUUGAUUUUUUAGAAGAAUUGUAGGUAAAAAUAUUUUAGCUAUAUAUGUUCAACAAUUCUCUAAAAACAAUUUAUAUAGAUGGAAUACAUUCAUGGAAGUUCCAACUAAUGAAAUUUAAAACCAAUGAUGAUUUAAUGUAUUUGUACUAAAUCUUAGGGAGUGUGGACUAAAAUUAGCCCUUUUACAAAUAUUUAUAACUAGUAUAUUUGUAGUUGUGGUAUUGGAAGUUGAUCAUUUUCUUAAAAGGUUUACCAUUGAAGUUAGUUGAAUAUAAAGUUAGGUGAACUUUACCAUUGUUAAAUUGGUAAAUGAAGACUCUUAGAUUUGAUACUAACAUGUACAUCAUGACUUCAUGGAAUCUCUCACAAGGAAAUUUUAGUUUGAAAGACUUCAUCUUUUAAACAUGUGGCACAUAUUAAAGUGAGACCAAGUCUUCCCUAUAAUUUGUAUCUAUCACAAUUUCUUUCCUCAUAAAUAGCCUUUUUGAAUAGAAUUAAUAUAGACUUUAGCAUGCAUGAUGGGCCCCGUCAAACUAUUAGUCAAGAUAAUUUGUAGGUAAGAACGAUGGACCAACUAUAUUAAAUACUCUUCAUCUAUUUGCAUAUCAAGAGCAACUUAAUAUUGUCUUUCUUUUGUACUUCAUGUUUGAACUUUCAAUGGAGAGUUUGUCAUCUAAAUAUUUGAUGUGGGUUUUUAUACUACUCUUGGUUCAAAUAUGUGGAUGCAAAGGUUGCAUCAAAGAAGAGAAGAUGGGUUUGCUUGAAUUCAAGGCUUUUCUUAAAUUGAAUAAUGAGCAUGCAGAUUUUCUUCUCCCUUCAUGGAUAGAUAACAACACUAGUGAAUGUUGUAAUUGGGAGCGGGUUAUUUGCAAUCCCACCACAGGUCGAGUUAAGAAGCUUUUCCUCAACGAUAUAACGCGACAACAAAAUUUCUUGGAAGACGAUUGGUACCAUUAUGAAAAUGUCAAAUUCUGGUUACUAAAUGUCUCCCUAUUCCUUCCUUUUGAAGAACUUCACCAUCUAAACUUGUCUGCAAACUCAUUUGAUGGGUUUAUUGAGAAUGAAGGUAUGUUACCUCUCACCUUUAAAAUUUCUUUUCACUUAUACUCCAAACAUUCUAAAGGAACUACUAGCAUAUGUUCUUAAAAGUGUUCAGGUGGAGACCAAAUGGUCACUAGUAACUAUUGAAUUUAAUAUAAGAACAAUUACUAAUUAUUAAAAUUUAUAAUGUAAAUUAACAUUUAAACAAAACAAUAAAAAAAUUAUUAUUUUAGAAAACUAUAGAUUACAUUAGCCUUAUAUAUAUAAGCAUACUUGUAAUUUAUGCCAUCAUUUCACACUCAACCCAAUUAGUGGGAUUCAACUAAGAGUGAGCAAUUUCACAAUUAUUAAUUAACAAAAACACUUAGGCUCCCAUAUCCUUAUCCUUUUUGCUGAAUUGUCUUUCCUUAUCUUCCAUUCCUAAAAAGCUUGAUUUCUAUAUUCCAAAUUGAUAGAGAUUGGUUAAAGAAAGGUGAUCACAAAAUUUGACUAUUGCUUUCAAAUGAGGAAUCACCAUCUUCAAAAUUUCACAUUUAAAAAAAAAAAAAAAAAAAAAACUAGCCUCGGGUAAGGUCCAAGCCUUAUUGUUUUAAGCUGAUGUCGGGUUGGUUUAAUAAUGAACAGAGUAAAUCCCAACCCAUGACCAUCUACGCAUUUCCAAAUUCCACCCAUCCACAACCCAUUAAUAUGACAUUUUCAGGGACAAAAUUUAAUCAAUUAAACCUAUUAGAUGGAUUCUCCAUACAAUGUUAAAAUGAAUAUAAAAACUUUAAUUCAAAAAAUAAUUUCCUUUAUUUAGUUAGGAUUCAAAUUAUAGGGGCACAAAACAUGAAAAUUUUCAUGUUUAAAAUUCACAAAGAUCACAAAAGCUCUUUGAAGCUCUAUGGACUUUUUUAUUUCUAACAUUUAAACACAAAAAUCACCAAAUUGAAUUAGAAACUUGGAUGCAUAUUCUUAUAUUAAAGACAUGUAAGCUUACAUAUUUAAAUAUGAAGAUCUCAACUUGUAAUUACAUGCUUCUAAUUAAAGUUAUAUUACUCUAUUUUACAGGAUUUAAAGGGUUAUCAAGUUUAAAGAAAUUGGAGAUCUUGGACAUAAGUGGUAAUGAGUUUGACAAAAGUGCCUUAAAAUCUUUGGGCACAAUAACAUCACUCAAGACAUUGGCUAUUUGCAGCAUGGGACUGAAUGGAUCUUUUUCCAUUCGAGGCAUGUUAUAUGUCCACAUUGUUUCUUUGAAAUUAAGUAAAAUGUAUUUCUAACUUUUAAUGUUCCUUAGUUAAUCUCUCUUUUGAUUCAUGUUUGUUGCAGAAUUAGCUAGUUUGAGAAAUUUGGAAGUGUUGGAUCUAAGCUAUAAUGAUUUGGAAAGCUUUCAACUAUUGCAAGGUACUUCAUUAACUUGCUAAAAAAACUUAUGAUAUUUUGUUAUUAAAUUAAAGGUAAGAUUAACAAACAAUUUCUUCCCAUUAGUUACUUUUCUUUGUAAUAUCAUUAAAUUUGAUAUAAAAUAGUCUAAAUCAUCCUUUCAAUUUAUAAGUUUUAAUUAAAACGCAUCAAGCAUGCACAAGGUGUUUAAUAUAACUAAUAUUUUCAUAAGUAAUUGAAUUUUUUUUAUGAAUUAAUUAACUUGAUUAUCAAUAAAUACUUACAUGUAUAAGAUUAAUAUAGUUUCAUAAGUAUUUUAAAAUUGUCUUACAACACACACACACACACACAGAGGGAAAAUGAAAGGUAUGUGAUACAUUUAUGCUAUGUUUGGUUCCCAAAAAAAUUGAGGGAAAAUGAAAGGAGAAAAAAGUGGAGAGGAAAAGUAAAAGAAAAGAAAAAAAGUGAAGAAAAAUAUAAAAUUGAUUAAAGUAAAUACAUGUUACUUUAAACUUUUUUACUUAUUUUAAUUCUUCAAUGUAAGGAUGAAAGAUUUGAAAAUGCAUAAGUUUCUAAUUUUUUUAUUUUAUUUUAUAGUUUUUACAAUACAACCAAACAUACUAAAAUCAUUUUCUUUAAUUUUUUUUUCUUUUCUUAAUACUUUUCACGAACCCUUAAGUUAUGUUUGGUUUGCAGAAAAUAUGAGGAAUAGCAAAUAGAAAAGAAAAUUAGAAGGAAAGAAAAAAUGAAGUAAAAUAAAAAUAAAUUUAAAUUUAAUAAAUUAUUUUUAUAUGCUACUUUAAGCUUAUUUCACUUAUUUUAAAUUAUUUAAACUCAUUUCUAAUAAAUAAUAAUGGAAAUUGUAGAGAAGUUUGUGUUAUUCAAGCUUUGCAAUGACUUUUCAAGGUGAAGGAAAAUAUUCUUGCUGAAAUUGAAAAAGGAAAUACCUUCUUAAAUAGCCUAUUGACCGAAAACACAUUACCCUAACAUAUACACACACCUUUAUUAUUUAUACAAUCAUGUAAUACUUAAUCCAGUUAGUGGGAUUCUAGUGGUUGUUUCUAUCUUGGUUUCCAAUAUUUCUGAUUGAUAGUGUUCGAUUAAUGAAAUAUCAUAAAUUUUGACCCCAAUAAGGACCAAUCCCUAUUAAAUGUAAUUGGGUUAACCUAAGACUAAAUGCUAGACCCAACUAAUAAAAACCCAUCUGUUUGUUGGAGUCUAAAUAACCUGGCCUUAGGUAGAGCCCAUGCCUUAUUAUUUUAAGAUGUAGUCCAACUGGUUUAACACUAGAUUGAGUAAAGCCCAACUUAUGAGCAUCUGUGCAUUUCCAUCCAUCCACAACCUACUGGCAUGGAUAAACUUUGGUCAAUUAAACCUAUUAUAACUGUAUACAAAAUUUUAAGUUCAAAAGAUAAUUUUCCUUAUUUAGUUAGGAUUCAUAUUAAAAAGGCACAAAACAUGAAUUUUCAUGUUUAAAUUCACAAAUACCACGAAAGCUCCUUCAAGCUCUAUGGACCAUUUUAUUUGUAACAUUAUAUUACUCUUAAUUAUCAAAUUAACCAACAAAUUCUUCUCAUUACUUAUCUUUCUUUUGUAAUGUCAUAAAAUUUGAUGUAAAGUAGUAUUGGUCAUCAUUUCAACUUUCAGGUUCCAAUUAGAUGCAUCAAGCAUGUGCAACAUAUUUGAUAUAACUAAUAUUUUUAUAAGUAAUUGAAUUUUUUUUUUCUAUAAAUCAAUUAACUUGAUUAUCAAUGAAUACUUUCAUACAUGAUAUUGAUGUAGUUUCAUAAAUAUUUUAAAAUAGUCAUAGAAGUCUUUUAUCUGAUUCACUAGAAAGAAAAAUAAACUAUUCUAAUGAAAAUACUUGAUGAUUUGAAGUGAUUGCUUUUGAUUUUAUUUGAUUGCUACCAUUAUUAAUUGUUAGAAAUUGGCAACAAAUACCCAUUUUGCAUCACUUCUAUAUGCAUCGGGGGAAUGAAUUAUAUUUCAUAGAGCUAACAGGGCAAAACUCAAACUUUUGGAAUUAUGGAAAAUGUUGCUAGAAAGCUAAUUAACCAUUUAUAUUAUGAUUAAGACUAGUUGGGUUAGAAAUAAUUCAUAUGGAGAUUAAAAAAAACUAUGUAAUUUAGUUUAGUAGCUUGGGUGCUAUUGUAAUGAUUAAUGAUCUGCAACUUGAACACAUCUACUAGUGCUUUCUACUUGUAUAGCUAAAUUUAUGUUACCACUUUGAACUAGAGUACUUACAUGAGAAGAAAGCUUUUCCCUAGUGAUAAUGCAAAAGAAAUUAAGUAUCAAUUUUUGUUAAAAAUAACAAGUGAUAGUUUAGAUAUGGUUUGAAUACACUUUCUUUCUUCUAUUUUUUUAUUUUGAAAAAAAAAACUCUUUAAUGAAAUAUAAGAAAUCUUAUAUGUAUAAAAAUUAAAGACUUAAACAAAAAAAUUUGAAAUUUUGAAAAUUUUCGAGAAGUAUUUUUAAGAAUUUGUAUUUUUAGUAUAAUAAUUCCUAUAUUUUGUAUAAAAGUUUUUGUUUAAAAAAAUAGAAGUGUAUCCAAAUUACAAAUUAAUUGUUAAAUUAAGAAUGUUUCUCAGAUCAAGAGAUAAUGAAAGUUGUAGAGAGUUUGCAUUACUCAACCUUUGCAAUUACUUUUUGAAGGUAAAAAAAAAAUACCUUCCUACAUAACAUACAAUGGUAGGUUCUGGUUUGUAAGAAACUAAUAAAUGAUUAAGAAUAUGAAUAAGACUUCCUUUAUAAUAGAUAUGUAGAGAAGAAUAGUGGAUGAUAGGUGGUGAAAAUCUUGUAAUAAAAUAUCAAUAUCGGUUAUAAGAUAAUCAACAUUUUCUCUAUUUCUUGUACCUAUGUGAUUAAGAAUCUUGUAGCUCCCUUAUUGAAAUAUAAUAUAAAAAUAUAAAUAAACUAUUUAGAAGUGCAUGUAGUUUUCAACAUGAGGAAGUUCAAAAGCAAGUUAAUUAUGAUAAUUUUCCAUAGUCUAUAUUGAACACAAAUUAUUUUUACUAAAGGUUCAAUCGUUCUAUGAAGGUUAAAAGUUUGAAUUGUUUACAUAUGCAAAUGUGAAAUUUGAAAGUUUAUAAUUUUUUAUAAUUUUCUUGUAGAUUCAAAAAGCUUGUCCAUAUUCAAAAAGCUCGAGACCUUGAACCUCAAUUACAACAAGUUCAAAAACACUAGCCUACAACAAUUGGAUAUAUUUACAUCCCUUAAAAAUCUUUCUCUAAGAUGGAACAAUGUUGGAGGAUUUUUUCCUAUCCAAGGUAUGUGUAAUUAUUAUUAUUAUUAUUUUUAAUGAUGAAAUAUUAGAAUUGUCAACAUCUUUUAUCUUUUUUUCCCCUCAAUGGUGUUGCAGAAUUAUGCACUCUGGAAAACUUGGUGAUGUUAGACCUAAGUGGGAAUUUCUUUUUUGGCAUGCAAGGUAAAUACAAAGUGAAGUUUUGGUUAUAUAUAUAUAUAUAUAUAUAUAUAUAUAUAUCAUGUAAGAACAUAACUAAAAUCAACAUUAUUUGCCUAUCAAUUUGUGCAUGACUAUUAUUUAGUUAUUCUUCGUAACAUAAUUGAAAGAAUGUCUAGGUGUACAACAUUUAAGAAUUUUACAUGGCACAAUGAAAAACAUGGUAAUCAAUGUGUGCAAUAAAAUUCUAAUAGUUGAAAAAGAAUUUUCUUGUAAUUUUAUGUUCAUGUAUAGUAAUCAAAGAGAAAAUCAUGAAAAUGUAUAUUAGUUAGACUUUAUAUAUCAAUAGACAAAAAAGAAAGAAAAAAAAAGAUUAGUUCCUUAACUUAUCCUAAAAUUUUCUAGAUAACAAGGAGUUUUUUUAUUUUGGGCUAUAAGGUUUACAACCUGAAAAGUGAAGAUGAUUAAUAUUAGUAAUAAAAUUUUAAAAUAUAAAAAUUAGUGAAAUAAUGUUCUCUAUAACUAUAACUCCAACUGCAACUAUUAAUAAAAGAUAAUAAAGGUACUUUAGACUUUGAAUCCAUGGUUAGGUUUGCAAUUUUUUGAUGAUCAAUAAAGCUACAACUUAUGCUGCAAAAGGCUAUACAAAAUGUAUUAGGAGCAUUGCUAAGCUCAUUUAUCAAUAAAGGAAAUCCAGUAAUACUUUGAUUGGAAAAAACCUAGAAUCAUGUUUGAUAUAUAAUAGGUGAAGAAACAAAAUAACAAUUCCAUGGUAUUAGUUAGUUUGAUAUCUCUUUUGUUAUAUGGAAUAACUAUUCCAUUUUAAAAUAAUUAUUUCAUCUUAUCGCUAGAACAAAAAAUUUCAGGCGAUUAUAUGGGCUUUUGGGUUUCUUAAGAAUUUAAGCAUUUAUGGGUCACCCAUAUAUAUAUAGGAAGAAUAAAAAAAAAAAUAUUCUAUGGAGACAAGGGUAGACACCCAUAAAUGUACAUAUAAUUAUUUAAAUAAAAAUAUCAAUAAGAAACAAUAUACAACAAAAUAGAAAAUUUUAAUCUUCCUAAAUUUUAAAAAUAGAAAAUAAAUGAAAAAAAAUUAAAAAGUAAAAAAAAAAAAAAAAAAAGGUCAAGAAUACAAAUAGAUAAGUAAACAAAAUAUAAAAAAAAUACAUAAAUUAAAAUUAAAAUUUUUUUAAAAAAAAUACAUAGAUUAAUAUGAACACUAAAUGAGGUUUUUUGAGAUAGACUUAGUUAGACUUGAACUAGAUGGAUAUUAAAAAAAAUAAAAAUAAAAAUUCAAAGAAAUAAAAACUAAUUAGAUGCUAAAUAUUGGAUUAAAAUAACCAAAUGAAUAAAGAGUAAUUAUUAAUUUUUAACAUUUUUUAUUCCUUAGAAUUAUUAUUUUGUGUAUUAAAUGUAUUAUGAGUGUAGUGGUAUAAAAAAUGUAGUUAAGAAUACUAUGAAGAAUAAUAAUGGUGAUGAUAAUGGUGACGACACUUAAUACCUUUUAUUGUACAUUUAGAAAAAAUGAGGUUCUUGAUCUUUAUGAAGAUUAUCAUUACUCAUCCGCAAGCAUGUUGAUAGUUGAAACUACUCAAUUAUCAAAAAUUGAAUUUCUAACCUUCAAUUUUUCUCUCUCAAAUGUAUAUGUGGGUGAGAAAGCACUAGGUAGGUUAUAAGGUCUCACAUGUAUAUGAGUCAUAGGAUAAAAAAUAUAGAGACAAUACUAGCAUUUAUUUGAUCCAGUGGCAAAUAGAGAAAUAUAACAUAACCAUAACCAUAAUGUUCUAACCUUAUAUAUACCAGAACCAUGUUUCCUUCAUUCAAUUUUGCAACUUUUUCUUUUCAAAUUAGAAUGUAACUCGUAGGAUCCAUUGUCCAUCAAAAUUUUGAAUCGAAUAUUAUAAGAUAUUUCACAUUUCUACCUACUAAAGCAUGAGCUUCAAUGUUCUCAUGCACUUUUGGCUACUAAGUUAAAGAACUCUUUGAGGGUUAAUGGAGUUUCUAUGAGUAGCAAAGCAUUAUAAUCACAAAGUCUUAUCAGUGAUAUGCAAUUUAACCAAGAACUUAUUCCCAACUAUUUUAUGACUUUUCUUGGCUACUUGUAGGCAAGCUAAAGAAAUUUUCUGGUUUGUUCAAGUCUAAAAAGUGGUUUCAAGUUUAGGGCCAAGCUUGGGCUGCACCUAGGUCCUUGGGCCUUAUUCAGCUCCACGUUUAAACCAACCUUGAGUCCAUCUUUGUAAUUUUUCUCCCAAUUCAUUGAUUUAUAUUAGGAUUUUAUAAAGCCUAUAAAUUGACCAACUAAAUAAAGUAGGUUCAUAAACUUUUAGGUGAAAAUUUUCUCUCUAAUAAAUGUUAAUUCAAGAGUCUCCGUAAUCUUUUUAUAUUCAUAUUAAUUGGUAUUUAAACUGACCUUACUAUAUUAAAGUCAAAUACCAAAUAGUGAACACUAUAUCUGCUACUACCACUAUGAUGGUCACAAACAUAGAAUGCUCCUUUUUUUAGAGUCAAUUGAUGCUUAUAAACAACAACUUUGUUUGAAAAUAAAAUACAUCGAGUGAUUGCAUCAAGAGAUUGAUGUAAUAAUUGCAUACUUGAUCUUGAUAAUGCUGAGUUGACUAAAUAAAUGAGUAUUUACUUAUAAGGUAGCCCAUAGAACAUUAUUUGUGGAAAUAUUCAUGCACCUCUACAUAUGUUCAUGAUAACUUAGGUUGAUAAAUUUAAGAAGAACAAAUUCAUAACCUUGGGCAUAGUUAGUAAGAAAUUUCACCAAUAGAGUUUGGUAUCAUGAUUCUAAUUGUUCAAAUUGUUUUAAAGGAGUAUUUUAAAUUGCAUGUUAAUUUGCUUCUAAUAAAUGGAGAGAAACCAAUUCAAGAAGAGAAUUGUACUCAAGCUAUGUAUAACAUUCAUGAAGAUGUAGAAAAUAUUGAUGAACUUACUUUUGAGCAAGUUGAAAUCAUAAUUAAAUAAAAGAACAAACCCAAGGGUUAAGAUUGUCAAGUAAAACUUUAACUAAAAUUUAUUGAUUUUUUAAAUGCCUAUUAGAGGGACAAUAGAAGUUCUAGAUAAAAAGUAAGAACUUUUCUAAGGAAUCACUUGUUAGAUUUUAAGUGAUCAAUAAAUAUAAUGUCCAAUUUAAAACUUUUAUAAAAGCAAUGCUUCUAAAGAAUAACUUGAUUUGAAUUUAAAGUUAUUAUUGAUAUUUGUUUAUAAUGGAUGUAGUUAAUCAACUGAACAUAGUAAAAAACACAUAAAUUUUUCAAAAUACCUUCUAGUUGUUGGGUAUAUUUAAAUAGUCAUCCAUAUCUCAUUAUCUUUUCACUCACAUACUAAUCUCCUUAUUGAGUAUUUACCAAUUACAAGUAGGUUGAAAGUUACUUGAAUUUAAGUCACUAAUCAAUGUUAACUUGAUAACAAAUAAGUCUCUCUUUGAAACUUGUUUUACAAGAUAGCGAAAUGUAGUCGAUCAAUCAUCAAAACAAUGUUCAAGCAUUAGGAUUUAGUUGUUAAUUUUUAUUUUUAUUUUUUGUGCUUAAACAAAGACAAAAAUGAUAAAAACUCCUUAAAAGUACAUAGUAAUUGAAUUUAAUUUAUACAUCAAACAAGAACAAACUAGUCUUGGAUUUAAAAUUCAUCAGGUUUUGUAAUUAUAAUUCCUAAAAAUUUGUAAGACAACAAAAUUAUUGGGCACUAGGUUAUUGGGUGUGUAUGACUAAGAGGUGAAGGAGGGUUCAUCUUAUACAAAGGAUGAUUUGAUUAAUUUUAAAGAUUGGAUAAACAAUAAUUGCAUAUUCAAGUAAAAAUAACAUUGCUAAAAAGGAAAAUAAGUAUUUUAGUCCUCAAACCUAAAAUGGCUAAAAAUUUUAAUUAAUACAAUACAACUUCACCUACAAAAGAAAAAAAAAACCCAAAACUUUUCAAUAGCACAACUAAGUCCAUUUAUCAAAAAAAAGAAAUAUAAGGAAGUUGGACUCAUUUACUAGCAAUUUAACAUAUGACUAAAACCUAUUGAAGAAUUUGCAAUAGCACUUACUUUGGUCAUGUCCAAACUUAUUGCACAUGGUGCAAAAAGGGGUAGUGCUCGAGGAUGCUUCCACAUAAGAAAGACCCUACUUAACUGUUACAAAGGUUAUUUUCCCACUUGUGGGAAUGCUAACCUUGCUAAUAUAUUAUAUGCCAUGUUUAUCAUAUACAAAUUUUUCUUUACUAAAUAUUUCUUUAAUGAUCUUGGACCUAAAAUUAAAUAUUUCAUUAGUAUUGGUCAUGUCGUUCCUCAACUUUUCAACUUUUAGAGUUAAAUCUUUAUCUUUAUCAUUGAUAGUUUUAUGUUUAGUCCCUAGAAACUUCACCUUAUUAACAAUAUGUUCAUUUAAUAUUUUGAUAUUUUUAAUUUUCAAAGAAUCAUAGAGCUCAUUAAUUUUAAUGUCUUUUUAUUCACUUUUAUGCUUUCAACCUUUGUUUUUAGUUUUCCUAUAAUAAUGCAUCAUAGACCCCAUGUAUAUCAUUAAAAUAAAACUCAUUUUUUUCAUUAGGAUUCAAUUAACCCAAUGGAUCAUAAUCAAAAUUAGUUGCAUAUGAACAAAAGCAAUAAGAUUAUCAUUUUGUACAUCUUUACUUUCAUUUGAGUUCUUAGCCCUACAAUCAUCAAACAUGGAAUUACUCCAAGUUACCUACAUAGCCUUCAUACCUAAUGUUUUUAAGGCAAGGACAAUCAACAACCAUGUGUCCCAUUCCCCCAAUGGUUCACUACGAAAUCAAGGUACAUAUGUUAUGCUUUCUUUGUUUCAUAGUGAUUAGAGAGGAUAAACAUUGUAAAAAAAAAAGUUGUCAUAGUUAAUGUAAGCUAAAACUAAAAAACUUGCUUUUUCAAUUGUGUAAGCAUGUUUUGUUCUUGAUGAAUAUUUACAACAUUCAGAGUUACUAAUGUUUAUAAUUCACAGAGACCUCAUUAACAACAAGUAACAACUAAUUGUAAGUAACCAUGAAAAAAAAAUAAGGAGAAAAAUAAAGGAAAAUCAAGGAAAGUGUCAAAUUUUUUCAUCCCCAUAAAAAAUGCUAAGGAAGAAAAAUGUGAAGAAAGUUUAAAGAAAGUAUAUUUUUCAAAAAUUGAAUUUUCUUUCCCUUAAAGUUGGUAUGGACAACCAAACAAGAAAAUGAUUUUUAAAUUCUUUUUUGACCUUUUUCUAUCAUUCUUUUUUUUUUCCCCCUACUCUAUUUCCUUUCCCUCAAACUUUCUAGGUAGUAAACAUUACCUAAGAUAAAUAGGGAAGAAAAUAUUUUAUCAUUUAUUUAUUUAGUAUUUUUCUUACCUUUUUUUGUAUUUUAUCCAAAUAUAAGAAAACUACUUUUCUUUAUUUUUUCUUUUCCUUGUUGCUUUUCAAGAAUCAAGCAUACUUUAAACUCUAAUUAAGAGUUACAUAGAUUUACAGAGAAACAAUGCAACUAGUAACAAAAAAUUAAGGAAAUUUAAUUUUUUAAUUUUUGAGAGUAAGUAUAAUAAGAUUGGUUUGUUUGAUACAAAAUUUGAAUAAAAAUUAUUUUAAUGAAAAUUCAAGGAAAGGAAAAAAAAAAAAAAAAACUUGAUCUCUAGACUAUAAUACUAAAUCAAUUAAAAAAUCUCCUAACAUCGUUUAUGUUCAUCUUUUUUUUUUUAUGGAUUUGAAAAACCCAAUAAUUUGGAGAAAACUGAUUCAAGGAAGAAUAAUUUUUAGAAUAAAAUAUUAUUAUUUAAGAAGAUCAUAAAUUUUAUAGUCAUUGUUGAAAAUGAUAAAUGAUUAAAAAAAAAAAGGUAGUUGGAAAUUUAGAUACUUUUAUAAGACAAAUGCAUUUUUCUAGUCUGGUAUGAAAAAAGGUAAAAUGAUAGGCUUUGAUCAUUUUUCAAGUUAGUUUGUUUAAAUCAUUUUAAUUUAUUUUGAUUUAAGAACAAUAACUUUUAUUACACUAGUUAUUUUGAUUUUCUUUUGAUAGAUUUUGCAAGCUUAAGCAAUUUGGAGCUAUUGGAUUUGAGUUAUAAUUUAUUUAGUGGGAGCAUUCCAUCAUCUAUAAGAUUGAUGUCUUCUAUCAAGUCUUUAUCCUUGGCUGAAAAUUACCUCAAUGGUUUCUUAGCAAAUCAAGGUACAUAUAUUGUGAUUACAGGUUUUUCUAUUUUCUUUUUUAAUAUCUUGUUUGUUCUUUAUGCCAAUUAAGUCAUGCAUGUCUAUUAAUUUUUGGUAUUUAAUGAAAAACUUUAUUCUUAAUUCAUAAAGACCUCAUCAACUAUAAGUAACAGUUAGUUCUAAGUUUGGGGGCAUUGACAAGACGAGGAGAUGAUUGGUUACAUGUCUUAUUCUCUUUUGUUGGCUUUUGCCAAUUGAAUAAGUUUCAAGAAUUAGAUUUUUCUUACAACUUAUUCCAAGGAAUCCUUCCUCCAUGUUUGAAUAAUUUGACAUCUUUGAGGUUAUUGGAUCUCUCUUCCAACCUAUUCUCCGGAAAUCUUUCUUCCCCUCUGUUACCUAAUCUCACAUCCCUGGAGUACAUCGAUCUCAGUUACAAUCAUUUUGAGGGUUCAUUCUCUUUCAGCUCUUUUGCUAAUCACUCCAACUUUCAAGUGGUCAAACUUGGAAGGAAUAACAACAAAUUUGAGGUAGAAACUGAAUAUCCAGUUGAUUGGGUUCCCCUAUUUCAGUUGAAAGCUCUUAUGCUAUCCAACUGUAAGCUCAUCGAUGACCUUCCUGGUUUUCUUCGACACCAAUUAAGAUUAACCGUGGUUGAUCUCUCCCAUAAUAACUUGACUGGAAGUUUCCCCAUUCAGCAGCUUGAAAACAAUACAAGACUAGGAUCUCUAGUUUUGAGGAAUAACUCUUUAAUGGGUCAACUACUUCCCCUGAGACCUAAUAGUCGUAUCACUUUAUUGGAUAUCUCAGACAACCGACUUCAUGGGGAACUUCAACAAAAUGUGGCCAAUAUGAUUCCAAAUAUUGAGUUUCUAAAUUUAUCCAACAAUCUUCCCCUUCAUUUCAUCCAUAUUUGGAUCUACCUUUAAAUCUCUAUUGCAUACAACCCAUAUAUGAUUCCCUCUAAAUUUAGCCUUCAUUUCUUGUUAAGAGGUUUUAAAAGCCAGCAAUUUAAUUUACUUUCAUCCUCUAUAUAGAUGAGAACUCUUAUAUUUAUCCAAUGAUAGGUAACAUUUUUGCAAAUGCUUUUAUUUGAUUUUUUUAAUUGGUCUUAAAAAUAAGUGUUAAUAAAGAUCCACAAUAUAAAAUAAUAAAUUAUAUCUCAAUUGACCUCAAGAUACUAUUUACUUCUACUAACUCAUUUUACAUCUCAAUUGUUCUUAAAAAGUCUAUAAUGGUAAUUAACUAUAGAAUUCAAGUUUUAAUUAUGCAAAAAAUAUAUAAAGGUUUUUAAAAUUAAUAGAAAAAAAGAUUCUAAUAAAUAAUAAGUAGAUUGAAACAUUUAUUUCUAGAAGUAGAGAAAGAUGGAGGAUCAUAAAAGUUGAAAAAAGAAUAAUUUGGAAGUCAUAAAAUUUUGGAAAAAGAAUAAUUCAUAGAGACCUCAUUAACAACAAGUAACAACUAAUUGUAAGUAACCAUGAAAAAAGUAAGGAGAAAAAUAAGGGAAAAGCAAGGAAAGUAGCAAAUUUUUUCAUCCCCAUAAAAAAAUGAUAAGGAAGAAAAAAGUGAAGAAAGUUUAAAGAAAGCAUAUUCUUCAAAAAUUGAAUUUUCUUUCCCUUAAAAUUGGUAUGGACAACCAAACAAGAAAAUGAUUUUUAAAUUCUUUUUUGACCUUUUUCUAUCAUUCUUUUUUUUCCCCCUACUCUAUUUCCUUUCCCUCAAACUUUCUAGGUAGUAAACAUUACCUAAGAUAAAUAGGGAAGAAAAUAUUUUAUCAUUUAUUUAUUUAGUAUUUUUCUUACCUUUUUUGUAUUUUAUCCAAAUAUAAGAAAACUAUUUUUCUUUAUUUUUUCUUUUCCUUGUUGCUUUUCAAGAAUCAAGCAUGCUUUAAACUCUAAUUAAGAGUUACAUGGAUUUACGGAGAAACAAUGCAACUGGUAACAAAAAAUUAAGGAAAUUUAAUUUUUGAGAGUAAGUAUAAUGAGAUUGGUUUGUUUGAUACAAAAUUUAAAUAAAAAUUCUUUCAAUGAAAAUUCAAGGAAAGGAAAAAAAAACAAAUUUAUCUCUAGACUAUAAUACUAAAUCACUUAAAAAAAACUCCUAACAUCGUUUAUGUUCAUCUUUCUUUUUAUGGAUUUGAAAAACCCAAUAAUUUGGAGAAAACUGAUUCAAGGAAGAAUAAUUUUUAGAAUAAAAGAUUAUUAUUUAAGAAGAUCAUAAAUAUUAUAGUCAUUGUUGAAUAUGAUAAAUGAUUAAAAAAAAAAAAGGUAGUUGGAAAUUUAGAUACUUUUAUAAGACAAAUGCAUUUUUCUAGUAUGGUAUGAAAAAAAGGUAAAAUGAUAGGCUUUGAUCAUUUUUUAAGGUAGUUUGUUUAAAUCAUUUUAAUUUAUUUUGAUUUAAUAACAAUAACUUUUAUUACACUAGUUAUUUUGAUUUUCUUUUGAUAGAUUUUGCAAGCUUAAGAAAUUUGGAGGUAUUGGAUUUGAGUUAUAAUUCAUUUAGUGGGAUCGUUCCAUCGUCUAUAAGAUUGUUGUCUUCUCUCAAGUCUUUAUCUCUGGCUGGAAAUCACCUCAAUGGUUCCUUAGCAAAUCAAGGUACAUAUAUUGUGAUUACAGGUUUUUCUAUUUUCUUUUUUAAUAUCUUGUUUGUUCUUUAUGCCAAUGAAGUCAUGCAUGUCUAUUAAUUUUUGGUAUUUAAUAAAAAACUUUAUUCUUAAUUCAUGAAGACCUCAUCAACUGUAAGUAACAACUAGUUGUAAAUUUGGGGGCAUUGAUAAGACGAGGAGAUGAUUGGUUACAUGUCUUAUUCUCUUUUGUAAGCUUCUGCCAAUUGAAUAAGCUUCAAGAGUUAGAUUUUUCUUACAACUUAUUCCAAGGGAUCCUUCCUCCAUGUUUGAAUAAUUUGACAUCUUUGAGGUUAUUGGAUCUCUCUUCCAACCUAUUCUCCGAAAAUCUUUUUUCCCCUCUGUUACCUAAUCUCACAUCCCUGGAGUACAUCGAUCUCAGUUACAAUCAUUUUGAGGGUUCAUUCUCUUUCAGCUCUUUUACUAAUCACUCCAACCUUCAAGUGGUCAAACUUGGAAGGAAUAACAACAAAUUUGAGGUAGAAACUGAAUAUCCAGUUGGUUGGGUUCCCCUGUUUCUGUUGAAAGCUCUUGUCCUAUCCAACUGUAAGCUCAUCGGUGAUCCUGGUUUCCUUCGACACCAAUUAAGAUUAACCGUGGUUGAUCUCUCCCAUAAUAAUUAGACUGGAAGUUUCCCCAUUUGGCUGCUUGAUAACAAUACAAGACUAGGAUCUCUAGUUCUGAGGAAUAACUCUUUAAUGGGUCAACUACUUCCCCUGAGACCUAAUAGUCGUAUCACUUUAUUGGAUAUCUCAGACAACCGACUUCAUGGGGAACUUCAACAAAAUGUGGCCAAUAUGAUUCCAAAUAUUGAGUUUCUAAAUUUAUCCAACAAUCAUCCCCUUCAUUUCAUCCAUAUUUGGAUCUACCUUUAAAUCUCUAUUGCAUACAACCCAUAUAUGAUUCCCUCUAAAUUUAGCCUUCAUUUCUUGCUAAGAGGUUUUAAAAGCCAGCAAUUUAAUUUACUUUCAUCCUCUAGAUUGAUGAGAACUCUUAUAUUUAUCCAAUGAUAGGUAACAUUUUUGCAAAUGCUUUUAUUUGAUUUUUUUAAUUGGUCUUAAAAAUAAGUGUUAAUAAAGAUCCACAAUAUAAAAUAAUAAAUUACAUCUCAAUUGACCUCAAGAUACUAUUUACUUCUACUAACUCAUUUUACAUCUUAAUUGUUCUUAAAAAGUCUAUAAUGGUAAUUAACUAUAGAAUUCAAGUUUUAAUUAUGCAAAAAAUAUAUAAAGGUUUUUAAAGUUAAUAGAAAAAGAGAUUCUGAUAAAUAAUAAGUAGAUUGAAACAUUUAUUUCUAGAAGUAGAGAAAGAUGGAGGAUCAUAAAAGUUGAAAAAAGAAUAAUUUGGAAGUCAUAAAAUUUUGGAAAAAGAAUAAUUCAUAGAGACCUCAUUAACAACAAGUAACAACUAAUUGUAAGUAACCAUGAAAAAAGUAAGGAGAAAAAUAAAGGAAAAUCAAGGAAAGUGACAAAUUUUUUCAUCCCCAUAAAAAAUGAUAAGGAAGAAAAAGGUGAAGAAAGUUUAAAGAAAGUAUAUUUUUCAAAAAUUGAAUUUUCUUUCCCUUAAAGUUGGUAUGGACAACCAAACAAGAAAAUGAUUUUUAAAUUCUUUUUUGACCUUUUUCUAUCAUUCUUUUUUUUUUCCUUACUCUAUUUCCUUUCCCUCAAACUUUCUAGGUAGUAAACAUUACCUAAGAUAAAUAGAGAAGAAAAUAUUUUAUCAUUUAUUUAUUUAGUAUUUUUUUUACCUUUUUUUGUAUUUUAUCCAAAUAUAAGAAAACUAUUUUUCUUUAUUUUUUCUUUUCCUUGUUGCUUUUCAAGAAUCAAGCAUACUUUAAACUUUAAUUAAGAGUUACAUAGAUUUACGGAGAAACAAUGCAACUGGUAACAAAAAAUUAAGGAAAUUUAAUUUUUGAGAGUAAGUAUAAUGAGAUUGGUUUGUUUGAUACAAAAUUUGAAUAAAAAUUCUUUCAAUGAAAAUUCAAGGAAAGGAAAAAAAACAAAUUUAUCUCUAGACUAUAAUACUAAAUCACUUAAAAAAAACUCCUAACAUCGUUUAUGUUCAUCUUUCUUUUUAUGGAUUUGAAAAACCCAAUAAUUUGGAGAAAACUGAUUCAAGGAAGAAUAAUUUUUAGAAUAAAAGAUUAUUAUUUAAGAAGAUCAUAAAUAUUAUAGUCAUUGUUGAAUAUGAUAAAUGAUUAAAAAAAAAAAAGGUAGUAGGAAAUUUGGAUACUUUUAUAAGACAAAUGCAUUUUUCUAGUAUGGUAUGAAAAAAAGGUAAAAUGAUAGGCUUUGAUCAUUUUUUAAGGUAGUUUGUUUAAAUCAUUUUAAUUUAUUUUGAUUUAAUAACAAUAACUUUUAUUACACUAGUUAUUUUGAUUUUCUUUUGAUAGAUUUUGCAAGCUUAAGCAAUUUGGAGGUAUUGGAUUUGAGUGGUAAUUCAUUUAGUGGGAUCGUUCCAUCGUCUAUAAGAUUGUUGUCUUCUCUCAAGUCUUUAUCUCUGGCUGGAAAUCACCUCAAUGGUUCCUUAGCAAAUCAAGGUACAUAUAUUGUGAUUACAGGUUUUUCUAUUUUCUUUUUUAAUAUCUUGUUUGUUCUUUAUGCCAAUGAAGUCAUGCAUGUCUAUUAAUUUUUGGUAUUUAAUAAAAAACUUUAUUCUUAAUUCAUGAAGACCUCAUCAACUGUAAGUAACAACUAGUUGUAAAUUUGGGGGCAUUGAUAAGACGAGGAGAUGAUUGGUUACAUGUCUUAUCACUACUACAAAAAUUGAAAUUAAUGACGCUUUAUUUUAUGACGCUUUCUAAAAGCGUCAUUAUUGAGGGUAUACAAUGACGCUUAUAAGAAGUGUCAUAGUUGUAUUAUUUAUCUUGAUACUGAUUAUAAGUGUCAUUAUUUGAUGUCAUCUUUUUCCUUGUAACUGUGUAUAUAAUGACGCUUAUAAGAAGCGUCAUAGUUUUAUUAUUUACCUUGACACUUAUUAUAAGCAUCAUUAUUUGAUGGGUAUGUAAUGACGUUCUUGAGAAGUGUCAUAGUUGUAUUGACUUUUAAAAUUUUUGUUUUUAAGUUAACUUAUACAAAUUUUGAUAUUAGAAUAUUAUUCUAUAAAUUAAUUAUGGUAAAUUGACAUUAAUAUUAAUGACAUAAAGUUGCUACAUUAAGGUUUUUUUAAAAAAAUUUGGAUAUAAAUAAAAUAAAAUCCUAAUAAAUUAUUUUUUUAUUGUUUGAUAUUAAUUUUUUUAUAGUUUGUAUCAAUACAAUCUAUUUUCAUAAACUAUUUUUCAUUUUUAUUAAAUUAGAAAUUAUCUUAUAUUUCAUUUAAAAAUAAUUUGUUAAUUUAUUUGUGGACCACAAAAAAGUGGCCUAUUUUGAGCACUUGUUCGAGCCUUGGGCCACAUUUAUUGGGUUUAACCCUUUUAUUUGAGAAGGUUUUAUAGUUAAUGAAUAUAAAUUUGAAAUUAUUUAACUAAAAUGAAAUAAAUUAAUAUUUAAAUUAAUUUAAUGAUGAUUAGACUCACAAUAAAACUAAAUGCAAUAAGAAUAUUUAUAAAAACUUUCUAAUAUUUAUGGGAAUUAAGCUCAUUCUAUUAAAUUAGUUUUUUUUUUAAAUAUCAAUAUUCAAAUUAAACCAAUAUCAACCUAAAAUAUCAAAUAAUUAAACAAUAUAAAUUUAUUAUGAGUUCAAUAUAUAAAAAUUAUUAUUGGAAGAUGAAAUAAAGAAUACUAUUUUAAUUUAUUGAAAAAGGACAUGCAUGAUAUUUUAGAAUUUGUUAUAAAGUCUCCAUUGAAAACCCUAACUUUUGGAAGACAAGAAAGAAGGGAGAGAGCCACCGUUUUUAGUGAGAAAGAAGAGAAGAGAGAAAAAUGCAAGUUUUUCUCAUCAGGCCCAGAUUUCAUCAAAGGUCUGAUCCCACUUUGUCCGUGGUCCGAUCGAGCUGAAAUUUGGAGGAGAGUUUCGUGACUCAUUUAUCUUCAAUCUGAACGGUGAAGAUCGGAUUUGGAGUUUCGGAAAGUCAUUAGAAAGAAAGAGGAGAAGAGAGAAAAACGUAGGUUUUUCUCAUCAUGCCCAGAUUUUAUCAAAUGUCCGAUCCCGCUUCGUCCGUGGUCCGAUCGAGUUGAAAUUUGAAGGAGAGGUUUGUGGCUCAUGUAUCUUCAAUAUGAACGGUGGAGAUCUGAUUUGGAGUUUCGGACAGUCAUUAGAGAGAAAGAGGAGAAGAGAGAAAAACUUAGGUUUUUCUCAUCGUGCCCAGAUUUCAUCAAAUGUCUGAUCCCGCUUCGUCCGUGGUCCGAUCGAGUUGAAAUUUGAAGGAGAGGUUCGUGGCUCAUGUAUAUUCAAUAUGAACGGUGGAGAUCGGAUUUGGAGUUUUGGACAGUCAUUAGAGAGAAAGAGGAGAAGAGAGAAAAACAGUGGUUUUUUUAUAUCAUGCCCAGAUUUCAUCAAAGGUUCAAUGCCGCUUUUUUCAUGGUCUGAUUGAGCUGAAAUUUGGAGGAGAGGUUCAUAAGUCAUUAAUCUUAAAUUUGAACGGUGAAGAUCGGAUUUAGAGUUUUGGAAAGUCAUCUUUCAGCCAAAAACAAAACCUUUAUUUUAUCAAAGAUGGCGCUUCCUGAAAGUGUCAUUGUUGCCUAAGACAUACAAUGACAGAGGCGAAGAGGACGCUUUAGAGAAGCGUCAUCUGUUACCUUUCUUGACGCUUAAAAAACGUCAUAGUUUCCCAUUUUUCUUGUAGUGUAUUCUCUUUUGUAAGCUUCUGCCAAUUGAAUAAGCUUCAAGAGUUAGAUCUUUCUUACAACUUAUUCCAAGGGAUCCUUCCUCCAUGUUUGAAUAAUUUGACAUCUUUGAGGUUAUUGGAUCUCUCUUCCAACCUAUUCUCCGAAAAUCUUUCUUCCCCUCUGUUACCUAAUCUCACAUCCCUGGAGUACAUCGAUCUCAGUUACAAUCAUUUUGAGGGUUCAUUCUCUUUCAGCUCUUUUACUAAUCACUCCAACCUUCAAGUGGUCAAACUUGGAAGGAAUAACAACAAGUUUGAGGUAGAAACUGAAUAUCCAGUUGGUUGGGUUCCCCUGUUUCUGUUGAAAGCUCUUAUCCUAUCCAACUGUAAGCUCAUCGGUGAUCCUGGUUUCCUUCGACACCAAUUAAGAUUAACCGUGGUUGAUCUCUCCCAUAAUAAUUAGACUGGAAGUUUCCCCAUUUGGCUGCUUGAUAACAAUACAAGACUAGGAUCUCUAGUUCUGAGGAAUAACUCUUUAAUGGGUCAACUACUUCCCCUGAGACCUAAUAGUCGUAUCACUUUAUUGGAUAUCUCAGACAACCGACUUCAUGGGGAACUUCAACAAAAUGUGGCCAAUAUGAUUCCAAAUAUUGAGUUUCUAAAUUUAUCCAACAAUGGUUUUGAAGGUAUUCUCCCAUCCUCAAUAGCCGAAAUGAGUUCCUUACAGUCAUUAUAUUUGUCUGCUAAUAGUUUCUCAGGGGAAGUACCAAAACAAUUGCUUGCGGCAAAAUAUUUGUGGCUUCUGAAAUUAUCAAAUUAUAAAUUUCAUGGCGAAAUAUUUUCAAGGGACUUUAACUUGACUCAGUUAGGGUUUUUGCAUUUGGACAAUAAUCAGUUCAAGGGAACACUGUCAAAUGUAAUCUCCAGAAUCUCUAGGUUAUGGGUGUUGGAUAGGUAACAUGACCGAUUUGACUACACUGGUGUUGGGCAACAAUAGUUUUAAAGGCAAAUUACCACCUGAGAUUUCUCAAUUGUUGGGGAUGAUAUUUCUUGACGUUUCUCAAAACGCUCUUUUAGGAUCUCUUCCUUCUUUGAAGAGCCUGGAGUAUUUAGAUACCCAGAGAUUGAUACCCAGAGAUUUUCUCAAUUCCUCAUAUCUAUUGACUUUGGAUAUCAGAGACAACAGGUUAUUUGGAAGUAUUCCCUAUUCAAUCUCUAGACUUUUAGAGCUAAGAGGAAACCUUUUAAGUGAUUUCAUUCCAUAUCAGCUUUGUCAUUUGACUAAAAUAAGCUUGAUGGAUAUUUCAAACAACAAUUUUUCUGGGUCAAUUCCCGGAUGCUUUGGUCAUAUCGGAUUUGGAGAUUUCAAAACUGAGCACAAUGUGUAUAUACCGAUGUUGGAUUCGUAUUCAGAAAGCAAUCCUUCUAUAUAUACGGGUUACUUAAUAAAAUAUUUAUUUUUCUCUAGUGAACUCCCUGAUGAAGUAGAUGAAGUUGAGUUUGUUACCAAGAAUAGGUAUAGCUCCUACAGAGUAGAUAAAAAUAUUUGUUGGGAAUUUAGAUAUUUUUAUAGGAAAGUAGACAAGUAUUCUAAUUUAUAAAAACAAUGCAUUUCUUUAGUUUGGUAUAAAAAAAAAUGAAACGAUAGGUAUUGGUAUUUUUUUUAAAGCAACAAACGUUUUAUUUUAUUUGUAUUUAAGAACAAUGUCUUUUCUUAUACUAGUUAUUUUAAUUUUCUUUUGACAGAUUUUGCAAGCUUAAGCAAUUUGGAGAUACUAGAUUUGAGUUCUAAUUCCUUAAGUGGGAUUAUUCCAUCAUCUAUAAGAUUGAUGUCUCAUCUCAAGUCUUUAUCCUUGGCCGGAAAUCAGCUCAAUGGUUCUUUACAAAAUCAAGGUACAUAUGUUAUGAUUUGUUUGUUUCAUAUGGAUUAGAGAAGAUGAAUAUUGUAAAAAAAAAGUUGUAGUUAAUGUAAGCUAGAAAUAAGUAUCUUGCCUUAUAAAUUAUAUGAGCAUGUGUUUGUUCUUAAUGAAUCUUUACAACAUUUAGAGUUACCAAUGUUUAUAAUUCAUAAAGACCUCAUUAACCGUGAGUAACAACUAAUUGUAAGUAAUUGUGGAAAAAGUAAGGAAAACAAAAUGAGGGAAAAGCAAGGAAUUAGGAAAUUAUUUUGUUCCCAUUAAAAAAUGCUAAGGAAGAAAAAGGUAAAAGAAAGUUUAAAAAAAGUGUAUUUUUCAAAAAUUUAUUUCUCUUUCCUUUAAUUUUGCUAUGGACAACCAAACAAGAAAAUUAUUUUAUAAUUCCUUUUUUAUUUUUUUCAUUCUCUCUCUCUUUUUUCCCCUACUCUAUUUCUUUUCCCUCAAACUUUCUUGGUAGUAAACACAACCUAAGAUAAAAUGGGGAAGAAAAUUUUCAGUUUUUUUUUUAUUUUUUUAGAAUGUUUUCUUACUUUUUAGUAUUUUAUGCAAAUAUAGGAAAAUUAUUUUUUUUUCUUUUUUUUUCUUGCUCCUUUUCGGACAUGAAUCACACUUUAAAAGAAAAUUAAUUUUUAAUUAGGAGUUAAGAUAAAUUUAAGGAGAAACAGUGAAUCACGAAUAACAAAAAAAUAAGGAAAUUGAAUUUUUGAAAGUAAGUAUAAUCAAAUUGCUUCAUUUGAUACAAAAUUUGAAUAAAAAUUCUUUCAAGGAAAGGAAAAAACAUUUUUGUCUCUAGAUUAUAAUACUAAAUCAUGUAAAAAAUCUCUUAACAUCAUUUAUAUUCAUAUUUAUUUUUGUAGAUUUGAAAAAUUCAACAAUUUGGAAUAAACUUAUUCAAUGAAUAAUAAUUUUUAGAUUUAAAGAUUAUUAUUUAAGAUCAUAAAUAUUACCAUGAUUGUUGAUGUCUAAGAAGAUCAUAUUCAACAAUUUUUUUAAUAUGUUGUUUUUUUAUGGUAAUUAAUUGAUGUCUUGUAAUUUUUAAUAUUUAAUGAAAAACAUUAUUUUAAUUCAUCUAGAGCUCUUAAUUCAUGAAGACCUCAUUAAUGGUGAGUAAUAGUUGGCUGUAAGUUUGGAGUCAAAGACAUGUCAAGGAGAUGAUUAGUUACAUGUCUUAUUCUCUUUUGUAGGUUUCUGUCAAUUGAAUAAGCUUCAAGAGUUAGAUCUUUCUUACAACUUAUUCCAAGGGAUCCUUCCUCCAUGUUUGAAUAAUUUGACAUCUCUAAGGUUAUUGGAUCUCUCUGUCAACCUAUUCUCCGGAAAUCUUUCUUCUCCUUUAUUACCUAAUCUCACAUCCCUGGAGUACAUCGAUCUCAGUUACAAUCAGUUUGAGGGUUCAUUCUCUUUCAGCUCUUUUGCUAAUCACUCAAAGCUUCAAAUGGUCAAACUUGGAAUGAAUAACAACAAAUUUGAGGUAGAAACUGAAUAUCCAAUUGGUUGGGUUCCCUUGUUUCAAUUGAAGGCUCUUUCGCUAGACAGCUGUAAGCUCACCGGCGACCUUCCUAGUUUUCUUCAAUACCAAUUCAGGUUAGUGGGGGUUGAUCUCUCACAUAAUAACUUGACAGGAAGUUUUCCCAAUUGGCUGCUUGAAAACAAUACGAGACUAAAAUCUCUAGUUCUGAGGAAUAACUCUUUAAUGGGUCAAUUACUUCCCUUGGAACGUAAUACCCGUAUCCAUUCAUUGGAUAUCUCACACAAUCAGUUGGAUGGACAACUUCAAGAAAAUGUGGCCCAUAUGAUUCCAAAUAUGAAAUAUCUAAAUUUAUCCGACAAUGGUUUUGAGGGUAUUCUCCCAUCCUCAAUAGUUGAACUAAGAGCCUUAUGGUAUUUGGAUUUGUCUACCAAUAAUUUCUCUGGAGAAGUACCAAAGCAAUUGCUUGCAGCAAAAGAUUUGGGGGUUUUGAAAUUAUCAAAUAAUAAAUUUCAUGGUGAAAUAUUUUCAAGGGACUUUAACUUGAUUAGGUUGGAAGUUUUGUAUUUGGGCAAUAAUCAGUUGACGGGAACUCUGUCAAAUGUAAUCUCUAAAAGCUCUUGGUUGGGGGUGUUGGAUGUGAGCAACAACUACAUGUCAGGUGAAAUUCCAAGCCAGAUAGGUAACAUGACCUAUUUGACUACACUGGUGUUGGGCAACAAUAGUUUUAAAGGCAAAUUACCACCCGAGAUUUCUCAAUUGUGGGGUUUGGAGUUUCUUGACGUUUCUCAAAAUGCUCUUUCAGGAUCUCUUCCUUGUUUGAAGACCAUGGAGAGUUUAAAGCAUCUACAUUUGCAAGGGAACAUGUUUACAGGAUUAAUACCCAGAGAUUUUCUCAAUUCCUCACAUUUAUUGACUUUGGAUAUGCGAGAUAACAGGUUAUUUGGAAGUAUUCCCAAUUCAAUCUCUGCACUUUUGAAGCAGCUAAGGAUUUUUUUGCUGGGAGGAAACCUUUUAAGUGGUUUUAUUCCAAAUCAUCUUUGUCAUUUGACUGAAAUAAGCUUGAUGGAUCUUUCAAACAACUCUUUUUCAGGGCCAAUUCCCAAAUGCUUUGGCCAUAUCCGAUUUGGGGAGAUGAAAAAGGAAGACAACGUGUUUGGACAGUUCAUUGAAAUUAGGUAUGGAAUGGAUUCUCAUCUUGUAUAUGCAGGUUACUUGGUGAAAUAUUGGGAGGACUUAAGUUCAGUAUAUAAGGGAAAAGAUGAAGUUGAGUUUGUGACCAAGAACAGGCGUGACUUCUACAGAGGUGGCAUCCUUGAAUUCAUGUCUGGAUUGGACUUAUCAUGUAACAACUUGACAGGCGAAAUACCUCAUGAACUUGGAAUGCUAAGUUGGAUUCGUGCAUUGAACUUGUCUCACAAUCAAUUGAAUGGCUCCAUUCCAAAGAGUUUCUCCGAUCUUUCUCAAAUAGAGAGCUUAGACCUUUCUUAUAAUAAAUUGGGUGGAGAAAUUCCUCUAGAGCUAGUUGAACUCAAUUUUUUAGCGGUGUUUAGUGUGGCUUACAACAACAUCUCUGGUAGAGUUCCAAAUGCCAAAGCACAAUUUGCAACAUUUGAUGAAAGCAGCUAUGAAGGUAAUCCUUUCCUUUGUGGGGAACUAUUAAAGAGGAAAUGCAACACAAGUAUUGAGUCACCAUGCGCACCAUCACAGUCUUUUGAAAGUGAGACAAAAUGGUAUGAUAUCAAUCAUGUUGUUUUCUUUGCAAGUUUUACUACUUCAUAUAUCAUGAUCUUGUUAGGAUUUGUUACCAUCCUUUACAUCAAUCCUUAUUGGCGUCAUAGAUGGUUCAAUUUUAUUGAGGAAUGUGUAUAUUCCUGCUAUUAUUUUGUUUUUGAUAGUCUUUCCAAGUUCUCAGCAUAUUUGUAUAAUUAGAUACUUUUAAUUGGAUGAUGUUUGCAUAAUUAACUACUAUUUGUUUCCAUGGGAUAAAAAGAAAUGGGAUUAUAAUUGCUAUGAGUUGAAACUUACAUACUUUGCUCAAAUUCUAACAUCUUUUGAUUUUAUUUUCAAGUUCCGUUAUUUAUUAUGUAUUGUUUAAUUCAAGAUUUAACCAUAUUAUGCUACUCUUAUAAAAACAAAUUCAAAUUUUUAGGAACUUAGCAUUAAAAUAAUUUCAUAGUCAGAUUUUUAAAAAUAAAGAAGAAAGAAAAUAAUAAAUAAUUAGAAAAACAAUUCAAGGGAGUAUUAAAUUAUUAUCUUAGAAUUGUUUGGCGUAGUAUGGGAAUUCAAAAAUAAUCUUUCAAUUUGUUAGAAAUGUUUAUUUAUUUAUUAUAGCAAUGAUUGAAAUAUCAAUCACAAAGUAAUGUUUUCUUUUCUUUUGUAGGGCACUAACAUUUUUUCUUUGAUUGUAAUAAUUGAUAAAUAUAUUACACAAUUAUUUGUUUUAAAGAGGGGAGGGAUGACAAACAUAAUAACAUGUGAAAUAUUUCUAAAACUGUGAUGGGAAAUAAACCAUCUAAUUAGGGUGCAAUAUUAUUCAUUUUAAUUUAUAUGAAUUUACUUAUUUUUAUUUCCAUCAUAUUUUGAACUAUUUUUUGAAAUUAAGGGAGAUUAAAACAUCAUGAAUUUCUUAGUUUAAUUUAUAUUUUUAAUAAUAAAGCAUGAAAUAUUUAAAAAAAAAAAAGAAAAUCAUGAAUUUCUUUAAUUCCUUAGGAAACCAAUAUAUAAAAAAAGUUGAAUAUAUUAUUAUUUUAUAUCCUAAAUUUCUAAAUUUGUUCAUCACGUAUUUAUUUUUAUAUUAAAUUUAUUAUCAAUAAUUAUUUAUUAUAUAUUAUUAUUUUAUAUUUAAAAAUGUUCAUAAAUAAUUAAAAUUAAUAAAUAUAAAAAAUGAAAUAUUAAAAAAUUAAAUUAAAAAGAUUUCAUCAAGCUAACAUAUUUUGAUAAAAAAAAAAAGAGUAAAAAAGAAGAUGGGGAUAUUAUAGAGGUGGGGAAAAAGAUAAAAGAAAAAUCAUGUGGUAUAAUAAUUGCCACGUGUUAAAGUUAUUUUCUUUAAAAAUUAAUUAUAGUAAUGAUGAACUCAUUUGUCUUAUCAAAGUAAAUAAAAAUAAAUAAAUAAAAGAAAAAAAGAAAAAGAAAAAAAGUGGUGGUUGAUUGGAGGUUAGAGAGGAGGGUUUGAAGGUAAAUUUGGAAUAUUGAUUAUUUUCACUAAGUAGAUAUUUUGAAAGUUAUUUUCAAUGUUUUAAAAACCGGACCGGCCGGUCCGACCGGUCCAACCGUCGACCGGUCACCAUUCCGGUCCGAUCCGGUCAUUUGGACCGGAUUGAGAUCGAACCGGAGUUGAACCGCUCGAACCAGCGGUUCAACCGCUGAACCGGACAAACCGAUCGGUUCCAAGGGAACCGGCCAAUUCAAAUAAUUUUAAUUUUAAAAAAAAAAUUACACAAUAAAAAUAUUACUGUGGGUAAGCUGCAAGCAUGAAAGGUAGGAUUCCAUGUUGGGCCUGUCUUGUGACAAGCCCACACACCCACUCCAAUUACCCUGGGCCUCUUUUUUGAGCCCACAAGAUCAUGCCAAGGCUUUGCUGAGGAUGGCUUUUAUAGGAGUCAUUUGACUCCUUGUUCCUCUCAUAUUCCGAUGUGGGAUUGCAUUUUAUCAAUGAAAAAAAACAUAACAAACAUAACAAAACUCCACCAACAGAAUUUGAACCUUGGACCAAUCUUUAACUCUAGUCCACCUAGGAAACCACUCGGCUACAUGUGUUUUAUCAUCUAAUGUGCCAAACAAAAUAAUAUAUAUUAGAUUUUAAAUUUUUUUAUAAUAUUAAAUAAAAAUAAUAUAAUAUUUUUAAAAAUUAUGAAAUUAGUUUAAAUUUUCAUUUUUUUUAUAUUCACAUUUAAAUAUUAUACAUAUUUCAUUUAAUAAAAUUUAAAAUAUUAAUAUGAUUUAAUUUGAUAAUAUCAAAGAUAUAAAAUAAUAUUAUUGAUGUUUAAUUUAUUCAUAUAUAUUUUAAAAUUUUUUAUAAUUAUUUUUAAUUUUAAUAAUAUAUAAAUUAUAUAUUUAUUACGUCACCGGUUCGAUAGCGGUUCGACCGCCGGUCCGACCAGUGAACCGUGAACCGGUAACUUUUCCAGUUCGAUCACCGGUCCGAUUCUGAAAACAUUGGUUAUUUUGCCUGAAACCCAUAUUGUUUGAAAAUAAAAAAUCAAAGUUUUAAAAAAAUACAAUUUUUUUGAAAUGAUGCAUGAUUAUAUCAUUCCCCUAAUAGAUUAUUUAUUCCUUUAAACUUUACUUCAAAUAAAAUAGUUUUAAUUAUUUUCUUUUUGGAAUUAUAUUUAACAUAUUAUUAAAAAUAUAAAAAACAUUUUAAUAAUAUUGUUAAUGAGUUUAUAUAUAUAUAUAUAUAUUGUAAAAUAAUUAAAUUUAAAAAUAUUUAAAUUUAGUUAUGGGCUGCCCAUUUCAAAAUAAUAAGAAUCUCGUAACCUAAUUUUUCCAAAUUCCAGGUAAAUAUGCUAAUCUAAAAAUAAAAAAUAAAAAUUAGGUUUUUAUGCUCUCCAAUCUACCACUUAAGCAUCCGACAUGGCUAAAAUAAAUUACAAAAAAAAAAAAAAAAAAAAAAGGAAAAAAAACAAAAGUGUGUGAUCCUCUUUCUCGAGUCUUCACAUUUUGAGACACUGAAACCAAAUCAAAAUUAAUCCUUCAAAUUAAUUUUCACCUCCAAACAUGGCUAUCCGAAAAACCCUAACGUCUGCCUCCUCUUCCUCUUAUCCCGGAAACCUAAAUUCCGUGACCCUAACCCCUUCUCUUUCCGAAAACCCUCCGGAAUCGGAAGAUUCAUAAUUCUUCAGAAUUAAUUUUCACCUCGAAGCCAAACCCUAACUGCCUCAUCUUCCUCUCAUUCAUAUCCCAAAAGUAGCUUCAACAGUCAGGCCUGUAGCCAUGAAAGCCGUAGUGAUCACUACUUCCGGUGAUCCCCAAGUUCUCCAAGUGCAAGAAGUCGAAAACCCUGAAAUUGGAGAUGAUGAAGUUCUAAGUAGAGUGGACGCCGCUGCCAUUAACCGAACAGAUACGCUCCAGAGGAAGGGCUUGCACCCUUCCUCAAAGGCGGCAGUCCCUACCCGGGUCUCGAAUGUUCUGGAAUCAUCGAAGCUGUUGGAAAAGCCGUCGUUCGAUGGAAGGUUGGCGAUCAGGUAUUUCAAUUGCCUAAUAUUUUGAUUUCGUUUCUGUUCCUCUGUUUUUCUCGGCUAUCAAACACUAGGAACGUGUAAAUAAGGAGGUUAGUUGAUUGCGAAAACGGGAAUUUUUUGUUCGUGUCUGUGUUAAGGAGUCUUUGUUGAGAAUUUUGGGGAAAUUUAUGAUAGGUUAAAUUAUUGAGCUUAUUGGUUUUCAAAUUUAUGGUUGUAAGAAAAUUGGUCAGUGUAAGGUUAUGGGUUCAUUACCAAUUUGCUUAGUGAAAAUUUUUCCACAUAUUGUGGACCGGUUUGGUAGCAGAAAUAAGAACUGUGUUUUGUUUUUCAAAACGGAAAUGGAUGCAGAAAACAUGUUUGGUAGCCUACUUUCAGAACUUGUUUCCGAAAAUAUUUCCUGAAAAUGAAUUAUUUCAGAACUUGUUUUUAAAAAAUUCAAACACUUUAUCAAUUUAAAAGGUUCUGAAAUGGACAUGUUCAUGGUCUUCAUUUUUUAAAAUUAAAGCUUUUAUGAAAAAACCAUUUUCCCUUCUACUAAACAAACAGGCUCUAUAUUGUAACAGAUCGAUUGGCCAUUUCCUUUGUCAUGUUUUGUGAAUCAUGGCAACACUGGAAUCCACUCCAUUACCAUCUGUUAGUGAUUAGAAGACAAAGCACCAAUUUUAAUGAUAUCCUUUAUGUGAUUUUGCUUCCUCCUGAGUACAAGUUCAUAAUAUACAUGGUACAUGGUGAAUCUGUAUGACAGUUCAUGGUAUACAGGUGUGUGCUCUUCUUUCUGGUGGAGGGCAUGCUGAAAAAGUGGCUGUUCCAGCUGGGCAAGUUCUCCCUGUCCUAUCUGGUGUUUCUCUGAAGGAUGCUGCUGAGGUUGCAUGUACUGUUUGGUCAACUGUUUUAAUGAUGAGCCGACUGUCUGCAGGAGAAACAUUCCUGGUGAAUUUUUUGUCUUUUUUAUUUUCUGAUGCCUGAUAUAUUUACCAGCACAAAUUUACCCUGUUGCUGUUUAAUGUGUGUGCAUCAAUAUUGGAUUAGGGAGGUAGAAGAGCCAUGGUUCUAAUUAAAUCAUUACAUCAUCAUAUUCUUAUUUAGAUACAUUGUAUCCCACAAUUUCAUUGCAUCCAAGGCUAUGUUGUUUUUUAUUGCACGGUUUGUCAUGGUAAUUUCUCAACCCUUCUCUGGAAAAUUAUGUUGGAUGGCUGCUAUUAAUUACCCCAAAAGAAGAAAUUUUAUGUUGAAGUAAGAUGAGUAGCACAAAGAGUUACUUGUGGUUGAUCCUAUCAUCAAAUGGGCGAUUGAUGCACAAUCCAAAUGGUAAAUUUUUUUCCCCCUUUAUCCAGAUGGAAUUUUUAUGCAUGGUUGAAUAGUGAAAUGAGAGGACUGAUAAUAUUUCAGGUUCAUGGGGGUUCAAUUGGAAUUGGUACCAUCUAUUCAAAUAGCGAAAUACCGAGGAGCAAGGGUAUUUGUUACAGCAGGUUUGCCAUCACUGUUCUACCUCAUCUCACAGAAUGCUUAUCUCAUGGCACCAAUUCCUUUUCUUCACAUGUUUUCAACCAUUUUUUCCACCCAGGAACGAGGAAAAAUUAGCUAUUUGUAAGGAUCAUUGAGCAGAUGUGUGCAUCAAUUACAAGACUGAAAACUUUGUUGCAUGGGUGAAGGAGGAAACAGGAGGGAAAGGUAUAUUCUAUUGUAUCUUAACGAUAAUUUCAAUUGAAGGUGGAAUUGCUUUUUAUUUUUUAGUGCACCAAAUCCACUAGUCUGGAAUGUUUGAAAAGAUAAAUAGUCAUCUUCCACUUGAUUCCGAUUGUGAAGAUCUAACCCCAAAAAUGUUGAAUGACAGGUGUUGAUGUUAUACUGGAUAAUAUUGGAGGGGCCUACUUUUGGGGAGACAUCAAUGGUUUAAAUGUUGAUGGAAGGCUUUUUAUUAUUGGUUUUCAGGGUGGAACAGUGGUACAAGUAAAUCUUUCAGGUUUACUUGCAAGGCGCCUUACAGUGCAAGGUACUGCUUUCUCUGUAGAAGAUUUUUCUGUAGUUUUGGAGUUGAAUCAAUUUGAUUAAUCUCAUCCAAGUUCAGAACUGAGGUGGAUUCUGGCAAGCCAAGGAAAAACCAAAUUACCAUAAAUUCUUUUUUUUUUUUCUGGAUCGUUUUACUUCUUGGAAAUCCUGUUUCUCGAUCUGUUAAUCACAUGGUUUGUUUUUCUUUAUUGUCCCUCUUUCUUUUCUUGUUGGUACCAAAUCCCUAAGAUGUGGAAGCCAAGUGAGCACUUUCUAUCUUUUCUUGUUUCAAUCUCUCAUCCUCUUGUGCACAUUGAGCAAUAAGCUCAUUCAAAGUCCAUUUUUCCUUUUGUGUGUUGUAACUGAUUUUGAAUGGACUGAAUUGUGUAGGCAGAGAGAUCAAGACCAAGUGCACGAGUAUGUCUUCCGAAAACUCUAACUUUAGUGCCUUUAGUCUAGUCACAAGAUUAGACAUUUCCAUAAUAUACUCCCUUAUAUUCUCUUUCCCUUUAUACCGCAUAGAGACAAGCUUACUAAGAAUAGUGUUUGUCUCAACCUUUUCAUUUGCAGCGAUCAAUUUGCUAUCUGGUCUAAGAAUGCCUUGGCUCGAGUUUUCUCAGGUAUUGCACCCCUUAUAACUUUUGGAAUUGAGUGCUUCGUUAUUAUUAGACUCAUGCGAUUGGAUCGCUCCCAUUUUUCCAUAGUAGACCUUUGCUCAGCAGUGCUGGCACUAGUAAGAUCUGGAGGGCGAUCCUCUCUUAAUGCAUAGUCUAAAUCCAUGCACCCGAGCACAAUUAUAGCGUGUUCCUUCCAUUUCUUGAAGUUUGUGCCAUUAAGGGCAGGAAUGUUAUUGACAUUUGCAGAUAUAGAAUAUGUUGAAUUCAUAAUAAUAAAGCUCACAAUCAGCCACAUAAACAUCAUACAUACAUGAAAAAUAACAUCAUACAAGAUACCUAGUACAAACAUUAAUAUUCUGUCUUUUGACAAUAAAUAUUAACUUGUAAUUGGUAUCCUUAUACAAAAUUAAUUCAUAAAUAUUGACAAUAAAACCAAAAACAAUGUGCCUCUCUUUGGACUAACAUAUUGAAUGCAAGAUAAACUUUAUAUGUCACAUAUUUAUGACUACUUUAUUUAUUAUUAUAUUAAAAUAAUCUUUCUUUGGGUCGCUUAUUUUAAAUAAUAAUAAUAACAUGUUUAGAUAUUAUAAAAUAAAUAAAUUAUAUAAUAUAAGUUACUUUGGCAACUAACAUACAUAAUUCAUUUAUUUUUUGUUGUUUCCUUCCUCUUGGAUCUUUUGUUUGUGUUUUAAAAAAAAAAAUGUUUCAGUGAAAAUGGGAAAUGCAACCAGGCUCUAAUACCAUUUUGUGGGACGUUCAUUCUCCAUUAUCAUCGAACACAUGCAGGAUAUAUUUAUAUAUAUCUAUCAAUUCAUUCAAAAUAUGCCGAUGGGAAGCCAGAGAGAACAAGUUCUAUUUUUAUUUUGAAAACAUUGUUAUCCUUAAAGAACAAACACUAUUAUUUGGAUUUAUACUCUCCUGCCUUAGGGACCAUACCCUUUGGCUAUUAGGCCUCACGAGUCUUAGGCCCAUCAUCUAAGGCUCGUGAUGGCACUGGGCUCUACAUAUAAGGUGGCCCAUACUCUGGAACGAAUAUAAAUCAUAUGUAUAUAUAUGGAUAGCUAAAUCCUGAAUAAUGGUUAAUAUGAUGUCGGUUCACAUUUAUUAUAUCAUAUAGACUUCCCAUCUGAAGAAAAUCGACAACAAGUAGCUUUGCCAUUCUUAGUUCGUAUACAACCAACCUUAGCAAGGGUUGAACCCUUUUAUGCUUAGUUGUGCCAUACAGAUCCUUACCACCGCCUACAACAUGUAAUUGAAAUGAUUCGAUAAUAUCAUCUAGUGAACCAAUACCUCCAAAUGAGAGACCAUUGCCUCAGUAACUAAGACUCACGACUGAGAAUUGCGUGAACCCCUUUGCUUGGGUUGGAGCUUGACUGAUGCACAAAAUAUUCAUAGGCCUCUUCCCAUAACAGGCACCUUGUGUUUGCAACAUAAUUGAACAUGUAUUGAAGUGAGUUUUUUUGCAUCUUUUUGUAAGAAAAUUCUAAACAACAAAGAUUGCUUAGUGUGCCUGACUCCUCAAGGAAUCAAGGUUCAUUCCUGUAGGGCCAGUUUUUUCACAGUCGAACUAGAUAACAUGGAGAGUAUGUUGCAAUGCUUCAACGGGGUAUUUCUUAGGAAAAUCCACCUGAAGCUGGUACAAUUCGUUGGCGUACUGAGUUCCUAAAGCUCUAUUGACUUCAAUCACCCAUCUCUGUAGAUUAUCGGUGACUUUAUGCUCGGAUCCUGUAGGAGGAUUGACUUGACAUUCCACUAGUUUUUUCUGGAAGGCGAUUUUGUUUAACACCUUGUGAGAAGAGGCAGGGGAACUGGUCAUUGUUUCUUCGAGAAGAUCAGUGGCCGAGGAUGGGUUUGGACCAGAAUUGCUAUAUGGGUUUUCUUUGGGUGAACCAAUUAGUGAAAUAGGUGGCUAUAUAGCAACUAAAGGGUGGUCAUACUAACGAGGAGCUAUUAUUUCAUGCAUGUGGAGAGGAAAUGACUAGCUUCUUCAAGGAUAUAUGAUUAUUCAUCUCUAGCUUACGUUGACUAUCUCCUAACAAAUUUCUGCUUUGAAGCUCCCUUAGUUUCACUACAGCUAAUUGGCCAACUUGGUUUCAUCAUGUUUCCUACAACCUCUAAGCAAAGCAUGCCAGAUCACCGAAUCAGGUUCUAUUCGCAUUUUGUCCAUAAACUCCUUUGCCUAUUGACAAUAGACUGCCCCUCAAAAUUUGAUGAGAUAACAUCAACGCUGACAUGUUGGCCAUCCCCAUAAGCAUCUUUAUAGAGAUUGAUUCUAUGUUUAGAUAUUUCUCUCUCCUCAAGUGAGUUCAACUUUUCUGUAGCAUCCUUCUCCUUCUCUACUAAUAGUCUUAGUUGAACAUCCAACCUAUGUUCCCAAAGUGCCAGCAUCUCAUAUCUGAUGACAAGCCAACAACCUUGCCCUUGCUGAGACCCAAAUAAGUAUCCAGAACCAUCAACAUCAACCCUUUCAUAGGCCUUUGUAUUUGAAGGUCGGAUUGGGAUUGCUUUGAAUGCACUGGCACUACAAUACACAAUUGUUUCUUCUCCGAUAAAAACACCACAAAGAGGUGAGGGGACUGGUAUUAGCAAAGAAGUGUUGUUAUCUAUAUUGUUCUAAGCCCGAUUACCCUCAACAAAAUCCUCAUCCUCAUCUGUACUCUUCCAUUACAUCCCUAGGCUUUUCAAUGUGAUCCACAUGGCUUACAGGAAUCCAGAAAUACUGAUCUGUAUAAAAGUUGCUCUUAUGGGGCUCUCCUAGAAAACAUCCCAAUCAAGAUGAUCAACCUAGCUUAGAUGCUCAGCACCCCAAACUUACCAGAAAUAGAGGAAUAAAAAGCAAGGAUAGGAGCCAAAGUAAAAACUAAGGGAAGAGCAAAUAGGAAAUCAAGCAAAACAUGAAUGUACAGAGCCUCAUUUCAGGUGACAUCUUUGGGCUAAUAAUAGGUGGAAUUAACAAAGUAGAUAAGCAUGAUUGUUAUAAAUAUCAAGUUCAAGGAUGAAGUCGUGCAUCAGCUACUUAUAGGGGGAGUCAAGGAAACCAAGAUAAGAUCAAAGAGAGCAUGUAUGCAAAUAAACAGAUACGACAAAAUAGACCAAACAACUCGUGAAUAUCCUCCUACAAAAAACUACUACACGUGGCAAAAAGUGAUGAAACAAAAAGAGUUGGGUCCGCAUAUACAUAUCCUAUUCUAUCCUAUUCCUUCAAAUCCAAAGCAACCUGUAUUUUCAAUGGGAUUUGUUGUGAUGAAUUUUACUGGAUUGUAACAUGUAAAUAUGUUAAAAGAGGCUUGGGACAUUCCUAUAUAGUAACGCAUAAAGGUACUUCCAUUGUGAAGUUGUCAAAAUUGCAAAUUUAAAUUACAAAAUUUGAAAACAUAGAGAUGAAAGAUGAUGAAACCUUCUUUGAAAUUUUAUAUUGAACUCAUUAAUAUUAUUAAUUUUCAUUUCAGUCUAGGGGAAAGAAUUCUUUACUCUAAAGUGGUCACAAAAAUAUUAAAAUUCCUUGUCGAGAGAUUUAGACCUAAAGUGAUCAAUAUAGAAGAAAGUAAAAAUAUUCUAAGUGUAGGUAAACUUGUAGACUCAAAUGACUCUACCUUCUCAUAAAAAAUCCUCAAUUUUAUAAAUUAUAUUGAUUUCUUCAUUUGAUACAAAAUUUGAAUAAAGAUUUUUCAAAUGACAACACAAGGAAAGGGAAAAAAAAAUUCUCUCCAAAUCAUAUUAUUUAAUCACUUAAAUUAUUUAAAAAUAAAAAUGUUUACUGCUAACAUUAUUUAGGUUCAUCUUUCUUUUGAUGGAGGUUAAAAUUCAUAAUUUUGAGGAAAAAGAUGAGGAUUCUCAUUUUUUUUCCAUAUAUGAAUGGGAUUCUCAUUGUGUAUAUGUGGGUUACUAAAUGGCAAAUUUGGGGGCCACCAGAGUCUGCAAUAUGAGGGAAAAAUGAAGUUGAGUUUGUCACCAAGAAUAGACAUGGUUCCUACAAAGGUGGCAUCUUUAAUUUCAUGUUUGGAUUGGACUUGUCAUGUAACAACUUAACAAGUGAAAUCCCUCAUGAACUUGGAAUGUUAAGUUUGAUUCAUGCAUUGAACUUGUCUCGUAAUCAACUAAAAGGCUCCAUUUCAAAGAGUUUUUGCAAUCUUUCUCAAAUAGAGAGCUUAGACCUUUUUAAUAAUAAACUAAGUGGAGAAAUUCCUCCAAAAUUGGUUAGACUAAACUUUUUAGCAGUGUUCAAUGUGACUCACAAUAGCAUCUUCGGAAGAGUUUUAGAUAUGAAUACAUAAUUUGCAAAAUUUGAUGAAAGUAACUAUGAAGCUAAUCCUUUCCUUUGUGGACCACCAUUAAAGAGAAAAUGUAGCAUAAAUGUUGUUGAACCACCUUACCAACCAUUAGAGUCUUCGGAAGAAAGUGAUGCAAAAUGGUAUAAUAUCAAUCUUGUUAUUUUCUUUGCAAAUUUUACUACAUCAUAUAUCAUGAUAUUAUUAGGAAUUUCAACCAUUCUUUACAUUAACCCUUAUUGGUGUCAAAGAUGGUUCAAUUUUAUCGAGAAAUAUAUAUACUUUUGCUAUUAUUUUGUUUCCUAUACUCUUUCCAAGUUAUUAACAUAUUUUGAAUAAUUAGAGAUUUUUGUUUUCAAUAAUAUUUACAUAAUUAACUACUAUUGGCUUCCAUGACAUGGAAAGAAAUGCGAUGAAGGCAACAACCACUUUUUUUUCUCCUCUACUAGUGCAUGAUUGAUAUGAGUUAAAACUUGCACCCUUAUCUUUGCUUAAAUUUUCUCAGCUUUUGUUUCAAUUCUUAAUUAUCAUUUCUUUUAUGUAUUGUUUAAUACAAUAUCCUAAACACAUUGCUUUGAAGGUUACUUAUUUAUUAAGCAUGAUAUUGAUUUUCAUAAAAACAAAUUCAAGUUUUUUAGGAAUUUUUAGAAUUAUUAUAAUUUGGAGUUCACAUUAGAGGAAAAAAGGAAAGAAAAGAAUAGAUGAUUAAAAAAACAAUUUUAGUAAGUAUAAUUUGUCAUCUUCGGUAUAACAAAUGGGAAUUCCAAAAUAAUAUUUCAAUUUGUUAGUCUAUUCCUUAUAGUAUUAAUUGAUAUAUCAAAUAGGAAGUCACGUUUUGAUUUUUUAUUAGCUUGAAUUGCAUGUCACAUAUAUUUUAAAAUCAAGCAUACAUCAGCCGGGAAGUUCUUGUAACAUGCAUGAACAUGAUAUGAUGAAUUGAAUAAUUUUCUUAAUAUAUGUGUAUAUACUACACAUUAUUAAAUCAUAUAUGUAUAUUUAUAGUCGUAUAAUAUAUUUAUAUAAGUAACAAUAAAUUAUAUUGUAUAAGGUAUCGGUAGGAGUUUUCAAUUCCCUCAUACAAUAAUAUCUAUCAAUAAUUGGAUUGGACACCUUGCUGGCCAUGAGAAUGGACUUGACAUUAACACAUAGCCUUGAGUGGUGUUGAUAUUAUUACUUUGAACCAGAACUGCAGUCAUCUCAAAAACUAUAUUAUAUAGAAAAGCAAAAUAAAAACAUUAGUUAAAACAAAUGUCAAGAUCCUUGAAAUCACGUUUCAAUAUGUUAAAUUACCAUUUUUUUAAAUAAAUAUUUUAUAGGUUGUGUGAAUAAAUAUAAUUGCUAUGAAGGUUUCAAUUUAAUUUUACUAGCAAAUCCAUAAUAGGUGAAAAGACAAAACUACCAUUUUUGUUUUUUUUUCUUUAUUUACCUUUUUUCUCUCGUAACCUUACUCCUUUCACCUUUUUGUUUUUUCCUUUUUCUCAACUAACUAUUUUUUUCUUGUAAUUGUUAUUAUCAUUUUUUAUUAUAAAUAUUAUAACCUUAUAUUAUAAAUUUUUAAUUAUAUUUAAACUAACUAAUGUUGUGGUUUUAAUUGACAUGGAAAAGAAUGUGGUUAUACAUGUGAUUGUCGCCUUUUUUUUUUUCCAAUUAGUUAACUAUUGAUACAAGUUAAAAGUAAAAAUUGCAAUAUUAUCUUUAUGUCAAUUUCACCGAUCUUUUGUUUUUAUUUUCAUGUAUCAUUCCUUUUUUGGUUAUUUAAUUAAAAGGAUUAAAAAAAAAAAAUCACAUAUUCACAAGAAUAACCUUCAUAUUUUAAAAACAUAAAUUUUUAUAAAAAUACCCUCCAACUAUAAUUUUUAUAUGUCCCUAUUUCAAAUUCAAACACUUCUUUUAAUAAUAAUAAUAAUAAAAAAGGGCAAAAAUGUCAAACUGGGAUUAUAUUUAUAAUUUUCAAUAAUUAGAGGUUGUUUUUCCAAAGUAAAAAUUAUUUUGUUCCUUUGGCACAAAUAUUUCUUUCUUUUUUGUAUUUUUUUAUUCAAAAUAUUAAACACAUUACCCUCAAGGUUACUAUUUAUUAUGAAUGGUGUUUACUUUACAUUACGACAAAUUCAAAUUUUUUAGAAUUUUUUAAUGUUAAAAUAAUUUGGAGCUUAAUAGGGAAAAAAAGAAUAAAUAAUUAGAAAAGCAAUUCAAAAAAAUAAAAUUUAUCCUCUUAAAUUGGUUUUGUGUAAUACUAUAGAAGCCAUUUCUUGAGUUUGAUAUGGUAGAAUUUGGAUUCAUAUUUAUUUUAAAAUCAAGAAAUUCAAGUGUUGGUAGCAUCAAUAGAAUCUUAAAAAAUUUGCAAAAAAAUAUUUAGGUAGAUCACAUUUAAAUAUAACUAAUAGAAUAAAAAAUUAGUAUUAUUAGGAAGACAUGAUCAAUUAAAUCUUUUUUCUUAUCUAUGACACCGACUUUAUUUUUUUACAUAGUCAAUAUAAUUUAUUACAACUUAUAUGUCAUUAAAUUAUACAUGUUUAUAUUAAAUAUAAUAUAAGAUCAUUAAUGGAAUAAUUAUGCAAGUAAUAUAAAUUGUAUAUAAUAUAAAAAAUUUAAAGUCCAUCAAACUAAUGGAAUCUAUUAUAAUAAGUAGACUAGACACCAUGUUGGCCCGAGUUGGAGGCCUAGGCCAGAUUUUAAAGGCUGGGCUUUGAGUUGCCCGUGGGCCUGAGCCAAGGCCUUCUCUUGGUAUCAUCAUUUUGAAGAAAUAAAUUGCUGAUACAGAGAAAAAAACUAUACUAAAUAGAAAAAUAAAUAAAAGCAUUGACUAAAAUGAAGGCCAAGGUCCUUGAAAAAUAAUCUUAAAAUUGUUGCAUAUAUAAUUUCAAUAAUGCAUAAAUAAUUGCAAUAUAUAUGAUGUGAUAAAGAAUUUGGAAUUAAAAGAAGAUUGAUCUAUUUUAAAUGUGGUUGGAAUAUUUCUAAAUUUGUGAUGGGAAGUUAGACAGCCAAUUAGGGAUCCAUAUUAUUUAUUUUCAAUGAUAUGAAUUUAUUUACUUUUAUUAAUAUUCUUAAUGCAACAAUAUAAAAUAUGUCAAUUUUCUAAAAUUAAAAAAGUAAUUGUAAAAGAAAAUUUUUAAUUAUUUUUAUGAAAUUGAGUUUAUUAUAGCAUUUUUCUUUACAUAAAUUUCUUUUUUAUUUUUAUUUUUUUAAAAAUGAGAUAUGAAAAAAAAAGAUCAAUAUUAGUAAAAGUAAAACCCAAUAUAUAAAAAAUAUGAAUAAAUGUUUAUGAAAUAAGAUUUAAAAGUGAGAAGGUAAUAAUUUUUUUCUCUUUUAAUUCCUAUUCAAUUCAUUACAAAAAAUAUUUUUGGUUUUUAUGCUAAAAUUUAUUGUUUAUUAAAAAAUUCUAGUAUAUCUAGCUAUCAUAGAAGAGCUCCAAAAUUUUAUUGUUUAAGAGAAUAUGUGUUGCCACUUUAAAAGAUUUAUAUGCAAAAGGGAUUGAUAUUUUUUUCCUUUGGAUAUGUUUAGUUCCCGGAAAAUUUGAGGGAAAAUGUGAGGGAAGAAAAAUAGAGAAGAAAAGUAUAACGAAAUAAAAAGUGAAGGAAAAUGAAAAAUAGAUUUAAAGUUAACAAAUUAUUUUCAUUGGUUUUUUCAAACUUAUUUUACUUAUUUUAUUCUAUUAAAUAAAGAUUAACUAAUUUUAAUUAUAUUUGGUUUGAUUUUUAUUAUUUUUCAAAGCAAAACCAAAUAUGAAAAAAAAAACAUUUUUUUUUUUUGUUAUUUUUUUCUUUCCUUAUUACUUUUUAGGACUCAAACAUAGCUUUUAGAUUUGGAGCAUGGAAAGAUAAGAGUAUUGAAUAAUGGUUCUAUAUAUGCCCAUGCCCAUGCCCAUGAUACCAUUGAAAAAAAUGGAGAGAGGGUGAAACCUUUACUAGAUGAUAAAUUAUUCUCUUCAAUGGAAAUCAAAUAUAAUUAUUUUUAUCUUGUAUUAAUUGAAUGUUAUACUCCAUAAACUCAAAAUUAAAAUAAAUAAAAAAUUUAAAAACUAGGACAAUCCCAUUUUUUUUCAAUUUCUUAAAAAGAAAUUAAAUUAUAUUUAUUUAUAUCUAUUUUCAUCCCUACCCAACAAAAUAAAAAAAAAUUAACAAGGUGGGACAUGUAUGAGAAAUUCUCACACUAACUCUCACUAGUUUAUUUUUUUUUAAAAAAAAAAAUAAAAUCAAUUUCUUUUAAAAAAAUUAAACUACAUAAAAAAUAAACAAAUUUUACAAUUUUUUUUAAGAAAAGUAAAUUUCUUAUUUUAUAUAUGUUAAAAAUAAAUAUAAUCUUUUAUUUUUUAUAUAUAUAAUCGGGUAAGGUAGAGUGGGACAAAGAAAUAAUCCCCUUCGAUUCCAAUCCGAAUUUUUAAAAUAUAAAAUAAAAAUCUUAAACUCAUCCCUAAUCCAUUUAUUUUUAAUCCUAAACUUGUCUUAUUAAGAAUAAGGCAAAGUGAGUACAUGAAAACACUUCUUUUAUCAUCAUCUCUACAAGUUCUAAUGUUUAGAUUGCAAUCCAUAUCAAAGAUUUAUAAAGAAAGAACAACAAUGAAUUUCAUAAACAUUUGAAAGCAUAAACAAAGUUUUAAAUAAUAUUGCUUGAGGUGCAAAUAUUAUUUGGCGCACAUGUUGAGGGACUUCAACUGGUGUAGUCUAGGUUUUUUACACUAGUAAGUAAUCUUGAAUAUCUAGAGUAACUUGAUCAAAAUCUCUUUAAUUUUAUUUUCUUUGAUGGUUGUAUGAUGAAUUAGAAUGCUUAUAUAACAUGAUUAAAAAUUUUAAGAAAAAAAAACUAAGAAGAAAGAAAGAAGCAUCGAUCUUCCAAAUAUUGCUUCCACUUUAAUAUCUAGUAGGCUCUAAGAAAAGAACUUUAUUCAUGAAUCAUAACCCAAGUCGAAAAUAAAUUGAACCCAUUUUCUAAGUUAAAUUUUGAAUUUUUUACUAGUGAAUGCAAAUUGGGAAAAUGUAUAUAAAUAUAAUCAAACUAGAAUAGUAGAUUAGGUUUGUAGGUGGAGUUUGUUUGAAUUGUUGGAACUUCCAAGUCGUUGUGGGUCUAGUGGUCCCAUAGCUCUCUAUUAAUUUCCACCAUCAAUUUUUUGCAAUAAAGUCAAGUCAUUCCUAACCCUUAUAUUAAGUUGGCCUUAAAAGUCAAGUCAUUGAUCAUAGUUACAUUCAUGAAUCACAACCCAAGUCGAAAAUAAAUUAAACCCAUUUUUCAAGUUCAACUUUGAAUUUUUUAGUAGUAAAUGCAAAUUGGGAAAACAUAUAUAAAUAUAAUUAAACUAAAAUAGUAGAUUAGGUUUGUAGGUGGAGUCUGCUUGAAUUAUUGAAACUUCCAAGUCAUCGUGGGCCCAAUGGUCCCAUAGCUCUCUAUUAAUUUCCACCAUCAAUUUUUUGCAAUAAAGUCAAGUCAUUCUAACCCCUAUAUUAACUUGGCCUUAAAAGUCCAAUCAUUGAUAGCUAAAUCCCAACCCAAGUCAAAAAUAAAUUGAACCCAUUUUCUAAGUUCAACUUUGAAUUUUUUUUAAUUGGAAAAAUGUAUAUAAAUAGAAUUAAACUAGAAUAGUAGAUUAGGUUUGUAGGUGGAGUUUGCUUGAAUUUGUGAAACUUCCAAGUCGUCGUGGGUCUAGUGGUCCCAUAGCUCUCUAUUAAUUUCCACCAUCAAUUUUCUGCAAUAAAGUCAAGUCAUUCCUAACCCCUAUAUUAAGUUGGCCUUAAAAGUCAAGUCAUUGAUCAUAGUUACAUUCAUGAAUCACAACCCAAGUCGAAAAUAAAUUAAACCCAUUUUUCAAGUUCAACUUUGAAUUUUUUACUAGUGAAUGCAAAUUGGGAAAACAUAUAUAAAUAUAAUUAAACUAAAAUAUUAGAUUAGGUUUGUAGGUGGAGUCUACUUGAAUUAUUGAAACUUCCAAGUCAUCGUGGGCCCGGUGGUCCCAUAGCUCUUUAUUAAUUUCCACCAUCAAUUUUUUUGCAAUAAAGUCAAGUCAUUCUAACCCUUAUAUUAAUUUGGCCUUAAAAGUCCAAUCAUUGAUAGCUAAAUCCCAACCCAAGUCAAAAAUAAAUUGAACCCAUUUUCUAAGUUCGACUUUGAAUUUUUUUUAAUUGGAAAAAUGUAUAUAAAUAGAAUUAAACUAGAAUAUUAGAUUAGGUUUGUAGGUGGAGUCUACUUGAAUUUGUGAAACUUCCAAGUCGUUGUGGGUCUAGUGGUCCCAUAGUUCUCUAUUAAUUUCCACCAUCAAUUUUCUGCAAUAAAGUCAAGUCAUUCCUAACCCAUAUAUUAAUUUGGCCUUAAAAGUCCAGUCAUUGAUAGCUACGUUCAUGAAUCCCAACUCAAGUCAAAAAUAAAUUGAACCCAUUUUCUAAGUUCAACUUUGAAUUCUUUUAAUUGGGAAAAUGUAUAUAAAUACAAUUAAACUAGAAUAGUAGAUUAGGUUUGUAGGUGGAGUCUGCUUGAAUUUGUGAAACUUCCAAGUCGUCAUGGGUCUAGUGGUCCCAUAGCUCUUUAUUAAUUUUCACCAUCAAUUUUCUGCAAUAAAGUCAAGUCAUUCCUAAACCAUAUAUUAAUUUGGCCUUAAAAGUCAAGUCAUUGAUAGUUACGUUCAUGAAUCACAACCCAAGUCUAAAAUAAAUUGAACCCAUUUUCCAAGUUCAACUUUGAUUUUUUUACUAGUGAAUGCAAAUUGGGAAAACAUAUAUAAAUAUAAUUAAACUAGUAUAGUAUAUUAGGUUUGUAGGUGGAGUAAGCUUGAAUUGUUGAAACUUUCAAGUCGUCGUGGGUCUAAGGGUCUUAUAGCUCUCUAUUAAUUUCCAUCGUCAAUUUUUAUGAAUUAAGAUUUAAAAGUGAGAAGGGAAUAAAUUUUUUCUUUUUCAAUUCAUUACAAAAAAUAUUUUUGGUUUUUAUGCUAAAAUUUAUUGUUUAUUCAAAAAAUUAAAGUAUAAAAAUAUAAAAAAAAAUAUAUAUCUUGAUAUUAUAGAAGAGCUCCAAAAUUUUUGUGUUUAAGAGAAUAUGUGUUGCCACUUUAGAAGAUUUAUAUACAAAAAGGAUUGAUGUUUCUCCUUUGACUAUGUUUGGUUGCCAAAAAUUUGAGGGAAAGAAAAUAAAAAAAAAUAGUAAAAAAGAAAAAAUGAAGGAAAAUAAAAAAUAGUUUUCAAGUUAAUAAAUUAUUUUUAUAUGUUUUUUCAAACUUAUUUUACUUAUUUUCUUUCAUUAUAUAAAGAUUAAAUAAUUUUAAAAUGCAUAAUUUCUAACUAAUUUUAAUUAUAUUUAAUUUUUCUUUUAUAUUUUUUAGACGGGAUCCGACACAUGAAAAAAUCCUUUUUUUUAGCAUCUUUUUUUCUUUUCUUAUUACUUUCCAAUAACCAAAUAUAACCUUUAGAUUUAGCCUUUAGACUUGGAGUAUGGAAGGAUACUGAGUAUUGAAAGAAGGUUUUGUAUAUGGCCAUGAUACCAUAGAAAAAAUGGGCGAGAGAGAAAAAACCUUUAUUAAAUGAUAAAUUAUUUUACUACUUACUACAUAAAUAGAUAUUCAUGGAGUGCAUUCUCUAAAAAGCUCCAGUCUCAUGAAAAUGGAAAGAUGGACCGGCCAGUGGACCGGUUCGAGUUUGGAUUUAUGGGCUGCCUCAGCCUAACACGCAUGAUAGGCUGUUGCAGGUGAAGAACUAAUUAAUUUAAAGCCUUCUUCUAUCCUCUCCUAUUCCUCUUUCACUCCAAAUUUUCCACAUGAUAAUGACAAUUCUUUUGUUAAAUGGUAAAAAAAAAAAUUUAACAAUUAAUUUAAAAUCAUUUAUAAAAUCAUGAACUUUGGCAUCCUAAUUAAUGCAAUUUAAACUUUUUUUGUUUACAAAUGAAAUAAGAGGCAACAUAUAAACCCAAAAGUUAAUUUUCCUACCAUCUCUAUGCACCAUUUUAGCUUUACUCCAAUAUAUUUUCUAUGAUUAAUUAUUUUCAUUCAAACAAUAAUAUCAAAAUAUUUUAAAAUUAGACAUAUCAUAAUCAAAUAUCAUUAUAUUAUUAUUGAAUAAUAUUUAAUGUAAUUUAAUAAUCAACGUAUACUUAUAGAAUUUAUAUUUUUUAUUAAUGCAUAUAAUAUUAUUAUCAAAUAUGAUAAAUUAUAUAUAUAUAUUUCUUUAACAAAACAACUUUAAAAUAUCUAUUAUACUUUUAAUUUCAUCUCUAAGAGGUUUUUUUUUUUUUCUUUUUUUUUUUUACAUUUUUAUAAGUUUUGAUCAAUUGUAGGCUAACCAAUAUUUUUUUAUCAAAAUAUCCACCAAUAUAUCUCCGAUAUAUUAGAUAUAUCCGUAACAUCGAAAUACCAAUAUAUCCGCGAUUAUCGAUAUUUUUAUCCUUGAGGGAUAACAACUAAUAUAGUUUUUGCACUUAAUGAUAUUCCUCAACAUUUAGAUUGAUUUGACCAAAAUCUUUUUAAUUUUAUUUUCUUUGAUGGUUAUAUGAUGAAUUAGAAUAGUCAUAUAACAUUAACAGAUUUAAGAAAAAAAGGAUAAAAAAGCUCGUAUUUUUCAAAUAUUGGUUUCAACUUUGAAUAUUUUUAUUGGUAAAUGAAAAUUGUGAAAAACCUACUAAUGCUAAUACUUUUCACCACAUAAUUAAAUAUAAUAAACUAGAAUAGUGAUUCAUUGAUGUCUUAUAAAGACACAUGCCUUCUUUGACUUGUUAGUUGAUUUUUGUAGGUGGAGUCCAUUUCCAUUUGAAUUGUUGAAACUUCCAAGUCCUUGUGGGUCUAGUGGUCUCUCUAAUAAUUCCCACCAUUAAUUUUUUGUGAUGAAGUGCAGUCAUUGAUAGCUACUAUAUCAAUUUGCUAUUAAAAGUCAAGUCAUUGAUAACUAAUAUUCAAUCUUUUUCAAUAUGGAAAUUGGAAUCUCUAGCACUACUCUUCUCAUUGUUCAUUUUUAGGUAAUGUGAGAAUGUGUGAACAUAAAUGUCUUCUAAUCAACCAAUUUUUUUGAAAAAAACAUGUACAAAAUUGCAAAACUUGCAAAAUCAAACUUUCUUGUUGAAUAACCAUAGCUUGAUGGUUUUGAAGAAUCAAAGGAUGAAUCAUAAAAGGGUAUUUGAUAAAAAAUAAAAAUUUAAAAAGUUAAAAGACAACUACUCCCUUAAGUGUAAUAAGUGUAUUUGGUAGCACAAAUUUCCUACCACUUAUUAUUUUUUCCUUUCUUAAAAAAUUAUUUACUCUAUUAAAUAAACUAACCUUGGCUUAGCACUUAUAGCAAAAUAGGUUAAGUAGUUUUUAAAAUUUUAUAAUAUUAGAUUUACAUUUUUAUCCUUCAAAAUUUCAUUAAUGCUAGAUUCUUCUAUAUGCUUAACUAAUAAAUAAUUUUUAGCAUUUUUCUUUUCUUAUAAACAUAAAAAAAUAAAAAUAUUAUUAACUUAUUGGUAUAUUUUAAAAUUUUAAUUAGAUUUAAGCUUUUAUUUGUUUGGAUUACCAAUUAUACAUAUAAAUCCUUUGUUAUUAUUGUUAUUAUUGAAAGAAAGGGGUUGAAUAGGUAGUCCCUCAAUCCCCAAAUUAAAUUCUUUAUUGCCUACUUUUGGUUUAUUCCUUUACAUGAAUUCCUUGGUGAGAGUAAACAUUUCAUUAAUAGAUAAAUAAAAUUGAUUCCAUAUCAUAGGGUAUAAUGUGGAAAAAUCACCAGUCUCAUGUGUUCCUUAGUGGAUCCUUUGGAGCCCUAUCAAAGUUUCAUGAUGAAACCAUUGACUUUUGUUUAACCCAAAUGUGCUUUCAAGACAAAUCUUGAAAGAUUUGAGAGAUGGAGGUUCAAGUCUUUUAUGAACGACCAUGUUCUCUUAGGGUUCAUGAAAUUCACACCUUUUGAUAAAUAAAACUUAUCUAUUUAUACGUCUAAAACCCAGUAUUUAUUUAUUUAAUUAUAGAAAGUUUCUUAGUUUUAAAAACAUUUCAAAAAUCAUUUUUAGAAUCAAAUAAGAAUUUUAGAGAUAAACACAAUAUUAAAAUUUAACAAAAACAAAUUUUCGAAUUAAAAACACAAUAUAAACUAAAUUACAAAAUAUAAAGUAAUUUUUACCCUAAUUUCUUGUUGCAAAACCAAAUGGAACACCUAGAAGGGGAGUGAAUGGGUGAUUUUAAAUUUUUUCAAUAAUUAUUUAUAAGUUAUACCCAAUUCUUUUACCCUGCAAGUUGUUAGGGACUAUCAAUUCUUUCAUUUUGGCAAUUCAAACAAUAUAUCAAAUAAUAAAAAGAUAUAAAUAAUGAGACAUAAAUAUUUUUACGUGGAAAACCCCCCACACUAACCAUGGAGAUAAAAAGCCAUGGAGUCUAAGACCUAUUAAUCUAAAUUCACGGUACGAAAUCAAGUUACACAAAUUUAUUUGACAACUUUACCUUAAAGACUUACUCUACAGUACUGACAACUUGAUUCACAUCCACGACGUAGCAACCCUCGAUUACUCCAAUGGAUCACUUCAAGCUUACUAAAAGGAUGAAGGCCUUCAAACCAAGAUUCAAAAAUCAAUUCCUUGAAUGAGAGAUCAGGAAUGGUGUGCCACUUUAGGCUUUCUCUCUAAGAACUCUAAAAUGAUCUCCUCAAUGAAAACCUUUUAAACAAAAUGAGAUAUUUCUCCACAAUCUCUAACCCUCAAGGGGUUAUAAUGAGAUAUUUAUAAGCAACUAAGUUGAAGAGUUUCGGUUUUGGAAGGUUUCUCAAUUGAAUUUGUGUGAAAAACUCGACAGAAUCAACAUGACCGCUCGAGGCAGCACACUUCCCACUUGAGCGUUUCGGGCACUUGAGCGGUAAGGCUUGCUUGAGUUGUCCUAAGCGCUUGAGCAUUCCAGGCUACUUGAGCAAUCUUGCUCUAUUUCAAAAGUUAAUUUUAAACCAUUUUAAGUUCAAAACAAAAUUGAUUCCCUUUAUACCUCAAAGGAGCCUAACUUGCCACAAACCAAACUUUUUUAGAUAUACUUGUGACUUCCUGGUUGGACGAACAACAACUCUUAAUCUUCAAUGGAGAGCAAGUCACUAUCUAAAAAGAUUUAUAUGGUCAAACAUAAAAAAACAAAAAAAUUGCCAACAUAACAACAAGACUCAAUGUCCAUGCAUGGUCACCUGAAAGGUGACUCCGACCACAAUAUAAUGCAUGUUCUCAUAGAACAUGUGAACAAGAUGGGGAUAGGAAGUCCCCUAGAGAGAAAACAGAGUCUCCUAACCCUACUCUUGAAUGAUGAUAGGGAAGACAGUGUCCUGAAAAGCUUAAAGGUUAAUGGCAUGCUCAGGCUCGACACACCGAUAUGUGAAAGAAGCGUAAUAAUGGUCCCGUGCCACCUGGUAGUGAAAGCGCUCAACCGGAAGUGCAUCUAGGUUAAAAAGACCCUAGAGUGGGAUGCCCUAGACGGUUUCAGUGACCUAGGAAAGGUCACCUCCCUUUGACAUCUAUGACUAGCCAUAUCUAAGGUAUAUAAUAUGAAAAAACAAAAGCUAAAGAAAAUCCAGAGAAAAGCUAAACCACUAAAAAUGUUAAACUCAAUGCGUCGAACAAUACUAUACAAAUGGAAAUGAAAAAUAUGAAGCGAACUGACCUCAGAAGACAAAAGGACAGUAACCCAGAGGGCUCGAAGAGGAAUAGGAAAGAUUGAAAUGAAUAUGGCGUGAUGGAUGACCUUUAUAUAGCUUAUAAGAGUGCUUGAUGCAGAUUAGCACUUGAGCGUCAUGACUAACUUAAAUCAAAUUAUUUAUUAAUAUGGAAAUAUUUUAAAAGUUUCAAAGGAAGUAUUCAAUUUAGAACCUUUUUAGAAUUUUUUUGAAAGAAACAAAAAUAAAGCGUGAAAUAUUAUGUGUUAAAGGUGUUAGAAGACAAUAUUGUCUAAUCCAAAGCCUUACACAUUCCUAAAAAAAAAAAAAAAAAAAAAGGAAAAAGAGAGAUAUUAUAUAAGAUUUUGAUCACAUCUAAUAGAAACUAAUAUUUAGCAACAUAUCACCAAGCACUAUCUUAUCAGAAAGCUCUAACAUGUUGGAAAUUUAUGUAAGGUUCCAUAACAGCUAAAAACUUUUUCUGACGACUCGGUAAUGGACCAUUUGCACUUUAACUACAUUAUUGAAUUUAAAUCAUAUUAGAAUUGUAAUUGACUUCUCUUUUGUGAGACUACAUAUCUUGUAGGAUGGGAUAGGUGAUUCAUUUCAUAUAUGAAAUUUACUUAAUUUAGUAAUGCUUCCAAGUUCAUUAUGAAUCUAAUGGUAUCACAACUCCUUUAAUAUUUGUAAUUUUGUAAUCUUUGUUUCAACUUCUCAAGUCUAGUCAUUUUAUUGGCAUAACUAGUUUGCUUCAAUUAUCUCUCAACUUUAUUAUAAAACUAAGGGAAAGGAUUAUCACGCAUUUUAUAUUAACUUAACCAAACAUCUUUAUAUAUCUUACAUAUAUAUAUUUUUUGUAAAUUUAGGAAAAUUUCAUCCAUUAGCCAUAGUAAGUAAGAAUCAAAUAAGGGAUAUGUAAGCCAAUGGUGAUAUUGAUGGCGUCAAAUCAAUGACAUAGUAGAAAAGUGGAUUGUCUAUUUUCAAACCUUUAUAUUUUCAUCCAAUAGUAAAAAGGUUUAGGCAUCACUUGAAAAGUAGUUCGUUUUUUACCUUGGACUAUGAUUUAUGAAUAAAGUUCUUCUGUUGUAUACCUUUUGUGAUGCCCCAAACCUAAUUUAGGGGUAAAAAAAUAAUUUAGAAAAAAAUAAAUAAAAAGUUAAAUAAAUUUAAUUAAGGUAAAAAUGUAUUUUUGUAUUUAAAAUUCCUAGGUAUCAAUUAUAUAUUUCUUGUCUUCUCUAUUCAAAAAACCCUAUUACACAAAAAUCAAAUAUCAGAGAACAUAGGACAACGCAGGGUUGAAGAUUUGGAGGUUUAGGGUUGAAGAUUAGUUUUCCAGGUAAGAUUCUAACCCUUAAAUUAGUAUUUUAGAUUCGUUAAUUAGUUUGAACACUUUAGAUAUUCUUUGAAAAAUCUGAAUCUACGUUAGGGUUUGUUAAUUUAAUUUUUAAAUAAAAAAGAUUCAAAAUUUAUGAACAUAAGUAGAGUUAUUAUUAAAGAUUGAAAUUUUUUGAAUAUUUGAAUUAAAAAUCUAGAAAAAAAAAGAAGAAAAUAAAUUAUAGCUUUGGAUGUGGAAAAAAGUUAAUAUUAAUAAAUAAAUAAAACUUAUGAGUACGGAGGUAGAAAAAUAUGAGAGUUGAAAGCAAAGAAAAAAAAAAGAGAAUAAGGUUUUGUGGUUGUACGUGUCUCCUUAGUGGAAAAAAGAAAUACAAGGUUGUUUGCAAUAGGAUAUGACAAAGAGAGAGAGAUAAAUGCUUAGAUGUUGAUUUUUGUGGGGAAAAAAAGAUUGGGUAAUGUAGGAGAGAAAUAGGUAGCACUUGUAGAGUUGGUGGGGUUGUUGUAAAAGCUCGUAGGGUAAUUGUUAGGUAGUAGUAGGGUAUGAGAUUAAUUGUUAGGAAACAUUAGGACUUGAAAUAAUAAUAAUUGCUUCUAGUAAAAGUUUUAACUUAGUUUAAGUAUAUAAAAGAAAUAGAUGAUUAGAAUAAGAUUUGGAAGGAAUAUGAAUUCAUAAAAAUUUCGAAAUUUACUAAUUUAGAUUAUUAUUUUUUUGGAAGUUGAAUAUAAUAUAGGUGGUAAUAUUAUUAAUAUAGGAAAUGAUUAAGAUUCUCAAACCUACAAUUUUAGAUAAAUAGUUAAUAGUAAUAGUUGAUUUUUUAUUUUUUUUAUUUUUUAUUUUUUAUGUUAUGUUAAGUGAAUAAUGGAUUCUUUGAUUAAUUCUCUAAGGUUUCUAAGUGCUUCUUUAAGAUAAGGGAUAUUAAUACUGAUUUUGUAAAUGAAAAUAUUUCUUUUUAUAAGUUAUUUUAAAUUAUGAAAAAUUUUAUUUUUAUUUAUGCAUGGAUCAAAUAUAUAUUUUUUCAUGAGAAACAUGUUUGGGCAAUUUCUUUGUUUAUAAAUAAAUAAAUAAAAAAUGAGAACUUUGGAAAUAUAAUGUUUUGUUUUGCAAGUUUAAAAUAAUGAAAUAAAGUUUUUGACUCUGGUUUAUAUGACCUUAGUUAAUGGGUUAUAAUUGUUGACAUUUUCAGCUCUCCAAUCAAUGAUUAUAAUUGUUGAGAUUUUCAACCCUAGCCAACGGGUUAUAAUAGUUGACCUUAUAGCCCUAGUCAACAGAUAUAAUUGUUAACCUUUCGUUUUUCCCAUCUUAAAAAGAACAAAUUUAAGGCUAACCAUUUAUUUGUAAAGUCCCACCUAACUAAGUACCAUUUGUUAUUUAAUAACCAGAGUAAAGAUAUUUUGAAUGUAUUUGAUAUGAAAUUAUUUUGAUAUAAAUAUGAAAAUGUUUGGUUGAAAAGUUCAAAUGUUUAAUGCAUGUUGAAUUCAAAAGUUUUUAUGAAAAUGAUUAUAUGUUAUAUCUCCUAUUUGUAAGUUUGAUCCAUAAAACUGUAUUAAUAUUCCUUAUUGGACUUUGAGCUCAUUCCCCUUUGUUGAGAAUUUUUUUUGGUAUUCUCAGUUUGGGCAAGGAGUGAUGACUGGGUUGGGGAAUUUUCUUUACUAUGAUUUUGGUUCAAUCUUUAUUUUGGACAUUGUAAUUUAAUUCCCAUUUAAAUUAUUUGGGUUUGGAGUUAUUUGGACGAUAACACUUUGAUUGAUGUGUUAGUUUUAAAGUUGAGAAUUGAAAAUUAUAGAAUUUAUUUAUCUUUCUACUUUGAAUAGAAAUUUAGUAAUUGGAGAUCAUCCAGUUACAAGAUGAAUAUUAGAUGAAUAUUUGUGUCGUUUCCACAUUGAGUGUUCAGGCUUAGGGUGUGAAAUGACCGUUAUGCCCUUGGAGUGGGUAUAUUGUUUAUUUGAAUUUAAUGGUCCCCGAACUCCUUAAUUACUCAUAACUUUAUAUCACCUUCUCAAAGUUAAGUUGUUUUACAACUACUAUCUAGCUACUUUUCUCUACUAUGACAACUUUAUUACAUAGUGAUUAAUUGAAAGAAUCUACAUGUCUUAUUUCAUAGGAUAGUUGAUUUUUUUACUCAAUGAAUCUUGCUUUUAUUAUUGAAAAUUUCAAAUCAUUGUAGUCCAACAAUUUACUAUCCUUUGGUAAUUUCAUAUUACAUUUCCAAAGUCUAAUCAUUUAAAAACACUUGUAGUUAAUAUAUUGGCAAUUGCAUUGUGGGAAGUUGUUCACUUGAUUUUAAUGUUGAAACUUUCAAAUUGUUGUAGUCCAACAAUUCCCUAUCCAUUGGUAAUUUCAUAUCACAUUUUCAAAGUAUAAUCAUUUACAAAUACUUGUAUAUAGUAUAUUUGGUGAUUGUAGAGUGGAAAGUUGAUCGUUUUCAUGAAGACCUCUAAAAUAGAAAUUUUUUUCAUUCCAUUUAAUAAAGAAUUUCAUUAAUUGAACAUAUAUGUUUUUUUAACCGGAAAGUAGAGGCCACAUUAUACGAGGCCUUAGGUGACAAUACUAGGUGAGGGUUUUUUUUUUUAAUUUAUUUAUUACUAAAUAUAAAUAAUAUUAUUUAUUGUAUAAUAAAGAUUAUUAUAAUAUAUUUUUUAUAGAUGAAAAAAAUAUUAAUUGAGUUUUAUUUUUUUAAAAUAAUUGUUUUCAAUAAAUAACUUAUUUGUAAAAAGAAAACUAUAAAAUAUAUGCAUUUGAAAAAUAUUUAAUUUUUAUUUGAUUUAGUAUCAAUUAAUAUUUGUAAUAUUUUUUAAUAUUAUAGAAGUUAACAUACUCAAUCAAGAUAUUCAAGAUCAAGAGAAUAUUUAAGAUUGAAUUAAUUUCUUUAUUGUUUAUGUUUUAGUAAAUUUUUAUAUCCAUUACAAAUUUUUUAUUGUUUAUUUUUCAUUCAAUGUUUGCAUUUUUUAAUAGAUAUUAAAACGAUUUUUUUUCUUGUAUGUUAAAAAAAUAUUUCAAUGUCUUUAAAAAUAAAAUAUUGCAGUAAAAUCAAAAUUACAUUGUGAAACUUUAAGCGAAUGUUUUAUACUUAAGAAGUGCCAAUUAAAGUAAGCAUGCAUCUACAAUUGUAAUUUAGAUGUCAUACUGAAACAAUAGUUCUCUUUGACUAUAUCAUAAAAUUUGGUUCGAAUUACUUUAAGUCGUCUUGUAGAUUUUCAAGUUCCAAUGAUAUGCAUCAAGUAUGUGCAACAUACUUGAUAUAACUAAUAUUUUCUUAAGUAAUUGGACACUUUUUUCUAUAAAUUUACUUGAUUAUCAAUGAAUACUUUUAUGUAAGGUAUUGAUAUAAUUCGAUAAAUAUUUUAAAAUAGUAUUAGAAUAGCUUUGCUCUUUCCCAAUUAACAAAUUUACUAAAUUAACUUAUAUAUAUUUGUUUAUUUGAAUUUACUGGUAUUUGACUCAAAUUGUUAUUAUUUUUAAAAUUAUAGGAAAACCAUUAUUUAUAGAGUUUAAUUAUAUUUGGUAAAUUAUCUUUUUAAGUUUGGCUAGGAUUAGGAAACUAUUAAUUUAAGAUUAAUCCAUAAGGCUCUAUAAAUUUGCAGUUUUAUUUAGGAUUUAAAAAAAGAAAGAAAAAGUAAGAAAAAGUGAAGAGAGAUAGGCAAAGAGUGCAUUGGGUUUUAAAUAAAGAAAGGUUGAGAGAGUUUUGAUUACUACUCAAAAAGAACAUAUUUUAGAUAGUAAUUCUCAUGGGUUUCACAUCUUUUGAGUAUUAAUUAUGCCUAAAAAUGCUCAAUUAACAUGUUGUUGCCUUUGCAAGAGUUACUAACAAGUUUUAUAAAGUUUUGGAGUCAUUUCAAGUUAUGAUUUUAAUAAAUUGGUGACGAAAGAGAUGAAUUGAUUUGAAGAAGGCAAAUAAUAUUGAUGAUGAUCCAAAUGCAUAAUGAAAGAAGCAAUAUAAUUAGUUUGAUCGGGAUUUGCUGCUAAUUUGGAGGUAGUUAAGGUGGAGUCAAAAGAAGAAAAUGGAAGAAAUGACAAAGAGGAGCUUAAAAACCAAAUGUUGCAGAUUUGUAUGAUCAUGCAAAAAUUACAUGACUAUGCGAAAUGGAUUAGAGAAGGAAAAUUGACUAUAGUAUAAGGAGGAUGCUUAAGUUGAUUUCGCAUGAACAUGCGAAAAUUUUGCACAAUCAUGCGAAAUGGUCCAGAAAGCUCUCUAAUGUUGUUGUUGCUCCACUAAUUUCACACCACCAUGCGAAAUUGAUCUUUUCAUGCAAAAUGGCUGAAGCUCAUGUGAAAUCAUGAUUUUGAUGCUAAACUCUAGAUUUGUGAAUUUGGAAGGUUUUAGAAGAUCAAUGAGAAGUUGCCAAGUGUCCACUUGACCUUGGUCUAUAAAUAGAAACUUGAAUUUCCCAUGUAAAGAGCUUUGUGAUACUUUUGAUUUUAGAUUUUUCUAGGAACUCUUUCUCUAAAUAGAAUUCUAUAUUUUCUUUAAUUUUCUCUCAUUUUCUCAUUCGCCAAACAUGCCUAGUGAGACCAAAUCUCCAAGUAUGAGUGGCUAAAUCUCGUUUUUCUCAAAGGAAUGAGGAUCUAGAGUCAAGAUCUAUGGUGAAUUAUAGAAAUGAGUUUUAAUCGGAAAUGCAAUUUGAUUCAAUUGAUUGAUUAAUUGAAAUUUGAGGAUUUUUCUCUUCAAAUUAUCCUAAAUGACUAUUACAUUGCAAACUAGGUAGAUUCAUUAAAUUCUUAAAGCUAGAUUUAAUGAGACUGAAUAGUUGCAUUGUAUGAAUCAUUGGAAGAUAAUUUAAGAUGAAUUGAAUAUAUAAUUUAAAUUGAUCUCUUGGAUUAAAUAACCUAAUUUGAAGAGAAAUUAGGUUUAGACUUAAAGGUAAAUCUAAAAUCGAUUUAGAUAAGAAUUUAGGUUUUCAAUCUAACUUGAUGAAAAAUAAAUCUCAACAUCUAUUCACCAUGGAAAUUGUUUUCUAAAAAAUAUUAACUCCGAGAAUUCCUUUUCCUUAUCAAUUUUCUUAUAUUCUACAUUAUAUUGUUCUUUUCGAUUAGAAAUCAUUGUUAUUUUGAUUUUUCAUGAAUUGUCAAAUCAAUUUCACUUGACCAUAAUCAUUUCUUUUCCUCCCAUUUAAGCCUUAAUUAUCGAGAAUAAUCCAUCCCAAUAGAAGACACCUAAGACCACUAUACUACCGUAGCUUUUGCUAAAAAACCUUUUUGAUCGGGCAAGAGUUACCUUAGCAUAGUUGAAUUAGGUUAUAAUUUUUUUAUCCAAUAAACAACAAAAAAAAUCAAUCGAUCAAGUUUGCAUUGUGUAUUCUUGAAUUUUAUUAAUAAAUUUGAUCCCCCUUUUUGAAGCGAUUACACCAAACCAAGUAAAUAUUUUAUAUACUUCAUUUGCUUUAUUUUUUCUAUUAAGUUUAGGUGUUGCAAUUUUCAAGAGUCAUGGUGAGAAGAUUGUGGGAAAAAUUAUUUUAAGGAUGGAGUCGAACAUAAAAUAUGAAAUUGAGUCCUUUGAUGGAAAUAAUAAUUUUAAUAUUUGAUAGAGUAUUAUUAAAGAUGUUUUGAUACAACAAAGACUUCUCAAAGCAUUACAAGGCAAAAAAACUAGAGAGCAUGACAAAUAAAGAAAUGAAAGAAUUAGAAGCAAGAGUUGUAAGUACUAUUUGUUUAAGUCUUAAAAAUGAAAUACAUUGUUUUGAAUGAAAAAAAUAUUCUUUUAGGGGUGUCAAUUGCUCUUUUAGAGACCAAAAAUAUUAAGCAGUCAAGUAGUUCAUCUCAUAUUGGACAAACUGUUAUGAUGAAUUCUAAACCACAUCAUCAUAGGAGUAAAUCGAAAGAAAGUAUCUGAUAGGAGGAUGAUCAUUCCAUUCACACUUAUGGAGGAAUAUGAAGUAUUAUUACUGUGAAAAAAAAAACAUAUCAGGAGAUAUUGUAAAGAAUUGAUGAAGUACCUAGAAGAAAUGAAAAUUUUUAAAUCCCAAGAGACUUCAAAUUUUACUAAUAUUGUUGAUGAAAAUUUUGAAAUAUUGUAGUAAAUUAAAAGUUACAUUAUGGGACUUUUAGUGAGUGUUUUAUGUUGAAGAAAGGCUAAUUAAAGUAAACAUGCAUCUAAAACUAUAAUUUAGAUGUUGUACUCAAAUAGUUGCUCUCCUCGAUUAUAUCAUAAAAUUUGGUUUGAAGUCUAAGUCAUCUAAUAAUUUUCUAAUUCAAAUUGCAUGCAUCAAACAUGUGUGUUAGGAAGUGUUGCAAAUUACUAAUUAAUAUAGAUUCUUUUUUUUUUUAAAGAAUAUUGUAUUGAAUAUUUCUAGGUUGAUAUAUUAUUGUAAUAUUAGACUUUCUUAUAGAAUAAGGAAGGUUGUUGAAAAUAUCCCUAUAAAUAUUCUAGUUCAUAAGGGGAAAAAGUUAUGAGAUGAAGAUGGACCCAUAAAGACUAUACAAGGUGGAUAGAGACGUGAAGAAAAACGAGAGGUACCCGGUGGAGCGAGAGGGCUCGUGGUAGGGUAUAGGUACAAAGAGUGAGAAAACAUGGGAUGUUUUGGGAACCCAAUAAUUGUAUCUGGUUAUGUCCUCUAUAAGUUCUAGUCCUGUCAUCUGCAUUGUUCUCUAUUUUAUAGUGGAAUGAUUCUCUUUUAUCUGUGGACGUGGGCAUGGUUUUCGAACCAUGUUAAAACCUUGUGUACCGUUUGUGUUGAUUUUUUUUUUUAUCUUUAUUUUAUUGAUUAAUGAAGUUUGCAUCAAAGCUUCUGUCAACGUAACAAACUUGUAUCAAAGCUUGGGUUAAAGAUUUCUAGAAGAGUAAAAGAUCAUAGAGCACACAAGAUGAAAACAAAAGGAAUUUUUAGUGAAAAUGGAGUCAAUUGCUCUCUCAUGGUGAUAUGAUAUAAAAAGUUUGUGUCAUGGAAAGUUUGAAGAUUUACUUCAUGGAAUCUGGUCCAAAAUGGAGAUUGUUAAUAAGUAUCCCAAAUUCCUAAUUAGUUUAGAUUUUUUUUUUUUGUAAAGAAUAUUGUAUAGAAUAUUUCUAGGUUAAUAUAUUAUUGUAAUAUUAGACUUCCUUAUAGAAUAAGGAAGGUUGUUGAAAAUAUCUUUAUAAAUAUUCUAGGUCAUGAGGGAAAAAAGUUAUGAGAUGAAAUGGGCCUGUAAAAACUAUAUGAGGUGGAUAGAGAUGUGAGGAAGAACAAGAGGUACUCAAUGGAAUGAAAGGGCUCGUGGUAGGGUAUGGAUACAAAGAGUGGGGAAAUAUGGGAUGUUUUGGGAACCUAAUAGUUGUAUCUGGUUCUGUCAUCUAUAAUGUUCUAGUUAUGUCCUCUAUAAUUGAUUCGUUCCCAAUUGGUGUCUCAGCUGAUUCAUGUCCUCUCCAUGGUCCCUGAUAGUGGUGCCAUUUGAUUCAUGUCCAGCUGGUGUCCCUUGAUUUUGGUCUUCAGGGAGUAAUCAACAAAAUUUAUAACCUAUUACACCAUGUACUAGGAUAGCCUUAGCUAGCAUAGCAUAGUGGCUCUAGGGUCGUUCACUGGGAUGGGUUUUCACUUCACAAUUGAUAUUAAUUCAAAGAUGAAUUGGUGCUUUUUCAUUUCAAGGUUAGCUUUAAAAGAAAACAUAAAGAUGUUUGAAUGAAAAAGGUUUUGUUUUAAACUAACCAAAAAUAAUAACUGAUUUUACUUACAAAGAAAAGUGUUUCUUGGAGUUUAGAUCACUGGGCUCAGAUUCCUUGUACAAAAAGGGAGUUCCGGUCACUUGUUUCUUUUCCUCGCAUUAGAGAAUUAACAUAUAGUUAAUUCUCUAACCGGUGUGGUACAGAUGCUUCCCCUUAAUGGGUUCAAACACUAAAUCCCUCUCACUGAUGCAACUUGCAAUGGCUCGUGCCUCUCACCUAGCAUUUGCCAUUCAAGGUGAUCUUUAACCUUGGAUUACCCUUCACAAGCUCGCAAGAGAUAACUAAUGGAUGUCUCCUUAGAGUCCAAAAGCUUACCAAGUGUUGGCAAUUCUAGAAAAUCAUACCUUCAAACCACCUCCCAAAAGCUCGCAAGAGGUAAACCAGUGCAUCUCCAUUGACGGAGAUCACUUGCCUAACCAAGUGUUGGCUCAAGUGAAUUGAAGGUGUUUUAAGUUAACUAAAAAGAUAAAAACCAUUAACGGGUCACACUUUCUCUUCAUUAAAAACUAAAACAACAAAACUUCCAAUUUAUGCAUGAGGAAACUUACCCGGCUUUCUUUCACUCCAAGAGACGAAGAGCCUAGCCUCUCAUCCUCUGAGAAAAAAUCCUCAGAGUUUGAUUGGCUAGAAAGAAAACUAACGAGAAAACAAAAAUAUAUAUAAGAAGCAGAGCAAAAGCUCUGUUCGUUGAUUACAUAUAUGAUAUAUGAUAUAUGAUGGAUCCUCUUCUUUACAUUGGUUCAAAGAUAUAUAUAGAGAAGAUAUUUUCUAAGAAAUAUCCCAAUAAUAUCUUUGACUAAUUACAAGGAGAAAAUAGAAAUUUACACAAAAUAUCUUGAGAGAAAAAAUCUAACUUAGUCGGUGGCAAAUAUCAGGAAGCUUCAGGAGAAUAUCGCGUCACUGUGCAAAAAUCCGGGUAAUCUGAAAUGCCGGCCGCGGAUGCUCUCCGGGUUAGCGCUAUUAGAAGAUCCGGACAUGCCUGUCUGGGGAGGUUGAAAUGCCUCUUCUUCCAUCCGGCGUCAGGCGUCGGAUUUGAAAUAUCUGAUCAGAGGAUCCUGACAUGUCUGACCGAACAGAAUUUCAGAUGUGAGAUAUCCGGACGUCGCAAGGGGGACCGUUUGCGUGUACAAGGUGUAGAGACCCUUCCCCCUGAUGACACGGAGCACGCAUCGCUAUCCAGAGCAACUCCAUCCGGAUUUCCCAAGAGGACACGCACCGCCAUGCUAUCCGGCACUCGUGAACAUCACACUCCGGAUGAUAGCAUAUCCUAUCCGGAUAUGUUGUCUGGAUCAUUGACUAAAGUGAGCAAGCCUUACUACAGCCCACGUUCCGCCGCUCUUCCAAUGGUGUGUCCGGACGCCCUGUCUGGACAUCUUUUUCCAUGGAUUCCAAAGAACUCUCCUCAAUCUCGGAUUGCUUUGGUGAUAAAAAAGCUAUCAAAACACCAAAACUUAACACAAUUUGAUUAGAAUUGAUUGCAAGGGUCCUUAAUAUGUUAAUUGGGUUAAAAAGUGAUAACUACUACUCAAAAGUGUUUAAAAGAGUUAAUUACAAGCUAUGAAAUAACACUUUUUGAGUAGUAAUCAAUAAUGUUCUCUAUUGUAUAGUGGAAUGAUUCUCUUUCAUUCGUGGAUGUAGGCAUGGUUGUCGAACCACAUUAAAACCUCGUGUACUGUUUGUGUUUUUUUUUUAAAAAAAAUUAAUCUUUGUUUCUUGAUUAAUGAUGUGUGCAUCAAAGCUUCCAUCUACGUAACAAACUGGUAUCAGAGCUUGGGUUGAAGAUUUUUGGAAUAGUAAAAGAUCACAAAGCACACAAGAUGAAAACAAAAGGAAUUUUUAGUGAAUGUGGAGUCAAUUGUUCUCUCAUGGUGAUAUGAUACAAAAAGUUUGUGUCAUGGAGGGUUUAAUGAUUGACUCCAUGGAAUUUGGUCCAAGGUAGAGAUUGUUAGGAAGUGUCCCAAAUUCCUAAUUAGUAUAGAUUUUUUUUUUAUAAAGAAUCUUGUAUAGAAUAUUUCUAGGUUGAUAUAUUAUUGUAAUAUUAGACUUCCUUAUAGAAUAAUGAAGGUUGUUGGAAAUAUUUUUAUAAAUAUUUUUAGUCAUGAGGGGAAAAAGUUAUGAGAUGAAGAUGAGCCUAUAAAGACCAUACGAGAUGGAUAGAGAUAUGAGGAAGAAUCGAAGGUACCCAGUGGAGCAAGAGGGCUCGUGGUAGGGUAUGAAUAUGAAGAGUGGGGAAACAUGGGAUGUUUUGGGAACCCAAUAGUUGUAUCUAGUUUUGUCAUCUAUAAUGUUCUGGUUCUGGCAUCUAUAAUGUUCUGGUUUUGUCCUAUGUAAUGUUCUUUAUUGUAUAGUGGAAUUAUUAUCUCUCAUCUGUGUAGACAAGUUGCUAAACCACGUUAAAACCUCGAAUACCAUUUGUGUUGAUUUUUUUUAUCUUUGCGUUCUUGAUUAACGAUGCUUGCAUCAAAGCUUCUACCAACGUAACAAUGUGCAACAUAUUUGAUAUAACUUAUAUUUUCUUAAGUAAUUGAACACUUUUUCUAUAAAUUUACUUGAUUAUCAAUGAAUACCUACAUAUACGGUAUUGACAUAGUUUGAUAAAUAUUUUAAAAUAGUAUUAGAAUGGCUUUUCUUUUUCCCAAUUAACAAAUUUAUCAAAUAUAUACAUACACACACACACACACACAUAAUACUCAUUAGUAUGUCUUUUAUGAAAAAACUAUAUUUGUUUAUUUGAAUUUAGUAGCCAUUCAACUCCUUAGUUACUCAUAAACUUUUUAUCACCUUCUUAAAGUCAAGUCAUUUACAAUUAUUUCUAUCUAGCCUUCUCCAUUAUAACAACUUUAUAAGAUAGUGAUUGAUUGGAAGAAUCUACAUGCCUUUGUUGAUAGGAUAAUUGUUUUUCUUUUUUUUUCGUAUUCAAAGAAUCUUGCUUCUGUUAUUGAAACUUUCAAAUCCUUUAUGUCAAGUUGUCUUAUAAUUCCCUAUUCAUUGGUCUUUCAUAUUACCAAUCAUUUUGAAAAUGAGUUAAUUUCAUUCACAUCCUCUGAGAUUUGAUGUAAAUUCGCUUAGUUACCAAUGAUUUCAAAUUUCAUUAAUUAGUACCCCUAUAGAUGUAAUUUGUGUACAAAAUUUAUUUUUUAAAAGAGUUUAGGUAAAAAUAUUUUAGGUAUAUGUCUUUAACAAUUCUCUAAAAUAAAUUUUACUUGCUAAAAAAUAACUUAUAUAGAUAGAAUACAUCUACAGGAGUUCUAACUAACGAAAUUUAAAACUAAUGGUGGUUUAGUGUAUUUAAACUAAACAUUAGGAAGGGUGACUGAAAUUAACCCUCUAGGUAUAUAUGUUUAACAAAAUUUUUAUUGUUUAUUUUUCAUUUAAUGUUUGCAUUUUUCAAUAAACAUUGAAAAGGAAUUGUUUUUCCAUAUGUUAACAAAAAGAAAUUUGAACACCUAUAAAAAUAAAAUCUUGUAGCAAAAUUGGAGUUACAUUAUCAGACUUUUAAUGAGUGUUUAUGUUUAGAAAGACCAAUUAAAGCAAGCAUGCAUCUAGAAAUUGUAACUUAGAUGCAUCAAACAUGAGCAACAUAUUUGAUAUAACCAAUAGUUUCUUAAGUAACUAAACACUUCUUUUUCUAUAAAUUUACUUGAUUAUCGAUGAAUACUUACAUAUAUUUACAUAGUUUGAUAAAUAUUUUAAAAUAAUAUUAGAAUAACUUUGUUUUUUCUCAAUUAUAUUAGAAAAUAAUAUAAAGUUACUUAUAAACUUUAUAUCAUUUUCUCAAAGUCAAGUCAUUUACAAUUAUUUCUAUCUAGCCUUCUCCAUUAUGACAACUUUUAUAUGAUAGCCGUUGAUUGGAAGAAUCUACAUGUCUUUUUUGAUAGGAUAGUUGUUUUUAUUUUUUUAUUUUUUUUAUUCCAAAAAUUUGCUUCUAUCAUUGAAACUUUCAAAUCUUUUAUGUAUAUUACCAAUCAUUUUACAAGUGAGUUAAUUUCACUUAGGGUAGAUAUACUUAGCCACACCCCUAUAGAUGUAAUUUGUGUUUAAAUUUUAUUUUUUAUUUAGGUAAAAAUAUCUUAGGUAUAUGUGUUCAACAAUUCUCUAAAAAAUAAAUUUUCUUAUCUAAAAGUUUAUAUAGACAAAAUACAUCUAUAGAAGUCCUAAUUAAUGAAAUUUAAAAUUAAUGGUUGUUUAGUGUAUUUACAUUAAACCUUAUGGGGUAUGAUUGAAAUUAACUCUUUUACAAGCACUUGUAGCUAAUAUGUUUGUAGUUGUAGUGUUGGAAAUUGAUCAUUUUCUUGAAGGCCUCUAAGAUAUUGAAAAUAUUGCCAUAGUUUUAGACUUUUUUUUAUUACACCUAAUAAAAAAUAUUAUUAAUUUAACAUAUAUAUUCUUGACUUAAAAGUAAAGUCUCUCCAUAUUGUAUAAGCCCUUAGGUGGCAAUAUUAGGUGAAGUUUUUCUUUCGUUUAUUACAAAAUAUAAAUAAUUUAUUAUUGUAUGAUAAAAUUUUAUGUAAUAUAUUUUUAUAGAUGUAAAAUUAUUAAUUGGGUUUUUUUUUUACUAAAUUGUCAUUUCAAUAUAUAAAACUUAUUUGUAAAAAGACAAUUAUAAACUAUAUGAAAUUGAAAAACAUUUAGUUUUUUUAUUUAAUUUAGAAUUUUAUUUGGAUUAAUAAUUGAUAUUUGUAAGAUUUUUUAAUAUUAAAAAAAGUUAGCAUACUUAAGAAAGAUAUUCAAGAUCGGGAGUGUUUGAUAUUGGAUUAAUUUCCUUAUUUUCUCUAUUUUAAUAAAUUUUCACGUCCAUUACAAAAUUUUUGUUGUUUAUUUUUCACUUCAAUAUUUUUAUUUUGUAAUAGACAUUUGAAAAGAUUUUUUCCUACAUGUUAAAAAAAAAAAUAUUUGAACACUCCUAAAAAAGAAUAUUGCUAUAAAAUUAAAGUUUACAUUGUAGGACUAUUAGCAAAUGCUAUAUACUUAAAAUAGACCAAUUAAAGUAGAAAUACUUCUAAAAUUGUAAUUUAGGUAACAAUAAUAUAAAAAGAUAAUAUUUUUGAAACAAUAGUUCUCUUGGAGUUUUGGGUACGAUGGACUAGACUUUAUGUACAAUAGAUAUACAAACUUUCCAUUAACAUCUUGAGAGACAUGAUGAGGAGCAAAGUCAUCCAAGAAGGUACCAUAGAGGUACCUUAGCUCCAUUCAUCUAGACUACAUAAUGUUUAAAGAUCAAAUUCAAUGACUAGAUUUCAAAAAUCAAUAUAAGCUUUCUCAUAUUCUACUCUAUAUAAGACAAUGGUAUGAUACCUCUCUUGUGUCGUAGAAUGCACCAUGAAAACCUUAUCAUUUUAACAUCAGUUUGAAACUUAAAAGUCACUUAGCACAUUCUAGUUAUUAAUCUAAGAGCAUUAAAAGAAAAUAUAAAAAAAGUUACUUUAUCCUUGUGAUUUUGAUUUAGGACUUUUAAUGAUAUUAAAAAAAAAAAACAAAACAGAAAAAUAAAUGGAAAUAAAAUCAACAAAUUAAACAAUUGAAUUAAGUUAGUUUAAUUCUUGCAUCGUUAAAUGGGUAAAUAAAGACUCUUAGAUUUGAUAUUAAUAUGAACAUCAUGACUUCAGUGAAUCUUACAAGAAAAUUUUAGUUUGAAAGACUUCAUUCAUUAAACGUGUGGCACAUAUUAAAGUAAAACUAAGUCUUCUCUAUAAUUUGUACCUAUCAUAGUUUCUUUCCUUAUAAAUAGCCUUUUUUGAAUAUAAUAUAGACUUCAACAUGCAUGGUGGGGCCAAUCAAACUACUAGUCAAGACAACUCAUGGGCAACAACGAUGUACCAACUACAUUUAAAUACUCUUCAUCUAUUUACAUAUCAAGAGUAAUUUAGUAGUGUCUUAUUUAUGUACCUCAUAUCUAGACUUUCAAUGGAGAGUUCUUCAUCUAAAAAUUUGACUUGGGUUUUCAUACUAGUUUUGGUUUAGACAUGUGGAUGCAAAGGUUGCAUCAAAGAAGAGAAGUAGGCUAAAUCAUCUUACAAAUUUUAUAGUUCAAAUUAGAUGCACCAAACAUAUGCAACAUAUUUGAUAUAACUAAUAUUUUCUUAAGUAAUUGAAUACAAUUUUUUUUUUAAAUUUACUUGAUUAUUAAUGAAUAACUACAUGUAUGGUAUUGACACAACAUGAUAAAUCUUUUAAAAUAGUAUUAGAAUAACUUUGCUAAAAAAAAGUAAAAAUAAAAAUAAAAAUACAUCUAUAUAUAAAAUUAAAUUAAAUUAAAAAUUAAAAAAGAAUAUAUAUUCUCUGUGUGUGUGUGUGUGCAUGGUCCCACAACUCAUUAGCUACUCAUAAGCUUUAUAUCACUUUCUCAAAGUCAAGUCAUUUUGUAAUUAUUUCUAUCUAGCCUUCUCCAUUACGACAACUGUAUAGGAUAUUGAUUGGUUGGAAAAAUCUUCAUGUCUUUUUUUAUAAGAUAGUUUUUUUAUUAUUAUUAUUAUUCAAAGAAUUUGCUUUUAUUAUUGAAACUUUCAAAUCCUUUAUGUCUAGUGGUCCUACAAUUCCCUAUUCAUUGGUAUUUCAUAUUACCAAUCAUUUUACAAAUAAGUUUAUUUCACCCGGUAAAUAUACUUAACUACUAAUGGUUUCAAAUUUAAUUGAUUAACACACUUAUAGAUGUAAUUUGUUUUUAAAUUUUAUUUUUUUAGAAGAAUUGUAGGUAAAAAUGUUUUAGGAAUAUGUGUUCAAUAAUUCUCUAAAAACAAUUUAUAUAGAUGGAAUACAUUCAUGUAAGUUCCAACUAAUGAAAUUUAAAACUAAUGACAAUUUAAUGUAUUUGCACUAAAUCUUAGGGGAGGUGUACUAAAACUAGCCCUUUUACAAAUAUUUGAUAUGAAAUUAAUUAAUUAAUUUUUUCUAUUUAAAUAAAUUUUUGCAUCCAUUAAUAAAAUUUUAUUGUUUAUUUUUCACUUCAAUAUUUUUAUUUUGUAAAAUAAAUAGAAAUAAAAUCAACAAAUUAAAAAAUUGAAUUAAGUUAGUUUAAUUUUGCCACCUUUAAAUUGGUAAAUGAAGACUCUUAUAUUUGAUAUUAACAUGAACAUCAUGACUUUAUUGAAUCUCACAAGAAAAUUUUAGUUUGAAAGAUUUUAUCCUUUAAACAUGUGACACAUAUUAAAGUGAGACCAAGUCUUCCCUAUAAUUUGUAUCUAUCACAAUUUCUUUCCUAAUGAAUAGCCUUUUUGAAUAGAAUAUAGACUUUAGCAUGCAUGGUGGGGCCUAGCUAUCAAACUACUAGUCAAAACAACUCAUGGGCAAGAAUGAUGUACCAACUAGAUUAAGUAUUCUCCAUCUAUUUGCAUAUCAAGAGUAAUUUAGUAGUAUCUUUCUUGUGUACCUCAUUUCUAGACUUUCAAUGGAGAGUUUUUUAUCUUAAAAUUUGACGUGGGUUUUCAUACUAGUCUUGGUUCAGAUAUGUGAAUGCAAAGGUUGCAUCAAAGAAGAGAAGUAGGCUAAGUCAUCUUACAAAUUUUCAAGUUCAAAUUAGAUGCAUCGAACAUGUGCAACAUAUUUGAUAUAACUAAUAUUUUACCAAGCAACUAAAUACUUUAUAUAUAUAUAUAAAUUUAUUGAUGAUCAAUGAAUACCUACAUGUAUGGUAUUGACACAGUUUGAUAAAUCUUUUAAAAUAGUAUUAGAAUAACUUUGCUAAAAAAAGUAAAAAUAAAAUAAAAUAAAAUAUAUAUAUAUAUAUAUAUAUAAAUAAACAAAAUAAAAAAUUUAAAAAGAAUAUAUAUAUUAGUGGUCCCACAACUCAUUAGCUACUCAUAAGCUUUAUAUCAUUUUCUUAAAGUCAAGUCAUUUACAAUUAUUUCUAUAUAGCCUUCUCCAUUGCGACAACUGUACAAUAUAUUAAUUGAUUGAAAAAAUCAUCAUGUCUUUUUUGAUAGGAUAGUUUUUUUUUUAUUCAAAGAACUUUCAAAUUCUUUAUGUCUAGUGGUCCUACAAUUCCCUAUUCAUUGGUAUUUCAUAUUACCAACCAUUUUACAAAUAAGUUAAUUUCACUCGAUAAAUAUACUUAACCACCAAUGGUUUCCAAUUUGUAGCAUUCUUAUAGAUGUAGUUUGUUUUUAAAUUUUAUUUUUUAGAAGAAUUGUAGGUAAAAAUAUUUUAGCUAUAUAUGUUCAACAAUUCUCUAAAAACAAUUUAUAUAGAUGGAAUACGUUCAUGGAAGUUCCAACUAAUGAAAUUUAAAACCAAUGAUGAUUUAAUGUAUUUGUACUAAAUCUUAGGGAGUGUGGACUAAAAUUAGCCCUUUUACAAAUAUUUAUAACUAGUAUAUUUGUAGUUGUGGUAUUGGAAGUUGAUCAUUUUCUUAAAAGGUUUACCAUUGAAGUUAGUUGAAUAUAAAGUUAGGUGAACUUUACCAUUGUUAAAUUGGUAAAUGAAGACUCUUAGAUUUGAUACUAACAUGUACAUCAUGACUUCAUUGAAUCUCUCACAAGGAAAUUUUAGUUUGAAAGACUUCAUCUUUUAAACAUGUGGCACAUAUUAAAGUGAGACCAAGUCUUCCCUAUAAUUUGUAUCUAUCACAAUUUCUUUCCUCAUAAAUAGCCUUUUUGAAUAGAAUUAAUAUAGACUUUAGCAUGCAUGAUGGGCCCUAUCAAACUAUUAGUCAAGAUAAUUUGUAGGUAAGAACGAUGGACCAACUAUAUUAAAUACUCUUCAUCUAUUUGCAUAUCAAGAGCAACUUAAUAUUGUCUUUCUUUUGUACUUCAUGUUUGAACUUUCAAUGGAGAGUUUGUCAUCUAAAUAUUUGAUGUGGGUUUUUAUACUACUCUUGGUUCAAAUAUGUGGAUGCAAAGGUUGCAUCGAAGAAGAGAAGAUGGGUUUGCUUGAAUUCAAGGCUUUUCUUAAAUUGAAUAAUGAGCAUGCAGAUUUUCUUCUCCCUUCAUGGAUAGAUAACAACACUAGUGAAUGUUGUAAUUGGGAGCGGGUUAUUUGCAAUCCCACCACAGGUCGAGUUAAGAAGCUUUUCUUCAAUGAUAUAACGCGACAACACUUGGAAGACAAUUGGUACUAUUACGAAAAUGUCAAAUUCUGGUUACUAAAUGUCUCCUUAUUCCUUCCUUUUGAAGAACUUCACCAUCUAAACUUGUCUGCAAACUCAUUUGAUGGGUUUAUUGAGAAUGAAGGUAUGUUACCUCUCACCUUUAAAUUUUCUUUUCACUUAUACUCCAAACAUUCUAAAGGAACUACUAGCAUAUGUUCUUAAAAGUGUUCAGGUGGAGAACAAAUGGUCACUAGUAACUAUUGAAUUUAAUAUAAGAACAAUUACUAAUUAUUAAAAUUUAUAAUGUAAAUUAACAUUUAAACAGAACAAUAAAAAAAUUAUUAUUUUAGAAAACUAUAGAUUACAUUAGCCUUAUAUAUAUAAGCAUACUUGUUAUUUAUGUCAUCAUUUCACACUCAACCCAAUAAGUGGGAUUCAACUAAGAGUGAGCAAUUUCACAAUUAUUAAUUAACAGGAACACUUAGGCUCCCAUAUCCUUAUCAUUUUUGCUGAAUUGUCUUUCCUUAUCUUCCAUUCCUAAAAAGCUUGAUUUCUAUAUUCCAAAUUGAUAGAGAUUGGUUAAAGAAAGGUGAUCACAAAAUUUGACUAUUGCUUUCAAAUGAGGAAUCACCAUCUUCAAAAUUUCACAUUUACAAAAAAAAUAAAUAAAAUAAAUAAAUAAAUAAAACUAGCCUCGGGUAAGGUCCAAGCCUUAUUGUUUUAAGCUGAUGUCAGAUUGGUUUAAUAAUGAACAGAGUAAAUCCUAACCCAUGACCAUCUACGCAUUUCCAAAUUCCACCCAUCCACAACCCAUUAAUAUGACAUUUUCAGGGACAAAAUUUAAUCAAUUAAACCUAUUAGAUGGAUUCUCCAUACAAUGUUAAAAUGAAUAUAAAAACUUUAAUUCAAAAAAUAAUUUCCUUUAUUUAGUUAGGAUUCAAAUUAUAGGGGCACAAAACAUGAAAAUUUUCAUGUUUAAAAUUCACAAAGAUCACAAAAGCUCUUUGAAGCUCUAUGGACUUUUUUAUUUCUAACAUUUAAACACAAAAAUCACCAAAUUUAAUUAGAGAUUUGGAUGCAUAUUCUUAUAUUAAAGACAUGUAAGCUUACAUAUUUAAAUAUGAAGAUCUCAACUUGUAAUUACAUGCUUCUAAUUAAAGUUAUAUUACUCUAUUUUACAGGAUUUAAAGGGUUAUCAAGUUUAAAGAAAUUGGAGAUCUUGGACAUAAGUGGUAAUGAGUUUGACAAAAGUGCCUUAAAAUCUUUGGGCACAAUAACAUCACUCAAGACAUUGGCUAUUUGCAGCAUGGGACUGAAUGGAUCUUUUUCCAUUCGAGGCAUGUUAUAUGUCCACAUUGUUUCUUUGAAAUUAAGUAAAAUAUAUUUCUAACUUUUAAUGUUCCUUAGUUAAUCUCUCUUUUGAUUCAUGUUUGUUGCAGACUUAGCUAGUUUGAGAAAUUUGGAAGUGUUGGAUCUAAGCUAUAAUCAUUUGGAAAGCUUUCAACUAUUGCAAGGUACUUCAUUAACUUGCUAAAAAAACUUACGAUAUUUUGUUAUUAAAUUAAAGGUAAGAUUAACAAACAAUUUCUUCUCAUUAGUUACUUUUCUUUGUAAUAUCAUUAAAUUUGAUAUAAUGUAGUCUAAAUCAUCCUUUCAAUUUAUAAGUUUUAAUUAAAACGCAUCAAGCAUGCACAAGAUGUUUAAUAUAACUAAUAUUUUCAUAAGUAAUUGAAUUUUUUUUAUGAAUUAAUUAACUUGAUUAUCAAUAAAUGCUUACAUGUAUAAGAUUAAUAUAGUUUCAUAAGUAUUUUAAAAUUGUCUUACAACACACACACACACACACAAGGAAAAUGAAAGGUAUGUGAUACCUUUAUGCUAUGUUUGGUUCUCAAAAAAAAUUGAGGGAAAAUGAAAGGAGAAAAAAAUAGAGAGGAAAAGUAAAAGAAAAGAAAAGAAAAAAAGUGAAGAAAAAUAUAAAAUUGAUUAAAGUAAAUACAUUAUUUUUAUAUGUUACUUUAACUUGUUUCACUUAUUUUAAUUCUUCAAUGUAAAGAUGAAAGAUUUGAAAAUGCAUAAGUUUCUAAUUAUUUUUUUAUUUUAUUUUAUAGUUUUUACAAUACAACCAAACAUAAUAAAAUCAUUUUCUUUAAUUUUUUUUCUUUUCUUAAUACUUUUCACGAACCCUUAAGUUAUGUUUGGUUUGCAGAAAAUAUGAGGAACAGAAAAUAGAAAAGAAAAUUAAAAGGAAAGAAAAAGUGAAGUAAAAUAAAAAUAAAUUUAAAUUUAAUAAAUUAUUUUUAUAUGCUACUUUAAACUUAUUUCACUUAUUUUAAAUUAUUUAAACUCAUUUCUAAUAAAUAAUAAUGGAAAUUGUAGAGAAGUUUGUGUUAUUCAAGCUUUGCAAUGACUUUUCAAGGUGAAGGAAAAUAUUCUUGCUGAAAUUGAAGAAGGAAAUACCUUCUUAAAUAGCCUAUUGACCGAAAACACAUUACCCUAACAUAUACACACACCUUUAUUAUUUAUACAAUCAUUUAAUACUUAAUCCCGUUAGUGGGAUUCUAGUGGUUGUUUCUAUCUUGGUUUCCAAUAUUUCUGAUUGAUAGUGUUGGAUUAAUGAAAUAUCAUAAAUUUUGACCCCAAUAAGGACCAAUCCCUAUUAAAUGUAAUUGGGUUGACCUAAGACUAAAUGUUAGACCCAACUAAUAAAAACCCAUCUGUUUGUUGGAGUCUAAAUAACCCAGCCUUAGGUAGGGCCCAUGCCUUAUUAUUUUAAGAUGUAGUCCAACUGGUUUGACACUGGAUUGAGUAAAGCCCAACUUAUGAGCAUCUGUGCAUUUCCAUCCAUCCACAACCUACUGGCAUGGACAAACUUUGGUCAAUUAAACCUAUUAUAAAUGUAUACAAAAUUUUAAGUUCAAAAGAUAAUUUUUCUUAUUUAGUUAGGAUUCAUAUUAAAAAGGCACAAAGCACGAAUUUUCAUGUUUAAAUUCACAAAUAUCACGAAAGCUCCUUCAAGCUCUAUGGACCAUUUUAUUUGUAACAUUAUAUUACUCUUAAUUAUCAAAUUAACCAACAAAUUCUUCUCAUUAGUUAUUUUUCUUUUGUAGUGUCAUAAAAUUUGAUGUAAAGUAAUAUUGGUCAUCAUUUCAACUUUCAUGUUCCAAUUAGAUGCAUCAAGCAUGUGCAACAUAUUUGAUAUAACUAAUAUUUUUAUAAGUAAUUGAAUUUUUUUUUCUAUAAAUCAAUUAACUUGAUUAUCAAUGAAUACUUUCAUACAUGAUAUUGAUGUAGUUUCAUAAAUAUUUUUAAAUAGUCAUAGAAGUCUUUUAUCUGAUUCACUAGAAAGAAAAAUAAACUAUUCUAAUGAAAAUACUUGAUGAUUUGAAGUGAUUGCUUUUGAUUUUAUUUGAUUGCUACCAUUAUUAAUUGUUAGAAAUUGGCAACAAAUACCCAUUUUGCAUCACUUCUAUAUGCAUCGAGGGAAUGAAUUAUAUUUCAUAGAGCUAACAGGGCAAAACUCAUACUUUUGGAAUUAUGGAAAAGGUUGCUAGAAAGCUAAUUAACAAUUUAUAUUAUGAUUAAGACUAGUUGGGUUAGAAAUAAUUCAUAUGGAGAUUAAAAAAAACUAUGUAAUUUAGUUUAGUAGCUUGGGUGCUAUUGUAAUGAUUAAUGAUCUGCAACUUGAACACAUCUACUAGUGCUUUCUACUUGUAUAGCUAAAUUUAUGUUACCACUUUGAACUACAGUACUUACAUGAGAAGAAAGCUUUUCCUUAGUGAUAAUGCAAAAGAAAUUAAGUAUCAAUUUUUGUUAAACUAACAAGUGAUAGUUUAGAUAUGUUUUGAAUACACUUCCUUUCUUCUAUUUUUUUAUUUUGAAAAAAAAAACUCUUUAAUGAAAUAUAAGAAAUCUUAUAUGUAUAAAAAGUAAAGACUUAAACAAAAAAAUUCUUCAAAUUUUAAAAAUUUCGAGAAGUAUUUUUAAGAAUUUGUAUUUUUAGUAUAAUAAUUCCUAUAUUUUGUAUAAAAGCUUUUGUUCAAAAAAAUAGAAGUGUAUCCAAAUUAAAAAUUAAUGGUUAAAUUAAGAAUGUUUCUCAGAUCAAGGGAUAAUGAAAGUUGUAGAGAGUUUGCAUUACUCAACCUUUGCAACUACUUUUUGAAGGUAAAAGAAAAUACCUUCUUACAUAACAUACAAUGGCAAGUUCUGGUUUGUAAGAAACUAAUAAAUGAUUAAGAAUAUGAAUAAGACUUCCUUAAUAAUAGAUAUGUAGAGAAGAAUAGUGGAUGAUAGGAGGUGAAAAUCUUGUAAUAAAAUAUCAAUAUCGGUUAUAAGAUAAUCAACAUUUUCUUGUACCUAUGUGAUUAAGAAUCUUGUAGCUCCCUUAUUGAAAUAUAAUAUAAAAAUAUAAAUAAACUAUUUAGAAGUGCAUGUAGUUUUCAACAUGAGGAAGUUCAAAAGCAAGUUAAUUAUGAUAAUUUUCUAUAGUCUAUAUUGAACACAAAUUAUUUUUUCUAAAGGUUCAAUCGUUCUAUGAAGGUUAAAAGUUUGAAUUGUUUACAUAUGCAAAUGUGAAAUUUGAAAUUUUAUAAUGUUUUAUAAUUUUCUUGUAGAUUCAAAAAACUUGUCCAUAUUCAAAAAGCUCGAGACCUUGAACCUCAAUCACAACAAGUUCAAAAACACUAGCCUACAACAAUUGAAUAUAUUUACAUCCCUUAAAAAUCUUUCUCUAAGACGGAACUAUGAUGGAGGAUUUUUUCCGAUCCAAGGUAUGUGUAAUUAUUAUUAUUAUUUUUAAUGAUAAAAUAUUAGAAUUGUCAACAUCUUUUAUCUUUUUUCCCCUCAAUGGUGUUGCAGAAUUAUGCACUCUAGAAAACUUGGUGAUGUUGGACCUAAGUGGGAAUUUCUUUAUUGGCAUGCAAGGUAAAUACAAAGUGAAGUUUUGGUUAUAUAUAUAUAUCAUGUAAGAACAUAACUAAAAUCAACAUUCUUUGCCUAUCAAUUUGUGCAUGACUAUUAUUUAGUUAUUCUUCGUAACAUAAUUGAAAGAAUGUUUAGGUGUAUAACAUUUAAGAAUUUUACAUGGCACAAUGAAAAACAUGGUAAUCAAUGUAUGCAAUAAAAUUCUAAUAGUUGAAAAAGAAUUUUCUUGUAAUUUUAUGUUCGUGUAUAGUAAUCAAAGAGAAAAUCAUGAAAAUGUAUAUUAGUUAGACUUUAUAUAUCAAUAGACAAAAAAGAAAGAAAAAAGAUUAGUUCCUUAACUUAUCCUAAAAUUUUCUAGAUAACAAGGAGUUUUUUUAUUUUGGGCUAUAAGAUUUACAACCUGAAAAGUGAAGAUGAUUAAUAUUAGUAAUAUAAUUUUGAAAUAUAAAAAUUAAUGAAAUAAUGUUCUCUAUAACUAUAACUGCAACUGCAACUAUUAAUAAAAGAUAAUAAAAGUACUUUAGACUUUGAAUCCAUGGUUAGGUUUGCAAUUUUUUGAUGAUCAAUAAAGCUACAACUUAUGCUGCAAAAGGCUAUACAAAAUGUAUUAGGAGCAUUGCUAAGCUCAUUUAUCAAUAAAAGAAAUCCAGUAAUACUUUGAUUGGAAAAAACCUAGAAUCAUGUUUGAUAUAUAUAAUAGGAGAAGAAACAAAAUAACAAUUCCAUGGUAUUAGUUAGUUUGAUAUCCCUUUUGUUAUAUGGAAUAACUAUUCCAUUUUAAAAUAAUUAUUUCAUCUUAUCGCUAGAACAAAAAAUUUCAAGCAAUUAUAUGCGCUUUUGGGUUUCUUAAGAAUUUAAGCAUUUAUGGGUCACCCAUAUAUACAUAUAUAUAUAUAUAUAUAUAUAUAUAUAUGUAGGAAGAAUAAAAAAAAAUAUUAUACGGAGACAAGGGUAGACACCCAUAUAUAUAUAUAUAUAUAUAUAUAUAUAUAUAUAUGUAGGAAGAAUAUAAAAAAAUAUUAUAUGGAGACAAGGGUAGACACCCAUAAAUGUACAUAUAAUUAUUUAAAUAAAAAAUCAAUAAGAAACAAUAUACAACAAAAUAGAAAAUUUUAAUCUUCUUAAAUUUUAAAAAUAAAAACUAAAUGAAAAAAAAUUAAGAAGUAAAAAUAAUAAUAAAAAGGUCAAGAAUACAAAUAGAGAAGUAAACAAAAAAAAUACAUAAAUUAAAAUUAAAAUUUAAAAGAAAAAAUACAUAGAUUAAUAUGAACACUAAAUGAGGUUUUUUGAGAUAGACUUAGUUAGACCUGAACCAGAUGGAUAUUAAAAAAAAUAAAAAAAAAUUGAAAGAAAUAAAAACUAAUUAGAUGCUAAAUAUUGGAUUAAAAUAACCAAAUGAAUAAAGAGUAAUUAUUAAUUUUUAACAUUUUUUAUUCCCUAGAAUUAUUAUUUUGUGUAUUAAAUGUAUUCUGAGUGUAGUGGUAUAAAAAAUGUAGUUAAGAAUACUAUGAAGAAUAAUAAUGGUGAUGAUAAUGGUGACGACACUUAAUACCUUUUAUUGUACGUUUAGAAAAAAUGAGGUUCUUGAUCUUUAUGGAGAUUAUCAUUACUCAUCCGCAAGCAUGUUGAUAGUUGAAACUACUCAAUUAUCAAAAAUUGAAUUUCUAACCUUCAAUUUUUCUCUCUCAAAUGUAUAUGUGGGUGAGAAAGCACUAGGAAGAUUAUAAGGUCUCACAUGUAUAUGAGUCAUAGGAUAAAAAAUAUAGAGACAAUACUAGCAUUUAUUUGAUCUAGUGGCAAAUAGAGAAAUAUAAAAUAACCAUAACCAUAAUGUUCUAACCUUAUAUAUACCAGAACCAUGUUUCCUUCAUUCAAUGUUGCAACUUUUUCUUUUCAAAUUAGAAUGUAACUUGUAGGAUCCAUUGCCCAUCAAAAUUUUGAAUCGAAUAUUAUAAGAUAUUUCACAUUUCUACCUACUAAAGCAUGAGCUUCAAUGUUCUCAUGCACUUUUGGCUACUAAGUUAAAGAACCCUUUGAGGAUUAAUGGAGUUUCUAUGAGUAGCAAAGCAUUAUAAUCAGAAAGUCUUAUCAGUGAUAUGCAAUUUGACCAAGAACUUAUUCCCAACUAUUUUAUGAAUUUUAUGACUUUUCUUGGCUACUUGUAGGCAAGCUAAAGAAAUUUUCUGGUUUGUUCAAGUCUAAAAAGUGGUUUCAAGUUUAGGGCCAAGCUUGGGCUGCACCUAGGUCCUUGGGCCUUGUUCAGCUCCACGUUUAAACCAACCUUGAGUCCAUCUUUGUAAUUUUUCUCCCAAUUCAUUGAUUAAUAUUAGGAUUUUAUAGAGCCUAUAAAUUGACCAACUAAAUAAAGUAGGUUCAUAAACUUUUAGGUGAAAAUUUUCUCUUUAAUAAAUGUUAAUUCAAGAGUCUCCGUAAUCUUUUUAUAUUCAUAUUAAUUGGUAUUUAAACCGACCUUACUAUAUUAAAGUCAAAUACCAAAUAGUGAACACUAUAUCUACUACUACCACUAUGAUGGUCACAAACAUAGAAUGCUCCAUUUUUUAGAGUCAAUUGAUGCUUAUAAACAACUUUGUUUGAAAAUAAAACACAUCGAGUGAUUGCAUCAAGAGAUUGAUGUAAUAAUUGCAUACUUGAUCUAGAUAAUGUUAAUAUGAGUUGACUAAAUAAAUGAGUAUUUACUUAUAAGGUAGCCCAUAGAACAUUAUUUGUGGAAAUAUUCAUGCACCUCUACAUAUGUUCAUGAUAACUUAGGUUGAUAAAUUUAAGAAGAACAAAUUCAUAACCUUGGGCAUAGUUAGUAAGAAAUUUCACCAAUAGAGUUUGGUAUCAUGAUUCUAAUUGUUCAAAUUGUUUUAAAGGAGUAUUUUAAAUUGCAUGUUAAUUUGCUUCUAAUAAAUGGAGAGAAACCAAUUCAAGAAGAGAAUUGUACUCAAGCUAUGUAUAGCAUUCAUGAAGAUGUAGAAAAUAUUGAUGAACUUACUUUUGAGCAAGUUGAAAUCAUAAUUAAAUAAAAUAACAAACCCAAGGGUUAAGAUUGUCAAGUAAAACUUUAAUUAAAAUUUAUUGAUUUUUUAAAUGCCUAUUAGAGGAGCAAUAGAAGUUCUAGAUAGAAAGUAAGAACUUUUCUAAGGAAUCACUUGUUAGAUUUUAAGUGAUCAAUAAAUAUAAUGUCCAAUUUAAAACUUUUAUAAAAGCAAUGGUUCUAAAGAAUAACUUGAUUUGAAUUUAAAGUUAUUAUUGAUAUUUAUUUAUAAUGGAUGUAGUUAAUCAAUUGAACAUAGUAAAAAACACAUAAUUUUUUCAAAAUACCUUCUAAUUGUUGGGUAUAUUUAAGUAGUUAUUCAUAUCUCAUUAUCUUUUUACUCACAUACUAAUCUCCUUAUUGAGUAUUUACCAAUUACAAGUAGGUUGAAAGUUACUUGAAUUUAAGUCACUAAUCAAUGUUAACUUGAUGACAAAUAAGUCUCCCUUUGAAACUUGUUUUAUAACAUAGCGAAAUGUAGUCGAUCAAUCAUCAAAACAAUGUUUAAGCAUUGGGAUUUAGUUGUUAAUUUUUAUUUUUUAUUUUUUGUGCUUAAACAAAGACAAAAAUUAUAAAAACUCCUGAAAAGUACAUAUUAAUUGAAUUUAAUUUAUACAUCAAACAAGAACAAACUAGUCUUGGAUUUAAAAUUCAAUAGGUUUUGUAAUUAUAAUUCCUAAAAAUUUGUAAGACAACAAAAUUAUUGGACACUAGGCUAUUGGGUGUGUAUGACUAAGAGGUGAAGGAGGGUUCAUCUUAUACAAAGGAUGAUUUGAUUAAUUUUAAAGAUUGAAUAAACAAUAAUUGCAUAUUCAAGUAAAAAUAACAUUGCUAAAAAGGAAAAUAAGUAUUUUAGUCCUCAAACCUAAAAUGGCUAAAAAAUUUAAUUAAUACAAUUACAACUUCACCUACAAAAAAAAAAAAAAAAAAAUACCCAAAACUUUUCAAUAGCACAACUAAGUCCAUUUAUCAAAAGCUCUAUGAACAACAACAACUAUCAAAUCACAUAAAUCAUGUUGUUUACAAAGUGCCCUUGAUGUUUUAAAACAUAAGAUAUUACAUAAAAAUCAACCAAUAGUGUAUGACAUUAUAAAAAACAUAUCCAAAUCCAUUGUCGAACUUAAACUAAAUUCAACUUUAUAUACAUAGUCGCAAGUGGGUCUUUUUGUCUUUCAAUUUGGGUCAAAUUCAGAUGUUAGUUUUUUACACAACAAGGGAUUAUCAAGGUGAUAAUUCAUGCAUAUAAAUAGUAUUACUUAUAUAAAAAAAAUGGUAAAUGCAAUUUUUUUGUAUUCACUCACCAUUUGGCAUAUCAAUAAGAAAAAAAUAUAUACAAUAGGUGCUAUCAAUAAUAUUAUGCAUCACUAGAAAUUAUAAUUUUUCAUUUGUUAUCACUACUUGUGCACUUUGGAAAGCUUGCUAGGUACAACAAAUUAGCUCAGUGAAGAAAUUGAUCAAUUCCUUCAUUUCUAAAUAAAUUUGCAUAUACACUAGAAUAAAAACAACUUUUUAACUUAACAAGUUGACUGAGUCUCAGAACUUAGUAGGUUGAAGGCAUAGACUUCCAUCCAAGCUCAUUUACUGGCACCACAUGUUGGAAAAAUAAAGAAAAAUCAAAACACUUGAGUAUAGUUGCAAACCAAUCUAAAUAUAGAGUGAGAUCUACCUUUCUUUGAAAGUUUAGAACAAAUUUUUAUUUUUAUGAUAAGACUAUGCAGUACUUAUCCCUCUCUAACAAGUCUAUAAUCAGUCCAAAGCAUGGGAUAUUGCAUAUUUCUUGAACUCAAUUAGCCUUUAAUCCAUGCAUUUCAAGUAAAUUUAAAACCUGGUGUACUUGUUCUUGAUUCACAUCCUUGUCACUAUUAUCAUUACUUGUUCUUGAAUAUAGAACCUUAUUGUCCAUUAACAAGCGGGCCUAUGUUCCUCCAUGAUUCAAGAGUAUUAUGUUUUGUUCAUCAUCAGUUGGUCUUGCUCUAAAGCUUCUUUUUUAUGACUAUCAAUAACCAGACUUAGAUACCAAAAUUUAUGCAAGAGAGCAUGUACUUUAUACAGUCAAGAACUUGUGAGUCUAGACUUUGUUAUCUAGGUAAAAGAAUAAAUUGGUUUGUUAAAAUAGCUAGCAUUAGGUAUCUAUUCAAUUCCUAUCUUAGACAAUAAAGAUACAAAUGAUCAAAUACAUUCUUAUUAAGAAACAUUUGAUACCAAAAGUGAUGUAAGACAACACAGUUCCUCUAUUCAAUCAAGUUUAAGGCUUAGAUGAACCUAUGAAUUUAUAUUAAUUAAUUGGGAAAGAGAAUAAAUAGGCUAAGUAGAAGUGAUAGGAUUGUAAUAGCAUUAAGUUAAUGAUCUUGUUUAGGUCUUCUACUAAAUUAGAGAAGAAACAAACAAAAGUAAUCAAACGUGUUAGUGAUAAUUAUAUCUACUUAACAUUGAGACAAUAGUUGUACUAAUGGUAAUUAUAUUAUUUCUUGAGAGUUUAAACAAUAUAUAUUGAAAAUAUUUUUAAAGGUUUAGCAACUACCAAGGUUAUAAUCAACUACGAGCUUUUUAUUUUUAAAAAUAUGAAAUAUUAAUAUCUUUACUUUCUUUGAUCUUCUUGUAGGUUUUAAAAGUUUGUCUAAGCUGAAAAAGCUGGAAAUCUUAAACCUUCGUGAUAAUCAGUUCAACAAGACCAUUAUAAAACAGUUGAGUGGACUCACAUCCCUUAAAACACUAGUUGUAAGCUACAACUAUAUUGAGGGACUUUUUCCUUCCCAAGGUAUUGCUUAUUCUUUUAAUAUCCUUAGUAACCACUCUACCAUGAUUUUUUUUUUUUUCAAUUUUAUUUUCUUUCUUGAACCAUACAGAAUUAUCUAUUUUUGGAAACUUGAUGACACUGGAUUUAAGAGAUAAUAGACUCAAUGGCUCCCUAUCAAUCCAAGGUAAAUUCUAAUCAGAAUUAUCAUUAUAUUUAGGGCAUAUAAUAAAUUAAUUAAAUUAUUUUAUCUAUUAUCAUUACUUGGUUAUUUGGAUUUUCUUGAUAUUGUUUAGCAUUUUACAUAGGAAAAUGAAAUGGAAAAAUCAACCCAUGCUUAGUGUUUAAGCACUGGGCUAGAAGUAUAUUUGUCUUCCCAAUUUAAUCAAAGAGAAAAGUCAUAAAUAACAUAAUUUAACUUAUACCUUAUAUUGAUUGAAGAGGUUAGACUACUUUUGGAUUUAAUGGUCAAUAUUUGUUGAAGAUAGGGUUUCCUAAAUUUGAUAAAAAGAACUUCAAUUUAAAUUACCAUAACUACAUAAAGGUGUGACUAGCAUAAUUAAACUCUUUUAUUAAUAGAUGUUCAUAGACUAGUAUUAUAAUCCCACAUGCACAAAUAAUCAAAUUUUGAAAUUAGACUUCAAAUAACUAUGCAAUAUACGAAACUACAAAAUGAAUGGUAGGUCAUAAUUAAUUAAAUUCGUACUAUAUUCAAUGUUGGUCAACACGUGUCAAGUAAAAGUUUUGGCCUAAGUGUAAGGGCUCACUUGCUCCAAUAUAUAUGUUAUUCACUUUGGGUCAAGGCCUACUUUAAAAUAUCUAUACAUUUAUGAGAUAUUUUAAAAUGUAAAAUGAUAGGUUUUGAUCAUUUUUAAAGGUAGCAAACAUUUUAUUUUAUUUGUAUUUAAGAACAACGUCUUUUCUUAUACAAUGUUUAUUUAAUUUUCUUUUGAUAGAUUUUGCAAGCUUAAGCAAUUUGGAGAUAUUGGAUUUGAGUUAUAAUUCCUUCAAUGGAAUUGUUUCAUCAUCUAUAAGAUUAAAGUCUUCUCUCAAGUCUUUAUCCUUGGCUGGAAAUAGACUCAAUGGUUCUUUACAAUGUCAAGGUAGGAAACAUUUAAUUUUAUUUGUAUUUAAGAACAAUGUCUUUUCUUAUAUAAUGUUUUUUUAAUUUUCUUUUGAUAGAUUUUGCAAGCUUAAGAAAUUUGGAGAUAUUGGAUUUGAGUUAUAAUUCCUUCAAUGGAAUUGUUUCAUCAUCUAUAAGAUUAAAGUCUUCUCUCAAGUCUUUAUCCUUGGCUGAAAAUAGACUCAAUGGUUCUUUUCAAUAUCAAGGUACAUAUGUUAUGCUUUCUUUGUUUCAUAAAGAUUAGACAAGAUAAACAUUGUGAAAAAAAGGUUGUCAUAGUUAAUGUAAAAUGAUAGGUUUUUGAUCAUUUUUAAAGGUGGCAAACAUUUUAUUUUAUUUGUAUUUAAGAACAAUGUCUUUUCUUAUACAAUGUUAUUUUAAUUUUCUUUUGACAGAUUUUGCAAGCUUAAACAAUUUGGAGAUAUUGGAUUUGAGUGGUAAUUUCUUCAAUGGAAUUGUUUCAUCAUCUAUAAGAUUAAAGUCUUCUCUCAAGUCUUUAUCCUUGGCUAGUAAUAGACUCAAUGGUUCUUUUCAAUAUCAAGGUACAUAUGUUAUGAUUUCUUUGUUUCAUAAAGAUUAGACAAGAUAAACAUUGUGAAAAAAAGGUUGUCAUAGUUAAUGUAAAAUGAUAUGUUUUGAUCAUUUUUAAAGGUGGCAAACAUUUUAUUUUAUUUGUAUUUAAGAACAAUGUCUUUUCUUAUACAAUGUUAUUUUAAUUUUCUUUUGACAGAUUUUGCAAGCUUAAACAAUUUGGAGAUAUUGGAUUUGAGUGGUAAUUUCUUCAAUGGAAUUUUUUCAUCAUCUAUAAGAUUUAAGUCUUCUCUCAAGUCUUUAUCCUUGGCUGUAAAUGGACUCAGUGGUUCUUUACAAUAUCAAGGUACAUAUGUUAUGCUUUCUUCGUUUCAUAGAGAUUAGAGAGGAUAAACAUUGUAAAAAAAAAAAAGUUGUCAUAGUUAAUGCAAGCUAAAACUAAAAAACUUGCUUUUUCAAUUAUGUAAGCAUGUUUUGUUCUUGAUGAAUCUUUACAACAUUCAAAGUUACUAAUAUUUAUAAUUCAUAGAGACCUCAUUAACAACCACUAACAACUAAUUGUAAGUAACUAUGAAAAAAGUAAGGACAAAAAUGAGGGAAAAGCAAGGAAAGUGACAAAUUUUUUCAUCCCCAUAAAAAAUGCUAAGGAAGAAAAAGGUGAAGAAAAUUUAAAGAAAGUAUAUUUUUCAAAAAUUAAAUUUUCUUUCCCUUAAAGUUGGUAUGGACAACCAAACAAGAAAAUGAUUUUGAAAUUCUUUUUUGACUUUUUUCUUUCAUUUUUUUUCCUACUCUAUUUUCUUUCCCUCAAACUUUCUAGGUAGUAAACAUUACCUAAGACAAAUAGGGAAGAAAAUAUUUUAUCAUUUAUUUAUUUAGCAUUUUUCUUACAUUUUUUGUAUUUUAUCCAAAUAUAAGAAAACUAUUUUUCUUUAUUUUUUCUUUUCCUUGUUGCGUUUCAAGAAUCAAGCAUACUUUAAACUCUAAUUAAGAGUUACAUAGAUUUACGAAGAAACGAUGCAACUGGUAACAAAAAAUUAAGGAAAUUUAAUUUUUGAGAGUAAGUAUAAUGAGAUUGGUUUGUUUGAUACAAAAUUUGAAUAAAAAUUCUUUUAAUGAAAAUUCAAGGAAAGGAAAAAAAAAACAACUUUAUCUCUAGACUAUAAUACUAAAUCAAUUAAAAAAAAUCUCCUAACAUCGUUUAUGUUCAUCUUUCUUUUUAUGGAUUUGAAAAACUCAAUAAUUUGGAGAAAACUGAUUUAAGGAAGAAUAUUUUUUAGAGUAAAAGAUUAUUAUUUAAGAAUAUCAUAAAUAUUAUAGUCAUUGUUGAAUAUGAUAAAUGAUAAAUAAAAAAUAAAAAAUAAAUAAAAAGUCGUUGGAAAUUUAGAUACUUUUAUGGAAAGAUAGACAAAGUGCUCUAGUUUAUAAUACUAAUGCACUUUUCUAAUUUGAUAUGAAAAAAGGUAAAACGAUAGGUUUUGAUCAUUUUUAAAGGUAGUUUGUUUAAAUCAUUUUAAUUUAUUUUGAUUUAUGAACAAUAACUUUUAUUACACUAGUUAUUUUGAUUUUCUUUUGAUAGAUUUUGCAAGCUUAAGCAAUUUGAAGGUAUUGGAUUUGAGUUAUAAUUCAUUUAGUGGGAUCGUUCCAUCAUCUAUAAGAUUGAUGUCUUCUCUCAAGUCUUUAUCUCUGGCUGGAAAUGACCUCAAUGGUUCCUUACCAAAUCAAGGUACAUAUAUUGAGAUUACAGGUUUUUCUGUUUUCUUUUUUAAUAUCUUGUUUGUUCUUUAUGCCAAUGAAGUCAUGCAUGUCUAUUAAUUUUUGGUAUUUAAUGAAAAACUUUAUUCUUAAUUCAUAAAGACCUCAUCAACUGUGAGUAACAGCUAGUUGUAAGUUUGGGGGCAUUGACAAGACGAGGAGAUGAUUGGUUACAUGUCUUAUUCUCUUUUGUAGGCUUUUUCCAAUUGAAUAAGCUUCAAGAGUUGGAUCUUAAUUACAACUUAUUCCAAGGGAUCCUUCCUCAAUGUUUGAAUAAUUUGACAUCUCUAAGGUUAUUAGAUCUCUCUUCCAACCUAUUCUCCGAAAAUCUUUCUUCCACUCUGUUACCUAAUCUCACAUCCCUGGAGUACAUUGAUCUCAGUUACAAUCAAUUUGAGGGUUCAUUCUCUUUCAGCUCUUUUGCUAAUCACUCCAAGCUUCAAGUGGUCAUACUUGGAAGUUAUAACAACAAAUUUGAGGUAGUUGGAAGGGAUAACAACAAAUUUGAGGUAGAAACUAAAUAUCCAGUUGGUUGGGUUCCCCUGUUUCAGUUGAAACCUCACCGGUGACCUUCCUGGUUUUCUUCAAUACCAAUUUAGAUUAACGGCAGUUGAUCUCUCCCAUAAUAACUUGACAGGAAGUUUCCCCAAUUGGCUGCUUGAAAACAAUACGAGAUUGGAAUUUCUGCUCCUGAGGAAUAACUCUUUAAAGGGUCAACUACUUCUCCUAGGACCUAAUACCCUGAUCAGUUCGUUGGAUAUCUCACACAAUCAGUUGGAUGGACAACUUCAAGAAAAUGUGGCCCAUAUGAUUCCAAAUAUUUGGAAGUAUUCCCAAUUCAAUCUCUAGACUUCUAGAGCUAAGGAUUCUUUUGCUAAGAGGAAACCUUUUAAGUGGUUUCAUUCCAUAUCGACUUUGUCAUUUGACUAAAAUAAGCUUGAUGGAUCUUUCAAACAACAAUUUUUCUGGGUUAAUUCCUGGAUGCUUUGGUCAUAUCGGAUUUGGAGAUUUCAAAACUGAGCACAAUGUGUAUAUACCGAUGUUGGAUUCAUAUUCAGAAAGCAAUCCUUCUAUAUAUACGGGUUACUUAAUAAAAUAUUUAUUUUUCUCUAGUGAACUCCCUGAUAAAGUAGAUGAAGUUAAGUUUGUUACCAAGAAUAGGUAUAGCUCCCACAUAGUAGAUAAAAAUAUUUGUUCGGAAUUUAGAUAUUUUUAUAGAAAAGUAGACAAGUAUUCUAAUUUAUAAAAACAAUGCAUUUCUUUAGUUUGGUAUAAAAAAAUGAAAUGAUAGGUAUUGGUAAUUUUUUUUAAAGUAGCAAACGUUUUAUUUUAUUUGUAUUUAAGAAAGAUGUCUUUUCUUAUACUAGUUAUUUUAAUUUUCUUUUGACAGUUUUUGCAAGCUUAAGCAAUUUGGAGAUACUAGAUUUGAGUUCUAAUUCCUUAAGUGGGAUUAUUCCAUCAUCUAUAAGAUUGAUGUCUCAUCUCAAGUUUUUAUCGCUGGUCGGAAAUCACCUCAAUGGUUCUUUACAAAAUCAAGGUACAUAUGUUAUGAUUUGUUUGUUUCAUAUAGAUUAGAGAAGAUAAAUAUUGUAAAAAAAAAAAGUUGUAGUUAAUGUAAGUUAGAAAAAAGUAUCUUGCCUUAUAAAUUAUAUAAGCACGUGUUUGUUCUUAAUGAAUCUUUACAACAUUUAGAGUUACCAAUCUUUAUAAUUCAUAAAGACCUCAUAAACACUGAGUAACAACUAAUUGUAAGUAAUUGUGGAAAAGUAAGGAAAACAAAUUGCUUCAUUUGAUACAAAAUUCGAAUAAAAAUUCUUUUAAUGAAAACUCAAGGAAAGGAAAAAACAUUUUUAUCUCUAGAUUAUAAUACUAAAUCAUGUAAAAAAUCUCGUAACAUCAUUUAUAUUCAUAUUUCUUUUUAUAGAUAUGAAAAAUUCAACAAUUUGGAAUAAACUUAUUCAAUGAAGAAUAAUUUUUAGAUUUAAAGAUUAUUAUUUAAGAAGAUCGUAAAUAUUACCAUCAUUGUUGAUGUCUAAGAAGAUCAUAUUCAACAAUUUUUUUAAUAUGUUGUUUUCUAUGGUAAUUAAUUGAUGUCUUGUAAUUUUUAAUAUUUAAUGAAAAACAUUAUUUUAAUUCAUCUAGAGCUCUUAAUUCAUGAAGACCUCAUUAACGGUGAGUAAUAGUUGGCUGUAAGUUUGGAGUCAAAGACAUUUCAAGGAGAUGAUUAGUUACAUGUCUUGUUCUCUUUUGUAGGUUUCUGCCAAUUGAAUAAGCUUCAAGAGUUAGAUCUUUCUUACAACUUAUUCCAAGGGACCCUUCCUCCAUGUUUGAAUAAUUUGACAUCUCUGAGGUUAUUGGAUCUCUCUUCCAACCAUUUAUCCGGAAAUCUUUCUUCGCCUCUGUUACCUAAUCUCACAUCCCUGGAGUAUAUCGAUCUCAGUUACAAUCAUUUUGAGGGUUCAUUCUCUUUCAGCUCUUUUGCUAAUCACUCCAAGCUUCAAGUGGUCAUACUUGGAAGUGAUAACAACAAAUUUGAGGUAGAAACUGAAUAUCCAGUUGGUUGGGUUCCCCUGUUUCAAUUGAAGGCUCUUUUCCUAUCCAACUGCAAGCUCACCGGUGACAUUCCUGAUUUUCUUCAAUACCAAUUCAAAUUAGAGGUGGUUGAUCUAUCCCAUAAUAACUUGACAGGAAGGUUCACCAAUUGGUUGCUUGAAAACAACACGAGACUAGAAUUUCUAGUCCUAAGGAAUAACUCUUUAAUGGGUCAACUACUUCCCCUGAGACCUAAUACCCGUAUCCUUUCAUUGGAUAUCUCACACAAUCAGUUGGAUGGACGACUUCAAGAAAAUGUGGGCCAUAUGAUUCCAAAUAUUGUGUUUCUAAAUUUAUCCAACAAUGGUUUUGAAGGUCUUCUCCCAUCCUCAAUAGCUGAAAUGAGUUCCUUAAGGGUGUUGGAUUUGUCUGCCAAUAAUUUCUCAGGAGAAGUACCAAAGCAGUUGCUUGCAACAAAAGAUUUGGUGAUUCUAAAAUUAUCAUAUAAUAAAUUUCAUGGUGAAAUAUUUUCAAGGGACUUUAACAUGACUGGGUUGGAUAUUUUGUAUUUAGACAAUAAUCAGUUCAUGGGAACUCUGUCAAAUGUAAUCUCCGGAAGCUCUCAGUUAAUGGUGUUGGAUGUGAGCAACAACUACAUGUCAGGUGAAAUUCCAAGCGGGAUAGGUAACAUGACAGAAUUGAGAACAUUGGUCAUGGGCAACAAUAAUUUUAGAGGCAAAUUACCACCUGAGAUUUCUCAAUUGCAACAGAUGAAGUUUCUUGACGUUUCUCAAAAUGCUCUUUCAGGAUCUCUUCCUUCUUUGAAGAGCAUGGAGUAUUUAGAGCAUCUACAUUUGCAAGGGAACAUGUUUACAGGAUUAAUACCGAGAGAUUUUCUCAAUUCCUCAGAUCUAUUGACUUUGGAUAUGCGAGAUAACAGGUUAUUUGGAAGUAUUCCCAAUUCAAUCUCUGCACUUUUGGAGCUAAGGAUUCUUUUGCUAAGAGGAAACCUUUUCAGUGGUUUCAUUCCAAAUCAUCUUUGUCAUUUAACUAAAAUAAGCUUGAUGGAUCUUUCAAAUAACUCUUUUUCAGGGCCAAUUCCCAAAUGCUUUGGCGAUAUCCGAUUUGGGGAGAUGAAAAAGGAGAAUGACGUGUUUAGACAGUUCAUUGAUUUUGGGUAUGGAGGGGAUUCUCGUAAUUUAUAUGUUGGAUUCACGGUGAAAAAAUGGGAGUUCGAUAGUGAUGUAUAUGAUGAAAAAAAUGAAGUUGAGUUUGUCACCAAGAACAGGCAUGACUCCUACAGUGGUGACAUCCUUAAUUUCAUGUUUGGAUUGGACUUGUCAUGUAAUAACUUAACCGGUGAAAUCCCUCACAAACUUGGAAAGCUAAGUUGGAUUCAUGCAUUGAACUUGUCUCACAAUCAAUUGAAGGACUCCAUUCCAAAGAGUUUCUCCAAUCUUUCUCAAAUAGAGAGCUUGGACCUUUCUUAUAAUAAAUUAAGUGGAGAAAUUCCUCUAGAGCUAGUUGAACUCAAUUUUCUAGAGGUGUUCAGUGUGGCUUACAACAACAUCUCUGGUAGAGUUCCAGAUACAAAAGCACAAUUUGGG
rnacentral:lncRNA from 1 species